UAUUUUCUGAUUAUUACAUAAGGAGCUUGCCAUAUACAGAGUUUUGAGUUGCUGGCCAACCACUGAAAUCAGGUGCGCAACCAACAUUUACGUUCUACCAUUAACCAAACUCAGAAGUCCAAGACAUAAAGUACCUUAAAAACAACAAAAAGAUACUCAUAAGUUGGAUUCCGCAAAAUCAGACUGCGUCUAUUCCUCAAGUACUUCACUGAUCAUCAGCACUCAAGAGAACAUUCUACCUUCUCACGCUUGAGUGUAUAAAAAGAUUUUAGCUUCUCAAUCCGGUAACUUCUCCAAAGAUUUAAAAGGAACAUCUAAAGUUGCCUCCAACGAUUUUACUCUGCCUUGGAUCUCAACCACUUUAGGACAUCACUGCAGAUAAAAUUUCUGGAGCUUCUUCAGGUUGGUCAGGUCAGGCAACUUGUCCACAGAUGGAACUCCUUCAAGCUUGAAGGCAAUUGGGUUCUCCAAAACUUGGAGGCUUCUGAACUCUCUCACUUUAGGGCGACGACCAACUUCCAAAUCUGACAGCGCCUUCCAAUUUGAAAGCUCUAUUCACGUUUUUAUUUCCUUGCAUGAUUCGGUAUCUAAGUACAACAAAUUUGGGGGAAGGCCAGGUCGGCAGUGCAGCUUCUUGGAGGGGACCAGUUCAGGUUCCUUGAGCUGUGAAAGAAAAAUGAUGUCUGAAGAUGGGGUGAUGAAAUAAUGAGAUUCCAACAGCAAGGAUUCCAGCUUCCCUAACCUUCUGAGCAACGAAGGACUUGGAGCUUCAAUGAAAUUAGAAGCAUCAUCCAAAUUGUCAAAACCUGAAUUUUACAUGCAAUUUGAAUAUUGAAUUAAUAAGUUACUUAUCAUCAAGUGAAUGUACAUAAUUUUUUUUACUACUUUACGUAAUUAAAACCUUGUACAGAAGAUCUGCCUUAAAAAGAUAUGUAGAAGCGCAAAUCUAAACAUCCCUAAACUCCGAACCAACCAAUAUGUAUAAUAUUUUUGAGGGAAUGAGUUGACAUUCAGUAAAUGAUAGCUCUACUUCCAAAAUGGGAGGCCUACCCACUACUCAACCCGAGAACAUAACAAUAGCAAUUUGCAAAUAAGGUCAUAUAUUAUUAUCAAUAGGAAAACCAAUAUUCACCUAAGACAGUGUAAUCCGUGCAUUAUAUAAAAAUGACUAUAAUUAUCUGUGCAAUGAAUAAAAUAGAAGCAAUGUAUGAUAUUCGUUUUAACGCUUAAAUGCACACAAUUGAUCAUACCAAAUCUCAUGAUGUAUAGACAUCAACAGCUCAUCGAUAGACACAAGUAUUUAUCUAUUACCUACUUGCUACUAGCCACGACUCAUCUUGACUACCUCAACUAACAAGACAUUGUGACCACUAAAUAAUGCAAGAAGAAAUCAUAAAUACAUAUUUACCACGCUUCAUCCCAUUCAUCACAGGUAUCCUCCAACGAUGAUAAAUACAGUACAAACGCAUAAUGACAGCUAUCCUAGACUCAAUUCUCAUCAAGAUUCAUACCCAUUCUAUUUUCUUUCUUCUCUCAAUCUUGGACCUCAAGUUCAUAAUAUCAUACAUAGGCUAUUCAAGUCACAUCAGGUUACACAAGUCAUAUAAUUUCAUGUAUAAAUCAUUGUACUUUACAUUUUCUCAAUCUUAUAGAGAACGGUAGAACAUCUGUCUUUUCCCAGAAUCUUAUAUACAUACUCAGAAAAAUUAAUUAUAGUGUUGGUAUAUUGCUAACAACACUCGUAGAAUUUCAAUGGAGUUGGUAAUUUACUUAAUAUGGGGAACAAGCACACUUGGAAGGUGCAGCACAGUGGAAAGUUGUAUGCCAUGUUCAAAAGUAUUGUUAUUAAUUUACUUACGAUACUGGUUAAAUUUCAAAUGAGUUGAUAAUUUACUACUUCAUUGAAAUAUUAGUAAAUUUCUGAUAGUGUUGUUAAUUCACUUACAACACCGGAAAGUUUCCAGAAGACUUGGUAAUUUACCAAUCUAGUGGGAAAUUGCUAAAUUUCCGACAGCUUUGGUAAUUUACUACCUCCUUACCUAACAAGCAAGUAACCAGUCAUUUUCUUUUACCUAACAAUUCCAAAUUUGCUGGUAAUACCACCAAAAAUUUCAAAGGAAGGAACUAGAAAGGCAGUAAUGAAUCCACUGAGAAGCAACUGCAGAAAUCUGUUUUAAGUUAUCAAAACUAAAGAACCUUGGUGACCAUUGCACAUGAUCAUUACCUAGGGAGCGUUUUAUGUUUACGCUGGACACAAUGUUUUGCCCCUGCUUCUUCGUUUCUUCAAUGUGGAAAUUUUGAUGGGAAAUCAGCGACAAUUCUGCGAAUAUGGUUGCUGAUGUCUGAUAGAAUUCGCGACACUGAAUGCAACACAUUCUCAGGGUAAUGCCUCAUGAACAAUAAUCUCUACGAAUGAAAUCUGGAGCAAGUGAUUUAAUCACUAAGUAAAGUAGGACCACAACAGACCAAGAGAAGAAGAAAGAAAUUGCAGAACCAAUCGAUUAUAGUAAGAUUUCAUGCCUUCCAGGACAAUAUUUCGGUUUUAGCUAGACCUUGACAAGCUCAGAAGAACAACUGAUUCGCCAUGUAUGGUUUGAACUAGUUCCUAAGGAGCGAAAAUCAAUCCCCUCACGGGUGCAGAACCGAACUGAGGCACAGGAGUAGCAAUGUGUUUCAAUAGAAUGCGACUUGUGGUUUAGACCAAAGCUAUGCAGAUGGAACAUAAAUUCAAUCCCCUACUUGGAGAAAUCUGAGUUUUAUUGAGAAGCUGGUGGAUAGAUGUGGCAUUGUGUUUCCAGAUCUAAGGCCCAACUGUAGCAUAGAUGGAAGCAGAUGAGCAGGGUUUAGCAUGUGACUAGAACUAGGCAAAAGCUAUUAGUGUUAGAUGCAAAUGACAGGGAUCAAUCAUCGAGUCAACUAUUUAAAGAACUGAUACUGAUUUGAGAAUCGCUCUAUUGUUUCCAUUGCAUUAUAUACCUAGUUGCAUUGCAGAACAGACCCAACUCAUGAAAAUGGCAGUAGAUGAGAGGAAUUACUGGAGGUGGAUGGGGUGAAGGUGAAGUGUCUGAAUCAAAUGCUGAGAAGCCAAUAAAAAUCUUGGCUCUGAGUUCAGCUGAAGAAAGACUCUUUAUUAGAUAGUCCACUCACCCUUGUGUCUUGCUUAUGCAGGAAGGUGAGGACUUAUUAGUUGCAGGUACACUGAAAGCCGAUGACUAUUGAUGACCGAAGGUGCCAAAACAAGGAAGUUGGGAUGUAAAGUAACCCUCCUGCACAGAAUAGUUGCCUGAGUUAUGACCUUGCAAGACAAACAUUUGAAGGUUGAGGGCUCUGGAGUGUGUGAAACUGCUUAAUACAGUUAACCAUGGAUGGUUCGAACAGUACUUCCAAGCCAUACUGGUGUGUUUGAUUAGCACUUAGGAGGUGAGGCGGUCAACCACCCUCUUAUCUAGUUGACUUGGGGUAAAAUGAAUUGUCCAUAUUACCGCUAGAAGGAAUCCUCAAAUAUUUUUCUUUUGAACAAGGAAAAUUUAAUUAUCGUAUUAUUUAGAUUUUAAUGGUCCAACCAUUGGAAAUUACAAUUGGUUAUUAAUAUUAUGCUAUUAUAAGUAAACAAAAUAUAAUCAACUUAUAUUUAUAUAUUAGCUAUGAAUACUGAUAAAUAAAUAAUAGAUUGAUACCAAAAAUAAAAUAAAACAAUAGAUUGAUAUAUUGAUGCACUCCACCAUCUGUACCAAUUCCAUAAGACACCACUUACUGUUGACAUAGCCUUUAGAGAAGAUGGGUAUCAAGAUUUUGGACUGCUCAAUUGCUUGGAGAAGCACUGAACCGAUCUCUUCGCCAGUACGAAGCUCUUCGUUAUCUCUGUAUGCUCAAAUUCCAGCAUCAAUGAGACUGGUAUACAGGAUAUCAGCAAUAUCCAAGUGUGUAUCGGGUCCUCUAAAGCUCAAGAAUACUUUGUAACAUGUUGACAUGGCUUCACAACUUCCAGCGUUUGAGAUGAUUCCUCAGUAGACAAGCAGCAGCAGAAUCGCCAACGGCUUCUGUGAUCCCGUUGUCUGUUUUCACCUCUUCACUGGUUUGUACAGAAAGAUGGAAACAAUGGAAGCGACGAUCAAUGCUGAGUGCGAGGACCGACCUCGGUGCACCCUCUAAACUUAUAAAAACAAUGCUGUGAAGAUGUCUGUCAGGAUGGGAAACAAAUGUAUGUGAGAUCUGCUCAGGUCAAUGAUUGAUGUCAGCCUUUUUCUGGGUAACAUUGUAUCUAAUAUAUAUUCUAUCGUCUUCAAAAACUAAAGAAGGAUGCUUCCUCUUCACUUCAAUCGAGGCAUACACGAUUUAGUUAUUUUUGUUGGCCAUAUACACAUGAUUAAAACGCGGCCUCUCUAUGGCAACCACGAGGGAGGAUAAGAUAACCUCAACGGAGCAUGCCAACAAAAGAGACAGCUUUUACCGUAUUAGUGAUGAUUACCUUGGAUUUUUUACUAUCAUUCUUCGUAUACAAAAGCUACUAGUCCCUGAUAUGUUGAUGAGUCCGUUAAAACUUCAAAAAUUUCUCACCCCUCAGAGGAGGAAUUGCUUAUAGCAAACAUUGGUAUGUCCAUUAAAUAUUUUUAUUAUAAUAGAUAGGGCGUGAAAAGGGGUUUACUUCGACCAAAAUUCAAGCACGACCCAAAGAUUUCAAGCCACAGAUCCUGAAACCUCGAACUUAGGCUUGGCUCAAGACAAUAUGAAAUGGCAUGACUCGUAGUAGUUUGAUGCAACUGGUUUUCACACACCUCAAUAUUAGUCCAUCUCACAGGCAACCGCAAUGGGGCAUUCUCUCAUAUUGGCAAGGUGCUUCCUGAAGUGCUUCUAACAAGGUUUGAACUAACACCACGAGGAAAAAGGCAAACUCCCUUGCUAAUUUCUAAUAGGCUAAGAGUGACUUUUUCAUAUGAAAAUAAAAUUGCUCACGUGAAAAUACUAGUAAGUGAUAGAUAUGCACUUGCUUUUAGGAGCAACUACUAAUCAUGAUGAAAAGAUCCCUUCUUAGAACAAUUGACAUACAGAUGAAAAAACAAAAAAUAUGAAGAGUUAUUGAGGGAAGACUAAUAGACGAAAGACUAUUUAUCCUUACUAAGUACUAAUGAUUACUUAUUUUCUUCUAAUCACGGCAGAAAAUUUACUAAUAAAAGUACCUAGUACAUUGACACUUACUUUUUCAAGUGAUUUGAUAUCAACCGAGUGCAGGUUUUUCUAUCUGAUAAAAACAUAUUAUAUCUUAAAUGAUAACUUCCUAAUCAUGUGAAAAAUAACUUAUCAUAAGUAUCUAUGUAUUCUCUUCUCUAGAGCAAGCAUAUAUAAGUAGUUAUAAGUUUUAGGCCAAUUACCAUACAAAAAAAAAAAAUUCCCAACUUUACACUUGUGCUAAUUUUUUUUGUCAAGUAUAAUGCAUAUGAAAGAGACGUCAGAACUUAUUCUUUUGUGCACAAUCCAUCCUCUGUUAGUCCAUCAGCCAGCAAAGAAAAAAUGGUCGUUGCCUUAUUGAUGUGGCGACUAAGGUGACUAAUUAUCACCAUGAAGCGUCAUUAUAAGUAAUUAAUAUAAAUCGAUAGUUAAAGAAGUUACUUUUGAAGAUUAGAGAAAAAGGCAACAGAGGAAAAAAGCAUCGAUAUGAUUUAGUGGUCUUUUCGAUUCAGGAAUUUCUAUUAGCUCAGUUCAAAGAAGAAUAUGCUAGUAUUUUGCCAGGUAUACUAUUGAGGGCAUGCAGCUGCAACCUCGAAAGGUGGUACACAUUGUAAAGUUCUUAGAUACAAUCGACAUAAACUUAAGGCCGAAAAAGAGAGCUAGUGCAAAGUUCGGUUAUCAAAUUUUCCAUCAAUUUGGUCCUUCAAAAGUUUUGUGUUCUUUGGACUCUAUAGCUUCUUCCUGAAGGUGGGAAAUUCACAAUCAAUCUUUAUACUCUUUCACUGUCUCGACCGCCACAUGAAAGAAUACGAACUGUGGAGAGAGCAGAAGACUUUCAUAUCAUUGACAGUCUGUACAUGAGAAAAUGGUAGGAACAGAAGAUGCACAGCAGAAGCAAUAUGAAAAAUAAUCUUCGAGCCUUAGCUCUUAUUCAACAUUAGAAUAACAGUAGAAGGAGCUUGCAAUACUUAAAGCUUCUGUGAUGCCGCCCAACCCCUGAAAUCAGGCGGAACCAUCGCCUACAUUCUUCCAUCCACCAUACUUAAAAGUCCAGGAGAGAACAAAUAUCCUAAAAAAUUACUCUGACAAGUCGGAUUCCACAAGAUCAGACUGCGUCUCCGCCUUCAAAGUCCUCCACCGAUCAUCAUAACCCAGAGAAUCUUCUACCUUCUCACACUUAUGUAUAAGCAAAGAAUUCAGCUUCUUGUGGCUUGAUGGAUCGGGUAACUUUCCAGAAGAUUUACAGGAACCAAUCCAGACCGUCUCCAACAAUUCUGGUCUGCCUUUGAUCUCGAUCACUUCGGACAGCACUGCAGAUAAAGUUUCUGGAGCUUCUCUAAGUUGGUGAGGUCAGGCAACUUGUUCACACAUGGAACUCCUUCAAGCUUUAAUGCUCUCAGGUUCUCCAAACCUUGGAGGCCUCUGCACUCACUUUAGGGCAAUGAGCAACUUCCAAAUCUGACAGCACUUUCAAAUUUGAAAGGUCUAUUAAUGUUUCCUGCAUGAUUAUAUAUUUAAGUACAACGAAUUUGGGGGAAGGUGAAAUAGGCGUUGCAGCUUCUUGCAGUGGACCAGUUCAAGUUCCUUGAGCUGUGAAAGAAGAAUGAAGAUGGGGAGAUGAAAUAAUGACAUUCCAACCGCCAGGACUCCAGCCUGCCUAACCUUCUGAUCCAUUAAGAACUCGGGAGCUUCAUUGAAUUCAGAAGCAUCCUCAAAAUUGUCAAAACCUGGAUUUUCCAUACAAUUUGAAUGCCAGAUAAGUAAGUAAUUUAACAUCGAAGGACACACAUUAAAGAUCCACCUUUGUAGAAACACUAAUCUAAAUGUCUGUAAACUCCGAACCCAACCAAUAUAAACAAUAUUAUGGACAAUAUUUUGGAGGGAUGAGUCUAAUCUCAGUAAAUGAGAGUUCUAGGUCCAUGUACCCAUCAGUCAAUCCGAGAACACAACAGUAUAGUAACGAUUAUGGUCAAUUGGAAAAACAAUACUCACUUGAGAUAUGUAAUCCAUGCAUUAUAUACAAAUGACUAUAAUUAUCUGUGCAAGGAAUCAAAUAGAUGCACUCCAAUGCAAACAAUUGAACGUACUAAUCUCAUGUGUGCAAUACCUGUUGCUCAUCCAUAUACACAAGUGAGUAUUUAUACCAUACUUGUCACUGGUCAUGACUCAUCUCGACUAACGAGACAUCGUCACCAACUCAUGAGAUGAAAUCAUAAAAACAUUUUUGUCACGCUUUAGUCCAUUCAUCAGGGAUAUCCUCCAGCAAUGACAGAUACAAUACUCUACACCCACAUGAUGAUGGCUAUCCCAGACUCAUUCUCAUCAAGAUUCUUACCCAUUCUAUUUUCUUUCUAGUUCUUGGACCUCAAGUUCAUAAUAUCACAUACGGGCUAUUUAAUUCACAUUUUUUUACACAAAUGUUAUCAUUUCGUGUAUGAAUUAUUGGACUUCAUGUCCUUUCGACCAUAUAGAGACCUUGUUUGAAAGGUAGAAUAUUCGUUUUUUCUAGAGUCUUAUAUAUGUACUUAGGAAAUUCAUUGCAGUGUUGGUAUAUUACUAACAACACUUGCAAAAUUUCCAUGGAGUUGGUAAUUUACUUCAUUAUUAGAAAAUUACUAGCAAGAUUGGAAAAUUACUGAUAAGAUUGGAAUUCUACCAACACAGAAAGUUUUCGAUUUUCCACUGCAUGGGAUCGUAAAAUUUUGCAAAGCUUCGUAAGUCUCUACCUCUGCAACAAGAACUUAAAUCCCAACUGAUAAUUUCAAUUGUUGAAACUAGAAAUGCAGUAAUGAAUCAAUCAGAAGCCCCUUUAGAAAUCAAUUGUAAGUUAUCAAAACUAAAGGACCUUUGUGACCAUUGCACAUGAUCAUUAACUAGGAGGGUUAUGUUUGCACAUGAACAUUACCCAGGGAGGGUAAUGUUCAUGCUAGACAAGAUGUUUUGCCCUACUUCUUCAUUUCUUCAAUGUGGAAAUUUUCAGGGAAAUCAGCAAAAAUUCUGCGAAUACAGUCACUGAUGUCUAAUUGAAUUCACAACACUGAAUGCAACACAUUGCACAUUAAUCUCCGCGAAUGAAUUCUGGAGCAAGUCAUCUUGAAUCCUCGAUGAAUUUCCCCCAUGACGAUAUUAAUUAAUAAUUACACCCACUAAAAAUUUCAGAGGUAAGUAGGACCACGGCAGACCAAGAAAAAGAAGAAAGAAAAUUGCAGAACCAAUCGAUUAUUCUAAGUUUUCAUGCCUUCCAGGACAAUAUUUCGGUUUUAGCCAGACCUCGACAAGCUCAGAAGAACAACUGAUUCCCCAUGUAUGUUUUGAACUAGUUCCUAAGGAGCGAAAAUCAAUCCCCUCGCGGGUGCAGAACCAAACUGACGCACAGGAGUAGCAAUGUGUUUCAAUAGAAUGCGACUUGUGGUUUAGACCAAAGCUAUAUUAAAGAUUAGAUGCAGCUAUGGAAGAAAAUCAAGUGAGUCAGCUCCCGAGCGAGUUCAUCGAAAGGCUGUUUUCAUUUCGUAGGUAUGACAAGUCACGACUGAAAAUAAUAAAAACCAACUCAAUCCGUCCCAAAUCUUUUCCUAAUCUAUCACAGAUUGCAUCCAAGAUUCGCAUGCGGACCCAAUUCAUGAAAAUGCGAAGAGAAAAUUACCAGAAAACCAAAUAAAGAUGCGAAGAAGGAAAAAGCAAGACCUUUUUUUAAGACUCGUGGGAACAGAUGGGCGGGCAGGAAGACGGGGGUGGCAGUCCCCGGAGGGAGAUCUCCGCCUGGUCGAAUCGCGUCUCGUUCUUGCUUGCGCUCGGGGUCGCCGUCGCGUUCCUUCACAAUCGGAGUCCGUCGCUGCUUGUUCUGGGUGAGCUCCUCGCUCGGGUCGUCGCCGAUGACUGAUGAGGGGAGGAAGACGAAGGAAGGAGAACGAAAGAACGUGAGCAGACAGAGGGGGGGCAGCGGGAGAAAAAACGAAACAAAAAAAAAAAAAAGGAGAGAGAAAAAGUUGAUAUUUCUUAAAGAGUGGGUCCCACCUUUACGCGUCAUUUGGAGAUAAUAUUCCUCACUAAUCUGAUACGGAAUCUUCUCUCCGUGAUUUCAGUUCUCUAAACCAAAAUUCUUGAUAGGCUCUCCCCACUUUUUCACUUCGAGAUAAUAUUCCUCACUAAUCUGAUAAGAUUCUAGAGAGGCUCUUCUCACUUUUUUCAAAUGUCCGUACUCAUCGGAUUCCAGAGUCUCCUCCAAUCUCUCACAUUCCUUUAUACGCACGCACUCUAGAUUCUUUAAGCUUAAAGGAUCAGAAAAUUGAUGCAGAGACCCGCAGCCACUUAUAUUAAGGAUUUGCAAUGAUUCUAGCCUACCUGGAAUCUCAACCACACGAGGGCAAUGUUCUAAAGAAAAAGCAUACAAGUUCUUGGUAUUGGUCAGGUCAGGCAACUUCUGUAGCAACAGAAGAUUAUAUAUAAGUAACCACUCCAAGUUCUCCCAAGCUUCCAGGCCUUGAAUCUCUUCUACCUUCCAACAACUAGCUAUACGAUAUAUUUGUAUAUGCUUGAAGCUCAAUGGAUCAGGCAGUUGUUCGAGUGAUUGACAACGCACUAAAUCAAAAUACACCAACGAUUCUAGCUGACCUCGAACCUCAACCAAUUUAGGACAAUCAUUUAUGUAUAAAUCCUGGAGCUUCUUCAAGCCGGUCAGGUUGGGCAACUUCACCAGUGACGGAAGAUACCCAAGACUAAGCAAUCACAGGCUUUUCAAAGGUUCCAGAACUUGAAUCUCUAUUAGUUGUUCACAAUAAGAGACUUCCAAUUCUGAUAACUUCUCCCAAUAUGAAAAAUUUAUUGACUUUUCCAUUAACCCACGCCCAUCCAAAUGGAAGUAUGACAAAUUCUGAGGAAGCUUAGGUAGGCAUUUUAGAUUAUUUGCAAGGAGUUUAAGCUUCCUGAGCUUCGAAAGGAGAUUAAAAUCUAAAGGUAGGGUGACCAAAUAAUCACAAUACAACCCCAAGGACUCUAGCUUUCUUAACCCUCCGAUCCAAUUGAGGCUUGGAGUUGGACGGGAAGGGCUCUGAUACUCUAAUUUCAACAUCAAAACUCUCAAAUUUAUUAGGUUCGAGAGAUCCGGGCGUCUCAUCUGUAGAUUAUUGGUUAGGACUAGUUCGGUCAAACUUUCAGGAAGCUUAGGUAUAUUGGAAAUUCUCGUGCCUGAUAACGUCAAGAUUCUUAGAAAUGAUAGUUUUCCGAUCUCACUUGGAAUUUCCCCACUCAAAUAUCUACAACUGCUGGCAUGGAUCUUUUCAAGCUUCUCCAAUGAUAGUCUUCCAAUCUCACUUGGAUUUUCCCCACUCAAACAUCCAUAACUGCUGGCAUAGAACUCUUCAAGCCUCUCCAACUUCCCAAGGGCGCUAGGUAGCUUUUCUAACAUGGAGUCAAAGAUCCUUAGUAUUCUCAAGUUCUUCAUCGUCUCUAUUGAGUCGGGUAACUCUCGUAUGCUUGAACAAGAAAGAUCUAACUCGACGAGAGAUCCAAAAUUUCCAAGUGGAAGUUCACUCAGUAAGCGACAUGACGCUGCACUGAGAGUUUCCAAUUUCUCCAUUCCGUUCCAUUCAGGAAUUUUGGUAACAGAUGUCCCAUCAAGAAGAAGUUCUCUCAAGUCUUCCAUUUCUUCCAUCUCGUCUGGCAAUGUCUGAAGUUUCCCACAAUAUUUCAAGUUUAAUAACACUAAAUGCUUUAACCUACCGAUAGACCCAUGGACUUCAACCAGUUCCAUGCACCCUUGAAGAAUCAGUUGCUCUAAAUUUUCAUGAGCAGAAAGGUCAGGAGUUCUAUGCAAGUUUCCACAUCCAGUCAAAUUUAGAACCUUCAAAUUCUUUGUCAUCUGUAAUGAAGAGAAGAGGUUGAUUCUGAAUAAAUUUUGAGAUACUGGACAGCAAAGUCAAUAUAGCAAAUUCAUGUCGAAAUAAUACCGUACCUUGAGGUGGUUCCAUCCCUCCCACUCAUCAGUAAUUUCACUCCUUGAUAGAUCAAGAAUCAUUAGCUUCUUAAGACAAAUUGUGAUGAAUUUGAAAUAGACAGGAAAGUUAUGCCAUGAGAGCAUUAACAAAUUAGGAAGCAUGAUCAGAUUCCUCUGGCACAAGUUAGUAGAAGGAAAAUGCUGACCGUUGCUCUCAUCCAAGUCUACACAAUCCACUUGAAGAAAUCUUAAUUUUGAUAGGCUUAUAGAUUCUUCCUUCUCAAUGAAGUCUUGAAAUUGACGAUCAAACCUUAGACAUAUUGCUUCAACGUUUUCUCUUCCCUGCCAAAAAAGAAAAAAAAAAAAAAACAUCAAACAAAAGCUAGUGAUCCCAUAAUUGCCUAUUGAAGGCAUUCGUGUUGAAUAUACUUGAUAAUGUACUUCUUACAUAUAAUUAAAAAUUAAUUUGCAAUAUAAUUUAUAGAUGAGCAUGUGAUCAUACUAAGCACACAAGUAAUGACUCGGUUUAGAUAGAAGCAAAUAAGCAAAUUCAAUGUGUAUAACUCGUCUCUUUGAAUAGGAACAACAUUGAAAAUACUUUACCUCCUUUAUUUCAAGGACAUCUAUCAAUUCCUCAUGAUCCCACACCCGACUUUGCUUCUCUAGCUUAAAAUGAGCUCUUUGACGAACAAUGUCUCGCCCAAGGUCUCUUAGCUGAUCAUGCACCCACAGUCGGUUACCUUGGACAAUCUUCAUUAACGAUUUCCGUUUGAGGACUUCAAGAGAAUAUUUAGGGAAAAGCUUAUGGCUGGCCCACAUGUAAGUCACAAUUCUCACAUCAAACCCAACAUAGAAGCAACAAAUAUCAAGAAAUAUUUCCUUCUCUUAAGGUUCUAAUGCCUCAAAACUGAUGUUUAGCUUCCUUUUAACCUCUGUAGAGGGAAUAGCUUUCAACCUUUCUAAUGUGACCACCCAAAACUCUCUGUCUUUUCCAGCUAAAAAUGAACCUAUUAUCUCUAGAGCCAAAGGAAGAUGACCGCAGAUUUCUAACGCUUUUUUCGAGAGGGAAACGUAUUCUGCUGGGGGACGAUCUCUUCUAAAGGCAUGUUUGCUAAACAGUAGAAGAGAAUGAUUGAAAUCCAUUUCAGUAAGUUCGUACUUAAAAUCAACAUCUUUGAGAACUUCCUUGUUUCUUGUGGUAAUAAUAACCUUACUUCCUCUGCUGUACCAGCAUUCACCUAUCCCUACAAGAGUGUUUAGCUGAGUGUUUUGGUCGACAUCAUCAAGCACAAGUAAAACCUUUUUAGAGGAUAACCUCUCCCUGAUCUCAGUAAUCCCUUCAUUAAUACUAUUGAUGGAUGGCCAUUCCAUUCUUAGGACUUUAGAGAGAAGCUGAUUCUGCAAAAUCACAAUCUUUGUCUCUCGAAUGUUAGACAGGAAGCAACAGUUAUCAAAAUCAGCCGACAGUUUAUUAUAGACGAUAGUGGCAAGAGUUGUCUUUCUGACACCACCCAUACCAUGGAUGCCAACAAUCUUUGUUCCAGUGGCCUGUGUACCCAUCUUUUCCAUGAUUUUGUCCACAUAAUCGAGUUUUGUUCCAGCGGUUUGUGUACCUAUCUUUUCCAUGAUUUUGUCCACAUGAUCGUCCAUUUCAACCAAGUAAUAAGGUUCUGCCAAGUUGUUCUUUUUUAACUUGAUCAACAGCGUCCGAACAACUUCUUCUGUGAACUCCCCUUUGCCUCUAACAAUAGUGAAGGCAAAAGGACCAAACUGUUAAAUUGAGAUGAACAGAAUAAUACCAAGCUACAAACAAUCAUGAACAAUAAUAAAUUCAAAUACCUCUCCUUGAGUUCCCAUCCUCUUAAAUCUCCAACCUUGCUGAGAGCUGUCUUCCACUUCUCAAUAGUCUCAUUAGUGAACCGCUUCUUAUUUUUGUGUGAAGUAAUGGCCUCACCGUAACUUCCAGUUUGGUAACGAACCUCAGCUGGUGUUAUGUCAUAGAAAAUUGGCAUGAUCUUUUGUCCCCACUUUUCCUUGCACUCCACCAUGUGGACCAACUCCAUGAGGCACGAUGGACUGGCAGCAUAUCCUUUAGAUAAGAUAGGAAUCGAGAUUUCCGACUGCUCAAUUGCUCGGCGAAGCUCCGGAUCAAUCUCUUCCCCAAUGGGAAGCUCUUCAUUAUCUCUAUAUGCUCGUAUUCCGGCACGAAUGAGGCUGUUGUAAAGGUAAUCAACGAUGUCACGGCGAGUGUCUGGUCCUCUGAAACUCAAGAAUGCUUCAUAAACAAAUUCCGUUGGCUUCUCCGUUUCCUGAAUUCUCAGAGGACUCGCAAUGACCUGACAAUAUUCCAUGUGAAAAACGUUUACUAUGAAAGCAGGGUGAUAAUUAUCACCAUUUCUCUCAGAAACUCUUCUGUUUUAAGUCUUUCUAGGAAGAAAACCAAGAUGACAAAUGCACGAGCUCCUUCGUGGCCUUGCACUACACACCAAAAUAUGACUGAAUAUUUUAAAAUAAUAUAGUAGAGAAGUGGACCCAUCUCAAUUCUAAAGGAAGAAAUUUUCAAAGUAUUGUGGAAUUAUGGGUUAUAGUUCACACUUGAAAUUGAUUUGAGAGAAUAAUAUUUUUUGAGAAGAUAAAUCACUAUCAACCUAUAUUAGUCCGCACAUCAUGCCUGCUUCCGCUUGUAGAUUGACUAAUUAUUUUAUUGUUUGAUAAGAAAUUAUAAUGAAACAUUCCUCUUUUAUUUUACCAAAAUAGAUUUGACAGACAUACCGCGACCCUCAAUUAGUGCUCCCUUGGCCUUAACGGACGCAAGCGAAGAAUCGCCCCCAAUGAAGAUCUCUAAUUGGAAAAGUGAAAUCAAGACAUUGCACCGGAGCUAAUUCAACCCUCUCCGUUGGACCAGUUUCUAGAAAGCAUUAACCGAUCUCCAAUUGCAGUCAAAUCUUAGUUUAUUAACAUACCGGCACAGGGUCAAAGGCGAGCAUUAGAAGCUAACGUUCGCAUUUGCCAGAAAGUAUCAGCAUAUCAGAAAAAGAGGGGUGAAUUACUAACCAAUAAUGUAGUUGAUGAAAUUUCAGCAGAAAAAAGAAGCAUGAACGCUAUAAUUGUUUUUCCAGAAAAUAAGUUUGAACACACAGGAGCGCAGGAACGAGAACUGUACUUUACAGAAGCGGAGACUUCCAGUGGACCACAGAGUGCUACGUUAUAGUCCUAUUCAUUUCGUCUCUACUGUUGAAUACAGUGUUAAGGGUAUCUAUUUUCUGCGUAGGAGCGUUCUUACUGCUAAUCACUAGACAAUAAUGUACGAAUUUGUCAUAUUGAAGUCUCUUAAAGAUACCACUAUCACCGUUCGCACAAAAUAGCUUUUAGCGCCAGCAAUCCACGCGAAAACUCAGAGAGACAGAGAGAGAGGGAGAGAGUAUACCCGGGUGGCGAGCUCGUAAGACUGAGCGUUGUCGAUGAUGGAACCGGACUUGCCUCCGCCUUCGCCGCCCUCCCUCCUCUUCUUCUUGCCGCUCCUCUUCUUUGGCUCGUCGUCGCGAGGGCCGCCGCCGGCGCCGCCGAGGAGCUCACUCCGAGGCUCGACACCGCUCGUCUCCGCUUCAGCUUCGUGCGGUCUCUUCUUCUUCGCCAUUCCCGCUCUCCGAUAUCAGAAAGUUUUGAUCUUUCGACACGGUAAGAGGUCGACUGGUGAAGGGAUUAGGCGUCGAUGUUGGUGGUGGUGGUGGUAUUGCGUUUCAGGAUCUGAGGCCUGACAGUUGCAUAGAUGGAAGUGGGUGGGCAGGGUUUUAGCAUGUGACUCGUGAGUUAGAGGCUAAAGCUAUUAGUGUUAGACGCAGCUGGCAGUGGUCAAUCAUGGAGUCAACUAUUAGUUGUUAGACGCAGCUGGCAGUGAUCAAUCAUGGAGUCAACUAAGGAAAAAAUUGGAUGCUGAUCUGAGAGUCCCUCUAUUGUUUCCAUCAAAUUCUGCAUCUAGUUGCAUCACAGAACUGACCCAAUUCAUUAAAAAUAAGGCAAUAAGCGAGAGGAAAUUACCGGAGAUGAAGGGGGUGAAGAUGAAUAGUCCGGAUCAAAUGCUGAGAAGCAGAUGAAGAUCCCAGGAAUAAACGUUCUUGGCUUUUGAGUUCAGCUGAAGAAAGACGAGACUUAUAUAAGACGGUGAAUUCACCCUCCUUCGCCGUGCCCUUCCAGGAAAGUGAGGACUUACUAGUUGCAGGGAAACUUCGGCCCGACCGUGAAAAUGUGAAUACGCGUUUUGCUCUUGACUUUCGAGUAAACGAGUUGAGUUACUGGGAAAUUUCUCGAAGUCCGGAAACCUUUUGGUACGAAGGGCGAGAGUACAAGAGGAUUUUCAUUGCAUGUUAUUAGUUUAAAAAUCAUACAAUUUAUAUUAAUUGAUGUUCUUUUAACGACGAUGAAGGUGAAUCCUAGGCCCAUUCAAAUUUUAUAUAUAUUAAACCAAAAAAUGUAGAGUCCAUGUAUUCUACAUAUGUCAGAGUUACACACAAUGGGUUCAAAAAACAAAAAGAAAUUAGAAAAAAUAGCGUCACUAAUGUGAUAACUUCCUCACAAUACUUACUUAAAUUUAUUACUUUUUUGAGAUUGAUUAAGUAAUAUAAUUUUCAUUUGACGUUCAUCUAAAUACCAUAAUUAAUUUUUUAGUCACUUGUGCCAUGACUCGUCAAAUCGUGAGGACCGCUGGUCUACCACUGUCCUUCUAGGUUCUCCACUUUUGACGCUUCCUCUUUUCUCCAAAUUUUUACUUUAUUCUUUUUAAUUUUUUCUUAAAAUCUGCUGACCUAGCAGCUAUAUCAAUGCCUCCAUCUUCAAGGAAAAAUAAUCAUGAUCAUUUUUCCUAUUAACUGAAUCAGAUGGAGUUAAUAGCAGGACUUAACCGCACUAAUUUAAUGAAUUUUAAAAUUUGAUUACACUUUUUAAAAAAUUUAAAAUUUGAAGGCACUUUUGCAACAUAUUUUAAGAUUUAUGGAGCAUUUAUCCCCUCUUAUGAGAUAAUAACACAAAUGAUCUUUAAACUUUGAUUUAAUAUGUAAUGUUAUCCUUAGAAUUUUAAUUUGUUCAAUGGGAUAUUUAAAAUAUUGAUAGGUGUUCAAUUUAGUCUUUAGAUUGAAUGCAUUAUUUCCAUAUAGUUUAGCAACUAUAUUGGAUAUUUGUUAAUAGUUCAUGGAUCACAUUAAAUAAAUUAAAAAAAUUUAAAAUGACAUAACAUAUUUUGCCAAAUUUCAAGGAUCACAUAAAAUAAAUUCCAAAUUCAGAGACAACAUUAGAUAUUGGACAAAAUAUAAGGAUUAUUUAUGUCUUUUUUUUUUCAUUUUUUAAAUCUAAAACUCCAUAAACUUAAGGAUAGACAAAUAAUUUACAUAUAAUUUUUUGAUAAUUUUCCGAGAUUUGAACAAUAAUUUAAAUUUUGACAAAAAAGUAAAAGAACUAUUAUUUAAGUCCAAGCAAAGAGGCAUUAGAUCAAUUAAUUUUCGCCAUUUCUUUACAGUGUCACUUCGCGUGGGCACCAUUUUCAUGGGAGAGACGAUUGCUGCGUUGACGCCCAGGAAAGUGAGGACCCGCUGGUUGCAGGGAAACUUCAAGCCAACCGUGAAAAACGGAAUACGUGUUUUGCUUUCGACUUUUGGGGAAAUGGAGUUGAGUUUCUGGGAAAUUUCUCAAAGUCCAAAGAUUCUUCGGCACGAAAGGCAGGAGUACGAGAGAUUUUCAUGGGUGUUAUUUGAUUAGAAAUCAUUCGAUUUAUGCUAAUUGAUAUUCUUUUAAUGACGAUAAAACCCUAAUUUUGUAGGUGAAACCCAAGCCCAUUCAAAUUUUACAUAUACUAAACCCAAAAAUGUAGAAUUCAUAUAUUUUAGUUAAGGGAAAAUGCCACAAAAAAUCCCAAACUUUAUUAACCGUGACAUAAUUACUCCACCAAGAACAUUUUCGUCUUAUCUUUUCUAUUCUUGCUUUUUCUUUUUCUUUUUUUCCUUUUUCUCUCUCUAUCUUCUCGCCGCCAAGAGAAGAAGAAGAAAAAAAGAAUUUUUUUUUUUAUAAAAAAAAUAACGAAAAUAUUCAAUAAUUUAGAGUAAAUGUGUCACACAAAUACAAGUUCAUGAAUUUUUGUGUCACAAAAAAAUUUGAGGUAAAUAUGUCACGGUUAGCAAAGUUUGGAGUUUUUCAUGUCACAACAAAAAGUUUUUGAUAAAUUUGUCACUUUAGGCAAAAUUUGGGAUUUUUGAUGGUUUUUGAGUUUGUAAGACAAAAAGGUUAGGAAAAAUAACACCAUAAAUGCCAUAACUUUUGUACAACACUCACUUAAGUACUAUAACUUCUUCUUUUUUGGAUUAUUUGAGUGAUAUAACUUUUGUUGGGCACUACUUAAAUGUCAUAACCUUUUUUUUCGAUCACUUGUUCCAUAACUUUUUAAAAUCAUUCACCAAGUGUUGAAAAUUUGACUUGAUAUAAUAUGCUUGAUGAACAUUUUUAAAAGUCAUAGCACUUAAGUAAAGUUAUGACACUCAAGUAGAUUUUCUUUAAAGGUUACAUCACAUAAAUAAUUGGGGAAAAAAAUUAUGGCAGUAAAGUAAAUGUCUUACGAAAAUAAUGACAUAUAGGGUAUUUUAUUUGUCAAAAGUUGCAUUCAGUCAUAUAGGAACAAAGCUCCAAAAAUAUUAUAAUACUAGUGAAAGCUUACCAACUAUAGAUGGUUUGAACAUGACUUUCAAGACCAGGGACAUCAAUAUGUGCAACCAUAGUAGUGUGUUUGGUUAGCAUUUAGCAAGUUGGGUAGCCACCUAACCGUUGUGUACUUGGAAUAUUUGGGGUGAAAUGGUAAUGUCCAUAUCACCACUGGAAGGCAAGGCAUCGAGAAACUUAUUUUUUACCAAGGAAAAUUUUAAGAGAAACUCAAUUAUCUUAUAGUCCAAAAAUUGGAAAUUACGAAAUUAUAAGUAAAUCAUUAACUACAAAAUGCAACUUAACUUAUAUUUAUAAAUUAUUUAUGAUUAAACAUAGAAUUAAUAAUAUGUUGAUAUGCAUCGAUGAUGAUUGAUCAACAAAAGAAUUAUUCCAUUGUUUUUAAACAAUGACUGGUAAAUUAAUUUAAAUUACUAUCAUGAUAAUGUACUAUGGAUAUCUAAAUCUAAAGGAAAUGCAAUCAUACUGUAAAAUCUAUGUUAAAUAUUGUUAUUUUUAUUGCAUUUUAUUCUCAAUUUGGUUUUCAUAAAAGUUGACGUGGCAUUUUUCAUUUGUGUUUAUUUUAAGAGAGGCGCUUAUGAGGAUGCUAAUGCCAAAUGUUCAAUUUUCUAAUCAAGAUAUGAAAAAUUGUUUGAAAAUUUUGGAGAAAUAAAGAUCUUAAAAAAAGGAUAGAAAAAUCAGACAAGAAAUCAUUCUUAAGAGGUGCAAAAGUCUCCAUCAAGUAGCUUGGAACAUCAUUUAUUUAAAAAUUAAAAAAAAAAGCUCCAAACAGUGUUCAUGACGGUGGAGAUUGCAUUUGUUGUUGCAUGAAUUCAUCCUACCAUAAUCAAAUUUAAUUCGUGAAAUUUAAUCUGCUUUUGGUUUCGUGUGAAAUUUAUUUGCCCACGUCAUUGACGAAGCUCUUGAAGAAGCAUGGGAAGGUGGUAGAGAGGGCCAAGUUGGCUUUGCCGAAGUCCGGCGAGGAACGUUGGCCAACCACCGUCCUUCUUGGUUCUCCACUGUUUGACUCUUUCUCUUUCUUCCAAAUAUUUUUUUUUCCAGGAUUUUAUUUCUAGAAAUCCUGGAAUCAAUUUUUUUCCCUUUUUCUUACAUUUUUUCUUAAAUUUUGCUGACAUGGCAGACAUUUCAAUGCCUCUAUCUUCAGAAAAAAAAAAUCAUGUUAUUUUCUCCCAUUAGGUGAAUUGGACAGAGUUAAUAGCAAGAUUUGAUUACGCAAAUUUAAUAAGUUUUAAAAUUUAAUUGCCCUUUUUGAAAAUUAUAGAAUAUGAUUGCACCUUUACAAUGUACUUUAAGACUUAUGUUUAUCUCCCCUUAAGAGAUAAUAACACAAAUGAUCAUUGAACUUGACUCAAUAUGUAAUAUUAUUCCUAAAUUUUUAAUUUGUUUGAUGUGAUCUCAAAAUUAUUUAUAUUUGUUCAAUUUAAUUUUUAGACUAAAUUUGCCAUUUCCAUAUAAUUUAAAAAUUAGAUUGAACCAUAUUAAUAGUUCAUGACUGCAUUAUAUAAAUUAGAGCUUAAAAACAAUAUAACAUAUUUGGACAAAGUUCAUCAAAUUAAACGACUUAAAAAUUUGGGGGUUAUUUAUGUCAUUUUUUCCAUUUUUUUAAAUCAAAAACUCUAGAAACUUAAGCACGACACAUAGAUUCACAUAUAAUCUUUUGAUAAUUUUUUGAAAUUUGAACAAUAAUAUAAAAUAUAACAAAAAAGUAAAAAAAAAAAAAAACUAUUUUUCACUUUUUUUUUAUAACUCCAGACCAGCAUUAAAUCAAUUACUUUUCGCCAUUUCUUUACAAUGUCCCUUCGCGUGCCGGAUGUUAUAAGAGUAAUAAGAUGCAGAGGACACCUUUUUCACGGGAGAGACGACUGAUGCAUUGCCAUGUUCUUCAGCGAUAUCCUCCCAACCAUCCAUCACUAUGUCUCUCUCCUCGCAAGAUGCGUCUCCAAGAAACACCUGAAGCUCGGCAUGACCGUCCACUCCCACCUCAUCAAGACCGCACUCGCCAGCGACUCUUUCCUCGUCAACCAUCUCAUUGGCAUGUACUCCAGAUGCUCUUCCAUCCCAAGCGCCCACAAGGUUUUUGAUGAUCUUGAUAUAAAGAACAGUUACUCUUGGAACACCAUCAUAUCUGCAUAUGCCCGGAUAGGCGAUUUCAAUAAAGCACUCGUCUUGUUCGAUGAAAUGCCGCAGAGGGCUCUUGUCUCUUAUAAUUCCUUGAUUUCUGGGUUGUCCCGUCAUGGGUUUUAUGUGGAGUCUCUGAGCGUCUUCAUGCAUAUGCAACAAGAAUAUGAUUGGCUAUUCAUGGAUGAGUUUACUUUUGUGGGUGUUGUGGGUGCCUGUGCUCACUUGGGUGCAUUUAAGUUCUUGCGCCAAGUUCAUGGAGUGGCCAUCGUAAUGGGCUUGGAAUUUGCUAAGAUAACUUACAAUUCCCUGAUUGAUGCUUAUGGUAAAUGUGGUGGAGUCGAUAUAUGCCGUGUCUUGUUCGACGUUAUGCCUGAAAAGGAUGUCGUGUCGUGGACUUCCAUGGUUGUUGCUUAUACGCGAGCUCAUAACAUAGGUGAUGCUUGUGCAAUAUUCAACAGUAUGCCAGCGAAGAACACAGUCUCUUGGACUGCACUGAUCUCAGGCCUUGUGCAGAAUGGCCGUGGUGAUGAAGCUUUGGACCUUUUUGUUCAAAUGCAUGAGGAAGGAAUACAGCCAAGUCCUCAUACUUUUGUCAGUGUUCUAUGUGCCUGUGCUGAUCGAGCACUUGCUGAAAGAGGCAAACAGAUCCAUGGUUGCAUCGUUAGGACCUGCUUUAAUGGAGAUUUGGAGAACAUAUUCAUAUGGAAUGCUCUAAUUGACAUGUAUUGCAAGUGUGGUGACAUGAGAUCAGCUAAGAUCUUAUUCUUGAGGAUGCCAAAAAGGGAUAUUGUUUCAUGGAAUUCGAUGAUAACUGGGUUCGCACAAAAUGGGCUGGGGCAUGAGUCACUUGUUUUUCUCAGGACCAUGCUAGAGACAAAUGCAAGACCCAACCAUGUCACGUUUCUUGGCGCUCUAUCUGCUUGCAGCCACACAGGUCUAGAUAUUGAAGCGCUUCAGAUUUUCAAUGCAAUGGAAAAGGAUUACAGCCUUCAACCCAGAUUAGAUCACUAUGCUAUUUUGGUCGAUCUGCUCGGGAGGAAAAACAGACUUGAGGAAGCCAUGGAGUUAAUAGAGAUUGUCUCAAACAAAUCAAACCAUGUUGGAAUGUGGGGUGCACUUUUAGGUGCAUGCAAAGUCCAUGGUAAUCUAGUUAUUGCCCGAAAAGCUGUGGAUGCUCUACUGAAUUUGGAACCCCAAAAUGCUGCGAGAUAUGUCAUGAUAUCAAGCAUAUAUGCUGCAACUAACAGAUGGGAUGAUUCCUGCAGAGUAAGGAAGCAGAUGGAGGAGAGAGCUUUAACAAAAGAUGUGGCAAACAGUUGGAUUGAGGUAAAGAAUGAAAUGCACAAAUUUCCAGCAAAGGACCAAUUCCACUAUCAGAUGGGAGACUUAUACGAAGUGCUCGGGAAACUAGCAUAUCAUAUGAAGGAAUCUGGAUAUGUUCCUGAGCCCAACUUAAGACUCAUCUUAGCUAAUUAUGAUGAUGAUGGUGGGUAAUGAAUACAAAAAGGGUUCAGACGGAAGAUGCUGGAGAAAAAAUAGAAGGCUACAACUGCAAGGUGAUAGUUCUCGUACUAAUGAACAAUUCAUACCUUCCUGGAGAACAUCAAGUCAAAGAUACCAUGAAGUUUCAGGAAGGACUUAUGGUCCACAGAAAAUCGGGCAUCAUGAAAGCCUCUCGUUGUACCUGGAGGUUUUGCGUGAGGUAGGUGGAGAUUGCUCAGAUGCUAUCUGGUAAUGGCAUUCUGUGUACAUAUUUUCGGAUUCUGACCUCAUUGUGUCUGGAACAAUGGAAAGCGUCUACCUUGCCAUUAUUGGUUCUUUUGGAUGCUGCCUGACCGGAUCAAAUUUUUCUCUUGGGUUAUGUCCAUAUCCCUUUGAGGGAAUAGAUAGUACUGCAAAAUUUUUCUCUCAGGUUAAACAUGAUGUCCCUGACCAUGGCGUGACCUGGAACAUCUCUCAGAACUAUAUACAGCUUGAAGCUCCAUACUAGUCAUUGUCCCGUGAUUUCUUGUCAGGCUUAUGCUUCCGCAACAACCAGUUUACAGCUGACAAUUUUCCAUGAAGUGUUGAUGAAAGGUCUAACUACUACAAAUCUGGGAUGGAGUUCCAUUCUUUGUUUUCUUCUCAAUGAGUGUUUAUUGUUCUUCAGGAAUUCAGGAAAGUAUGUGCAUGGUCAAAUAGAGGUUAUUGGCUAUGAUUUUUUUAGUUGUGGCUGAUGGUUUCAUUAUUGUCCUAUGGGAUCGCUUAGGAGCGACCUGUAUUUGUUUGUGGUGCUGGUCUGCUCCCAACAGUAGAAAUUACCUCAGGAUUUGACUGUACACGUACAACUCAUGGUAUUUUCUUCUACAUCUUGACAUAACUACAUCAAGAAACCAGAGUGGAUUUUUUAAAUCAUGCUAAGGACAGAUGUAUUUGUUGACAGAAGGUGUAAAAUAUUUUGCAUGCAAGGCACUGUGCGAGCGUCAUUGCAUCAGUUGAUUGAGGCAAUUGGAAUUGCCGUCUGUAAUGCAGUUGUUCCAACAUCCCUGAUUAUUUUUGGCCCCUACUUAUGCCAUGCUUCAGUUUCUUCCUUUGCAUCCGAACUACUUUUUCUGUUUUGACAAUUGAGUACUCUCUUUCCGAUGGAAGAAACAAACAGCUGUAGAGGUGACGAUUCUCUUAGGGUAAUCUCCUAGCAAUGUGAAAUAAUAGAAUUUACUAGCACAUCUGGGAAAUUACCAUCAUCCACUGAAAACUACAAAUGUAAGAUAAAAUAUCAUUGGCUUUAGCUCAUGGAUUUGUGGAAUUUUUCGCUAUAAGAUAUAUACAUGUAUAUAAUAUUUUUUGGUUGGAAGAAUCCCAGGACAACACUUAUUCUCUGCAAGGUCAAUCCUUAAUUUUCUAAGCAAGGGAUGGAUGGAGCACUCGAGUACUGUGAAUUUUGUAUACGAAUCUAAGAAGAUUAUCAAGUUAAAUUAGUCUUCGCAAGAAUGAGCUAGAUUUUUAUAGGUGAUAUGUCUCUUUCAAAUGUUUGUGGUCUAGACAAUUUCCUUAUUAAAAGAUCCUGUGGAUGUCUUAGUAAUCUUGGGUUUCAGUUUCAAAAUUCAAACAACUACAUCUUUCAUGACCGUCCGCAACCACUUGAUCUUGCUAUUUAUAUGUACUUUAUUCUAAUGUGCACAAUAUACAACCAUAAUGGUGCCUCUGGUUAUAGAUUCGAAAUGAGUCUGCAAUACGGUAACUAAUAGUAAUGCUAUAAGUUACUAUUUUACUUGGUUUGUUACUAGAAUAAUAAAGGUAUGAUAACGUCCAAAUUGCUUCAUCAUCGUACCUAACUAUUUUACUUGGUGUGUUACUAGAAUAAUAAAGGAAUGGUAACGUCCAAAUUGCUCCAUCAUCGUACCUAUUCUUUCUCCCUCUGCCAAGACCGCCACCAUGGCUAGUGAUUGCUCCUCAUGAGGGGUUGCCGCCUUGUAGGCAGUGGGUUGCUAGCGGGGUUGGUGGUGGUGGGCCAAUACCGGUAAGCCAGCAUGGGGCGAUGGUGGCCGUUAAUGUUGAGCAGCAAUGGUCUUUAGUCGUGUGCGGGCAAUCCAAAUAUCCCCCGAGAUUAGGAAUAAUAUUUUCGAAGCGCUCUAUUCCAUUUAGCUCCGUAGAUACAAUUACCACUUGUGAGUAGGUAUUACCAUAAGCUGAAUACGUAAUGACAUGUGAUCGAUGUCUUUCUUUAAUCUUUUAAAAAAUCAAAUUCAUAUCGAAUACCGGCGAGAAUAAAGGAAAAAAAAAUCCAAUUGGCAAGGAAGUGCCAAAUUCGAUGUCAUGUGACCUUUUGGACGCGAUAUGAGAGAAAAUAUGGGAUGGGUUCCUGGAAGACGUCCGUCAUGGGGAUCCAUGAAAGUCCAUGAAAAACCGUUCGUCCUGAAGAUGUUUUCUUCAUUUCAACAUAGCAAUCCUCAAAAUUCUUCUGUUACUUCUGAUUUACUACUUGUAGGUCAAUAUUUCUCCUCCAUUGGAUUUGACAGGAAAGAAAAUGGCACUCGGUCAGCCUAGUUAUAGCAUAGAUGAAAGUUCCAGAGAGAGACUAUUUUAGCAUUGUUUCCGCCUCUCCGUGUUUUUAUUUAAUGAUGUUUGGGGGGUAAUUUGAUUUUAAAAAAAAAAUUGAAGCGACAAAGAAAGAGGUUUCUUUUGUCAAGGCCGCGUUCAUGUUAUUGUCCUUUUUCUCUGCAAUGUGAAAUGUACGGGCAGGUAUUAUUAGCCAUACCUAGCAAUUUCACCAGCUUAGUCUAUGUGGGGACACAAUCCCAUGGUUCCAUAACUUUGAAUAAACACACUAAAUUAGCACCAAAUAUUUAUUUAUUUAUUUAUUUUGCAACAUGAAUUGGCCCGCCCACAAGUAAUCCGGUGCGGGCUGGGCUGAUUUUGCACCAGAGUUGCUCUUCAACUUUACCGGUAGCGUUAGUAAUUCACUUAUGACACCGAAAUUUUUUCCAAAAGAGUCGGUAAUUUACCAAUUUUUAUAAUUUACUAUCUGUUUACCUAAUGAGCAAGUAACCACUCAUUUUCUUUUACCUAACAAUUCCAUUUUUGCUGUUAAUCCCAUCCAAAAAUUCAAAUUAUGAAACUAGAAAUGAAGUCAUGAAUCCACUCUGAAGCUGCUGUAGAAAUCUGUAUCAAGUUAUCAAAACUAAAGAACACUUGGUGACCAUUGCACAUGAUCAUUAGCUAGGGAGCGUUUCAAGUUUAUGCUAGACCCAAUGUCUAGCCCCUCCUUCAUUUCUUCAAUGUGAAAAUUCUCAUGGAAAAUCAGCAACAAUUAAGUGAAUAUAGUUGCCAAUGUCUGACUGAAUUCGCAACACUGAAUGCAACACAUUCUCAGGGUAAUGUCUCGAGAACAUUAACAUCUACGAAUCAAUUCAGCAGCAAGUCAUCUUGAAUCCUUGAUGAAUUUCUUCCAUGACGAGAUUAAUCACUAAGCACACCCGCUAAAAUAUUAGGAGUACGUAGGACCAAAACAGACCAAGAGAAGAAGAGAGAAAUUGCAGAACCAAUCGAUUGUAUUAAGGUUCCAUCCCUUCCAGGACAAUAUUUUGGCUUUAGCUAGACCUUGGAAACCUCAGAAGGAUAAACGAUUUCCCCUUCUCAAACUAUUCCACCCGUAAGGUUUGGACUAGUUAGCUCCUGAAGGGAAAAAAUCGAUCCCCUAAUUGGUGCAGAAGUGAACUGAUGCAGAGGAGUUGCAAUGUUUUUCGAGAGCACGCGACUUGGUUUGGCUUAAAGCUAUUACAAUUGGAGGAGUUCAAUUGAGUCACAGCUCACGAAGGAGUUCAAUGGGAGGCUGUUUUCAUUGCAUAGAACUCAAUUCAAUCCCACUCUUUUCUUAAUCUACCACUAGUCGAAUCAAAAUUCACAGACAAAACCCAAUUAAGGCAGAGCAGAAACAAAAUAAGAGAAUCACCAGAAAAGGAGUGGGUGACGAUGAAGAAUCAAAUUAGACAGCUGCCGAGUCUGAAUGAAAAUGCAGGAAACCAAAUAAAGAUGCAGAGAAGGGAGAAACCCUUCUUGGCCUUAGUCAGCUGCAACCAAAAUGACAAAAAAUAAAAUAAAAUGAAGGCUUUCCAGACAAUCUAUUAAACCCUGGGGGAACAGAUCGGUUGGCAGGAAGACGCGGUCGCUUUCCCGGAGGGAAAUCUUCGCCAGGUCGAGUCGCGUCUCGUGCUUCCGCUCAGUGUCGCCGUUGAGGGCCUUGAUGGUUGGGGUCCGUUGCUGCUGCUCCUGGGCGAGCUCCUUACUCGGGUCGUCGCUGAUGAGGGAGGAAGAGAAGGAAGAAGAAGGAAAGAAUGUGAGGAGAGACAGAGAGAGAGCAACGGGAGAAAAAACAAAACAAAAAAAUAAAAAAAGGAGAAAAAAGUCGAAAUUUCUUAAGAGUGGGUCCCACCUAUACACACGUCAUUUGAGAAAAUAUUCCUCACCACCACUCUAGUAUGGAACAUUUUCUCCGUGACUUCCUGCCCACCACCCUCGGCUUAUCCGGCUUUCCGUCAGGAUCCUCGCUUUUUUCAAAUCCCUGUACUCAUCGGAUUCCAGAAUCUCCUCCAAUCUCUCACAUCCUCUUAUUAUUAAAUCCUCUAGCUCCUUGAAGCUUGAAGGAUCAGAAAAUUGUCGCAGAGACUCGCAGCCCCAAAUUUCAAGUCUUUUCAAUGAUUCUAGCCUACCUCGAAUCUCAACCUGACGAGGACAACGCCUUAUCUUGAGACCCUCGAGCUCCUUGGCAUUGGUUAGGUCAGGCAACUUCUCUAGCAACGGAAGAUCCCCCACACAUAACACCCUCAAGUUCUCCGAAACUUCCGGGCCUUGAAUCUCUUCUAGCUUCUGACAUUCAUCUAUAUAUAAUGAUUUUAUAUACUUGAAACUUAAUGGAUUAGGCAUCUUUUCGAGUGAUUUACAGUUAAAUAAAGUGAGGUCCUCCAACGAUUCUAGCUGACCUCUAACCUCAACCAAUUUAGGACAACUUUCUAUAUGAAUUCUUCGGAGCUUCUUCGAGUUGGUCAGGUCAAGCAACUUUGCUUGCGACACAAGACAACUAAGACGAAGCUCUUUUAGGUUCUUCAAAUGUUCGAGACCUUGAACCUGCACACAAUUAUAGACUUCAAAAAAUGAUAACUUCUCCAAAUAUGAAAGAUUUAUCACUGCAUUGUCCAUUAACCUGCCCCCAUAUAUCACAAAGUAUGACAAAUUCUGGGGAAGCCUAGGUGGGCAUUCUAGUUGAUGUACACAGAGUUUAAGCUUCCCGAGCUUUGAAAGGAGAUUAAAAUCUGAAGGUAGGGUGAUCGGAUUAUCGUAACGCAACCACAAGGUUUCUAGCUUUGUUAGCCCUCCGAUCCAAUCGAGACUUGUAGCUAGACAGGAAGGGGUUUGAUACCUUGAUUCCAAUGUCAAAACUCUCAAAUUUAAUAGAUUCGAGAGAUUUGGGCAUCUCAUAUUUACAUUAUAUUCCAGGUAUAAAUCGGUCAUACUUUCAGGAAGCUUAGGUAUAUCGGAAACUCUCGAGCUCGAUAACCUCAAGAUUCUUAGAAAUGAUAGUCUUUCAAUCUCAUUUGGAAUUUCCCCACACAAAUUUCUACAACUGUCAACAUGGAUCUCUUCAAGCUUCUCCAACAACCCAAGGGCACCAGGUAGCUUUUCUAAGGGGGUGUGAGACAUCCUUAGUACUCUCAAAUUCUUCAUCGUCUUUAUUAAAUCAGGUAACUCUCGUAAGCUCGACUGAGAAAGAUUCAACUCAACGAGAGACCCAAAAUUUCCAAAUGGAAGUUCACUAAUACUUGUUUCUGACAAGUCAAGAUACAAUAGUGAUGUUGAGCAACUAGCUAAAUUGCAUUCACUUAGUAAUUUACAGUAAGUUGUACUAAGGGUUUCCAUUUUCUCCAUUCCUUUCCAUUCAGGAAAAUUGGUAAUAGAUGUCCUACCAACACGAAGUUCUGUCAAGGCUUUCAGUUCCUCCAUCUCGUCUGGCAAUGUCUGAAGUUCCCUACAACCUUCCAAGUUUAAUAAUACUAAAUGCUUUAACUUACCAAUAGACUUAUCAACUUGAACCAGUUUGUAGCACCCUUUAAGAAUCAGUUGCUCUAAAUUUUUAUGAUCAGAAAAGUUAGGAGUCCUAUGCAAGUUGUAGCAUCCAGUCAAAUUUAGAACCUUCAACUUUUUUGCCAUCUGUAAUGAAGAGAAGAGGUUAAUUUGGAUCGUUUUGAGAUACGGGACAGCAAAGUCAAUAUAGCAAAUUCAUGUUGAAAUAAUACCGUACCUUGAGGUGGUUCCAUCCCUCCCACUCAUAUGUAAUUUUACUCCUUGAUAGAUCAAGAAUCGCUAGCUUCACGAGGGAAAAUGCGGUGAAUUGGAAAAAGAUGGGAAACUCAUGCCAUGAGAUAUACUUCAAAUUUUGAAGGAUGGGUAGAUUCCUCUGGAACGAGUUGGUUGAAGGAAAAUACUGAAUGAAUUUAGACCAUGAGAGCCAUCUCAAAUUCAGAAGGGUGGGUAGAUUCCUUCUGAACCAGUUGGUAAAAGAAAAAUGCCGAACAUUGUUCAUAUCCAAGUCCCCACACUCCACUUGAAGAAACCUUAAAUUUGGUAGACUUGCAAAUUCUUCUUUCUUAAAAAAGCAUCGAGAUUGAUGAUCAAACGUGAGACAUAUUGCUUCAACGUUUUUUGUUCCCUGCCAAAGCAAAAAAGGGAAACAUAAGCUGGUUAUCAUAUAAUCACCAGUUGAAGGCAUUCAAGUUGAACAUGCUCAAGGACUCAAGGAAUGUACAUCUUAUUCAUAAUUGAAACUAAUUUAAAAUAUAAUUUACAGAUGAGCAUGUGAUCAUAGUAACCACACAAGUAACGACUUGGUUUAGAUAGAAGCAAAUAAGCCAAAUCAACGUGUAUAACUUGUCUCUUUGGAUAGGAAUAACAUUGCAAACACUUUACCUCCUUCAUUUGAAGAACAGCAAUUGCUUCCUCAUGAUUCCACACCCGACUCUGCUUCUCCGGUUUUAAAUUAGCUCUUUCACGAACGAUGUCUCGCCCAAGGUCUCUUAGUUGAUCAUGCACCCAUAGUCGGUUACCUUCUACAAUCUUUAUUAACGACCUCUGUUCAAGGACUUCAAGAGAAUAUUCAGGGGAAAACUUAUAGCUGUCCCAUAUGUGAAUCACAAUUCUCACAUCAUACCCAACAAAGAAGCAACAAAUAUCAAGAAAUAUUUCCUUCUCUUGAGAUUCUAAUGCCUCGAAACUGAUGUUCAACUUACUUUUAACAUUUCCAUUUGGAAUAGUUUCCAGCUUCUUCAAUGUGAUCUCCCAAAUUCUCCUCUCUUUUCCAUUUAAAAGUGAACCUAUAGUUUUAAGAGCCAAAGGAAGACCAUCGCAGAUUUUUAGUGCUUUUUUGGAGAGGGGAACGUAUUCUGCUGGAGGAUUGUCUCUUCUAAAGGCAUGUUUGCUAAACAGUUUAAGAGAAUGUUUAAAAUCCAUUUUGAUAAGUUCAUGCUGAAAAUCAACACCUUUGAGAAGUUCCUUGUCUCUUGUAGUAAUAAUAACCUUACUUCCUCUACCGAACCGGCAUUCAUCCGCCCCCACAAGAGCAUCCAGCUGAGUCUUUUGGUCGACAUCAUCAAGUACAAGUAAGACUGUUUUAGAGAACAACCUCUCCUUGAUCUCAGUAAUUCCUUCAUUACCGUUAGUGAUGGACAUGCAACUUGUUCGUAGGACUUUAGAGAUGAGUUGAUCUUGCAAAGUCUCAAUCUUUGUAUCUCGAACAUUUGACAGGAAGCAACAGUUAUAAAAAUCAGCUGAUAGUUUAUUAUAGAUGAUUGUGGCAAGAGUUGUCUUUCCGACACCACCCAUACCAUGUAUACCAAUAAUCUGUGUUUCAGUGGUCCGUUCACCUAUCACUUCCAUGAACUUGUCCACUUGAUUGUCCAUUUCAACCAAGCAAUUAGACACUGCCAAGGAGUUCUUUUUCAACUUGAUCAAAAGCAUCUGGACAACUUCUUUUGUGAACUCGCCUUUGCCUCUGGCAGUAUUGAAGGCAAUAGAACCAAACUAUUAAAUCAAGAUGAAUAGAAUAAUAUCUAAGGUACAAACAAACCAUGCACAAUAAUAAAUUCAAGUACCUUUGCUUGAGUUUCCAUCCCUUUAAUGAUCCAACCUUGUUGAGAGCUGCCUUCCAGUUUUGAAUAGUCUCAUCAGUAUACAGCUGCUUAGUUAUGUGUGACCGAAUGGCCUUGCCGUAACUUGCAAUCUGGUCACGAACCUCAGAUGGUUUAACGUCAUAGAAAAUCUGCAUGAUCUCUUGUCCCCACUUUUCCUUGCACUCCACCAUCUGGACCAACUCCAUUAGGCACCAUUCACUCUCAGCAUAUCUUUCAGAAAAGAUAGGAAUUGAGAUUUUCGAUUGCUUAAUCGCUUGGAGAAGCUCUGGGCCAAUCUCUUUCCCAACAUGAAGCUGUUCAUCAUCUCUAAAUGCUCGUAUUCCGACAUUUGUGAGGCUGUGGUAAAGGUAAUCAGCGAUGUCGUUGCGAGUAUCAGAUCCUCUAAAACUCAAGAAUACUUCAUAAUAAGGCUCCACUGGCUUCUCCAUUUCUGGAAUUUUCAGAGGACUUGCAACGUCUUGAUAUCCCACCUGAAAUAUUCUGUUUUAAGUCAUUCUAGAAAAGAACCUUGAUGACAAAUGCAUGAGCUCCUUCUAGGGCCUUGCACUAGACACCAAAAUAUGUCCAAAUAUUUUAUUAACAGUACGGUAGAGAAGUGGACCCAUCUCGAUUCUAAAGGAAGAACUUUCCAAAGUAUUGCAGAAAUUAUGAAUUUUAGUCACACUCGAAAUUGAUUUGAAAAAAAAAAGAAUAUUUCACGCAGAGAUAAAUCACUGUUAACCUAUUUUUGUCUUGAACUCUUUCUUUAGGUGAUAAAAUUUCUCUUGAAAGAUGACGUUGAAUGUCCUUUGCACAUAAGCACCUAAAGUUGCUUGUAGCUUGACUAACUUUGUCAUUAUCUAAUAAGAAAUUAUAAUAAAACCUUCCUCUAUUAGUUUAACCAAAUUAGAUUGGACAAAGACAUUCCACAACACUCAAUUACUAGCUCCCUCGACCUUUACAGAUGCGGGCAAAGAGUUCAUUCCCCUACGACAAUCUCAUUAGAAAAAUGAAAUCAAGAAAUUACAAUAAAGCAAAUGCAACUCUCACCACCGGACUAGUUUGUAAAGAGCAUAAACCGAUCCCUAAUUACAGCCAUCUCAUAGGAUAUAAAAAAAGAAGAAAAAGAUACACGGUCAUGGGCGAGCAUCAGUUAGGCUUGAAGCUAUUAUCCACAUUUGCCAGAAAGUACCAGCAUAUCAGAAAAAAAGGAUUUAAUUACUAAUAAAUUAUGGAGCUAAUAAGGGUGUGCAUGCAAACGUUUCUGUUUCUCAUGGUUUCUGUUCUUUUGUUCCCCGGAACAAAAAAAGAACAGAAACCUAUUUGCUAACGCCACAUUGUUUUUUUGUUCCCGGGAAUAAAAACUUAGCCCGGGAAUGCUUUGGGAACAGAAACAAGAAGCAAAAAAAAGUUGCUUCUUGUUCCCGGGAACAAUUGCUAGAAAUAAGCUGAUUUUCUUUUUUAAUUUUCUUUUAUUUCCUUUUCUUGCCGCGACCACCGUCAACCGCCCGGAGCCACCGCCCACCGCCGCUGCCGCCGGUCGCCGCCGCCGGUCGCCUGCCGUCCGGCGGCCGCCGGUAGCCGGACGUCGCCGCCGCCGACCGCCGGACGUCGCCACCAUCCGCCGUUCGCCACAGUCACCGGCCGCCGCCGUCCGCCGCCGUCGCCGGUUGCCGCCGGUCGCCGUUCGCCGCCCGCCGGCAGCCGUCUCCGGCCUCCGGUCGCCGCUGCCGUCCGCCGUCGCCGCCGCCUCCGUCCGCCGGUCGCUGUCCCCGGCCCGCCAGCCGCCGCUGCCGCACGACCACCGGCCGCCGACCGUCACCGUCGGGCGCCGCCGGAAGCCCAUCGGCCGCCGACGACGGCCGGUAGCCGACGGUCCCAUGGAAAUAGAAUCUUGAUCCUUCUAAUUUUUAAAUGACCAUGGUUCAUGUCAUACACCAACAUAAUGCCAAUCAAUGAAAUGAUGCAAAUCAUGUAUACAUGAAGAUCAUCUCAAUGGGAAUAUAAAUUAAUAUCCCAGUUUCAAAAUGCAAUGAAAAGAAUCACUAACUUGAUAUACUCAACUUUAGACAANNNNNNNNNNNNNNNNNNNNNNNNNNNNNNNNNNNNNNNNNNNNNNNNNNNNNNNNNNNNNNNNNNNNNNNNNNNNNNNNNNNNNNNNNNNNNNNNNNNNCGGCAAUCCGUCGGCAAGAUUAACAAAUGAAUAAAUACACAAAGACAUUGUUGCGUUAUCAAACGCACUUCUAUUCUUUUUCUAUUUCCAAGAGUAGAAAUUUUGUGUCGUUAUCAAACGGGGUUCUUUUACUCAGAAAAUUGUUCCCCGGAGCAGAAAUAGAAACGAACCAUUUCUGAAAAAAAACUCCUCCCCGGAACAGAAACGUUUGCAUGCGCUACCUAAGAUUUCAACAGAAAAUAGAAGCAUGAAUGGUAUAUAACCGUUUUUCCAGAAAAUAAGUUGGAACACACAGGAGUGUAGGGAUGAGCUAGGUAGCACAGACACGUUCAAAGGGCCUCCGUGUCAUGUUGAACACCCCGACAUGUGUCCGACACGCUCGGACACGCUCGAACACGUGGUCAACACGUGUCUGAGUUUCCGACACGUGGUCAACUCUUUCCGACACGCGCAUCGGAGCGUGUCCGGAGGUUUGUGGGCGGAUCCGCAGGUGCGAAGGGAAGAAAGUGAUGGAGGGUGAAGGCAAGGGUGAGGGAGCUGAGGCGAUGCCGCGAGCGACGACGAGGGAGGGCUCCGACCGUCGACUGCAAGGGCUUCGACCGCCGACUGCAACACUGAGAAGCUUUCUCGAUCGUCUUGGAUGGUUGUGACUGCCAACUGCAACGUCGAGAUGGAAAACGGAAAGGUUGCGAUGGAGGGCUGGAUGCGAGGCUACGACGGCAAAGGGGGGAACGGAGGCGAGGCAGCGGUGAGAGAGGUGGAGACCGAGCGAGGGAGAGGAGAAAGAAGGCGAUCGCCGAUUGCUAGGGUUUUCAAUUUUUGGAAGAAGAACAAGGAGAGAGAGGAUGUGUCGACGGCUAUGUAGCACCAACAUGGGACACGACACGAGUGUCCGACACGACACGACACGUCGACACGUUAUUUCUAAAAAAUAGAGAAUUCCGACACGUUGCGACACGUUGUAUAUUAAAUGAAUAUUUUUAUUUUUAAUUAAUUUGAUUCAAAUUCAUAAAUAAAUAAUUAAUUAAAAAAAGAGCCUAUAAUAAAUUUAUACUAAUAAUAUUAACAAAUCAAUUCAUUUGAAAUUCAAAAGAUAUAUUCAUAAUUAAUGCAAAAUGUUUUUUUAAUUUUAACAAAAGUUAUAUGAAACUAAAAAUUAAUAAGAAAUUAAAAUCAAUUUAUCUAAAUAAAUCCAUGAUUUUCUACCAUAACCAAAAUUUAUCAUUAUUCAAAAUUUAACAUUUUUAUUUUUCGAAAUCAUUUUUUAAUUUUAUUUAUUUAUUUUUCCGGUUAAAAAAAUAAUCCCCAAAAUCCAACCCUUCUUUCGUUCCUCCUUUUCCCUCCACCCCACGUUUAUUUUAAUUUUUUCCCUCCCCCCACUUGACAGUGACAGGUGAGCUGUCACUCCGUUCGUCGCUUCGUCUCGCCAGCGCUCGCGACCUCUGCUCCCUCGCCCUCCCUCGCCUCCACCCUCCAUCAGUCUUCCGGACAUGCGUCGACACGCGUGUCGAUAAAAGUUGACCGCGUGUCGGAAAAUCCGACACGCGUUGACCGCGUGUCGGAAAAUCCGACACGCGUUGACCGCGUGUCCGACCGUGUCCGAGCGUGUCCGACACGUGUCGGACACGACACGGAAGCAUGGACAACGUGUCCGUGCUUCAUAGGUCGACGGCUUCUUGGGGGAAAAAAAGAAAGCCUCGUGCAGUGCAGCGUGACUUUGGGAAGAGACGUGUGCAGGCGGUGGGUGGGGUGGGGGAAAUAAAUGGAUGGGACCAUUUAACCCUAAAAAGAAAUAUUAAAUAUUAAAUAAUUUUAUUUUUUUUGGCAAAAUCUGUAAAAAUUCUCUCUUUCUUUUCAAGACGAUGAGAGAAAUGGAUCGAGAGCCUUUGCGUACGUUGAAUAACUUUAUUAAUACAUGUCACUAGUAUAGAUUUAUUAUAGGCUUAUUUAUUUAUUUAUUUAUGAAUUUGAAUAAAUUAAUUUAAACAUAAUAAUUAAUCAUGUAUAUAUAAAAAUAUUUAUUUAAUAUUUAACGUGUCAAAAUUUUCUAUUUUUUGAGAAAUGACGUGUUGCGUGUCGUGUCGUGUCGCGUGUCCAUGUCGCCGUGUCUGUGCUACCUAAGGGAUGAGAGCUGCAUUUUACGAAAGCAAGAGAGUACCGGUUCACCACAAAGUGCAACAUUGUAGUGUAUUCAAUUGUCUUUACUGUUAAAUACAGAGUUGAGGGUACCAAUGUUCUGCCUAGGAGCAUUCUUACUGCUAAUCACGUGACAAUAAUGUACGAAUUUGUCAUAUCAAAGUCUCUUAAAGAUACCACUAUUUCUGUUUGAGCAAAAAAAGAAUAAAAUCCAAUUCGUAAUUACCAGAAUUUGUCGUAUCAACAGACCCAAUCAAAUUAAUUUAGCUUUUAGCCCCGGCCCAGUUCCUAAAGAGCGUAAAUCCGAUUCCUAAUUACAGAAAUCUCUGAGAUCUGUCGACAAACUAAUGCAUAGGAGUGGCAUUGCGUUUCAGGAUCUGAGGCCUGACAGUUGCAUAGAUGGAAGUGGAUGAGCACUGAGCAGGGUUUUAGCCUGCGACUCAAGUUAGAGGCUAAAGCUAUUAGUGUCAGACGCAACUGGCAGUGAUCAAUCAUGGAGUCAACUGAGGAAAGAACUGAUGCUGAUCCGAGAGUCCCUCUCUUGUUUCCAUCAAAUUCUGCACCUAGUUGCAUUACAGAACAGACCCGAUUUUAUUUAAAAGAAGGCAAUAAACGAGAGGAAAUUGCCGGAGAUGGAGGAGGUGAAGAUGAACAGGAUCAAAUGCUGAGAAGCAGACAAAGAUCCCAAGAAAAAGCAUUCUUUGACAGACCUCAUUCGAUUCAGCUUUCUCGAGGGCCCAAAACACUUAGGGAAAAUAUUAGGCGUUUGGUAAGUAUUUUUAAAAGUCCCUUAGCUAAACGUCAGCAGAAAUGGGAAUGCUGAAAGUAAUGGGAAUGCUGAAAGCUCAACGCAGGUCGAACCUGCUUUUGAGCUUUUAGCAUUUCAAACCUACUUUAUACUAAUCAUCCGCGUCACUGUUCACUUUCUUCCCGUUCAUCUUAAUCUCCACCGAUUUACCACCUAAGAGUUAGGUCUUCUCCGGCAACCACCGCUUGGGGUCGCGCGAUCCGCGACUCAGGCGACGCCACCUGAGUGCGUGACCUCAGGCCGCCAGAUCUGGCGGUUCGGAGGCUAGAUCAGGCCUCCGCGACCUCAAGCCGCCGAAUCUGGCCGUCCGGAGGCUAGAUCUCGUCAUCCGGUGGCCACAUCUGGCGGUCUGAAGGCCAGAUCUGGCCGUCCGGCGAUUAGUCGGCGGCGGCCAACAGCCAACCUACACCGAAUUAAGUUUUUAGAUUAAAAAAUUAAAAAAUAAUAAAAAACCUUUAUAAAUUGGGUUAAUACCUUGAAAAACCCCAAACUGGUACACCUGUGACAAAUUUACCCAAAACUAUUUUUUUAAUCACCAAAAACCCAAAAUUGGUAUACCAUUGACAAAUUUACCCUAAACUGAUAUACUUGUGAUAAAUUUACCUUAUGUUAGUUUUUGUUAAAUUUUACUAUUAAAUUAUUAAGUUAAAUGACACGUAAUAGUUCAUCGGUACACUGAUUUGGGAUUUUACGCUCCGUUUGUCACAGUUUACAAUAUUUGUGAUUUUUUUUGCGGCAUUAAUCCAAUUUAGGGAAUGGUAUAUUUGUCAUAAAUUUAUCAGUUUGGGGUUUUUUGCAAUCGAAUAAAUUAGUUUGGGAUAAAUUUGUCAUAAAUGUAUAAGUUUAGGAUUUUUUAUGGUUAGUCUGGAUAAAUUUGUCACAUGUGUACCAGUUUAGGAUUUUUUAUGGUAAAAAAAAUAGUUUUGGAUAAAUUUGUCACAUGUGUACCAGUUUGUGGUUUUUCAGGGUAUUAACCCUUAUAAAUAUGGAUUUUACAAAAUGAUAUUUAUGCUAAAACUAUUUUCUAAUAUUUGGCUCGCUGUGCCUCAAAAUGGGAGUCGGCUUUGGGCUUACCGUCCCUCUCGCGGUCUCGGAAGGUCGCGGGCUGAGCGGCGCCGAGGACGAUCGGGACUUUCUUCUGCUCGCAGAGGCAGGAGGGAGAGUAACAGCUCGGGUUUUGUUGCGCUUUAACUAGCUUGGGGCUUGGGAAAUGGACGGCCCUGAUUUCUCCGGCUACCAAAUGGAGAAUCCUCGCUGUCAAAUGAGAGGGCUGGUUAAGUUUCUUGGGCCUUGACGUUGGUGAUUGGAGAUGGGCAAGGCCCACAAUCCAUGUGGGUAAUGCAGCGCAUAAAACAAGCAGUCUGGCCCAAGGCCUUAAGAUCCACAGCAGAAGCAAUACGAAAAAACCCUUCUACGUUGGAAGCUUAGCCUGGAUUUAAUGGUAACACAAUCGAGAGAAGAAACAUUUGUACUGAUAUUUUCUGAUUAUUACAUAAGGAGCUUGCAAUAUACAGAGUUUUGAGUUGCUGGCCAACCACUGAAAUCAGGUGCGCAUCCAACAUUUACAUUCUCUACCAUUAACCAAACUCAGAAGUCCAAGAGAUAAAAGUAUCCUGAAAACAACAAAAAGAUACUCGGACAAGCUGGAUUCUGCAAGAUCAGACUGCCUCCUUUUCUUCGUAUCCUCCAUCGAUCAUCAGAACUCAGAGAAUCUUCUACCUUCUCACGCUUGUGUAUAUAAAAAGACUUUAGCUUCUUGAAGCUUGAUGGAUCCUGUUUAGUCUGCCUUGGAUCUCGACCACUUUAGGACAUCACUGCAGAUAAAAUUUCUGGAGCUUCUUCAAGUUGGUCAGGUCAGGCAACUUGUCCAUAGAUGGAACUCCUCCAAGCUUGAAGGCACUUGGGUUCUCCAAAACUCGGAGGCCUCUGAACUCUCUCACUUUAGGGCAAUGGGCAACUUCCAAAUCUGACAGCGCCUUUGAAUUUGAAAGGUCUAUUGAUGUUUUUAUUUCUCUGCAUGAUUCGGUAUUUAAGUACAGCAAAUUUGGGGGAAGGCCAGGUCGGCAUUGCAGCUUCUUGGAGGGGACCAGUUCCUGUUCCUUGAGCUAUGAAAGAACAAUGAUGUGUGAAGAUGGGACGACGAAAUAAUGAGAUUUCAACAGCAAGGAUUCCAGCUUCCCUAACCUUCCAAGCUACGAAGGACUUGGAGCUUCAAUGAAUUUGAAAGCAUCAUCAAAAUUGUCAAAACCUGAAUUUUACAUACAAUUUGAAUAUCGAAGUAAUAAAUAACUUAACAUCAAAUGAAUGUCUACAGUGAGAUCCUAACAGCAAGGAUUCCAGCUUCCCUAAACUUGUACAGAAGAUUCACCUUAAAAAUAUAUGUAGAAGCGCAAAUCUAAACGUCCCUAAACUCCAAACCGACCAAUAUGUAUAAUAUUUUUUAGGGAGUGAGUUUAAGUUCAGUAAAUGAAAGCUCUACUUCCAAAAUGGAAGACUUGGGGCACGUUUGGUAACGUUUCUGUUCAAAAAUUGUUCCAGGGAACAGAAAUAGAAAAAAAGUGUUUCUGUUCCGGGGAACAAUUUUUUACCAGAAAGAUGCGUUUGGUAAAUUUGUUCCGGGAAAAAAAAUGAAUAGAAACACGUUUGAUAAAUUUAUAUUCUUUUUUUGUUUCUUUUAAUUUUUUAAUAUUUUUAUUUUAUUUUUCCUUUUUUCCUUUCUUUUUUAUUUUUUCUUCUUUCGGCCGGUUGCCGGUCUUCGGCGACCGGCCGACGGGGCCGGCAGCCUCGCCCAGCCACGGCGAGGCUCGGCCUCGCCAGGGGCCGGAGACGCUUCGGCGAGGUCGCCGACCCUCGACAGCGUCGCCGGCCCUCGACAGCCAGUCGCUGGCCAUGGCCGAGGCCGGCGACCGGCCAAAGAAAAAAGAAGAGAGAAGAAAAGUGUUUCUUCAAAAGUGUUUCUGGAGCAAGAAACAAUUUUUUUUUGUUUCUCAUUUUUGUUCUUUUUGUGUUCCAGGAACAAAAAAUCUGAUUUUGAACAAAAACGCAAACAAACGCGUUUCUGUUCCUUUUUUUGUUCCCGGAAACAAAAAAAACAAAAUUUCUAUUCAUAAACAAAAAAAAAAGAAUGAAAACAUGCAGCCCAUUGACAACCAUUAUGUUCAAAAAAUAGUUUCUAGAAUAGAAAUAGAUUUUUCAAUUUCUAUUUCUAGAAGAGUUUCUAAGUAAAAAUAAUCGUUUGAUAACAACACAAAAUUUCUACUCUAAAAAUAGAAAUUCGUUUGAUAACGACACAAAUUUUUUUCCUUUCGGACAAUAAUGGACCGACAAUCAGCAAGGAUGGACGGCCGGUGGCGACCGGCGACUGGCGGCCGGCGGCGGCGGCAACCGGUGACUGGCGGUGGCGGGGCCGAUGGCGGCAGCGAGGUCGGUGGCCGGCAGCAGCGGGGGCGAAGAAUUUUUAUUUUUGAUUUAUAUUCAAGAAAUAGAGAAAUAUAAAAUUUUAGCUUUUGAUUUCUCUUCCAAACCUAUUUUUGAAAUAGUAAUCUAUUCCAGAAAUAGAAAAACUGAAUAGGUUUAGCAAACGGAUUUCUCUUCCAAAAACAGGUCUGGAACAGAAAAACUAUUGCUGGAACAGAAAUGUUGGUUAUCAUGCACCCCCUUACUCGCUACUGGACCCGAGCACACAACAAUAACAAUUAGCAAAUAAGGUCAUAUAUUAUUAUCAAUAGGAAAACCAAUAUUCACCUAAGACAGUGUAAUUCGUGCAUUAUAUAAAAAUGACUAAUUAUCUGUGCAAUGAAUAAAAUAGAUGCAAUGUAUGACAUUCAUUUUAACACUCAAAUACACACAAUUAAUUAUACCAAAUCUCAUAAUGCAUAGAUAUCAGUAGCUCAUCGAUAUAAACAAGUAAAUAUUUAUUCCCUACUUAUUACUAGCCACGACUCAUCUCGACUAACUCAACUAAUGAGAUAUCGUAACCACUGAAUAAUGCAAGACAAAAUCAUAAACACAUAUUUACCAUGCUUCAACCCAUUCAUCACAGGUAUCCUCCAACGAUGAUAAAUAUAGUACAAACGCAUAAUGAUGGCUAUCCUAGACUCAUUCUCAUCAAGAUUCAUACCCAUUUUAUUUCCUUUCAUUUCUCAAUCUUGGACCUCAAUUUCAUAAAUUCAUAUAUAGGCUAUUCAAGUCACAUCUGGUUAUACAAGUCAUAUAAUUCCAUGUAUAAAUCAUUCUACUUUAUGUCUUCUCAAUCUUAUAAAGAACGGUAGAACAUCUGUCUUUUCCCAGAAUCUUAUAUACAUACUCAGAAAAAUCAAUUAUAGUGUUGGUAUAUUGCCAACAACACUUGUAGAAUUUCAAUGGAGUUGGUAAUUUACAUGAUAUGGGAAACAAGCACACUUGGAGAGCGCACCGCAACAGAAAGUCGUAUGCUGUAUUCGAAAGUGGUGUUACUAAUUUACUUAUGAUACUGGUUAAAUUUCGAAUGAGUUGAUAAUUUACUACUUCAUUGAAAUAUUAGUAAAUUUCUGAUAAGUGUUAGUAAUUCACCUACGACACCGGAAAGUUUUUAACAGACUUGGUAAUUUACCAAUCUAGUGUUUCAAGAGCAUUAGACUUGGUUAGGCUAAAAGCUAUUACAAUUAGAUGCAGAUUGAAGAGUUCAAUUGAGUCACAGCUCAUGAAGGAGUUCAAUGGGGGUCAUUAAUCAUUCAGAAGCCCCCCGUAGAAAUCUGUUUUAAGUUAUCAAAACUAAAGGACCUUUGUGACUAUUGCACAUGAUCAUUAACUAGGGAAGGUUAUGUUCAUGCUAGACACAAUGUUUUGCCCCUACUUCUUCAUUUCCUCAGCGUGGAAAUUUUCAUGGGAAAUGCACAACAAUUCAGUGAAUAUGGUCGCUGAUGUCUAAUUGAAUACGCGACAUUGAAUGCAACACAUUGAACAUUAAUCUCUGAGAAUGAAUUCUGGAGCAAGUCAUCUUGAAUCCUCAAUGAAUUUCUCCCAUGACAAGAUCAAUUACUAAUUGCACCCUCCAAAAAUUUUAGAAGUAAGUAGGACCACAGCAGACCAAAAAAGGGAAGAAAGAAAUUGCAGAACCAAUCGAUUAUAGUAAGGUUUCAUGCUUUCCAGGACAAUAAUAUUUCGGUUUUAGCUAGACCUUGAUAAUCAGAAGAAGAAUCGAGUCCCAGUCGACUAUAUUACAUAAGAUAAAUGAAAUCAGAUAAAUCCCUCCCCCCACCCAAAAAAAAAAAAACUGAUUCCCGAUGCAUGUUCUGAACUAGUUCCUAAGGAGCGAAAAUCGAUCCGCUAAUUGGUGCAGAAGUGAACUGACGCACAGGAGUUGCGAUGUGUUUCAAUAGAAUGUGACUUGGUUAAGGCUAAAGCUAUUAAAGAUUCGAUGCAGUUACGGAAGAAAAUCAAUCGAGUCAGCUCCCGAGUGAGUUCAUCAAAAGGCUGUUUUCAUUGCGUCUGUAUGAUAAGUCAUGACUGAAAAUAAUAAAAACUAACUCAAUCCGUUCCAAAUCUUUUCCUAAUCCGUCACUGAUUGCAUCAAAGAUUCGCACGCGGACCCAAUCCAUGCAAAUGAGAAGAGAAAAUUACCAGAAAAUGAAGACGGGUGAAGAUGAAGAAAACCAAAUGAAGAUGCAGAGCAGGAAGAACCCUCGUUGGCCUGAGUCAGCUGCAACCAAAAUGGAAAAGGAAGACCACAAUCUAUUAACCCCUCGUGGAACAGAUCGGCGGGCACGAAGACGUGGUCGCAGUCCCCGUAGGGAGAUCUCCGCCAGGCCAUAUCGCGUCUUGUGCUUCCGCUCAGGGUCGCCGUCGCUGCUGGCUCUGGGCGAGCUUCUCGCUCGGGUCGUCGCUGACGAGGGAGGAGAAAGAAUAUGAGAAGAGGGGGGGGGGGGGGGGGGGGGGGGGAGAGAGAGAGAGAGAGAGAGAGAGAGAAAGAGAGAGCAACGGGAGAAAAAACGAAACAAAAAAACAGAGAGAGAGAGAGUUGAAAUUUCUCAAGAGUGGGUCUCCCGACUCUCCCCUACACCUAUACGCACCGUUUCGAGAAAAUAUUCCUCACUACUCUGGUAGGUAAUCUCUUCCCCGUGAUUUCCUGUCCGGUGGUAUUCUUACCUCAAAUACUGCGAAGGGUCCUCUCACUUUUUUCAAAUCUCCAUACUCAUCAGAUUCCAGAAUCUCCAAUCUCUCACAUUCUUUUAUUGCCAAUUUCUCUAGCUUCUUGAAGCUUGAAGGCUCCGAAAACUUUUGCAAAGACCUGCAGCCUUCAAUAGAAAGCCUCUCCAGUGAUUCUAGCCUACCUGGAAUCUCAAUCAAACGAGGAAAAUGACCUAAAUUAAAAUCAACAAGCUCCUUGGCAUUGGUCAAGUCAGGCAACUUCUCUAGCAACGGAAGAUUCCUCACACAUAAGUAACUCAAGUUCUUUGAAUAUUCCAGGCCUUGAAUCUCGUUGAGCUUCGAACAGUGACUUAUCAUUAAUACUUCUAUAUGCUUGAAGGUUAAUGGAUCAGGCAGCUUUUCAAGUGAUUGAUAGUGCCAUAAAUUGAGAAGCUUCAACGAAUCUGGCUCACAUUGAACCUCAACCAAUUUAGGACACUUACUUAUAUGAAGUCCCCGAAACUUCUUCAAGCUGGUCAGGUCGAGCAACUUCACCAACAACGGAAGACGAACAAGAUGAAGGGCUGCCAAGUUUUUCAAAUGUCGGAGGCCUUGAAUCUCCAUUAGUUGUCUACAGCAAUGGAAUUCCAAUCUCGAUAACUUCUCCAAAUAUGAAAGAUUUAUCGACUUUUCCAUUAACCCACGCCCACGAAUAAUGAAGUAUGACAAAUUUUGGGGAAGCUUAGGUAAGUAUUCUAGGUUAUGUGCGAUGAGUUCAAGCAUCCUGAGCUUCAAAAGGAGAUUAAAAUCUAAAGGUAAGAAGAUUAGACCAUCAUAACGCAACCACAAGGUUUCUAGCUCUCUUAAUCCUACGAUCCAAUUGAGGCUUGGAGCUAGAGGGGAAGGGGUUUGAUACUCUAUAUCCAACGUCAAAUCUCUCAAAUUUAAUAGGUUUGAGAGGUCUGGACAUCUCAUCUGUAAAUUAUGGCGCAAGUAUAUAUUGGUCAUACUUUCAGGAAGCUUAGGUACAUCGGAAAUUCCCGUGCUCGUUAAUCUCAAGAUUCUCAAAGAUGAUAGUCUUCCAAUCUCACUUGGAAUUUCCCCACACAAAUAUUCACAGUCAUAAGCUUCAAUCUCUUCAAGCUUCUCCAACAUCCCAAGGGCGCUAGGUAGCUUUUCUAAGAUGGUGCCAGAGAUCCUUAGUACUCUCAAAUUCUUCAUUGUCUCUAUUGAAGUGGGUAACUCUCCUAUCCUCGACAGAGAAAGAUUCAACUCAACGAGAGAACCAAAAUUCCCAAUUGGAAAUUCACUAAUACUUGUACUCGACAAGCGAAUAUAUAACGGUGAUGUUGAGCAACCAACUAAAUUGCAUUCACUCAGUAAUACACAUGAACUUGCACCGAGAGUUUCCAAUUUCUUCAUUCCUUUCCAUUCAGGAAUUCUGGUAAUAGAUGUCUCGUCAAGAAGAAGUUCUGUCAAGGCUUCCAGUUCCUCCAUCUCGUAUGGCAAUGUAUGAAGUUUCGUACAACCUUCCAAGUUUAAAAACACCAACUUCUUUAACUUACCAAUAGACCUAUCAACUUGAACCAAUUCCUUGCACCCUUGAAGAAUUAGUUGCUCUAAAUUUUCAUGAGCAGCAACGUUAGGAGUUUUACACAAGUUUAUGCAUUUAGUCAAAUUUAGAACCUUCAAAUUCUUUGCCAUUUGUAAUGAAGAGAAGAGGUUAAUUCUAGAUCAUUUUGAGAUACAGGACAAUAAAGUUAAUAUAGCAAAUUCAAGUUGAAAUAAUACCAUACCUUGAGGUGGUUCCAUCCCUCCCAAUCAUUUGUAAUCUGACUUCGUGAUAGAUCAAGAAUCACUAUCUUCUCAAGGGAAAACGCAGUCAACUGGAAAAAGAUGGGAAACUCAUGCCAAGAGAGAUAUCUCAAAUUCGGAAGGAUGAGCGGAUUUUUACAGAACUGCUUGGUUGAAGGACGAUGCUGAACAAAUUUAUGCCAUGAGAGCCAUCUCAACUUUGGAUGGUUGAUAGAUUCCUUUGGAACCAGUUGGUUAAAGAAAAAUGCUGGACAUUUUUCUUAUCCAAGUCUCCACAAUUUACUUGAAGAAACCUUAAAUUUGAUAAGCUUUCAAAUUCUUUCUUCUUAAAGAAGUGUUGAGAUCGAUGAUCAAACUUGAGACGUAUUGCUUCAACAUUUUCUGCUCCCUGCCAAAGCGGAAAAAAAAAAUUAAACAGAAGCUAAUGAUCACAUAAUUGCCUGUCGAAGGGAUUCAAAUUGAAGAUACUUUAGGAAUGUGCAUUUUAUUCGUACUUUCAAAUUGAUUUAUAAUAUGAUUUACAGAUAAGCAUGUCAUCAUGGUAAGCAAACAAGUAACGACUUGGUUAAGAUAGAAGUAAAUAGCCAAAAUCAACGUGUAUAACUCGUCCCUCUUUGAAUAGGAAUAACAUUGCACACACUUUACCUUUACUAUGAGGAUAUCAUUUGCUUGUUCAUGAUCCCACACUUGACUUUGUUUCUUUGGUCUAGAUGUACCAAACCGACGAACGAAAUGUCACCCAAGGUCUCUUAGCAGAUUAUGCAUCCACAAUUGGUCACGUUUUGUAAUCUUUAUUAACGACAUCUGUUGGAGGACAUCAAGAUAAUAGUCAGGUAAAAACCCACAGCUUUUCCACAUGUGCCUCACAAUUUUCACAUCAAACCCAACGAAGAAGCAACAAACAUUGAGAAAUAUUUCCUUUGCAUUUGGUUGUAAUGCCUCGAUACUGAUGUUUAGCUUUUCUUCAACAUUUUCAUCGGGAAUAGUUUCUAGCUUCUCUAAUGUGGUCUCCCAAAAUCUUCUAUCUUUUCCAGCUAAAAAUGAACCUAUGAUCUCGAGAGCCAAAGGAAGAUGACCACAGACUUUUACCACUUUUUCGGGGAGAGGGGCGUAUUCUGCUGGAGGAUGAUCACUUCUAAACACAUGUUUGCUAAAUAGUUGAAGAGAAUGAUCAAAAUCCAUUCCAAUAAGUUCGUGCUUCAACUCAACAUCUUUGAGAACUUCUUUGUUUCUUGUGGUAAUAAUAGCCUUACUUCCAUAGCCAAACCAACAUUUACCCAUUCCCACAAGAGCAUCUAGCUUAGCCUUUUGAUCGACACCAUCAAGUAGAAGUACGACCUUUGUAAAGGAUAACAACUCCUUGAUCACUUUUUUCCCUUCAUCGAUAUCAUUGAUGGUCGCUUGUCUCUUUCCUAGGACAAUGGAGAUAAGUUGAUUCUGCAAACUUUCAAUUUUCAUAUCUCCAAUGUUGGACAUGGAGCAACAUUUAGUGGAAUCAGUGGUCUGUUCACCUAUCACUUCCGUGAUUCUGUCCACUUGAUUGUCCAUUUCAACAGAGGAAUUAGACAAGAUGUAAUCUUUAGUAGAAUCAGACAACAGUUUGUUAUAGACGAUUUUGGCAAGAGUUGUCUUUCCAACACCACCCAUACCAUAGAUACCGACAAUCUUUGUUUUAGUGGCCUCACCUAUUAAUUCCAUGAUUCUGUCCACGUGAUUGUCCAUUUCGACCAAGAAAUCAGGUACCGCCAAGUAAUUCUUUUUCAAUUUGAUCAAAACCUUCUAAGCAACUUCUCUUGUGAACUCACCUUUGCCUCUGAUAGUAUUGAAGGCAAAAGAACAAAAUUAUUAAAUCAAGAUGAACAGAAUAAUAUCUAAGGUACAAACAAAACAUGCACAAUAAUAAAUUCAAGUACUUGUCCUUGAGUUCCCAUCCCUUUAAUUCUCCAACCUUGUUGAGAGCUACCUUCCAAUUCUGAAUAGUCUCAUCAGUAUACAGCUGCUUAUUAUGUGUGACUGAAUGGCCUCGCCAUAAGUUGCAAUCUGGUUACGAACCUUGGAUGGUUCAAUGUCAUAGAAAAUUGGCAUGAUCUUUUGUCCCAACUUUUCCUUACAUUCCACCAUCUGAACCAACUCCAUAAGGCACCAUUUAUGCGACAUCCCGAUUUUCCAAUUCUAAUUUUAAUAAAUUGAGACGGGCAUUUCGUUGGUAUGCAUAUAGUUCCUUUCCUUGAGUCAGCCACUCAUGUGAAAAUUAGUCUAUCAGGUAAAGCCGUUAAGAAAUUCUAAUGCAUCAGACUCGAGAAUUUGAUCAGGAAGCGACCUUUCGACCGAGAUAAUCUGCAAGGGUCAUUACGGCACAAAUAAAAAUCGAUUAGAAAUUGGAGAUAGGUCGGCUCGACAGAGGCAUGUGAUCAGGUGUGGGUGAUUCCACUGGAUCGCACAAUUCUUGUCGAUCGGCACCGGACCGACUUUUCUAUUGAUUGGGUACCCUGUGCCCGUAUUUGAAACCUUGAGAUUUCCCCUACAACAGAAAGUUGCGAAUGUGCCAAAGAUGUAUAUUGUGGCUUGAAUUGAUCAACCACAUGUCAAAUGCACAAAAAUUUCUAAAAACUACUCGGUAGGUUGAGCCGCGCUAGUAUCGUGCCAAAGUGAAAUUAACCGUGAAAUUGAGAUCGAAUUCUGAAAUUGGAAGUCCUGGUGUGUCACAAAUUCUAUUAGGAACAUUGGAUUAAAUUAUGAAUUUUAAUUUGGACUCAAUCGGAAGAGAAUUGAUGGGAAUUGAAGAAAUUGAAUGUACAAGAAUUGGACCCCGACGGAAAAUGAAAUUUGCACCCAUUGGAAGAGGUUGUAGAGGAUUGAGUUAGUGGAGUGAUGUCAUGGUGUGGGGACAAGAGUGACUAGGAUCUUGACAAGUGGAGGGAUGAGAUGGGCUCUUGAAAAGGUGGGCUUUCACUUCAUCUUCUUCCUUGAAUCAAGGGAAAUUGUUGGAUUUUGAAGAGAGAGAGAGAGAGAGAGAGAGAGAGCAGCCGGCCAUCAGAACCUCCUUCAUCCGCCCUUCUUCGCUGCUCGGUUGCUCGCUCGGCCGGCCACCGUCUCGCCCGCGUUCCUCGUCGCUCGCCGUUCGUCGGAGCUCGCACGUUGCUGUCCCAUGUGCGAGCUGCCUUGUCUCCAUCCGCCGAGCCUCCCGCGUUGUCGUCUCUCCUCGCCAACAGCUAUUCGUCGUCGCCGGAGUCUCCAUCACCGCCGUUCGUUGCUGUUAGCUGCCGUCCCGAGCCUUAGCUGCUUCCGCCGGUCUUCCUCCGCCUUUCCUCCACCCGAUCAGCCACCGUGCCGCCUCCCUCCAAGCUCGGUUAGUUGCUGGAAAAUCCAGCAAGACCCAGCCCCUUCCAAGCUCGAUUUGGUCUCCUAUUAGUUCUCAUUUGGUGUUGAUCCGUGUAGGUUUGUCGUCGACGUCGUCGUGCUCUUCGCCGGAGACUCAUCGAUUCUGGUGAGUUUAGCUCACUAAACCUCGAUUAGUGGGUUAAUCAUGCCUUAAGUGUGUUUAGCUUGGGUUGAUUGAGAUUAUGUUGUUAGAUUAGUUUAUUUAGAUGUGGAUUAGAUUAAGUUGUUUAAUUAAAGUAAAGUAUGUUUAGUUUAAGGGUUAAGUAGGUUUAUUUUAAAAUAAGCCUUGAUGUGACUUAAAGGAAUUUAUUUAUGAUUUAAAUAAAUGUUUCAAAAUUGUUAGAUUAUUUAAUAAUAUAUCAUAUUCCGAAAAUCAUUAAAAUAUUAUUUAAAAAAAAACUUGAAAAAAUUAUUUUUGAUCCUAAUUGCUCAGAAUUUCGUGCCGAUCGCCGCUGUAUAGUUAGAAUUUGAAAUUGAUGAAUGGUUAAUGCAAAUUGAGUGUUGAUUGUGGAAAAUAUGGAUUUUAUUUAAAAAAUCUCAAAUGUCGGGUUUGACAUCGAAAUUGGAUUUUUAAAGAUUAAUAUUGUAAUUGGGGUAUGUGAGUGAUGUGCAAAGUGCCUUGGGUUGAUUAUGAGUUGCUGCAUGAUAAUUAUGAGGAAUUGUCUUGUGCUAUUAAGCUGGAAUUGCCCCUAUAUGGGAUGCCACAUACAACGGAUGCAAGUCGCAGUUGAUUCUGGGCCCAUGCUCCUUUAGGAACGCCGCCGAUGUACUGACGAAGCCACGCUCCAAGGUGGGGAGGCGAUGCCUGGCUAUAUGUCAGUAGAUAACCGAACUGUGAGUAGGCUAUGCCUUUGUGUGGCAGUGAACAAUGAUUGGAAUGCUUGUUGUGAUUGCGAAUUAAGUGAAAUUGAUUGUGUUCCAAUGAUUUAAGUCCCUGUUGUUACCUGUGAUUGAGUGAUAUGAAUUGUACUAAUCUGCAGGAAGGCAAGAAGGUGAGGUAAGUCUUCUGUGCUAUGUGGCUAGACCACUCUAGGGCGUAUUUUCUUUGUAAUAGGGGUUUAGGAGGGGUGAACUUGCUGAGACAAUGUCUCAUCCCGGUUUGGGGAAAAUAUUACAGGACCGUAGAUGGCGGGACCCCCAGAGACGAAUGGCAUCCCAAUGUAGAUCAUCGAGCAGGUGCACAACUUCCCUGAUCCUGGGAGCCAUUGGGUCUACGAGCUGAUCAGGACUACCAUAUGGAUCCAGGAGCCUGAAGAUGUUAGGGUGCCCCAUAAGUAUAGGGCUUGGUUCCGUUUUUGGGCCAAUGGCUUUAUGAUUGGUCCACUUGACAGUUUUGAUAUUCCACUGGCCGUGAUGGAUGCUAUUCUGGGUGAGGGUGUAGCUGACCUUCCUGAUGGUAGGGUGGAUAACCCAUCGUCUCCGGACCCAGUGCAGUCAGAUGUGGAGGAUGUGGGAUCGACGAACGAGUCCGAUUAGUAGUUAUAGGACCGUUCCUCUUUUUGGUGACCGAUCCAUGUUGCGUAAACUGACCCAUUUUGAUGCACAUAAACUCUGACUUAUUUUUGGUGCAUAUAGUCUCUGAAUCCUAUUUGUGUAUGUAAACUCUGGAAUGAUGAUAUGUGAAAGUAUGUGGUUUGAUUUUGAAUUGAUCUUUCCUGCUGUCCUAUCCCAUAUGAUUUUGAUAGGAGUUUCUUAGCACGUUCCGCAUGCGCAAUAAUAUAUGAAUGGGGUCGGCAACACUACCUGGGAAUGUCGCAUAUUCAUGACCAUAGCGGGUUGUUCACGUGUCUCGAGGUUCGGGGCGUGACAAUUUACUAGCAGCGUAUUCUUUAGAAAAGAUAGGAAUUGGGAUUUUCGACUGCUUAAUCGCUUGGAGAAGCUCCGGGCCAAUCUCUUCCCCAACGUGAAGCUCUUCAUCAUCUCUAUAUGCCCGUAUUCCAGCAUCAAUGAGGCUAUUGUAAAGGAUAUCAGUGAUGUCGUGGCGAGUAUCUGGUCCUCUAAAGCUCAAGAACACUUCAUAAUAAGGUUCCAUUGGCUUCUCCACUCCCUGAAUUUUCAGAGGACUUGCGACAACUCGAUAUCCCACCAGGAGAAACGUUUACUAUGAAAGUGGAGUGAUGAUUAUCAUGAAUGAGAGGAGAUUACCAAAGAUGGAGGAGUGAAGAUGAAGAGUCCGGAUCAAACGCUAAGAAGCAUAUAAAGAUCCCCCAGAUCAAUCGUUCUUGGGUUUGAGCUCCGCUGAAGAAAGACUUUUCGCAAGAUGGCUCGCUCGCCCUCGCAUGCAAUGCUCUUCUAGGAAGGUGAGGACUUGCGAGUUGCACGUAUACUUAAAGCCAGCCGUUGACUUGCCAAUGAUUUGUUGGCGCAAACCACCAGAGUUCAAAUAGACGAGAUUUUAACGCAUGUUAUUAGUUUGGAAAUCAUAUAAUUAUAUUGAUUGAUAUUCUUUUAACGACGAUGAAACCAUUCUUUAGUUGUAGGUGAAACCCUAGGCCCAUUUAAAUUCAACAUAAAUUGAAUCUACAAUUGUAGAAUCCACACUUGUAAGUCUUUGAGAUAAUUUAUAUUAUUCAUAGUAAACUUAUAAGACUGGAGUUAGUUUUUAUGCUCUGUUUGUUUCGUAAAAAAAUAAAUAAUUUGAAAAUAAUUUCUUAAAUAUGAUUACUUGUAUCGCGUGAAAUAAUUAACUAAUGAAAUAUACUUUCAUUGUGAAUGACAAUUUAUGUCUAAAUAAUUUCGUGAACGAUAAAAAUAUCUUUUGUUUAUUCAUUUUUGUAAGCGAUAUAAGUGAUCAUUUUAAAAAAAUCCGUUUCAAAUUAUCAACUUUCCGCAAAACAUACAUACCUUUGAAAAAGUUACAGUGCAAGUGGAUGGUAAUCAACAAUCAUUUUUUAAUUGGCUAUAAAAUCUUAUUAAAUUCAUUAAAAAAGAGAGUACAUCUUGGAUCGCCCCUGGGAGCGGAGAAAUACAACGAUCUUCCAAAAGAAGUAUUGAAAAUCCUAAUUCUAACCUAAGUCUAAAUUGGAAAAUUACGUGAAAAACAUAAACCUUAGUCAACAACCCUUUGGGAAGAUGUGCAUAGCUCAUCAUGCACGGCGCACGGCACAUGUAGAGCACUUGCAUGCCACAUGUAAGACACAUGGAAAUUUCAACGACUGCCGAGGAAAAAUGCGUCGGAAUUGCAUAGGGUCGAAGGCUCAAAUGGGCUAAAUUUAAGAAUUCAAUGAUUUAAAGAGUGCAAUUUGAAUGAAAUUCAUAAAAUCGACUCGGUUUAAAAUUAAUACAUUGAAAUUAUUGUGGAUCAAAUGCUAAGAAGCAGAUAAACAUGCCAGAACAGAAGAAAGACUUUCAUUAAAGAGUCUACUCACCUUCAAGUGCCAUACCCUUGGAAGGUAAGGACUUGCUACUCAUCCUAGACGCAUUAUAAUUUUACAUACAUUAAACCUAAAAAUAUAGAACUGAUACAUAUAACGUAUUUGAGAUGGAUUAUGUUAGACUUAUUCACAAUAAAUUCAUAGACAAGAAUUAGGUUUUAAUUUCAAAAGCUGCAUUUGGCCACAAAGGAAUAACGCUCCAAAAAAUUUACAACAAGCCUUCAAAAAUAGCUAUAGUUGAAAUAUUCCAGAUGAGUUUACCAUGAGGCAGCAAUGCUCUUUUUACAUAUAUAUAUAUAUGGUUUUGUCCCAAUUUAUUUCUCAUAUGCGGGUAAUGGAAACGCUUUCAAAAUAGACAUCUCUCCAAACUGUUCAGAAGCCAUUUGAGUUGCUAAUAAAUCAAAGUUUCCCUAAGCAUGGAGAGCAGAGGGAGCGUAAGUUCUAGACACAAGGUUUGCAGUAAACAUGACCUCUAUGGUCUUUGGCCAAAGCGGCAAUGGAGGUAUUAGAGUCUUGCAUCAAUGUUCACUUGAAGUAAGGGGGAAGGAGUCCAUUUUGGAGGUUCAUUGUUCACAACUCGUGACUACGAGCAACGUUCCAUCACAACUCAUGAUAGAUGUCCUGUAUGUGUCGAAUUACUGAAGAAAGAUCCAUUGGGGAGCGAGCUUCCAGAAUUUUGUUUCGACGCUUCCAUAAACCCACUAAACUAUCUCGACCAUAUCGCAAAAAUCUUCGCAAUAAAUGUCAGGUGGAAGGCCGAAAGCGAGGAGGCGCAGAGAUCACAUAGCACACGUGUAAAAAACAGAACCGCAAAAGAAGUUGAUAUGUCCAAGCCCCAGCCAACUCGACUCCAUACAAUUCAGGUCAUCCACUCUCUUCCCCUUUUGUCAGGGCGAAUUUGACUGAUCAUUAUUUUUCGAAGUAAAAGAGCAGUUUUGUUCUAACUAGAUCUUAGGGAGAGAUAUGACCUUUACCUAUUUAUGGAAUAAAUACGACAUCUUGCCCAUGGAAUGUUGACAAGACAUCGAAUGCAUUUUGUGCAGAUCUCAACAACCGAGAGCAGAUUCUUAUGAAGACUGUACUUCUGAUUAACUUGGAGGUAAAGGACAACCAUGAGGAGGCAGCAACUGGAGCUCAGCUUGCUUUAAAUCUUUGUCGAGAGGUCUUUGACUGUUUGUACUUUAUGUAUUAAUGAUAGUAAGCUUAAUUUCUGUAUGCUGAGAAAUUGCUUAUUGUAAUUUCUGGUCCACAGAUAGAAGCAGCCGAGGAGGAAUCCAUUGAUGAAAUUGUUUCUAAUUUUCAGAACCAGAACAGGCGGAAAUUUUUAUUCAGCAUUUCCUUCUAUUGAUGACCGUGGUGAGGGCAAGACUCUUGCUCUGAAAGCUUUAUGAUCCAUGUCGUUGUUCUGUUAGUAUUUUGUCUGCAAAUUUAUAUGUCGAUGUUCUGUUAGUAUUUUUAUUCUGUCUGUCCAUCUACUUGCACAAUUGGUAAUAUACUUAAAUACAUUACCAGAUUUCUUCCAACGCUGUUACUGUUUGCUUUGCACGAAGCCUUCCCUAGAAAUCUUACCUUUCUAAGCCCAGCGAGCCCUAUUUAAUCCAUUACACAGCUAAUCAUUUCAAUAUACCCUAUCCUGAAUUUGAUCUCUUCUUAUGUCAGGAAGACUGAAUCAGGCUCUCCCAUGUUUCUACGCCUUUGCUUGAUCUUGGUAUUCCAUGCGAAUUGUUGGGUUUGAUGAGCACUUUCCUUGACUACUCGUUAGAGGUAGGUCAUUUUGCAACAGUAUCUCUAUCUGCAUAAUGAGAAUUGUCAUUCUCACGCUUUGAAUUUAAUUUGCUAGAGAAGCCUAUUCUUUGCUGUUAUCGCCAAGCCUAUCAUACUAAUGCGCUGCAUCUAUCCACUUUCAGAUAACACUGCAUCGAUGUGGAAAAGAAAUUCUGAGUCGAACCCUUUUACACUCACCUUAUCUCUGGAAUGUCGACGCAUGAUGAUGUAUUAGUAAUUAGAAGCAAGCCAUGUAUUAGUAAUUAGAAGCAAGCCAGUCUUGCUUAGGAGUGAAAAUUCUAUUAUUUCUUGUAGUUUUUUUUUUUUUUUUUAAGUUUCUUUGUACUGCAGAACUAAUUCUGCGAUGGUACUCAUGUCGAGAGAGUGGGAAGAAAAGGGAUUCCGGCGUAUUGCAUAUAAUUUCUUUGAAUGCAACAGGUUCAAAACCGCCUCUAUUUUCAUUUUUUCUGUAUCGUGCAUAUGAAAAGAAAAACAAGAGAACAGAACCAACCUGACCUGGUCAGUCAUUUGAUGAUUUGGUCCUGUGUUUUUGGCAGGGUUUACAAUUCAAUGGAUCCUAUUUAUUUGAGAUGAGUUGGUUUUUGAAAAGAAAAUUACUAAAAAGCAGAAACUUCUAAUUUGAGUUCAUAUAGAGAUCGUCAGUUUUCUUGCUGGCUUGUUGGUCAUUCCUAGGAUCCUGUCCUUCAACUUGCUUUCCUCACUUCCUGGAUAAAAAUUCCCUUGCGUAUUCAUUUAAAAUAAUAAGCUCUGAUAAUUUGUCGAGAUUACCUAGUACUGACACACAAAAGUCAUCUCCAUGUAUGGCUUGCACCAAGGUUUGCAGUUUCACAUCUCAAAGGGGAGGAUGCUUUCUUGACCUCGGCGCAAGUGUCUUUUUCGGAAUGUUCAAAUGCCAGUCUCUUGAGCCAGUGAAUUCUUCUAUUCUGCUGUUACUUUGAGCCGGUGAAUUCUUCUUCUUCUCUGCUGUUCCUUCGGGAAGACAAUGCAGUCCAUUGAUCCGUCUGUGGAAAUAAAAUUUCUCCUCUUUCUGAACCUUCAAUCUCCUCUGCAUUAAUUUGUAUAACACCGAACGCUCCAGUUAGUUGUGGUAUGCUCUACCCUAAUGCAGAUCUUCUGCUCCUUAUGUACAAAUAGGCUUGUGUUUGCAUCGUGUCAGCUACAACCCAACAGUGCCAGUGAAACUUGGCCAAACAACAGUGCGCAUUAGACACAGAAAAGAGAGCUCUUCUGCUCACACAUAUGAUCAAAUGUUACUAUGGUAUGAAUGAUGAAGAGAAAUUGAAGGAUAAUGACUCUCCAUGAACUAACAAACAGCGGCAUCAGCCAGCAUUUCCAUUUCAGAAUGGCGACAUACCAAUCUCGCUUCAUCUGUCCUAAGAGAUCUUAACAAAGAAUAAAUAUCACCCUUAUGAGUGUGCCUCUUGUCCUUGACAAUGAAGACAUGAACUUGACCCUGAAUUUCUAUCCAGCUACAACCAGGCUGCUUGACUACUCCUCGUUGCCUCAUCAGCUUCCUUAUUCUGACGACAUCGCCCCAUUUUUUGCUUUCCACGUACAUGUUUGAGAGCAGAACAUAAGGUCCAGAGUUCGAAGGGUCAAUCUCUAAGAGCUUCUCCGCUAUGUGCUUUCCUAGCAUUAUAUCCUUAUGAACUUUGCAGGCUGCGAGCAGCGAACCCCAAACGACAGCAUCGGCUUGCAUGGGCAUUGCCUCUAUUAAGUCCUUUGCUUCACUGAGACAACCAGAUCGGUUGAGCAAAUCAACCAUGCACGUAUAAUGGUCCUUUACCGGUGCCAGACCAUACUCCUCGAUCAUCCGCUUGAAAUAAUGGCACCCCUCUUCGACCAGCCCUGCAUGGCUGCAUGCACAUAGAACCCUGAUCAUAGUGACACAGUCUGCUCUCUUGCCAGAUACCAACAUUUUCCUGAAUAUUUCAAGCGCCUUUAUCCCGUAACCAUUCUGCGUAUAUCCGACAAUUAUGGCAUUCCAUGAGACCUUGUCCCUCUCCAACAUAUUUUUGAACACCCAUAAACCAUCUUCCACAGCUCCACAUUUAAAGUACAUGUCUAUAAGAGAAUUUCCAACAAAAAUAUCAGAUUCUUCUCCAGACUGGAAGCGAAAUCUGUGCUUCAAGACAUGAGCAUGAGCCUGCAGCCCCAACUGCAGAUCAGCAAGAUUUGCACACGCAUUGAGCAAAUUUCCAAAUGCGUAGUGCGUCAGCACAAUGGCUUCCCUCUUCAAAAGGCGGAAUAAACCAAAUGCUUCUUCAUUCUCUCCAUUCUGGGUAUACCCUGCAAUAAGGGCAUUCCAAGAAACUACAUUCUUCUCCAUCAACCUUUGAGACUUGCUGCCUUUGCAUACCCACUUACCAUGGAGGUGGCUGACACUAUAUCCCUGGUAGGCAUGCUGUCAAAAACUGCUCUGGCCUCACUAAUUCUAGAGCACUUAGAAUACAUAUCAAACCAAUGCAUUUCCUAAAACGACAUCAUUUCUAAAUUUGUCACAUUUUACAACAUGGGCUUGAAUUUGCAUCCCUUCCUUAAGUGCCGACAGGCUAGCGCAUGCGCUGACCACACUGGCUAAAGUGACCUCAUCUAUAUCAAACCCACAAUCCAUCAUGCUCACGAAAACCUCAAGAGCUUCACUGGCUGGACCAUUUUGUUCAUAACAUGUAAUCAAGCUGUUCCAAGAAACUACGUUUCGAGAACUCAUUUCAUCAAAAGCCCUCUGUGCACAAGCCACGUUGCCACACUUGGAGUACAUGUCGAUAAGAGCAGAGCCCAUAUGAACAUCGGACGAGCACUUGGACUUCGAUAUCAAAGCCUGGAUCUGCUGGCCCAGAUCCAUAUCCCCUAACCCGGCGCAUGCACUAAGAGGACUACGGAAUGAGUACUCAUUAAGCACAUAAUUCUCCCUAUGCAUCUUACCAAAACAUCGCAAGGCUUCUUCGAAUCUUUCAUGCUGCACAUAACCUGACAGCAUCGAAUUCCAUAAGCACUGGUCAGGUUCCGGCAUUGACCCGAAUAUCUUUUCCGCUUCAUCAAGAGAACCCAGUCUGAUCAACCCUCCUAAGAUCGCAUUCCGCGUGAAGGUAUUCUUCUCAGGCAUUCUAUCGAACAUCCUGUGGCCGUCGUCGAGGCACCCGCAUCUCACAUAGACAUCGAUGAGCCGGUUCUGGAUGAAAACCUCGGCGGAGAACUGGGUCUUAAUGAUCCGAGCGUGGAUGUGGCACGCGUCGCGCGCUGACAUGGACAGACCGCAGCCGUCCGGGAGCUUGGCGAAGGGGGACGAGGUGGCGAAAGACAGAUAGCCCGCCAGAGCCUUGACCUGCGCAUGCCUCGCCAUUCCAUCAUAUCAUCGUAAGAAGGGAACUCUCUCGGAGAAGAUUCGCAAAGGUGCAAAUUGAAUGCGAUGGGGAGUUUCUGUUGACCGUUAUAUGCUUCCCCGCUUCAGCCAGACGCGCGGGAACAUGACACGAGCGCUCAUAUGAAGUGGGGCAAAGUUGCAGUGGCAAAAUGGUAAUUUAGCAUAACAGUCUACUAAUUAGACUCAUGACUAUGAAUUAAAUUUUUAACUAUGAGUAAAUCUAAGCUAUAAAUUGAAAUAUGUCACCCUUAAUGGGUAUCUUGUUGUAAGUCACUAAAUUAAGAUUAGUCAUAUUUAAAAUCUAUACUUAUUGCUUUAUCAAUUAUAGUCAUAAGCUUAAUAUAUGACAAGUCAAUUUUAUUGAGAGAUAGCUGGAUUAUUUACAAAUCAAACAUAAAUUCUUGUUUAGUAAUUUUGAUCAUUCUAAUUAUAACUCAUUCUGACCAAAACAAAAAAAUUGUAACUCAUCAUUGAAAAAAUGCAAAAACCAAUUCUAGAGAAUGAAAAUUAGAUCUAUGCUGGAUUAGAUGGGAUAUCUUUUCAUCGGCCCCCUCCCUCGAGGAAUAGCUAACCUUGAUUUUAAGAGAAUAGCUAUUUCUUUGAUGGAGCUAAUCUUGAUUUACUUCUUAACCAACUAAGGACUAUCUUUUCAUGAGUAGAUUGAGAAUAAUGUAGCUAUUGUGAUAUUUUUGUAUUAACUCACAAUAUUGGUAAUGUUCUAACUUAAUUGCGCUUAACUUUAGAGUAAAACUACCAAGAUAGGUGGCUGUACCUUCAUGAGGUCACUUAUCUUGAUAAUGCUCUAACUUGACCACGCUUAACUUUGGAGUGGAAAUAUUUAUUGAUCUCAUGGGGAAGUGCUUGUCUGCAUGCCAAAUGAUAAAAUCGUGAAGUUUGAAAUGGGAUGGGUCUCAAUAGAUUAUAUCUCAAGUGAAUUAACUCAAAAACAUCACAGUUAUCUGUCCUAGAACAAAAGGUGCAGUUGGAUUUUCAAUUAAGACGCUUCUUGUUCAAGUAAGGUUUGUCCCUUUUGUUUUGUUUUGUUUUUUCGCUUUUUAUUUUUAUUUUUUAUUGUUGAAUGAAUAAUUUGGACAUCGUCCUGUUAUGGUAAGAAAAAUCAAUUGAUCUUCUAAAAUGUGCGUUGCUGUGAGCCUUUGUGAGGGAGAGCUUCAUGAUAAGAAAUGAAGCCCAUCUGAACGCACAUCCAAUCUGUCAAGGCUUUGAAACUCUUUCGGCUUUAUGCGACCAAGAACCGUCACAUCUGGGAGUUGUCUCCGGUUUUAGAAAGGUCUAUUGAUGUUCUUAUUUCCUGGUGAAGUAGGAUAUGUAAGACAGACAAAUUCCUGGGAAGCCUAGGUAAGAACCUGAGGUUCUUAAAAACUGAGGACAAGUUUCCUGAGCAGAGGAAGGAGAAUGAGAUAUGAAGAUAUGGUGGUGAUUUGCCGGGCUUUCAAGACUCUAGUUUGCUUAACCUUCCAAUCCACCAAGGAUCAUGGAGCUUCUUUAAGUCCGUAAGUGUCCUCAGGAUACCUCAACGCAUAUAAACACAGCCCAACUUGGACUGAGGUGCAAUAAUAAAAACGAACAUAUUCAUAACUUAUCUUUCUGUAACUCACCUGAACUUCAAGUGCCUCCUCGUAAUUUCCUAUACUACUUAGCUUCUCGAGUUUCAUAUCAUUUGCUUCACGAACGGUAUCUCUCCCAAGGUCUCUUAACCAAUCACGCAUCUGCAGUCGAGAGUCUUUUCUAAUUUUUAUUAGUCAUCUGCUGGAGAACUUGAACAGCUUCUUCAGAGAAGAGAUUACAGCUCUCCCACAUGUGACACAAUUCUUUUAUCAAACGCAAUGAAUAAUCGAGCAAUAUCUAAGAAUAUGUUUUCUGUCAAGAAUCUAAUGCCUCAAUCCUGAUCAUCAACUUCUUUUUAACAUCCUCAUGAGGAAAUUUUUCCAACCUUGUCAAUAUGGUAUUCAGCUUUGUUAUGGUUUUCCCCGACAAGAAUGAACCUGCAACCUCAAGUGCUAGAGGAAGACCAUCGGAAAUAUUCACCACUUGUAUUGAAACAAGGAUGUACCACUUUGAUGGAUAAUCUCUUCCAAAGGUGUGUCUGCUGAAACGUUGGAAAGAAUGAACAAAAUCCGUGCAAGUAAGUUCAUAAGUGCAAUCAACCAUAGUCGCACUGAGUACUCCCACGUUUCUUGUGGUAAAACCAAUCAUGCCUUGCCACGAGAGCGUGUAAGUGUAUUCUUAUGUCGACAUCAUCAGGAAGUAGAACUCUUCCGGAGGAUUACCUCUCCUUAAUUGUAUUUAUCCCUUCAUCACUAUUAUUGAUUUCUGACCAUUUCCAUACUAGAGAUGAGUUGAUUCUGCAAAUACUCUACACUCUUUUGCUUUGACGUUUCUCGAAUGUCAGCAAGGAAGCAAUGGCAAUUAAAACCAUCUCAAAAUUUAUUGUAGACAAUUUCGGCAAGUGUCAUCUUUCCAACACCACCCAUUCCAUAAAUUCUGAUCAUGCUUGUUUCAUUCGUGCGAGCGCCAAUCAUCCUCAUGACUUCAUUUACAUAACUAUCCACUGCAACCAAGAAAUCUGAUAUUACCAGUAGGCCUUUUUCAACUCCAUCAAAACCCCCAACCAAAAAACAAAAAACAAAAAAAAAAACUCAAUGAACUCCAUCAAAACCUUCCUGACAACUUCCUUUCAGAACUUACCUUCCCUCUGAUGGCGUUCAAUGCAAAAGAACCAAGAUGUUGAAAUGAGUUAAACAAAGUUCCUUCCAGGAAACAAACAAGUCAUAAGGGAUGAAUUUAGUUACCUUUUGGGAUUGUUUUGGAAGUCCCUUCCCUUUAUUGCUUUAACCUCAAUGAAAGCAGCCCUCCAAGUGUGGAGAGUCUCAUGAUCAAGCCGCUUCUUGUUUUCAUGAGAAUCAAAGGCUUUGUUGUAGAAGCCAGUUUGAUAUCAUACCCCUCAUGGUCCAACAUCAUAGAAAUUACGUCCUCUUCUUUUCCUGCACUCUGCCAUCUGCACCAAUUCGUUGAGGCACCAUUCACUGGCAGCAUAUCCCUUAGAGAAGAUGGGUAUCAAGGAUUUUUAACUGCUCCAUCGCUUGAAGAAGAAGCCCUUCAUCAUCUUUACAUACUCGAAUUCCAGCAUCGUUCAUGUUGGUAUUCAGGAAAUCAGGUAUGCCAGAGCAUAUCUGGAUCUCUAAAGCUGAAGAAUGCUUCUUAAUCAUAUUUUAUUGAUUUCCCCCUUUCCUGAAUAGUAAGGUGCAACAAUAGCACAUCAAUAUCUGAAAUUACAUAGUCGAUGGUCAUGAUGCGUCAUCAUAAUUAUCUUCUCUUCCUUUUUGGUACAUUUCUGUCACCAAGACUUACCCCAAGACAUUCAUACUGCACCUGAAAAUGUUAAAUACGUAGAUGCAGUGAUGAUCAGGCUAAUUUCUUUCAGAUGCCAAUGCAGAAAUCUAUUCUGGUAUAGAGAACCUCUUUGACAAAAGCAUAUUUUUUUUUCUUGGCAUUUUGUGCGAGCAAUUAGUAAAGCACAGCACCCUCUUUCUUUACGGGCCUCGUAACAGUGAAAGGGGUAAAAUGAAACCUAUAUAAAUGAUAUGUAACGAUUUUCUCUGGAAAGAUGAGCCAUUUCAACUACUCAGAUUUACUAUCCAGACUGCCCAUAUUAGUUUGUUAUAUAAAUGGAAAUACAGUCCUAUUCACUAAAAAGAUGCAAACACUAUUCUGAGUAAUGCUCCAAAUGGCCAAUGAAAUAAGAAAACAAAGAAAAGUGGAGCAACAUUAGUAGUCUGUUUAUUGUUUGACUUAUUUCUGUUUUGAUGCACUACUAAGUGUGAUUAUAAAAAAAAAUGACUUAUUACCUGAUGAUGACUCCUUUGAUUUCAAGUGACGAGGAAGUGGAGUUCUGCAAAAACAUUGUCGCUCAUUACAAAGUUGGAUUCUGAAGCAGAAAUAACAAAGACAUGAGACACUACUUAAUACAGAGGCCAAGAGUUCAACAAGAAGGAAUACGUAUUACUUGGUCCAUCUUAAAUUUUGGUCAAGGCUUCACAACUUUCUUAUCAGAAAGCACUGCUCAAAGAUUGCCUUCCUCCGCAUUCUUUUUCAUUUUAUGCAAUUGAACCUAUAAUUGCAGGUCAAAAGAGAUUAAUCAUAAGUGCAAUUUGCCGCAAAAAAUGUCCCAUCUUUCUGAGCGGCUUAAUUGAUUCUUACUAGGUCAUAGAAAGGAAGUGUGAAUCUACAUCACAGUUAUCUUCAUAACCUCCCUUCUUUGAUGUUAGCCACAUAUUUGACAGACAAAUUAUGUCAAAAGAACAACAUUCAACUAGAAAUUCCGUCAAACAACUCAAAAUCUGCAGGUUAGAUACCAUUUCUAGUUCCCAGAGGAGCUUGGAUUCAUCAUAAGGAAUUCUGCAGAAAGGCAGAAAACAAGGGAUUAUUGAUAGCCAACAUUCAGCUUUGCUAUCCAUAUAAACUCACAAAUCAGCAGACAAUUUAGCAUUAAUUAGCUCAGGUAAUAGUAGAGACACUAACAUUCAUUCAUGAGAGAAUAGGAAAGAAAUAACAGUAUGAUGGUUGACUUGCAACUGAUGGAAAAUCAGAGAUUGGUGUACUGAAGUUCGAAUAAAGUGAAUAAAAUCAAUGGCUUUCCUGUCUCUCUCAUGUGCUUAAAGUUCUCCAAGUUGGCUAUUAUCUCAUCUCUCCAUUUCUGUCCUUAAUUUCAUCUUCUUGAAUCACUAUGUACUAACUCAGAAGAGACUGUGUCAGGCUAUAACUAAAUCCCAUUAGCCAAAUGAAAUCAAAUAAUUCCAAUAUAACUAAUUUAAAGGUUACCUCGGAAACCAUCGAGGAUGUGUGGUGCCAGGCAACACGACGUCGAGAUUGUGCGACCUCUGCAACCACUGCCGAAGGGCUGGAUUUGGGUCGAUCGACCCUCAACCUCAACACACAGUGGCUCAGGCAAAGACAGCAGCUCGACAGUCAGUGCGGCCCAAGUGAGGGCCAUUAGGGCUUCUCGAUGCCAGGUGAGGUGACACCGAGGUUACGUGGCCUCCCCAACACCUGUAUAACUCCACAUUUCUUCCUUUUUUGUGAAAAAAAAAAAGGACAACUAGCCAAAAUGUUGACUGCUCUGCAUGUCUCAUUUGCUAAUGUCAAUGAUACACUGGCUUCACAGUUGCUUCCUCUCUUCAAUGCGUGGGCCAAAAAAUGGUUCAUUUUUCCCCCUUCCACGCUGAUCAACAACUCCAAAUAAUAUAUUGCUUUAAGAUCCUAAGAAGAAGAGAGAUUUGAAAACUGAUUGAUUCAUCAUGAAAUCUAAAGCAGUAAUCAUUACACUUUUCACAGAUCAAUUUGCUGGUUAAUUCCAAUCGGUAAAUAGACUCUCUCUUUGGCUGAUUCCUUGGCUCGACCUAUUUACUUCCUUGGCUCAGACUUGGUGACUUCCUUCAAAGUCCUCCAAUCAUCAGAUCCCAGCAAAUAUUUUAGCUUCUCACACUCAUGUAUCCUCAAAUAUUUUAGCUUCUUGACGCUUGAUGGAGCCGGUAGCUUUUCCAGAUCUCUGCAGAACUCUAUACGAAGUAUCUCCAGUGAUUCUAGUCUGCCUUGAAUCUCAACCAUUUUAGGACAAUUAUACAGUUCAAGUUUCGUGAGCUUGCUUAAGGUAGUGAGGUCAGGCAAUUUUUCCAGUGAUGUAACUCUAACAAACUUCAAUGAUCUCAGGUUCUCCAAGCCUUCGAGACCUUGAAUCUCUGUUAUUUCACAACUUGUAACUUCCAAAUCCGCUAGUACCCUCAAGUUUGAAAGGUCUAUCGAUGUCUUCAUUUGCCAACAACCUUUUAUAACUAAGCUCAACAAACUCGCAGGAAUCCUUGGAAGGCAUUUCACGUUUUCGCACCUGAGCUCAAGUUCCUUGAGUUCAGAAAGGAGAACGAGGUCUGGAGAUAGGGUGGUCAGGUAAGGAGAUUCCAGCCAUAUAGCCUCUAGUUUGUGUAACCUUCCAAUCCACCAAGGACUGGAAGUUUUCUCAAGUUCAGAAGGGUCCAUCCUAGAACUCCACAAGACCAAACUCAAAUCUCUUAAGUUCAAUAGGUUUGAGAGAUCUGGGAAUGUCUUCAUUGACCAAGUGCCAAAGUAAAGACUGGUCAGACUUUCAGGAAGCUUGGACAAUCCCGAAACUCGAGUGUAUGUCAGUCUCAAGACUCUUAGAAACUUUAAUCUCCCGAUAUUGCUCGGCAUUUCCCCUUCCAAACAUCCACAGCGGUCAGCAUCUACCUCUUCAAGCUUAUCCAAUAGUGCUAUGGCACUGGGUAGUUUUCUCAAGGUACUGCAGCAUAUUCUCAGUACUUUCAAAUUCUUCAUAUUUCCUAAUGAAGAAGGUAGCAUUUGAACCUGUGAGUGGGAUAGAUCCAACUCGACUAGUGAUUGCAAGUUCCCAAUGGACUCUGGAAGUUGAGUAAUCUCAGUUGCUACCAACGAAAGCUUCAAUAAUGAUGCUAAGCAGCCAACUGAACUACAAUCAUUCAAAUUUUUACAAUUACGAACACUUAAGAAUUUCCAGUUUCUUCAUUCCUCUCCAUUCGGGAAUUUCUCUUAUUGAUGUGCCAUCCACAAGAAUUUCUGUUAAAGCUUCUAGUUUAGCAAUCUCAUCUGGCAGCUUGCUGAGUUUAGUGCAGAACUUUAAGUUUAAGAAAACUAACUGCUUUAGCUGACCAAUAGAUCUAUCAAUAUGGACCAACUUCUGACAUCUUUCAAGAAUUAAUCUCUCUAAAAAUACAUGAGAUGAGAAGUCAGGCGUUCUAUUUAACUUUCUGCACCCAGUCAGAUUUAGAACCUUUAAAUUCUUUGCCAUCUGUAAGGGAGAACAACAAAAUUUCAAUCCCAUUAAGGAAAUAGGUAAUUAAAAAAAAUAUAUUGAAAUUAUUUUGAAACACCUCCUAGGCUUCUACCUUGAUGUGGCUCCAUCCACUCCAUUUUUUUUUGUAAUUUUACUCCAUGAUAGAUCAAGAAUCACUAGCUUUGUCAGGGAAAGAGCGGUCAGCUCAAAAGUUGCCGGAAAGUUAUGCCAUGAAAGCCAUCUCAACAUUAAAAAUAUGUAUGGACUCCUUCGGAAAAAAACUGGCUGGAAGAACAUUCAAGCAGCAACCACACCGAAAAGAACUGACUUGAGCAAAACAAUGCAGAUUUGUGCUUGUCUCAUUGGAGUUUAUGCCAUCUACUUGCAAGAACCUUAGGUUUGAUAGACUGGCAAAUGCUUCAUAUGUAAUGUUGUAUUCGCAACUACUUUCAAACUUGAGUCAAAUUGCUUCAACAUUUUCUAAUCCCUGGCCAUACAAAAAGGGAAAUAGCAGUUAGAAAGCACAUAGUUCUUGUUUGGAAAAUUAUAUUCACUUGGGGUGCUAUCUUUCCUCGAAAUUUAUAUAUUACUUUAGGAGAUGUGUCGGUACUGUGAGCGGAAAAGAAAUAAUACACAAGAAAUUCUUUUAAUUGGUGAGUAGUUAAAUAGAACGCUCUUGAGAAUGAAUUGACUUUGUACACUCACCUUCGUCCUCAUAAGCAGAUCAAACACUUCAUCAUGAUUCCAUACUCUGCUUUGCUUCUCUGAUUUCAUAGCACACUCUUGACGAAUGAUUUCACGUCCAAGGUCUCUUAGCUGAUCAUGCAUCCAAAGACAGUUGUCUUCUUUAAUCUUUAUUAAAGACAUCUGCUGGAGGACUGCAAUGGCUUCUUCAGGAAAAAGCUCGCAACUUUCCCACAUAUGGAUCACAAUUCUUUUAUCAAAACCAAUGAAGAAACAGGCAAUAUCAAAGGAAUAUGCUCUUUUGUCUAUCAUCUAAUGCGUCAAAACUGAUCUUCAACUUCUUUUUUAUGUCCUCAUGAAGAACUGUUUCCAGCUUCUUUAAUGUGAUAUCCCGUUGUGCUUUGCUUUUUCCAGAUAAAAGCGAACUCAUAACCUCCAGAGUCAGAGGUAGACCGCCACUAAUGUUCACGGUUUUUGCGGAGUAAGGGAGGAAUUCCUCCAAAGGAUAAUCUCUUCUAAAUGCAUGUCUGCUGAAAAGUUGCAGAGGAUGCUUAAAAUCCAUGCAGGGAAGUUCAUAAGUCCAAUCAACUUUGGGCUCAUGAAGAACAUCCUUGUUUCUGGCGGUAAUGAUAAGCUUGCUUCCUUUGCCAAACCAUUUGCGCUUCCCCAGGAGAGCAUCCAGUCGAAUCCUUUUGUCAACUCAUCAAGUAGAAGUAGAACUCUUUUAGAGAAUAACCUCUCCUCAAUUAUCAUGGUCCCUUCAUCCACAUUAUCAAUGUCCAGCCAUUUCCUUCUAAGGAGUAUAGAGAUGAGCUGAUUCUGCAAAUACUCAACACCCUUCUGCUCGGAAGUUUCUUGUAUGUUAAGCAACAACCCUCAAAAUGAUGGGAGAGUUGGUUGUAGAUGAUUUUGGCAAGUGUCGACUUCCCAACACCAUCCAUGCCGUGGAUUCCAACAAUCGUAGUUUCAUCAGUCUCGGCAAACACCAUUCUCAUUAUUUCACCCACAUGAUUGUCCAUUUCAACCAAGCAAUCAGAUACGACUAAGUAGGCCUUUUUCAACUCAAUUAAAACCUUGUUGACAACUUCUUUUACGAACUCACCUUUACCUCUGAGCAUUAAAGGCAAAAGAACUUAGAUACUAGAUUAAGGUGCAAAAAAACUAACCAAAAAAAGCAAUAACAGAAAUUCAUCACUGGAGCAAAACACAUAAUAGACCAUGAUGAAUAGCAAGACCUGUUCGGAUUGCUCUGGAAAUCCCAUCCCUUUAACGCUCCUACCUCAUCGAGGGCAGCCUUCCACCCAAGGAUGGUAUUCGCAUCAAACUGCUUCUUCUUCAUGUGCGAAAGAAAGGCCUCACCAUAAUCCCCAAUUUUGUUUUCGAACCUCGGAUGGCCUGACAUCGAAGAAAAUGGGCAUGAUCUUCUGCCCCGUAGCUCUCUAGCACUCCAACAUCUGUACCAAUUCCAUAAGACACCACUUACUGUCAGCAUAACCUUUGGAGAAGAUGGGUAUCAAGAUUUUGGACUGCUCAAUUGCCUGGAGAAGCACUGGACCGAUCUCUUCCCCAGAACGGAGCUCUUCGUUAUCUCUGUAUGCUCGAAUUCCAGCAUCAAUGAGACUGGUAUACAGGAUAUCAGCGAUGUCCAAGCGUGUAUCCGGUCCUCUAAAGCUCAAGAAUACUUCGUAACAUGUUGACAUGGCUUCACAACUUCCAGCGUUUGAGAUGAUUCGUUACUAGACAAGCAGCAGCAGAAUCACCGACAGCUUCUGUGAUCCCGUUGUCUGUUUUCACCUCUUCACUGGGUCGUACAAAAAGAUGGAAACAAUGGAAGCGACGACCAAUGCCAAGUGCGAGGACCAACCUGGGUACACCCUCUAAACCUAUGAAAACGAUGCUGUGAAGAUUUCUGUCGGGAUGGGAAACAAAUGUACGUGAGAUCUGCUCAGGUCAAUGAUUGCUGUCAGUCUUUUUCUGGUUAACCUUGUAUCUAAUGUAUUCUAUUGUCUUCAAAAACUUGAGAAGGAAGCUUCCUCUUCACUUCAAUCGAGGCAUACACGGUUUGGUUAUUUUUCUUGGCCAUGAACACACACAAUUAAAACGCGGCCUCUCUAUGGCAGCCACGAGGGAGGUUAGGAUAUCCUCGACGGAGCAUGCGAACAAAAUAGACAGCUUUUGCCGUAUUAGUGAUGACUAACUUGGAUUGUUACUAUUCUUCAUAUACAAAAGCUACUUAUUCCCGAUACGUUGAUGAGUCCGUUAAAACUUUGAAAAUUACUUACCCCAUAGAGGUGGAGAAGUUGCUUAUUACAAACAUUGAUAUGUUAAUUAAAUGUUCUUAUUAUAAUAGAUAGAGCUUGAAAAGGGGUUUGCUUCAACCAAAAUUCAAGCCCUGAAGAUUUCAAGCCACAGAUUCCGAAACCUCGAUAUACUCCAUCUCAUAGGCAACCUCAACAGGGCAUUGCCUCAUACUGGCUAGGUGCUUUGCUCCUGAAGUGCUUCUAAUGAGGUUUGAACCUACACCACGAGAAAAAAGGCAAACUAACUCCCUUGCUAAUUUCUAUAGGCCAAGAGUAACUUUUCCAUGAAAACUCUAGCAAGUGAUAGAUAUGCACUUGCUUUUAGGAGCAAAUACUAAUCAUGAUGAAAAGAUCCCUUCUUAAAACAAUUGACAUAUAGAUAAAAAAAAAUUAUGAAGAGUUACUGACUAAUGGAAGACUAAUAGACUAAAGACUAUUUAUCUUUAUGCAAACAUAGGAAAAAAGGUUACUGAGUACUAAUGAUUACUUAUUUUCUUCUAAUCACCACGGUAAAUUUACUAAUAAAAGUACCUAGCACAUUGACACUUACUUUUUCGAGUGAUUUGACAUAAACCAAGUGGAGGUCUUACUAACCGAUUAAAAAUAUAUUAUAUCUUAAAUGAAAAUCAUGUGAUAAAUAACUUCUCAUGAGUAUCUAUAUUCUCUUCUCCAAAGUCUAGCAUAUAUAAGUAGUUAUAAAUUUUAGGCCAAUUACCAUUUAAAAAAAAAAAAAAAAAACUCCCAACUCUACACUUCUGUUAAUUUCUUUUGCGGAGUAUAAAGCAUAUGAAAAAGACGCCAGUACUUAUUCUUUUGUGUACAAUCUACCCUUUGUUAGUCUGUUAGCCGGCAAAGAAAAAAAGGUCAUGGCCUUAUUGAUGCGGCAACUAAGGUGACUCAGUAUCACCAUCAAGUGUCAUUAACAAGUAAUUAAUAGAAAUUGAUUGUUAAAGAAGCUACUUAUAAAGAUUAGAGAAAAAGGCAACAGAGGAAAAAAGUGCGAGGAAAAUCGAGAGAGAGGGAGAGAUGAAAAGAUGACUGACUCAAUUAUCAUGCAAUCACAAACAGUAACGAAAGCAGAUCAAUGUAUAUUAGUUGAAGUUAACGACCAAUUUCAAAUAGUACUCAGGUCUCAGCACGACCACAUCACUACUCAAUCUCAAGCUCAAUCUUUCGGCUUCUCAGUAUUGUUCAUGAUCAAACAUGUUGGCUUCUUGAAGCUGGUAAGGUUGGGUAGCUUUUCCGAGGCAGUCAAUACGGUACAUCUCCAGUUGUUCUGGUCUGCCUUGAAUCUCAAACAACUUAGGACAACUCCACGGGAGAAGUAUAGGACGCCGUCUCUAUUGAUAGCAAAGCUGCAAGUAUUAACGAUAGUCAACAAUCUCUCGCAUCUAAAUGGCUUAGUGGUCUUUUCGAUUAAAUAAUUUCUAUCAGCUCAGUUCGAAAAAGAUUAUGCUGGUAUUUUACUAGGUACACUAUCGAGGGCAUGCAGCUGCCAUGUUGAAAGGUGAUAGGUGGUACACAUGGCGAAGUUCUUAGAUACAAUCGAGAUUGACUUUAUGGACAAAAAAAAAAAAAAGAGCUAGUGCAAAGUUUGGUUAUCGAAAUUUCCAUCACCUUGGUCCUUCAAAAGUUUGUGUUCUUUGGACUCUCUAAGCUUCUUCCUACAGGUGGGAAAUUCGAGAUGAAUCUUUAUACUCCUUCACUCUCUCUCGACCGCUACAUGACAGAAUACGAACUGUGGAAGAGAAGAAGACUUCAAAUCAUUGAUAGUCUGUAAGUGAGAAAACGGUAGGAACAAAAGAUGCACAGCAGAAGCAAUAUGAAAAACAAUCUUCGAGCCCUCGCUCUUACACAAUAUCAGAAUAACAGUAAUAAGGAGCUUGCAGUACUUAGAGCUUCUGAGAUGCCGCCCAGCCACUGAAAUAAGGCGCAACCAUCGCCUACAUCCUUCCAUCCACCAUACUAAAGUCCAAAAGAGAAAAAAUAUCUUAAAAAAUUACUCUGACAAGUCGGAUUCAACAAGAUCAGACUGCCUCUCUGCCUUCAAAGUUCUCCACCGAUCAUCACAACUCAGAGAAUCUGAUAGCUUCUCACACUUACGUAUAAGCAAAGAUUUCAGCCUCAUGUGGCUUGAUGGAUCGGGAAACUUUCUGACAGAUUUACAGGACACGAUCCAGACUGUCACCAGGGAUUCUAGCCUGCCUUUGAUCUUGACCGCUUUAGGACAGCAGUGCAGAUAAAGUUUCUGGAGCUUCUCUAAGUUGGUUAGGUCAGGCAACUUGUUCAAACAACUCCUUCAAGCUUUAACACUCUCAGGUUCCCCAAACCUUGGAGGCCUCUGAACUCACUUUAGGGCAAUGAGCAACUUCCAAAUCUGACAGCCCUUUCAAAUUUGAAAGGUCUAUUAAUGUUUCCUGCAUGAUUCUAUAUUUAAGUACAACGAAUUUGGGGAAGGCAAAAUGGGCGUCGCAGCUUCUUGCAGUGGACCAGUUCAAGUUCCUUGAGCUGUGAAAGAAGACUAAUGUCUGAAGAUGGGGAGGUGAAAUAAUGACAUUCCAACCGCCAGGACUCCAGCCUCCCUAACCUUCUGAUCCACCAAGGACUUGGAGCCCCAUUGAAUCAGAAGCAUCCUCAAAAUUGUCAAAACCUGGAUUUUCCAUAGAAUUUGAAUACCAGAUAAGUAAGUAAUUUAACAUCGAAUGACACACAUUCUUUUGUUACUUUACAUAAUCAAAACCUUGUACAAAAGAUCCACCUAUGUAUAACACUAAUCUAAAUGUCCCUAAACUCCAAACCCAACUAAUAAUGGACAAUAUUUUGGAGGGGCGGGUCUAAUCUCAGUAAAUGAAAGUUCUAGGUCCACCUCCUCACCAGUCAAUCCAAGAACACAACAGUAUAGUAACAAUUAUUGUCAAUUGGAAAACAAAUACUCACUUAAGGUAUGCAAUUCAUGCAUUAUAUACAAAUGACUAUAAUUAUUUGUGCAAUGAAUAAAAUAGAUGCACUCCAAUGCACACAACUCAAUUACUAAUCUGAUGUGCACAAUACCCAUUGCUCAUCGAUAUACACGAGUUAUUUUAUUCCCUACUUGUCACCGGUCGUAACUCAUCUCAACAAGACAACAUCACCACCAACUCAUGAGAUGAGGUCAUACUACAGUCACAUGAUGAUGGCUAUCCCAUAGUCAUUCUCAUUAACAUUCAUACCCAUUCCAUUUUCUUUCUCAAUCUUGAACCUCAAGUUCAUAAUAUCACAUAUAGGCUAUUUAAUUCGCAUCAUGUUACACAAGUCAUAUCAUUUCAUGUAUGAAUCACUAGACUUCAUAUCGUUUCAACCGUAUAGAGACCCGUCUUAAACGGUAGAAUAUUCGUUUUUUCCAAGAGUCUUAUAAACAUACUCAGGAAAAUUAAUCGUAGUGUUGUUAUAUUACUAACAACACUUGCAGAAUUUCCAUGGAGUUGGUAAUUUACUUAAUUACUAGAAUAUUGAUAAAUUCCCAAUAGUCUUGUUCAUUCACUCACGACAAUGGUAAAAUUUCAAAGGUUUUGAUAAUUUACUACUUCCUUAUAUUGAUAAAUUUCUGAUAGUAUUAGUAUUUAUUUAUUAUACAGGUAGAAUAUAAGAAGAUUUGGUCAAUUUAGUGGAAAUUUUAUAAAUUUCUGAUAAUAUUGAUAAUUUACUGCUGAUUUACGUAACAAGCAGGUAACUUGAAAUGCGGUCAUUAAUCAUUCAGAAGCCCCUGUAGAAAUCCAUUUGAAGUUAUGAAAACUAAAGGACCUUUGUGACCAUUGCACAUGAUCAUUAACUAGAGAGGGUUAUGUUCAUGCUAGACACAAUGUUUUGCCCCUACUUCUUCAUUCCCUCAAUGUGGAAAUUUUCAUGGGAAAUCCUUAACAAUUCUGUGAUUAUGGUCACUGAUGUCAGAUAGAAUUCACGACACUGAAUGCAACCAAGAACAUCAAUCUCUACAAAUGAAAUCUGGAGCAAGUCAUCUUGAAUCCUUGAUGAAUUUCUUCCAUAACGAGAUUUAAUCACUAAGUACACCAGCUAAAAUAUUAGAAGUAAGUAGGACCACAACAGACCAAGAGAAGAAGAAAGAAAAUUGCAGAACCAAUCGAUUAUAGUAAGAUUUCAUGCCUUCCAGGACAAUAUUUCGGUUUUAGCUCGACCUCGACAAGCUCAGAAGAACAACUGAUUCCCAUUUCCCCAUGUAUGGUUUGAACUAGUUCCUAAGGAGCGAAAAUCAAUCCCCUCACGGGUGCAGAACCGAACUGAGGCACAGGAGUAGAGAUGUGUUUCAAUAGAAUGCGACUUGUGGUUUAGACCAAAGCUAUUAAAGAUUAGAUGCAGUUAUGGAAGAAAAAUCAACUGAGUCAGCUCCCGAGCGAGUUCAUCGAAAGGCCGUUUUCAUUUCGUGUGUAGGACAAGUCACGACUGAAAAUAAUAAAAAAACAACUCAAUCCGCCCCAAAUCUUUUCCUAAUCUAUCACAGAUUACAUCGAAGAUUCGCACGCGGACCCAAUUCAUGAAAAUGCGAAGAGAAAAUUACCAGAAAACCAAAUAAAGAUGCGAAGAAGGAAAAAGCAAGACCUUGUUUUAAGACUCGUGGGAACAGAUCGGGGGGCAGGAAGACGGGGGUGGCAGUCCCCGGAGGGAGAUCUCCGCCUGGUCGAAUCGCGUCUCAUUCUUGCGCUCGGGGUCGCCGUCGCGUUCCUUGACAGUCGGAGUCCGUCGCUGCUGGUUCUGGGUGAGCUCCUCGCUCGGGUCGUCGCCGAUGACUGAUGAGGGAGGAAGACGAAGGAAGGAGAACGAAAGAACGUGAGAAGACAGAGAGGGGGGGCAACGGGAGAAAAAACGAAACAAAAAAAAAAAAAAAAAAGAAAGAAGAGAGAAAAAGUUGAUAUUUCUUAAAGAGUGGGUCCCACCUUUACUCGCGUCAUUUGGAGAUAAUAUUCCUCACUAAUCUGAUACGGAAUCUUCUCUCCGUGAUUUCAGUCUCUAAACCAAAAUUCUUGAAAGGCUCUCCUCACUCUUCCUCCAAAAGUUCUAGAGUGGCUCUUCUCAGUUCUUUGAAAUGUUCGUACUGAUCGGAUUCCAGAGUCUCCUCCAGAGUCUCCUCCAAUCUCUCACAUUCCUUUAUACGCACGUGCCGUAGCUUCUUUAAGUUUAAAGGACCAGAAAAUUGAUGCAGAGACCCGCAGCCUUCUAUUUCAAGCAUGCCCAAUGAUUCUAACCUACCUGGAAUCUCAACCACACGAGGGCAAUCUUUUAAAGACAACCGGAAAAGUCCUUGGCAUAGGUCAGGCAACUUCUCUAGCAACGGAAGAUUUUCUAUAUAUAAAGCUAUCAACUUCUCUGAAGCUUCCAAACCUUGAAUCUCUUCUACCUUCCAACAACUACUUAUAAUAUAUACUCGUAUAUGCUUGAAGCUCAAUGGAUCAGGCAACUGUUUGAGUGAUUGACAGUACUCUAAACAAAUAGACUCCAAUGAUUCUAGCUGACCUCGAACCUCAACCAGUUUAGGACAAUAAGAUAUCAAAAAACUACGGAGAUUCAAACCGGUCAGGUCGGGCAACUUCACCAAUGACGGAAGAUGCAAAAGAUUAAGCGAUCGCAGGCUUUUCAAAGGUUCCAGAACUUGAAUCUCUAUUAGCUGUUCACAAUAAGAGAGUUUCAAUUCUGAUAACUUCUCCCAAUAUGAAAGAUUUAUCGACUUUUCCAUUAACCCACGCCCAUCCAAAUGGAAGUAUGACAAAUUCUGAGGAAGCUUAGGUAGCCAUUCUAGGUUAUCUGCGACAAGUUUAAGCUUCCUGAGCUUUGAAAGGAGAUUAAAAUCUAAAGGUAGGGUGACCAAAUCAUCACAAUACAACCCCAAGGACUCUAGCUUUCUUAACCCUCCAAUCCAAUUGAGGCUUGGAGUUGGAUGGGAAGGGCUUUGAUGCUCUAAUUUCAAUGUCAAAACUCUCAAAUUUAUUAGGUUAGACAGAUCUGGGCAUCUCAUCUGUAGAUUAUUGGUUAGGACUAGUUCGGUCAAACUUUCAGGAAGCUUAGGUAUAUUGGAAAUUCUCGUGCCCGAUAACAUCAAGAUUCUUAGAAAUGAUAGCUUUCCGAUCUCACUUGGAAUUUCCCCCCUCAAAUAUCUACAACUGCUAGCAUGGAUCUUUUCAAUCUUCUCCAAUGAUAGUCUUCCAAUCUCACUUGGAUUUUCCCCACUCAAACAUCCAUAACUGCAGGCAUAGAACUCUUCAAGCCUCUCCAACUUCCCAAGGGCGCUAGGUAGCUUUUCUAACAUGGAGUCAAAGAUCCUUAGUAUUCUCAAGUUCUUCAUCGUCUCUAUUGAGUAUGGUAACUCUCGUAUACUUGAACAAGAAAGAUCUAACUCGACAAGAGAUCCAAAAUUUCCAAGUGGAAGUUCACUCAGCAAGCGACAUGACACUGCACUGAGAGUUUCCAAUUUCUUCAUUCCGUUCCAUUCAGGAAUUUUGAUAAUAGAUGUCCCAUCAAGAAGAAGUUCUCUCAAGUCUUCCAUUUCUUCCAUCUCGUCUGGCAAUGUCCGAAGUUUCCCACAAUAUUUCAAGUUUAAUAACACUAAAUGCUUCAACCUACCAAUAGACCUAUGGACUUCAACCAGUUCCGUGCACCCUUGAAGAAUCAGUUGCUCUAAAUUUUCAUGAGCAGAAAGGUCAGGAGUUCUAUGCAAGUUUCCACAUCCAGUCAAAUUUAGAACCUUCAAAUUCUUUGUCAUCUGUAAUGAAGAGAAGAGGUUGAUUCUGAAUACAUUUUGAGAUACUGGACAGCAAAGUCAAUAUAGCAAAUUCAUGUCGAAAUAAUACCGUACCUUGAGGUGGUUCCAUCCCUCCCACUCAUCAGUAAUUUCACUCCUUGAUAGAUCAAGAAUCAUUAGCUUCUUAAGACAAAUUGUCAUGAAUUUGAAAUAGACAGGAAAGUUAUGCCAUGAGAGCAUUAUCAAAUUAGGAAGCAUGAUCGUAUUCCUCUGGCACAAGUUGGUAGAAGGAAAAUGCUGACCGUUGCUCUCAUCCAAGUCUACACAAUCCACUUGAAGAAAUCUUAAUUUUGAUAGGCUUAUAGGUUCUUCCUUCUCAAUUAAGUCUUGAAAUUGAUGAUCAAACCUGAGACAUAUUGCUUCAACGUUUUCUCUUCCCUACCAAAAAAUAAAAAAUAAAAACAUUAAACAAAAGAUAGUGAUCCCAUAAUUGCCAGUUGAAGGCAUUCGAGUUGAAUAUACUUGAGAAUGUACUUCUUACAUAUAAUUUAAAAUUAAUUUGCAAUAUAAUUUACAGAUGAGCAUGUGAUCUUACUAAGCACACAAGUAAUGACUCGGUUAAGAUAGAAGCAAAUAAGCAAAGUCAAUGUGUAUAACUCAUCUCUUUGAAUAGGAACAACAUUGCAAAUACUUUACCUCCUUUAUUUCAAGGACAUCAAUCGAUUCCUCAUGAUCCCACACCCGACUUUGCUUCUCAAUUUUAAAAUGAGCUCUUUCACGAACGAUGUCUCGCCCAAGGUCUCUUAGUUGUUCAUGCACCCACAGUUGGUUACCUUCGACAAUCUUCAUUAACGAUUUCCGUUGGAGGACUUCCAGAGAACAUUCAGGGAAAAGUUUACGGCUGGCCCAAAUGUAAGUCACAGUUCUCACAUCAAACCCAACAAAGAAGCAACAAACAUCGAGAAAUAUUUCCUUCUCUUGAGGUUCUAAUGCCUCAAAACUGAUGUUCAGCUUACUUUUAACCUCUGUAUUGGGAAUAGUUUUCAAUUUUUCUAAUGUUUUCACCCAAAAUUUUCUGUCAUUUCCAGCUAAAAAUGAACCUAUAAUCUCUAGAGCCAAAGGAAGAUUACCGCAAAUUUCUACCGCUAUUUCCGAGAGGUAAAUAUAUUCUGUUGGGGGAUGAUCUCUUCUAAAGGCAUGUUUGCUAAACAGUAGAAGAGAAUGAUCGAAAUCCAUUUCAGUAAGUUCGUACUUAAAAUCAACAUCUUUGAGAACUUCCUCAUUUCUUGUGGUAAUAAUAACCAUACUUCCUCUGCCAUACCAGUAUUCACCUGUCCCUACGAGAGUGUUUAGUUGAGUGCUUUGGUCGACAUCAUCAAGUACAAGUAAAACCUUUUUAGAGGAUAACCUCUCCCUAAUCGCAGUAAUCCCUUCAUUAAUAGUAUUGAUGGAUGACCAUUCCAUUCUUAGGACUUUAGAGAGAAGCUGAUUCUGCAAAAUCACAAUCUUUGUCUCUCGAAUGUUAGACAGGAAGCAACAGUUAUCAAAAUCAGCCAACAGUUUAUUAUAGAUGAUAGUGGCAAGAGUUGUCUUUCCGACACCACCCAUACCAUGGAUGCCAACAAUCUUUGUUCCAGUGGGCUGUGUACCCAUCUUUUCCAUGAUUUUGUCCACAUGAUCGAAUUUUGUUCCAAUGGUCUGUGUACCUAUCUUUUCCAUGAUUUUGUCCACAUGAUCGUCCAUUUCAACCAAGUAAUCAGGUUCUGCCAAGUUUUUCUUUUUUAACUCGAUCAACAGCGUCCGAACAACUUCUUCUGUGAACUCCCCUUUGCCUCUGACAAUAUUGAAGGCAAAAGGACCAAACUGUUAAAUUGAGAUGAACAUAAUAAUACCAAGCUACAAACAAUCAUGAACAAUAAUAAUUUCAAAUACCUCUUCUUGAGUUCCCAUCCUCUUAAGUCUGCAACCUUGCUGAGAGCUGUCUUCCACUUCUCAAUAGUCUCAUUAGUGAACCGCUUCUUAUUUUUGUGUAAAGUAAUGGCCUCACCGUAACCUCCAAUUUGGUAACGAACCUCAGAUGGUGCUAUGUCAUAGAAAAUUGGCAUGAUCUUUCGUCCAAAGUUUUCCUUGCACUCCACCAUCUGGACCAACUCCAUGAGGCACCAUGGACUGGCAGCAUAUCCUUUAGAUAAGAUAGGAAUCGAGAUUUCUGACUGCUUCAUUGCUUGGACAAGCUCCGGGCCAAUCUCUUCCCCAAUGGGAAGCUCUUCAUUAUCUCUAUAUGCCCGUAUUCCGGCACGAAUGAGGCUGGUGUAAAGGUAAUCAGCAAUGUCAAGGCGAGUGUCUGGUCCUCUAAAGCUCAAGAAUACUUCAUAAUCAGAUCCCGUUGGCUUCUCCAUUUCCUGAAUUUUCAGAGGAUUUGCAAUCACCUGAUAUCCCACCAGAAAAAUGUUUACCAUGAAAGCGGAGUGAUGAUUAUCACGAUUUCUCUUAGAAACUCUUCUGUUUCAAGUAUCUCUAGGAAGAAACCAAGAUGACAAAUGCAAGAGCUUCUGUGCUUUGCACUAGACACCAAAAUAUAGUAGAGAAGUAGACCCAUCUCAAUUCUAAAGGAAGAAAUUUCCAAAGUAUUGCGGAAAUAUAAGCUAUGGUUCACACUUGAAAUUGAUUUGAAAGAAUAAUAUUUUGAGAAGAUAAAUCACUAUCAACCUAUAUUCGUCUUAAACUAUUACUUAUGUGAUAAAGUUCCUCUUAAAAGCUGACGUUGAAUGUCCUCUGCACAUCAUGCCUGCUUCUGCUUGUAGAUUGACUAAUUAUCUUAUUGUCUGAUAAGAAAUAAUGAUGAAACCUUCCUCUUUUAUUUUACCAAAAUAUAUUUGACAGACAUUCCACGACCCUCAAUUAGUGUUCUCUUGGCCUUAACGGACGCAGGUGAAGAAUCGCCCCCAAUGAAGAUCUCUAAUUGGAAAGGCGAAAUCAAGAAAUUACACCGGAGCUACUUCAACCCCCUCCGUUGGACUAGUUUCUAAAGAGCAUAAACCGAUCUCCAAUUACAGGCACAGGGUCAAAGGCGAGCAUUAGAAGCUAACGUUCGCAUUUGCCAGAAAGUAUCAGCAUAUCAGAAAAAGAGGGGUGAACUACUAACCGAUAAUGUAGUUGAUGAAAUUUCAACAGAAAAAAGAAGCAUGAAUGCUAUAAUUGUUUUUCCAGAAAAUAAGUUUGAACACGCAGGAGUGCAGGAACAAGAACUGUACUUUACGGAAGCGGGGACAUUACAGUCUAUUCAAUCUGUCUCUACUGUUGAAUACAGUGUUAAGGGUAUCAAUUUCUGCCUAGGAGCAUUCUUACUGCUAAUCACUGGACAAUAACGUAUGAAUUUGUCGUCUGGAAGUCUCUUAAAGAUACCACUGUCUCUGUUCGCACAGAAAUUAAAAGAACAAAAAAGUCCCAUCAAACAAAUGAAAUCAACAGAUCCACUCAAACUAAUUUAGCCUUGAGCGCCAGCAAUCCACGCGAAAACUCAGAGAGAGAGAGAGAGAGAGAGAGAGAGAGAGAGUACGCGGGUGGCGAGCGCGUAAGACUGAGCGUUGUCGAUGAUGGAACCGGACUUGCCUCCUCCUUCGCCGCCGCCGCCGCCGCCGACGAGCUCACUCCGAGGCUCGACACCGCUCGCCUCCGCUUCACCUUCGUGCUGUGUCUUCUUCUUCGCCAUUCCCGCUCUCUGAUAUCAGAAAGUUCCGAUUUUUCGACACGGUACGAGGUCGAGUGGUCAAGGGUUCAGGCGUCGAUCUUGGCGGUGGUAUUGCGUUUCAGGAUCUGAGGCCUGACAGUUGCAUAGAUGGAAGUGGAUGAGCACUGAGCAGGGUUUUAGCAUGCGACUCAAGUUAGAGGCUAAAGCUAUUAGUGUUAGACGCAACUAGCAGUGAUCAAUCAUAUGAAGUCAACUGAGGAAGGAAUUUGAUGCUGAUCUGAGAGUCCCUCUAUUGUUUCCCUCAAAUUCUGCAUCUAGUUGCAUUACAGAACAGACCCGAUUCAAUAAAAAGAAGGCAAUAAACGAGAGGAAAUUACCGGAGAUGGAGGGGGUGAAGAUGAAGAGUCCAGAUCAAAUGCUGAGAAGCAGAUGAAGAUCCCAAGAAUAAACAAACGCUCUUGGCUUUUGAGUUCAGCUCAAGAGAGGCGAGACUUCUAUGAGACGGUGAAUUCACCCUCCCUCGCCGUGCCCCCUUCUAGGAAAGUGAGGGCUUGCUAGUUGCAGGGAAAACUUCAGGCCGACCGAGAAAAAGUGAAUACGCGUUUUGCUCUCGACUUUUGAGCAAACGAGGUGAGUUACUGGGAAAUUUCUCGAAGUCCGGAGACUUUUUGGCACGAUGGGCGAGAGUACAAGAGCGUUUUCGUUGCAUGUUAUUAGUUUAAAAAUCAUACAAUUUAUAUUAAUUGAUAUUCUUUUAACGACGAUGAAGGUGAAUCCUAGGCCCGUUCAAAUUUUACAUAUAUUAAAUCAAAAAAUGUAGAGUUCAUGUAUUUUAAGUAUGUCAGAAGUACACAUAAUGAGUUUGAAAAAUAAAAAGAAAUCAGAAAAAAUAGCGUCGCAAAUGUUAUAACUUCCUCAUAAUACUUAACUAAAUACUAUAACUUGUUUGAGAUUAAGUAAUAUAAUUUUCGUUUGAUGCUCACUUAAAUACAAUUUUUUUUUUUAUCACUAGUGCCAUGACUUGUCAAAAUUGUUCACCCAAGAAUGAAUGUUCCCGUGAGGACCGCUGGCCUACCUCUGUCCUUCUAGGUUCUCCACUUUUGACGCUUCCUCUUUUCUCCAAAUUUUUACUUUAUUUUUUUUAAUUUUUUCUUAAAAUCUGCUGACACGGCAGCUAUAUCAAUGCCUCCAUCUUCAAGGAAAAAAAGUCAUGAUCAUUUUUCCGAUUAACCAAAUUUGAUGGAAUUAAUAGCAGGAUUUGAUCGCACUAAUUUAAUAAAUUUUAAAAUUUUCAAAAAAUGCAAUCAAAUUUUAAAAUUUGAAGGCACUUUCCCAACAUAUUUUAAGAUUUAUGGAGCAUUUAUUCCCUCUUAUGAGAUAAUAAUACAAAUAAUAUUUAAACUUUGGCUUAAUAUGUAAUGUUAUUCUUAAUUUUUUAAUUUGUUCAAUGUGAUAUCUAAAAUAUUGAUAACUGUUCAAUUUAGUCUUUAGAUUAAAUGCAUUAUUUCCAUAUAGUUUAACGACUAGAUUGGAUAUCUGUUAAUAGUUCAUGGAUCACAUAAAAUAAAUUCCAAAUUCAGAGACAACGUUUGAUAUUGGACAAAAUAUAAAGAUUAUUUAUGUCAUUUUUUUCAUUUUUUAAAUCUAAAAAUUUAGAAACUUAAGGAUCGACAAAUAAUUCACAUAUAAUUUUUUUUGAUAAUUUUAUGAGAUUUGAACAAUAAUUUAAAUUUUGACAAAAAGGUAAAAGAACUAUUAUUUAAGUCCAAGCAAAGAGGCACUAGAUCAAUUAAAUUUCGCCAUUUCUUUACGGUGUCCCUUCGUGUGGGCACCAUUUUCAUGGGAGAGACGACUGGUGCGUUGACGCCAAGGAAAGUGAGGACCUGUUGGUUGCAGGGAAACUUCAAGCCGACCAUGAAAAAGGGAAUACGUGUUUUGCUUUCGACUUUUGGGGAAAUUGAGUUGAGUUUCUGGGAAAUUUCUCGAAGUCCAAAGAUUCUUUGGCGCGAAAGGCGGGAGUACAAGAGAUUUUCCCGGGUGUUAUUUGAUUAGAAAUCAUUCAAUUUAUGCUAAUUGAUAUUCUUUUAAUGACAAUAAAACCCUAAUUUUGUAGGUGAAACCCAGGCCCAUUCAAAAUUUUUUUUUUUUGGUAAAGGUAAGUAGCAGGCCCAUUCAAAUUUUAUGUACACCAAACCCAAAAAUGUAGAAUUCAUAUAUUUUAAUUAAGGAAAAAGGCCACAAUAAACCCCAAACUUUAAUAACCGCGACACGUUUAUUUCACCAAUGACAUUUUUUUCUUAUUUUUUCCGUUCUUCCUUUUUCUUUUUCUUUUUCUUUUCCUUUUUUUCUUUUUCUCUCUUCCCGCCGCCAUGGCCAGGAGGGAAGAGAGAAGAAGAAGAAAAAAAAGAAAUUUUUUUUUUAAAAGUAAAAGAUGAAAAUACCCUAUAGUUCAGAGUAAAUGUGUCACAUGAAUACAAGUUCAGGGAUUUUUGUGUCACAAAAAAGUUUAGGGUAAAUGUGUCAUGGUUAACAAAGUUUAGAAUUUUUUAUGUUAUAAAAAAAAAUUGUAAAUUUGUCACUUUGGGCAAAAUUUAGAGUUUUUGGUGGUUUUUGAGUUCGUAUGACAAAAAAGUUAGAAAAAAUAACACCAUAAAUGCCAUAACUUGCGUACAAUACUCACUUAAACACUAUAACUAUUUUUUUUUUUUUUUGUGGAUUGAGUGAUAUAACUUUUGUUGGGCACUCACUUAAAUGUUGUAACCUUUUUCUUUCAAUCACUUGUGCCAUAACUUUUUAAAAUCAUUCACCCAAGUGUUAAAAAUUCAACAUGAUAUAAUAUUCUUGAUGACCGUUUUUAAAAGUCAUAGCAGUUAAGUAAAGUUAUGACACUCAAGUGAAUUCAUUUUAAAAGUUACAGCACAUAAAUAAUCGGGAAAAAAAAUUAUGGCAGUCAAGUAAAUGUCGUACGAAAGUUAUGACAUAUGGGGUAUUUUAUUUGUCAAAAGUUGCAUUUAGUCAUAUGAGGCGGUUUCCACCGCGGUUUCUCUCCCCCUCGCAUGUGAUUCCGAGGGUCAGCUUCCACCGCGCGUGAUGGUGGCUGUAGUGUCAACACCGAUGAACACUAAUAAGGCGGCGGUAGCAAGGGUGGCAAGGGUGACGAGUCGAGGAGGAGGAGGCGGUGCAAGUCGCGUGAGGCUUGCAAGGCCGCCGCUCUAGCGAGGGCUCGCCUCGUGCCUCGACAACAAGGCGAGCCUUCGCCAGAUCCGGCGGGGGCUCGCCCUGCCGUCACUGGGCACGUGCCAACUAGCAAGGUGAGCCCUCACCAAACUCGGCGAUGGCGAGGCCCCCCUCGCCGGAUUUGGCGAGGGCUCGGCCCGCCAACCGCCUCAGUCCGGCAAUCAGCUAGCCCUCUCCUCUGGCCGAUCGCCGGAGCUAAGGGAAGAAGGAGGAGAGGAGGAGGAAGGAGGGAGAGGGAAAAAAAAUAAUAAAAAAUUUCAAAAAAUAAAAUAUUAUUAAAAAAAUGUUGUCGGCACCAACCGGCCAUUUUUAGCCGGAUGGACCGAUCGGGAAGAAUUGUAAAAGUUUUAGGACUCAAUUGAUCAAAAAAAUAAGUUUAUGACUGAAUUGUCACAAUUGCAAUAUGUUUAAGACUGUUUUGGUAAUUUUCCCAUAAAUAAAGCUCCAAAAAUAUUUGCACUACUAGUGAAAGCUUACCAACUAUAUAUGGUUUGAACAGAACUUCCAAGAUUGGGGACAUCAAUAUGUGCAACCAUAGUAGUGUGUUUGGUCAACAUUUAGCAAGUUGGGUAGCCACCUGACCGUUGUGUAGUUGGAAUAUUUGGGGUGAAAUGGUAAUGUCCAUAUCACCACUAGAAGGCAAGGCAUCCAGAAACUUAUUUUUUACCAAGGAAAGUUUUAAGAGAAAAUCAAUUAUCCUAUAGUCCAAAAAUUGGAAAUUACGAAAUUAUAAGUAAAUCAUUAACUACAAAAUGCAACUUAAUUUACAUUUAUAAAUUAUUUAUGAUUAAACAUAAAUUAAUAAAUAUGUUGAUAUGCAUCGAUGAUGAUUGAUCAACAAAAAGAAUUAUUACAUUGUUUUUAAAUAGUGACGGGUAAAUUAAUUUAAAUAACUAUCAUGAUAAUGUACUAUGGAUAUCUAAAUCUAAAGGAAAUGCAAUCAUACUGUAAAAUCUAUGUUAAAUAUUGUUAUUUUUAUUGCAUUUUAUUCUCAAAUUGGUUUCGUGCCAUUUUUCAUUUGUGUUUAUUUUAAGAGAGGCGCUCAUGCGGUUGCUAAUGCCAAAUGUUCAAUUUUCUAAUCAAGAUAUGAAAAAUUGUUUGAAAAUUUUGGAGAAAUAAAGAUCUUGAAAAAAGGAUAGAAAAAUCAAACGAGAAAUCAUCCUAAAGAGGUGCAAAAGUCUCCAUCAAGUACCUUGGAACAUCAUUUAUUUAAAAAGAAAAUUGAAAAGAAAAAAAAGCUCCAAACAGUGUUCAUGACGGUGGAGAUUGCAUUUGUUGUUGCAGGAAUUCAUCCUACCAUAAUCAAAUUUAAUUCGUGAAAUUUAAUCUGCUUUUGGUUUCGUGUGAAAUUUAUUUGCCCACGUCAUUGAUGGAGCUCUUGAAGAAGCAUGGGAAGGUGGUAGAGAGGGCCAAGUUGGCUUUGCUGGAGUCCGACGAGGAACGUUGGCCAACCACCGUCCUUCUUGGUUCUCCACUGUUUGACUCUUUCACUUUUUUCCAAAUAUUUUUUUCAGGAUUUUAUUUCUAGAAAUCUUGGAAUCAAUUUUUUUCCCUUUUUCUUUUUCUUAAAUUUUGCUGACAUGGCAGCCAUUUCAAUGCCUCUAUCUUCAGGAAAAAAAAAAAGUCAUGUUAUUUUCUCCCAUUUACUGAAUUGAAAGGAGUUAAUAGCGAGAUUUGAUUAUACAAAUUUAAUAAGUUUUAAUAUUUAAUUACACUUUUUCAAAUUUAUAAAAUAUGAUUCCACCUUUAUAACGUACUUUAAGACUUAUGUUUAUCCUCCCUUAAAGAUAAUAAUACAAAUGAUCAUUGAACUUGACUUAAUGUGUAAUAUUAUUCCUAAAUUUUUAAUUUGUUCGAUGUGAUCUCACAAUUAUUUAUAGAUGUUCAAUUUAAUCUUUAGACUAAAUUUGCCAUUUCCAUAUAAUUUAAAAAUUAGAUUGAACAUUAUUAAUAGUUCAUGACCGCAUUGUAGAAAUUAAAGCUUAAAAACAAUAUAACAUAUUUGGACAAAGUUCAUCAAAUUAAACGAAUUAAAAAUUUGGGGCUUAUUUAUGUCAUUUUUUUCAUUUUUUAAAAUCUAAAACUCUAGAAACUUAAGCACAACACAUAGAUUCACAUAUAAUCUUUUGAUAAUUUUUUGAAAUUUGAACAAUAAUAUAAAUUUUAACAAAAAAGUAAAAAAAAAAUUACUUUUUACUUUUAAAAAAAAAAACUCCAGACAAGCAUUAAAUCAAUUACUUUUCGCCAUUUCUUUACAAUGUACCUUCGCGUGCCGGAUGUUAAGAGUGAUAAGAUGCAGAGGACACCUUUUUCAUGGGAGAGACGACUGAUGCAUUGCCAUGUUCUUCAGCGAUAUCGUCCCAUCCAUCCAUCACUAUGUCUCUUUCAUCGCACGAUGCGUCGCCAAGAAACACCUGAAGCUCGGCAUGACCGUCCACUCCCACCUCAUCAAGACCGCACUCGCCAGCGACUCUUUCCUCGUCAACCAUCUCAUUGGCAUGUACUCCAGAUGCUCUUCCAUCCGAACCGCCCACAAGGCUUUUGAUGAUCUCGAUACAAAGAACAGUCACUCUUGGAACACCAUCAUAUCUAUAUAUGCUCGGAUAGGCGAUUUCAAGAAGGCCCUCGUCUUGUUCGAUGAAAUGCCGCAGAGGGCUCUUGUCUCUUAUAAUUCCUUGAUUUCUGGGUUGUCCCGUCAUGGGUUUUAUGUGGAGUCUCUGAGUAUCUUCACGCAGAUGUCAAAAGAAUAUGAUUGUCUAUUCGUGGAUGAAUUUACUAUUGUGGGUGUUGUGGGUACCUGUGCUGACCCGGCGCAUUUGAGUUCUUACGCCAGGUUCAUGGAGUUGCCAUCAUAAUGGGCUUGGAAUUUACUAAGAUUACUUAUAAUUCCCUGAUUGAUGCUUGUGGGAAAUGUGGUGGAGCCGAUAUAUGCUGGGCCUUGUUCGACGUUAUGCCUUAAAAGGAUAUUGUGUCGCGGACUUCCAUAGUUGUUGCUUGUACAAGAGCUCAUAACAUAAAUGAUGCUUGUGUAAUAUUCAACAAUAUGCCAGCGAAGAACAGAGUCUCCUGGACUACACUGGUCGCAGGCUUUGCAACAGAACUUGGACUUCAAUAUCUGCAACCAAAAUUGUAAGUUAGGUUAGCACUUAGCAGGUGCGGCGGUCAUCUAUCCAACCUUUAUCUAGUUGGACCACUUGGGGUGAAGUGGGGGUAUCUCUAUUAACCCUAGAAGGAAUCCUGAAAUUUUUGUUUUGCCUAAGAAAAUUUGAAGAAAAAUUUAAUCAUCCUAUUAUUUAAGAUUUGAAUAGUCCAAUCAUUGGAAAUUACGAUUGGUUAUAAAUAUUAUAAAAUGAUAAGUAGAUGACGAAGCACAAAAUAUAAGUCAACUUAAUUAUAUUCAUAAAUUAGCUAUGAAUAAAAAUAAAUAAAUAACAGAUUGGUAUAUUGAUGCUAAUUAUUCAUAUAAAAAUUGUGCCAUUACGAUUUUUUUUUAAAACAAUGACAAAUUAAAUGAGAUUUCUAGUAACGCAAUAUUGUACUAUAGGCUAACUUUAAUUUAUAGUAAACACAAUAAUAUGGUAAAAUCUACUUUAAAAUCAUAAUGCACGUGAUAAAUUACUGAUAGUGUUGGUAACUUACAACAAUAGUUAAAGUUCAUUAAAAUGUUGGUAAAUUUCUGAUGGUGUUAGCAAUUUACUUACAAUACUGUUAAAAUUUCAGAAGAAUUUGCAAUUUACUAAAUUAAUGAAAAACUGAUAAAUUUCAGAUAGUAUAGGUAUUUUACUACGAGUGUACCUAACAAGCAAGAACAGGUCUUUUUUUUUUUUUUUUUUUACCAGCACGAUUGCCAGCAAAAUUGCAAUAUUACCAACAGGGAAGACUUUUCAAUUCUCAAGUCCUGCGGGACCGUAGACUUUCGCCAAAGAUUCAUACAUCUCCGUCCCUGCGACAAAAACUUAAAAGCCCACUAAAAUUUCAAAUGGUGAAAUUUGAAACGCAGUCAUGAAUUCACUCUAAAGCACAUGUAAAAAUCCAUUUUGAGUUAUCAAAACUAAAGAAGCUUUGUGAUCAUUGCACAUGAUCAUUAACGGGAUGAUUAGCCCCUACUUCUUCAUUUCUUCAGUGUGGAAAUUUUGUGAGAAAUCAACAACAAUUCUGUGAAUAUGGAUAUAGUUGCUAAUGUCUACUUAAAUUCGUGACACUGAAUGCAAGACAUUCUCAGGGUAUUGUCUCAAGAACAUCAAUCUCUGUGAAUGAAUUCUGGAUCAAGUCAUCUUCAAUCCUUGAUCAAUUUCACCGAAAGCCAAAAAUUGCCCUUCAUAUCAAAUGAGGCGACAAUGCCGGAAGAGUGCUACUACCAAGGACGGAUAGAGCUGUCGCUUUUCAAAGAAAUUAUUACAAACGAGGGAAAUUUCAAAUCACCUACUCGUAGAAGAAUCCAUUUUGAAAUCAUCUCUCGACUCUAAAUACGUUUCUAACGAUUUUCUCUAAGUUGCCUCUAAUUGAAGAUAAUUUUUUUAAGUUCAAAUCUGACAGGAAGUUUUUCUGCUUGUCGUAGAAAUAUAUUGAUAUUCACAUCACUUAGUCAUACAAGAACUUUACAUUACAAUCAUGGGAUGUCUUCUCAAAUAGGUUGACAAAGUGAAUGUUGCUCAUUCAUAUGAAAAGUUGAGGGUAGGUAGUUGAUACAAUCCGACGACGAGGAACGGAGGUAGGUCGAUACAAUCUCCCUCCCUCCCCCCUGACGUAGGUAUCCAAAGUGAGCUGACAAUCAGAAAAGAACAGGCGAAACAAAGAGAGAUGACCAACAUCACGCCCUCGUGGAACAGAGCAAAGCGCAGGAAGACGUGGUCACAGACUCACAGUCCCAGAGAGAGAUCCCCGCCAGGUUGAUUUGCACAUCGUGCUUCCACUCGGGGUCGCCAUCGCAUUCCUUGACGGACAGAGUCCCUUGCUGCUGGUUCUGGGCGAGCUUCUUGCUCGGGGGUCGUCGCUGACGAUGGAGGAAGAAGGGAAAAAAAAAUGGAGUGAGAAGAGAGACGCAGCUGGAAGAGAGAAGAAAAAGGAGAAGAAAGUCGAAAUUUCUCAAGAGGGGGUCCCAUUUGUACACGUGGCCAUCGAUUUACGGUCUCAAGUAUACUCUAUACAUGGCACAACGUAUUACCCUCCCAAGUUCUUUUGUCGGCCUUGCCAAUUUUUUCAGAUUUGUGCACUCAUCGGAUUCCAAAGUCUGCUCAAACUUCUCAGAUUCACCUAUAUAAAAACUUGCCAGAUUCUUGAAGCUUGAAGGAUCAGUUAACUUUUGCAGAGACCUGCAGUGAUAAAUAGAAAGCCUCUCCAAUGAUUCUAGCCUACCUCAAAUCUCAACCAGAUCAGGGCAACUUACUACAUUAAGUGGCUCAAGCUUCUUGCAAUUGGUCUGACGGAAGAUUCCUAAGAUUUAAGUACUUCAGGUGCCCCGAAUCUUCUAGGCCUUGAAUUUCUUUUAGCUUCCAACAGCCAGAUGUAAGGACUUGUUCUAUAUUUUUGAAGCUUAAUGUACUAGGCAACUUUUCAAGAGAUUCACAGGACAUAAUAUAAAGUAUCUCUAACGAUUCUAGCUGACCUCAAACCUCAACUAGUUUAGGACAAUUUAAUAUCCACUUUCCUUUUAUUGAUGACCAUGGCGAGGGCAAGACUCAUGCUCUGAAAGCCUUAUGAUCCAUCUCUUUGUUCUGUUAGUAUUUUGUCUACAUAUUUAUAUGUCAAUGAACUGAACUUUGGGUUUCUGUUUGUCCAUCUACUUGCGCAAGUGGUAAUAUACUUAAAUACAUUACCAGAUUUCUUCCAACCCUCUUCCUGUUUGCUUUGCAUGAAGCCGUCCUCUAGAAAUCUUACUUUUCUAAGCUCUGCGAGCCCUAUAUAAUCCAUUACACAGCUAAUCUUUUGAUUAUACCCUAUCCUGAAUUUGAUCAUUUCUUAUGUCAGGAAGAAUGAAUCAGGCUCUCUCAUGUUUUUAUGCCUUUGCUCGAUCUUGGUAUUCACAGUCCAUGCUAAUCGUUGGGUUUAAUGAGCACUUUCCUUGACUCCUCGUUAGUGGUAAGUGAUUUUGCAACAAUAUCUCUAUCAGCGUAAUGAGAAUUGUCAUUCUCACGCUCUGAAUUGAAUUUGCUACAAAACCUAUCCUUUGCUGUUGUCGCCAAGCCCGUCAUACUGAUGCACUGUGUCUAUUUACUUUCAGAUAACAUCGCAUCGAUGUGGAAAAGAAAUUCUGAGUCGAACACUUUUCCACUCGCUUUAUCUCUGGAAUGUCGACCCAUCAUGAUGUAUUAGUAAUUAGAAGCAAGCCAGUCUUGCUAAGGAGUGAAAAUUUUUUUUUUUUUUUGGUAGUUUUUUUUUUUUUUUUUAUAUAAGUUUCUUUGUACUACAGAACUAAUUCUGCGAUGGUAUUCAUGUCGAGAGAGCGGCAAGAAAAGAGAUUCCGGCAUAUUGCAUAUAAUUUCUUUGAACGCAACAUGUUGGAAACCGCCUCUAUUUUCAUUUUCCUGUAUCGUGCAUAUUAAAAGAAAAACAAGAGAACAGAACCAACUUGACCUGGUUAGUCAUUUGAUGAUUUGGUUCUGUAUUUUUGGCAGGGUUCACAAUUCAAUCGAUCCUAUUUAUUUAAGAUGAGUUGGUUUGUGAAAAGAAAUUUAUGUAAAAAGCGGAAACUUCUAAUUUGACUUCAUCUAGAGAUCGUCAGUUUUCUUGCCGGCUUGUUGGUCAUUCCUAGGAUCUUAUACUUUCACUUGCUUUCCUCACUUCUUGAAUCAAAAUUCCCUUGCGUGUACAUUCAAAACAACAGGCUUUGAUAAUUUGUCGACAUUUCCUAGUACUGACACACAAAAGUCAUCUCCAUGUGUGAUUUGCACCAAGAUUUGCAGUUUCACAUCUCAAAGGGGAGGAUGUUUGCUUGACCUCGGCACAAAUGUCUUUCGGGAUGUCUCAGAUGCCGGUCUCUUGAGCUGGUGAAUCCUUCUCCUGUUCUUCUGUUCCUUUCAGCUGGUGAAAUCUUCUACCCUGCUCUUCCUCCAGGAAGGCGUAGCGGUCGAUUGAUCUGUUUGUGGAGAUAAAAUUUCUCCUCUCUCUGAACCUUCAAUCUCCUCUGCAUUAAUUUGUAUAACACCGACCACUCCAGUUAGUUAUGGUACGCUCUGCCCUCAUGCAGAUCUCCUACUUCUUAUGUCCAAAUAGACUUGUCUUUGAAUCGUGUCAGCUACAACCCAUCAGUGCCAGUGAAACUCGGCCAAACAACAGUGUGCAUUAGACAGAGAAAAGAGAGCUCUUUCUGCUCACACACAUUUUAUCAAAUGUUACCAUGGUAUGAACGAUGAAGAGAAAUCGAAGGAUGAUGACUCUCCAUGAACUAACAAACGGCGGCAUCAACUGGCAUUUCCAUCUCAUAAGACUUGAAGUCUGAUUCACUCAGUUCCUCAUAAUAAGACAUUAAGUCCGAUUCACUCAGCUCCUCAUAGGCCUUGUAAUCAUCCGUAAUGGCGAUGUACCCAUCUCGCUUCAUCUGUCCUAAGAGAGACCUUAACAAAAAAUAAAUAUCACCCUUAUGAGGGUACCUCUUGUCCUUGACAAUGAAGACAAGAACUUGACCCUGAAUUUCUAUCCAUCUACAACCAGGCUGCUUGACUACUCCCCGUUGCCUCAUCAGCUUCCUUAUUCUGAGUUCUGACAACUUCGCCCCAUUUUUUGCGUUCUGCAUACAUGUUCAAAAGCAGAACGUAAGGUCCGGAGUUCGAAGGGUCGAUCUCUAAUAGCUUCUCUGCUACGUACUUUCCUAAUGUUAUACCUUAUGAACUUUGCAGGCUGCAAGCAGCGAACCCCAAACGACAAUCAGGUUGCAUGGGCAUUGUCUCUAUUAAGUCCUUAGCUUCACUGAGACAACCGGCUCGGCCAAGUAAAUCAACCAUGCACGUAUAAUGGUCCUUUACCACUGCCAGAUCAUACUCCUCAACCAUCUGCUUGAAAUAAUGGCGCCCCUCUUCGACCAGCCCUGCAUGGCUGCAAGCACAUAGAACCCCGAUCAUAGUGACACGGUCUGGUCUCUCGCCAGAUACCAACAUUUUCCUGAAUAUUUCAAGCGCCUCUAUUCCAUAACCGUUCUGUGCAUAUCCAACAAUUAUGGCAUUCCAUGACACCUUGUUCCUCUCCAACAUAUUCUUAAACACCCAUAAACCAUCUUCCACAGCUCCACAUUUAACGUACAUGUCUAUAAGAGAAUUUCCAAAAAAAAUAUCUGAUUCUUCUCCAGACUGGAAGCGGAAUCCAUGCUUCAGGACAUGAGCGUGAGCCUGCUGGCCCAACUGCAAAUCGGCAAGAUUCGCACACACAUUAAGCAAAUUUCCGAAUGUGUAGUGCAUCGGCUCAAUGGCUUCCCUCUUCAAAAGGUGAACCAAAUGCUUCUUCAUUCUGUCCAUUCUGUGUAUACUCUGCAAUGAGAGCAUUCCAAGAAACUACAUUCUUCUCCACCAUCCUCAUGAACAUUACUCUUGCAGUUUUGAGACUGGCUGCUUUUGCAUACCCGCUCACCAUGGAGGUGGCUGACACUAUAUUUCUGGUAGGCAUUCUAUCAAAAACUGCUCUGGCCUCACUAAUUCUGGAGCACUUAGAGUACAUAUCAACCAAUGCAUUUCCUAAAACAACAUCAUUCCUAAAUUUGUCACAUUUUACAAUAUGGGCAUGAAUUUGCAUCCCUUCCUUAAGUGCUGACAAGCUAGCGCAGGCGCUGACCACACUGGCUAAAGUAACCUCAUCUAUUUCAAACCCACAAUCUAUCAUGCUCACGAAAACCUCAAGAGCUUCACUGGCUGGACCAUUUUGUUCAUAACACGUAAUCAAGCUGUUUCAAGAAACGAUAUUUCGAGAAUUCAUUUCAUCAAAAGCCCUCUGUGCACAAGCCACGUUCCCACACUUGGAGUACAUGUCGAUAAGAGCAGAGCCCAUAUGAACAUCAGAUGAGCACUUGGACUUCAAUAUCAAAGCCUGAAUCUGUUGGCCCAGAUACAUAUCUGCUAACCCGGCACAUGCGCUAAAUGCACUACCAAAUGAGUACUCAUUAAGCACAUAAUUCUCCCUAUGCAUCUUACCAAAACGUUGCAGGGCUUCUUUGAAUCUUUUGUGCUGCGCAUAACCUGAGAGCAUCGAAUUCCACAAGCACUGGUCGGGUUCCGGCAUUGACCUGAAUAUCUUUUCCGCUUCAUCAAGAGACCCCGAUCUGAUCAACCCGCCUAAGAUCGCGUUCCACGUGAAGGUAUUCUUCUCGGGCAUUCUAUCAAACACCCUGCGGGCGUCGUCAGGGCACCCGCAUCUCGCGUAGACGUCGAUGAGCCGGUUCUGGAUAAAAACCUCGGCGGAGAACGGGGUCUUGAUGAUCCGAGCGUGGACGCGGCGUGGGUGGCGGGCUGACUUGGACAGGCCGCAGCCGUCCAGGAGCUUGGCGAAGGAGAGGUCGCCCGCCAGAGCCUUGACCCGCGCAUGCCUCGCCAUUCCAUCAUAUCAUCGUACGAAGCGAACUCUGUCGGAGAAGAUUCGCAUAGAUGCAAAUUGAGUGCGAUGGAGAGUUUCUGUUGACCGUUACAUGCUUCCCCACUUCAGCCAGACGGACGGGAAUAUGUCGAGAGCGCUUAUAUGAAGAGCGAUGGCAAAGUCGCAGUGGCAAAAUGGUAAUUUCGGCAUGACAAUAUAUUAAUUAGACUCGUGACCAUGAAUUAUAUUGUUGGUUAUGAGUAAAUCUAAGCUACAAAUUAAAAUGUGUCAUAGAUUUAAUAUCUUGUUGUAAGUCACUAAAUAAAAAUAUUUCAUAUUUAUAAUCUAUACAACUUAUUGCUUUAUCAAUUAUUAUUAUAAGUUUAAUAUAUGACAGAUCAAUUUUAUAACCGAGUUAUUUACAAAUCAAACAUAAAUUCUUGUCUAGUAAUUUUGAUUAUUUUAAGUAAUUCAUCAUUAAAAAAAUGCAAAAAGCAAUUCUAGAGAAUGAAAAUUGGAUCUAUGUCGGAUUACAUGGGAUAGCUUUUCAAUGGCCCCCCUCCCAUGAGGAAUAGCUAACCUUGAUUUUAAGAGUAUAGCAACUUCUCUGAAGUAACUAAUCUUGAUUUACUUCUUAGCCAACUAAGGACUAAGUGUCUCAUCAUGAAUAGGCCAGGAAUAGAUAGUUACUGUGUCGUUCUUGGAUUAAUCCAAAGUACUACUCACUUUGGUCCGUCCCAUUUUGAGUCUCAUGGUUUUGUCCUUCAAGCAUAUGGGCAAACACUUUUUCAAUAGACUAUUGUGACAUUUUUGGAUUAAUUCACUUGAAAUAUUAUCCGCUUUUACUCAUUUCAUUCCGAGUCUCACGAUUUUGUCUUUGGGCAUAUAGGUAGACACUUUCUGAAAAGGUAACCCAUGUUAAUAAUAUUCUAGUCUAAUCACACUCAACUUUGGAGUGGAAUUACAGAUAGGUGAAGUGCCUACCCAUAAGCAGGAGAUCGUCCUGUUUUGGUAAGAAAAAUCAAUUAACCUUCUAAAGUGUGCGUUCAUGUGAGCCCUUGCGAGUAGGGGUGAGCAUGGUCCGGGUUGGUCCGGGCCACCCCCUAAGCCUAGGACCAACGCGUACAGUGUCGGUCCUCAAUUUUUAGGACCGAGGACCGACCCUAUUAAGCUUGGGACCAAGGACCGGACCGACCCAAUGGGUUCGGUCCGGUUCCAGGGUCAACCCGGGACCGAUCAAUGAUUUUUUUCGUCUUAUUUUUUGUACUCCAUAAAAAAGCAAACCUACAAAUUCAAAUUACACAUCUAUCGACAAUGCAACAUUGUGCAACUAAACUAUAAUUAUCAAUAUAUAUUUAGCAAAUUUAAGAUGACACAAUAAUAAAAAUUUCGUACAUGCUAACCGCUCAUGGAGAUAUGGGACAAGAUGGAAAGUUUUUGUAAUCAUCACUUAAUUAGCAAAUCACCGUAGAAUUGCAAUACUACUCUACUCUUCAAAAACUUCUACUAUUUGACACAAAUUGAAAAGCAAAGUGCAGCUGAAAUUUAUUAGUAGAAUACAAUUAAAUUAUAAAGAGUUCAAAAUACUUAAUAUAAACCAUAAAUAUAUAACUUCACAUAUUGUUAAUUCACCUUAAUUUCUAAAAACCUGAAAACAAAACAAACGACACAUAAUUAAUACUCAACAAAAGUUUUAAAUUUAAAUUACUAUUAGUGCUAUUGAUAGAAUAUCUCAAUAUAAUAUAAUAUAACAAACAUUUUACUUAGGUUUGAAUAUAUAAAAGAAUUAUAAAUAAUAUAAUAUAAUAUACAGGGUUGGUCCAGGGUUGGACCAACCCAAAACUCUUAGGACCGAGGACCAACCCACACAGUGUUGGUUCUGGAAUUUCAGGACCAAGGACCGACCCAGUCCCCUUGGGAACCGGACCAGGACCGGCAGGGUUGGGCCGGUCCAGGGUCGGUCCAGGGUUAACCCUAAACCACUGCUCACCCCUACUUGCGAGGGAGAGCUUCGUGAUAAGAAAUGAAGCCCAUCUGAAUCCACAUCCAAUUUUUCAAGGCUUUGCAACUCUUUCGGCUUUAUGCGACCAAGAACCGUCAUAGCUGAGAGUUGUCUCAGGUUUUAGAAAGGUCUAUUGAUGUUCUUAUUUCCUAGCGAAGUAUGAUAUGUAAGACGGACAAAACUCCUGGGAAGUCUAGGCAAGAACCUGAGGUUCUUAAAAAUCGAGAACAAGUUUCCUGAGCUUGCAACUCCAAGGACUUCAGAUGGUGUAACCUGUCAAUCCACCGAGGAUCAUGGAGCUUCCUCACGCCCGUAACUGUCAUAAGAAUACCUCGACACAUACAAACGCAAGCUUCUCGGAUUUAAUUGGUAUGGGAGAUCUGGAAAUCUGUACAUUGAGAAAAUUACAAGCACAGAUUAAUUCCAAGCCCACAACACCGUAGAAUUUUGCCCUAAAGAUUCAUACAUUCUCUACUUCUGCAACAAGAACUUAAAUCCCAAUUGAUAAUUUCAAUUGUUCAAACAUGAAACACAGUCAUUAAUCAUUCAGAAGCCCCUGUAGAAAUUUGUUCUAAGUCAUCAAAACUAAAGGACCUUUGUGACCAUUGCACAUGAUGACUUAUCAAAACCAAAGGACCUUUGUGACCAUUGCACAUGACCAUUAAAUAGUGAGGGUUAUGUUCAUGCUAGACAAGAUGUUUUGCCCCUACUUCUUCAUUUUCUCAAUGUGGAGAUUUUCAUGGGAAAUCCGCAACAAUUCUGUGAAUAUGGUCACUGAUGUCUAAUGGAAGUCACGACACUGAAUGCAACACAUUGAACAUUAAUCUCUGCGAAUAAAUUCUUAAGCAAGUCAUCUUGAAUCCUUGAUGAAUUUCUCCCAUGAUGAGAUUAAUUACUAAUUGCAACCGCUAAAAUUUUUAGAAGUAGGACCAUAACAGACCCAAAAAGGAAGAAAAAUUCCAGAACCAAUCGAUUAUAGUAAGUUUUCAUGCCUUCUAGGACAAUGAUUCGGUUUUAGCUAGACUUAACAAGCUCAGAAGAAGAACUGCUUCCCAUGUAUGUUUUGAACUACUUCCUAAGGAGCGAAAAUCAAUUCUCUAAUUGGUGCAGAAGUGAACUGAUGCACAGGAGUUGCAAUGUGUUUCAAUAGAAUGUGAUUUGGUUAAGGCUAAAGCUAUCAAAGAUUAGAUGCGCAGAUGGAACAAUAUCAAUUGAGUCAGCUGCCGAGUGGGUUCAUGGAAAGGCUGUUUUCAUUCCGUAUAUAUGAUAAGUCAUGACUGAAAAUAAUAAGAACAACUCAAUCCGUCCAAAUCUUUUCCUAAUUUAUCACUGAUGCAUUAAAGAUUUGCACACGGACCCAAUUCAUGCAACAGCAAAGAGACAAUUACCAGAAAAGGAAUACAAGUGAAGAACUGCGUCUAUACAGAGUUUUGAGUUGCUGGCCAACCACUGAAAUCAGGUGCGCAACCAACAUUUACUUUCUACCAUUAACCAAACUCAGAAGUCCAAGAGAUAAAAGUAUCUUAAAAACAACAAAAAGAUACUCUAAGUUGGAUUCCGCAAGAUCAGACUGCGUCUAUUCCUCAAGUACUUCACUGAUCAUCAGCACUCAAGAGAACAUUCUACCUUCUCACGCUUGAGUGUAUAAAAUGAUUUUAGCUUCUUGAUCCGGUAACUUCUCCAAAGAUUUAAAAGGAACCUAUCGAAAGUUGCCUCCAACGAUUUUACUCUGCCUCGGAUCUCAACCACUUUAGGACAUCACUGCAGGUAAAAUUUCUGGAGCUUCUUCAGGUUCGUCAGGUCAGGCAACUUGUCCAUAGAUGGAACUCCUUCAAGCUUGAAGGCAAUUGGGUUCUCCAAAACUUGGAGGCUUCCGAACUCUCUCACUUUAGGGCAACGACCAACUUCCAAAUCUGACAGCGCCUUCCAAUUUGAAAGGUCUAUUCACGUUUUUAUUUCCUUGCAUGAUUCGGUAUCUAAGUACAACAAAUUUGGGGGAAGGCCAGGUCGGCAGUGCAGCUUCUUGGAGGGGACCAGUUCAGGUUCCUUGAGCUGUGAAAGAAAAAUGAUGUCUGAAGAUGGGGUGAUGAAAUAAUGAGAGUCCAACAGCAAGGAUUCCAGCUUCCCCAACCUUCUGAGCUACAAAGGACUUGGAGCUUCAAUGAAUUUAGAAGCAUCAUCCAAAUUGUCAAAACCUGAAUUUUACAUGCAAUUUGGAUAUUGAAUUAGUAAGUUACUUAACAUCAAGUGAAUGUACAUAAUUUUUUUUUUAUUACUUUACGCAAUUAACCUUAAAAAGAUAUGUAGAAGUGCUAAUCUAAACAUCCCUAAACUCCGAACGAAUCAAUAUGUAUAAUAUUUUUGAGGGAAUGAGUUGACGUUCAGUAAAUGAUAGCUCUACUGCCAAAAUGGGAGGCCUACCCACUACUCGACCUGAGAACAUAACAAUAACAAUUAGCAAAUAAGGUCAUAUAUUAUUAUCAAUAGGAAAACCAAUAUUCACCUGAGACAGUGUAAUCCGUGCAUUAUAUAAAAAUGACUAUAAUUAUCUGUGCUAUGAAUAAAAUAGAAGCAAUGCAUGACAUUCGUUUUAAUGCUAAAAUGCACACAAUUGAUCAUACCAAAUCUCAUUAUGCAUAGACAUGAACAGCUCAUCGAUAGACACAAGUAAAUAUCUAUUACCUACUUGCUACUAGCCAUGACUCAUCUUGACUAACUCAACUAACAAGACAUUAUGACCACUAAAUAAUGCAAGAAGAAAUCAUAAAUACAUAUUUACCACGCUUCAACCCAUUCCUCACAGGUAUCCUCCAACGAUGAUAAAUACAGUACAAACACAUAAUGACAGCUAUCCUAGACUCAAUUCUCAUCAAGAUUCAUACCCAUUCUAUUUUCUUUCUUUUCUCAAUCUUGGACCUCAAGUUCAUAAUAUCAUAUAUAGGCUAUUCAAGUCACAUCAGGUUACACAAGUCAUAUAAUUUCAUGUAUAAAUCAUUGUACUUUACAUUUUCUCAAUCUUAUAGAGAACGGUAGAACAUCUGUCUUUUCCCAGAAUCUUAUAUACAUACUCAGAAAAAUUAAUUAUAGUGUUGGUAUAUUGCUAACAACACUUGUAGAAUUUCAAUGGAGUUGGUAAUUUACUUACUAUGGGGAACAAGCACACUUGAAGAGUGCAGCACAAUGGAAAGUUGUAUGUCGUGUUCAAAAGUAUUGUUAUUAAUUUACUUACGAUACUGGUUAAAUUUCAAAUGAGUUGAUAAUUUACUACUUCAUUGAAAUAUUAGUAAAUUUCUGAUAGUGUUAUUAAUUCACUUACGACACCGGAGAGUUUCCAGAAGACUUGGUAAUUUACCAAUCUAGUGGGAAAUUGCUAAAUUUCUGACAGCUUUGGUAAUUUACUACCUCUUUACCUAACAAGCAAGUAACCAGUCAUUUUCUUUUACCAAACAAUUCCAAUUUUGCUGGUAAUACCACCAAAAAUUUCAAAUGAUGGAACUAGAAACGCAGUAAUGAAUCCACUCAGAAGCACCUGCAGAAAUCUGUUUUAAGUUAUCAAAACUAAAGAACCUUGGUGACCAUUGCACAUGAUCAUUAUCUAGGGAGCGUUUUAUGUUUAUGCUAGACACAAUGUUUUGCCACUACUUCUUCAUUUCUUCAAUGUGGAAAUUUUGAUGGGAAAUCAGCGACAAUUCUGCGAAUAUGUUUGCUGAUGUCUGAUAGAAUUCGCGACACUAAAUGCAACACAUUCUCAGGGUAAUGCCUUGUGAACAAUAAUCUCUACGAAUGAAAUCUGGAGCAAGUGAUUUAAUCACUAAGUAAAGUAGGACCACAACAGACCAAGAGAAGAAGAAAGAAAUUGCAGAACCAAUCAAUUAUAGUAAGAUUUCAUGCCUUCCAGGACAAUAUUUCAGUUUUAGCUAGACCUCGACAAGCUCAGAAGAACAACUGAUUCGCCAUGUAUGUUUUGAACUAGUUCUUAAGGAGCGAAAAUCAAUCCCCUAAUUGGUGCAGAAGUGAACUGACGCACAGGAGUAGCAAUGUGUUUCGAUAGAAUGCGACUUGUGGUUUAGACCAAAGCCAUUAAAGAUUAGAUGCAGAUGGAAGAAAAUUAACUGAGUCAGCUCCCAAGCGAGUUCAUCGAAAGGCUGUUUUCAUUUCGUAGGUAUGACAAGUCACGACUGAAAAUAAUAAAAAACAACUCAAUCCGUCCCAAAUCUUUUCCUAAUCUAUCACAGAUUACAUCGAAGAUUCGCACGCGGACCCAAUUCAUGAGAAUGCGAAGAGAAAAUUACCAGAAAACCAAAUAAAGAUGCGAAGAAGGAAAAAGCAAGACCUUUUUCUAGACGACCUACAAAACUCUCGUGGGAACAGAUCGGGGGGCAGGAAGACGGGGUGGCAGUCCCCGGAGGGAGAUCUCCGCCUCGUCGAAUCGCGUCUCGUUCUUGCGCUCGGGGUCGCCGUCGCACUCCUUGACUGUUGGAGUCCGUCGCUGCUGGUUCUGCGCGAGCUCCUCGCACGGGUCGUCGCUGAUGAGGGAGAAAGACGAUGGAAGGAGAACGAAAGAACGUGAGAAGACAGAGAGGGGGGGCAACGGGAGGUAAAACGAAACAAAAAAUAAAUAAAUAAAUAAAGGAGAGAGAAAAAGUUGAUAUUUCUUUAAGAGUGGUCCCACCUUUACGCGUCAUUUGGAGAUAAUAUUCCUCACUAAUCUGAUACGGAAUCUUCUCUCCGUGAUUUCAGUCUCUGAACUAAAAUUCUUGAAAGGCUCUCCUCACUUUUUCAAUAAGGCCUCGUACGUUUUUAUUUCUCGAAUUUGUUUAAAAAUAGAUUUUGUGAUUUUUUAUUUCUGUAAACAAAAAAAGAACAGAAACGCGUUUAUUUGCAUUCCUGUUCUUUUUUUAUUUUUUCGUUCCCGAAACAAAAUUGAAACAAAAAAAAGAAACAAAAAAAACUUACUUCUGGAAUCCAGAAACACUUCUUGAAGGCCUAAAAAGAACAAAAAUAAAAGAAUAAAACCGGAACACUUCUGGAGAUGGGUUCGUUCGUGCCUGAAGGCUUUCGUUCAUGUUCUCCCUUUCCCGGCGUCUCUCCCUUCUCUCCGGCGCCUCCCACUCGGUCGACUCUUCGGCGACUCCCCACUCCGCCGACUCUCCAGCGCCUCCCCACUCAGCUGACUCUCCGGCGCCGACAGGUGGUGCUCCUUCAUCGGCUGAAGCUUCCGAAUCCAGGUAAGUUUCUGCUGCUCCUCCUUCUCUGUUCGAAGAGGGCUUCAGCGAGAGCCACCCCUUGCAAAUCUAAGCCACCUUCGCCGACAACCGGGACGCUCGCUCCAGCGACAGCUCGCUCGAGCCUCAAGCGAGCGUUGCUCGCCCAGAUCUAUGGCAGAUUUGGGCGAUGGUUGCUCGCUUGAGGCUGCUCUACCGAGCUCGAGCUGCUGUGGUUGCUCGGCAGAGCAGCUCGGGUUGCUCGAGUGGCAAAGCAGCCUCUCUGCCAACUCGAGCGAGUGACGCCGAGCCCCAAGCGAGCCAUCGCCCAGAUCUACCAGAUUUGGGCGACGGCUGCUCGCCGGAGCUGCUCUGCUUGCUCGGUAGAGCAGCGCAGCUCGAUCGAGCGAGCUACUCUGCCGAGCGAGCUGCUCUGCUGAGCGAGCAGAGCAGCGUAGCUCGGUCGAGGGAGCUGCUAGCUCGCUCGACCGUGGCUGCUCUGCUGAGCGAGUAGAGUAACGGAGUAACGCUCGCUCGAGCGAGAUUGACUAAUUUCAACUUCGAGUUUCGGCAUUUUUCCCUUCCAUCUCUCCUCCUGCUCGCCAGCCGUGCCCUCACACAUUCUCUCUCUCUCUCUUCCUCAGCUUUGAUUUUCCGAGUGAUUCCGUCGGAUUUUCCCAAGAAAAUUUGUCCAAUGAGGUAACGCUUUCGGCUCCCCCUCAAUUGUUUCCGCUUCCCCUCCUCUCUCUUUUCUCUAUUUCUUUUCGUCUCCGUUGACCCGCGGAAAUGCAGGCUGCAGGAAGAGCUCUCGCCUCGGGCCCCGUUCGAUUCGUCUCCGGCUCAUUCUCGAGGGAGUCCGUGGAGGGCUAAGUGAAAGCGCGCUCCUUCCCGCGGUACAUUCGAUCUCAAGGUGGUAAUAAUCCGAAUCUCGGAGUCUGCAGCGUGCCGCGUCAGUUUCAAUAGGACCCUAGAGCUUGCACUUGUUCCGCGGCGAGCGAAGGGUGAAAUCUAGAGGCGAAAAACUUGAGCUUUUGAAUGAUUUGGUGGUUUCCGUUGUCGUUUGUUUCGUUGUGUGUCUUUUAUCAACUAGUGAGUGAGACGAUGAAAGACUGAUGCUUGGGGGUAUCGUACGCCAACCCUUUGUCACUUUUCUUGAAACUCUUCACUUUUUGGCUUGGUUGGAGCAUAGUUCUCUCUCUCUCUCUCUCUCUCUCUCUCUCUCUCUCUCUCUCUCUGAUGAUUCCUUCAAGUUGCCAUUUUGUCCCAUGUUGUUGCAAUAUGAUUCUAUGCUUGAAAUUUCGAAACUUGAGUAUUGUCCAUAAAUUUGGCAAUUCCAAUUGGUCUUUUGGUCUGUCGAUCAGUAAUAUGUACCGCAGCCCCAAAAUGUGACCUUGGACCAGUAAUUCUUGCUCCAACCACGUGCUUUCUUUAUUUCAUUCUUUUGUGUGCUGAAACUACUAUAGAUGCUAUUAGAUAAACAAAAGUUUCCAUUCCUUGGAACAAUUUUGUAGGGGGAGCGAGAUAAAAUAAAAGAGGCUGUAAAAAUUUAGUUCAGGGGCAAGAUAUAAGAAUGUUACAUGAAAUUUUAAAAGUUAAAGUUAACAGAAGGCACUAAGGUCCAUCAUUAUUUGCACGAGUGAAAAAGGUGAAUCUUGUCGUCUAAAUUCCGUUUGAAUUCCUUCUACUUAUUCAAAGAAACCUAAAGUUGAUAAAGAUUAACAAACUGGCAUUUGCCUCAUGGCUUAUUUCGAAAGAAGGUAAGAACCAAGGGUAAUGCUGCCUUGUGUUGGCUGAAAUUCAUAGUUGCAUAUUGUAUGUAACAUUACAAUGAAAUGCUCAGGCUGAUCAUUUGGAUUUCACAGCUCAAAAAUUGGUUGGAGAGAGAGCAUUCUGUUUGAUUGAUCAUUGCUAGUCAUAGUACUAUGUAGUUCUUGUAGCUCAAAUGCAACUUAUGAUCUGUUUUACACAAGUUAGUUCAAGAAUUAUCAUUUUUGAAAGUUAAGUCUUCUUGGCUUGCAUCUCUUGAGAAUGCUUUUGUGUAUGACAUAUAUAGUAUUAUGUUAUUGAUUUAACUGAUAACUCAUAUGCUGCUCAAUCGAUCAAAGAUUAAAUGGCAUCUGAGGCACAGAAAUUCAGUGCAAAGUGGACCAAGUUGGUGACCAACCUAUUUAUCGGUUUGUUGGUGGAUGAGGUCAAAAAGGGAAAUCGAACCUCUUCUACUUUCAACAAAGCAGGUUGGAGGAAUAUCCAGACUGAAUUUGUUAUACAAACAGGAUGCCAAUAUAGCAUGGUCCAGCUAAGAAACAAGGUGAAUAAAUUGAGAAAACAGUAUGGUAGUUUUCGGAAACUUAUGUCUCAGUUUAGAUUUGGUUGGGAUAAUGUCAAUAAAAGAGUUGUUGUCGACAAUCCAAGCAUCUGGGAAGCUCACAUCAAUGUAUCUUUUUUUUUUUUUUUUUUUUUUUUUUUAACUUUUUCGUCAUUUUGAUGUCAUUAUAUAUGUAUAUUUUAAAAUGUAUGAUUAUAUUGUUGAAAUGUCAUUACUGUGAAAAUUGUAGGAGAAUGUAGAGUGGGCCAAAUUCAGGAAGGAUGGAUUUCCCUAGUAUCCCGAGCUAUGUUUUGUAUUUGGUGAUACAUAUGCUGCUAGAGAAUAUGUCAUUAGAAAUGCUCAAGAUGUGACGGUGUCGAAGGAAGAUGACAACGGUGAUGGCAAUGGAGGUGGUGCCAACAGUGGCUACAAUGCAUAUGGUAACAACAGUGGUGGCAAUGCCUAUGGUGAUGCUGGUGGUGCCCAUAUAGAUGACUUCGGUGAUCACCACACUGAUGAGAGAGUCUUCACAUCAGACGAUGUUGGAAUUUCAACUCGUGGAAAGCACAGAUUGGAUAGGACUCCAAACAUUAAGAGGAGAAGGAAGAGUACCCAAAACAGUAUUGAUGACACUUGCAAAACCAUACAAGACUUUUUGAAAGUUAAGUCAAGUCAUCUGGUAGUGGCUCUGUGACCUCCGGGGUUAUGCCAUCACCUGUGGACCCUUUCUCCGUAGAGGCUGUGAUGGAUAUUCUACUUAGUAUGCUCGAGAUAGACUAAGAUGUUUACAACAAAGCAGUGGAUCAAGCAUGCGAUAGUGUCUCAUGGAGGGUGGCUUUCAUUAAAUUCACACCUGAAAGGAGAAAUGGACUUUUUUUAUCAUCUUUAGUAGAUGUUUGGAAAUAUAUUAUGGAUUGAAUGGCCUUGCAUUAGAUUGUAUAACUUUAUGUUAUGUAUUAAUAUUUAGUUUUUAAAGAUAUUAGUAUUGAGACUCUUGGUACUUAUAUAUAAUGGUAUCUUUUAUUGAGACUAUGACUUAUGUUAUUGAUUGUUAUUGGAUAUAUUUUCAAAAUCUAUAUUGAUGUUUGUAUAUUUUUGUGAUGGUAUAGGUACUAUGAAAGAGGGAUCAGAUAGUAUAUGUAGUGAACAAGUAGAACAAGUUCAACAAUUCUUGGAUGAUGAUGAUCUUCGCAUAUUCCUAGCGUGGUUAUGCACGGUUGCGAUUAACACGUCCGUGCAUACAAGAGAACCUAUUAGGGACAGCAAAUUAUUAGGAUCCGAAUGGAUAAUGGAGAUUGUUUCUGGACAUUCAGAUAGGAUAUAUGAAGCCUUCAGGAUGGAGAGGCAUGUUUUUAUGAAUUUAUGUGAUUUGAUGAGAGUAAGAGAUUGGUUAAAAGAUAGUCGAUAUAUUCGAAUAGAUGAACAAAUUGGGAUAUUCUUAUCUUUGGUUUGUCACGGUAGCUCAAAUAGAGAUUUAUGUGAGAGAUUUCAACAUUCUGGAGAAACGAUCAGCAAGUAUUUCAACAAAGUGUUGAAAGCAAUUAUCAAACUUUCAAAAGAGAUAAUCAAACCAUUGUCCUUUGAUGUCAUCCCACAAGAAAUUCUUAUGGAUUCUAGUCAUAAGCGCUACUUCAAGGUAUGAUUUCUAUAUUAACUUUAUAUCGUCAAAUACAUGUUGUUCAUAAUCUUAUAUAAUCUUAGAUUGACAAUAAAUUGACAGGACUGCGUAGGUGCUAUGGAUGGCACCCAUAUAAAUGCUAUUAUCCCGGUAUCUGAGCAGGUUUGAUUUAGAGGCAAGAGAGGGACUACCACCCAUAACGUGUUGUGUGUUUGCUCAUUUGAUAUAAAAUUUACUUUCGUGUAUGCUAGAUGGGAAGGAUCUGCCAAUGAUUGUCGAGUGCUUUCAGCAGCACUCGAAACUCCUCAAUUGCAAUUUCCCCGACCACCACCUGGUAUUUAUUUUGUUUAUAUAGACAUUUGUGAUUAUAUUAUGGUUGAAUAUCACAACAAAUUUAUAUAUAUCAUGUUGUAGGGAAAUACUACUUGGUAGAUUUUGGUUAUGCAGUACUUCCGGGAUUUUUAACUCAAUUUAGAAAGGAACGGUAUCAUCUCAGCGAAUAUAGAGGGAGUGGAAGACGGCCAAGAACAGCAAAAGAGUUAUUCAACUAUAAGCACUCUUCACUAAGAAAUGUAAUUAAGAGGUCAUCCGGGGCAUUAAAGAAUUGCUUCACCAUUUUGAGACAUAUGCCUCCAUUUACAAUUCGGAAGCAAGCACUUGUUGUAAUUGCAUGUUGUGCUCUUCAUAAUUACAUUCGUGAUCAAGAUAAGAUGGAUAUAAAUUUUUCCAUUUAUGGAGAUCCGGAGUAUCCAUUUGGACUUACAGAAGUGGAGGUUGCAGAUCCUAGUCAUGAGCAGGAAUCUAGGAUAAACAUGCUUAGGAUAAGUAUUGCAAAUAAAAUGGCAAUGGAUCACAAUAUGCAUGAGAUUUGUUGACCUCUGUAAUAUUGUUUUUAAGUAUUCACUGUGAUAAAGUUGAACAAUGAACUAUAUUGCUUCAUUAUUGUGAUGUCAUGUAUGGAAGGGUUCAUGUUGAGAUGUAUAAGAUACUAUUCUUUUUGCUAGUUCUUAUUGUACGAACUUUACUUAUAAUUUUUUUUUUAAGUAUGCACAUAUGACUAUGUUGGAAAUAUUUUUCUUCACUCACCAUUAUCAAAAUUAAAUUGAUGAGCAUUUCAUGAGAAUGAGAAUUCAAUAUCAAGUUUAUAUGUUAUAAAAAUAAAAAAUAAAAAAAAGUACUUGAAAAAAAUUUGAUACAAACUUUACUUACAAAAUUUUCUACCAAGUAUGCUAUAUGAUCAUGUUCAAAAUGUUUGUUUUCACUCACCAUGAACAAAAUAAAAUUAAUGAGCAUUACAUGAGAAUGACAAUUCAAUAUCAAGUUUAAACUUUAUUUUAAAAAAAACAUUUUUUUUUUAAAAUUUAAAAACAGAAAUUUUGUACAGUUUACUAAACGUGUUUCUGUUCUUUUUCUAUUCUAGGAACAGAAAUUGAUUGCAGUUACCAAACGUGUUUUUGUUCUUUUUUUAUUUCAAGAACAGUUUUUUUUUUUACACUUACCAAACGCGUUCUUUUGUUCAAAAACUGUUCCCCAGAAUAGAAACACUUUUUUUUUUUAAUUUCUGUUCCCUGGAACAAUUUUUGAACAGAAACGUUACCAAACGUGCCCUAAGAUUAUAGAAAGGCUCUUCUCACUUCUUUCAAUCGUCCAUUCUCUAGGGCAUUCGAAAGGGUCUCCCAUGUUUGUACUCAUCGGAUUCCAGACUCUCCUCCAAUCUCUCACAUUUCCUUAUAAUACUCCCCAAACAUAGAUUCUUUAAGCUUAAAGGUUAAAAAAAUUGAUGCAAAGACCCGUAGCCUUCUAUAACAAGGAGGUCCAAAUGAUUUUAACAUAUAUGGAAUCUCAACCACACGAUGGCAAUGUUGAAAAUAAAAAGUUUGAAUGUCCAUGGCAUUGGUAAGGUCAGGCAACUUCUCUAGCAUUGAAGAUCAUGUAAAUAUAACUAUUUCAAGUUCUCCGAACCUUCCAGGUCUUGAAUCCCUUCUACCUUCCGACAACUAAUUAUAUUAUAAAAUUCUAUAUGCUUGAAGCUUAAUGGAUCAAGCAGCUGUUCGAGUGAUUGACAACACAUUAAACUAAAAAGCUUCAACGAUUCUAGCUGACCUCGAACCUCAACCAGUUUAGGACACUCAUUUAUCAAUAAACAUUGGAGCUUCUUCAAGCUGGUUAGGUCGGGCAACUUCACUAGCAACGGAAGAUACCCAAGCCUAAGCAAUCGUAGGCUUUUCAAAGGUUCCAGAACUUGAAUCUCGUUUAGCUGUUCACAAUAAAAGACUUCCAAUUCUGAUAACUUCUCCCAAUAUGAAAGAGUUAUCGACUUUUCCAUUAACCCACGCCCAUCAAAAUGGAAGUAUGACAAAUUCUGAGGAAGCUUAGGUUGGCAUUCUAGGUUAUUUGCGGGGAGUUUAAGCUUCCUAAGAUUCGAAAGGAGAUUAAAAUCUAAAGGUAGGGUGACCAAAUCAUCACAAUACAACCCCAAGGACUCUAGCUUUCUUAACCCUCCGAUCCAAUUGAGGCUUGGAGUUGGAUGGGAAGGGCAUUGAUACUCUAAUUUCGACAUCAAAACUCUCAAAUUUAUUAGGUUCGAGAGAUCUGGGCAUCUCAUCUAUAGAUUAUUGGUUAGGACUAGUUCGGUCAAACUUUUAGGAAGCUUAGGUAUAUUGGAAAUUCUCGUGCCCGAUAAUGUCAAGAUUCUUAGAAAUGAUAGUCUUCCGAUCUCACUUGGAAUUUCCCCCCUCAAAUAUCUACAACUGUUGGCAUGGAUCUUUUCAAGCUUCUCCAAUGAUAGUCUUCCAAUCUCACUUGGAUUUCCCCCACUCAAACAUCCAUAACUGCUGACAUAGAUCUCUUCAAGCCUCUCCAACUUCCCAAGGGGGCUAGGUAGCUUUUCUAACAUGAAGUCAAAGAUCCUUAGUAUUUUCAAGUUCUUCAUCGUCUCUAUUGAGUCGGGUAACUCUCGUAUGCUUGAACAAGAAAGAUCUAACUCGACGAGAGAUCCAAAUUUUCCAAGUGAAAGUUCACUCAGUAAGCGACAUGACACUACACUAAGAGUUUCCAAUUUCUCCAUUCCGUUCCAUUCAGGAAUUUUGGUAAUAGAUGUCCCAUCAAGAAGAAGUUCUCUCAAGUCUUCCAUUUCUUCCAUCUCGUCAAGCAAUGUCUGAAGUUUCCCACAGUAUUUCAAGUUUAAUAACACUAAAUGCUUUAACCUACCAAUAGACCUAUGGAACUUCAACCAUUUCCGUGCACCCUUGAAGAAUCAAUUGCUCUAAGUUUUUAUGAGCAGAAAAGUCGGGAGUUCUAUGCAAAUUUUUGCACCUAGUCAAAUUUAGAACCUUCAAACUCUUUGCCAUCUGUAAUGAAGAGGAGGUUAAUUCUGAAUCAUUUUGAGAUACUAGACAGCAAAGUCAAUAUAGCCAAUUCAUGUUGAAAUAAUACCAUACCUUGAGUUGCUUCCAUCCCUCCCACUCAUUAGUAAUUUCACUCCUUGAUAGAUCAAGAAUCACUAGCUUCUUAAGAGAACGUGCGGUGAACUUGAAACAUACAGGAAAGUUAUGCCAUGAGAGCCAUCUCAAACUUGGAAGCAUGAUCGGAUUCCUUUGAGCCCAGUUGGUAGAAGGAAAAUGCUGACCGUUGUUCUCAUCCAAGUCUACACAAUCCACUUGAAGAAAUCUUAAUUUUGAUAGGCUUAUAAAUUCUUCCUUCUCAAUGAAGUCUUCAAAUUGACUAUCAAACCUGAGACAUAUUGCUUCAACGUUUUCUCUUCCCUGCCAAAAAGAAAAAAAAAAUUAAACAAAAGCUAGUGAUCACAUAAUUGCCUGUUGAAGGCAUUCGGGUUGAAUAUACUUGAGAAUGUACUUCUUACAUAUAAUUCAAAAUUAAUUUCCAAUAUAAUUUACGGAGGAGCAUGUGAUCGUAUAAGCACACAAGUAAUGACUCGGUUUAGAUAGAAGCAAAUAAGCAGAGUCAAUGUGUAUAACUUGUCUCUUUGAAUAGGAACAACAUUGCAAAUACUUUACCUCCUUUAUUUCAAGGACAUCAAUCGAUUCCUCAUGAUCCCACACCCGACUUUGCUUCUCUAGUUUAAAAUGAGCUCUUUCAUGAACGAUGUCUCGCCCAAGGUCUCUUAGUUGAUCAUGCAUCCAUAGUCGGUUACCUUCGACAAUCUUCAUUAACGAUUUCCGUUUGAGGACUUCAAGAGAAUAUUCAGGGAAAAGCUUACGGUUGGCCCACAUGUAAGUCACAGUUCUCAUAUCAAACCCAACAAAGAAGCAACAAACAUCAAGAAAUAUUUCCAUCUUUGGAGGUUCUAAUGCCUCUAAACUGAUGCUCAGCUUACUUUUAACCUUUGGUUCGGGAAUAGUUUUCAACUUUUCUAAUUUGGCCACCCAAAAAUUUGGGUCUUCUCCAACUAAAGAUGAACCUAUAAUCGCUAGAGCCAAAGGAAGAUGACCACAAAUUUCUAUCACUUUUUUCGAGAGGGAAACGUAUUCUGCUGGGGGAUGAUCUCUUCUAAAGACAUGCUUGCUAAACAGUAAAAGAGAAUGAUUGAAAUCCAUUUCAGUAAGCUUGUACUUAAAAUCAACAUCUUUGAGAACUUCCUCGUUUCUUGUGGUAAUAAUUACCUUACUUCCUCUGCCGUACCAGUGUUCACCCGUCCCUACAAGAGUGUUUAGUUGAGUGUUUUGGUCGACAUCAUCAAUUACAAGUAAAACCUUUUUAGAGGAUAACCUCUCCCUGAUCACUAUAAUCCCUUCAUUAAUAGUAUUGAUGGAUGGCCAUUCCAUUCUUAGGACUUUAGAGAGAAGCUGAUUCUGCAAAAUCACAAUCUUUGUCUCUCGAAUGUUAGACAUGAAGCAACAGUUAUCAAAAUCAGCCGAUAGUUUAUUAUAGAUGAUAGUGGCAAGAGUUGUCUUUCCGAUACCACCCAUACCAUGGAUGCCAACAAUCUUUGUUCCAGUGGUCUGUGUACCUAUCUUUUCCAUGAUUUUGUCCACAUGAUCGUCCAUUUCAACUAAGUAAUCAGGUUUUGCCAAGUUGUUCUUUUUUAACUCGAUCAACAACGUCUGAACAACUUCUUCUGUGAACUCACCUUUGCCUCUGACAAUAUUGAAGGCAAAAGACCUGUUAAAUUGAGAUGAACAAAAUAAUAUCCACGCUACAAACAAUCAUGAAAAAUAGUAAAUUCGACUACCUCCCAUUAAGUUCCCAUCCUCUUAACGCUCCAACCUUGCGGAGAGCUAUCUUCCACUUCUCAAUAGUCCCAUUAGCAAACCGUUGCUUAUUUUUGUGUAAAGUAAUGGCUUUACCGUAACUUCCAGUUUGGUAACGAACCUUUGAUGGUGCUAUGUCAAAGAAAAUUGGCAUGAUCUUUCGUCCCCAGUUUUCCUUGCACUCCACCAUCUAGGCCAACUCCAUGAGGCACCAUGGACUGAUAGCAUAUCCUUUAGAUAAGAUAGGAAUCGAGAUUUCCGACUGCUUAAUCGCUUGGACAAGCUUCGGGCCAAUCUCUUCCCCAAUGGGAAGCUCGUCAUUAUCUCUAUAUGCCCUUAUUCCGGCACGACUAAGGCUCUUGUAAAGUAUAUCAACAACGUCAAGCCGAGUGUCCGGUCCUCUAAAGCUCAAGAAUACUUCAUAAUCAGAUUCCAUUGGCUUCUCCAUUUCCUGGAUUUUCAGAGGACUUGCAAUCAAUUGAUAUCCCACUUGAAAAACGUUUACUAUGAAAGCCGAGUGAUGAUUAUCACGAUUUCUCUUAGAAACUCUUCUGUUUUAAGUCUUUCUAGGAAGAAACCAAGAUGACAAAUGCACGAGCUUCUUCUGCGCUUUGCACUAGACACCAAAAUAUGUUAAAAUAUUUUAUUAAUAAUAUAGUAGACAAGUGGACCCCUCUCAAUUCUAAAGGAAGAAAUUUCCAAAGUAUUGCAGAAUUAUAAGCUAUGCUUCACACUUGAAAUUGAUUUGAAAGAAUAACAUUUUGAGAAGAUAAAUCACUAUCAACCUAUAUUCGUCUUAAACUAUUACUUAUGUGAUAAAAUUCCUCUUAAAAGCUGACGUUGAAUGUCCUCUGCACAUCAUGCCUGCUUCUGCUUGUAGAUUGACUAAUUAUCUUAUUGUCAGAUAAGAAAUCAUGAUGAAACCUUCCUCUUUUAUUUUACCAAAACAUAUUUGACAGACAUUCCACGACCCUCAAUUAGUGUUCUCUUGGCCUUAACGGACGCAGGUGAAGAAUCACUCCCAGUGAAAAUCUCUAAUUGGAAAGGCGAAAUCAAGAAAUUACACCGGAGCUACUUCAACCCUCUCCAUUGGUCUAGUUUCUAAAGAGCAUAAACCGAUCUCCAAUUACAGUCAAAUCUUAGUUUAUUAACAUACAGGCACAGGGUCAAAGGCGAGCAUUAGAAGCUAACGUUCGCAUUUGCCAGAAAGUAUCAGCAUAUCAGAAAAAGAGGGAUGAAUUACUAACCGAUAAUGUAGAUGAAAUUUCAACAGAAAAAAGAAGCAUGAAUGCUAUAAUUGUUCUUCCAGAAAAUAAGUUUGAACACACAGGAGUGCAGGAACAAGAACUGUACUUUACGGAAGCGGAGACAUUAUAGUCUAUUCAAUCUGUCUCUACUGUUGAAUACAGUGUUAAGGGUAUCAAUUUCUGCCUAGGAGCAUUCUUACUGCUAAUCACUGGACAAUAACGUAUGAAUUUGUCGUCUGGAAGUCUCUUAAAGAUACCACUAUCUCUGUUCGCACAUAAAUUAAAAGAAGAAAAAGUCCCAUCAAACAAAUGAAAUCAACAGAUCCACUCAAACUAAUUUAGCCUUUAGCGCUAGCAAUCCACGCAAAAACUCAGAGAGAGAGAGAGAGAGAGAGAGAGAGAGAGAGAGUACGCGGGUGGCGAGCUCGUAAGACUGAGCGUUGUCGAUGAUGGAACCGGACUUGCCUCCACCGCCGCCGCCCUCCCUCCUCUUCUUCUUCUUGCCGCUCCUCUUCUUCGGAUCGUCGUCGCGAGGGACGCCGCCGCCGUUGAGGAGCUCACUCCGAGGCUCGACACCGCUCUCCUCCGCUUAAGCUUCGUGCGCUCUCUUCUUCUUCGGCAUUCCCGCUCUCCGAUAUCAGAAAGUUUCGAUUUUUCAACACGGUACGAGGUCGACCGGUCAAGGGUUUAGCCGUCGAUCUUGGUGGUGUAUUGCCUUUCAGGAUCUAAGGCCUGACAGUUGCAUAGAUGGAAGUGGAUGAGCAGGGUUUAGCAUGUGAGUAGAGUUAGAGGCUAAAGCUAUUAGCGUUAGACGCAAAUGGCAGUGAUCAAUCACGGAGUCAAUUGAGGAAAGAAUUUGAUGCUGAUAUGAGAGUCCCUCUCUUGUUUCCAUCAAAUCUGCAUCUAGUUGCAUUACGGAACAGACCCAAUUCAUUCAAAAGAAGGCAAUAAACGAGAGGAAAUUUCCGGAGAUGGAGGGGCUGAAGAUGAACAGUCCGGAUCAAAUGCUGAGAAGCAGAAUCGUUCUUGGCUUUCGAGAUCGGCGGAAGAAAGACAGAGACUUCUAUGAGACGGUGAAUUCACCCUCCCUCGCCGUACCCUUCCAGGAAAGCGAGGGCUUGCUUGUUGAUUUUAAUCAUCCUAUUAUUUAAGAUUUGAAUAGUCCAAUCAUUGGGAAUUACGAUUGGUUAUAAAUAUUAUAAAUUGAUAAGUAGAUGACGAAGCACAAAAUAUAAGUCAACUUGAUUAUAUUUAUAAAUUAGCUACGAAUAAAACCAAAUAAAUAUCAGAUUGAUAUAUUGAUGCUAAUCAUUCAUUGAAAAAUUGUGCCAUUACGAUUUUUUUUUUUAAACAAUGACAAAUUAAUUUAGAUUUCUACUAACGCAAUAUUGUACUAUAUCUACUAUGAUUUAUAACACAGUCAUAUGGUAAAAUCUGCAUUAAAUUCAUAAUGCACAUGAUAAAUUACUGAUAGUGUUGGAAACUUACAACAACAGUUAAAGUUCACUAAAAUGUUGGUAAAAUUCUGAUGGUGUAAGCAAUUUACUUACAGCACUGAUAAAAUUCCAGAAGAAUUUGUAAUUUGCUAAAUUAAUGAAAAAUUGAUAAAUUUCAGAUAGUAUAGGUAUUUUACUACGGGUGUACCUAACAAGCAAGAACCGGUCAUUUUUUUUUACAAGCACGAUUGCCAGCAAAAUUGCAAUUUCACCAACAGGGAAGACUUUUCAAUUCUCAAGUCCUGCGGGACCGUAGAAUUUUGCCAAAGAUUCAUUCGUCUCCGCCUCUACGACAAAAACUUAAAAGCCCACCUAAUAUUUCAAAUGGUGAAACUUGAAAUGCAAUCAUGAAUUCACUCUAAAGCACAUGUAAAAAUCUGUUUUGAGUUAUCAAAACUAAAGAACCUUUGCGACCAUUGCAAAUGAUCAUUAACUGGAUGAUUAACCCCUACUUCUUCAUUUCUUCAAUGUGGAAAUUUUACGGGAAAUCAACAACAAUUCUGUGAAUAUGGAUAUGGUUGCUAAUGUCUACUUAAAUUCGUGACAUUGAAUGCAAGACAUUCUCAGUGUACUUUCUCAAGAACAUCAAUCUCUGCAAAUGAAUCCUGGAUCAAGUCAUCUUCAAUCCUUGAUCAAUUUCACCGAAAGGCAAAAAUUGCCGUUCAUAUCAAAUGAGGCGAUCAAAUGAGGCGACAAUGCCGGAAGAGUGCUACUACCAAGGACGGAUAGAGCUGCCGCUUUUCAAAGAAAUUAUUACAAGCAAGGGAAAUUUCAAAUUGCCUACUUAGAAGAAUCCAUUUGGAAAUCAUCUCUCGACUCUUAGUACGUUUCUAACGAUUUUCUCCAAGUUGCCUCUAAUUGAAGAUUCAAUUUUUUUAAGUUCAAAUCUGACAGGAAGUUUUUCUGCUUGUCGUAGAAAUAUAUUGAUAUUCACAUCACUUAGUCAUACAAGAACUUUAUAUUACAAACAUGGGAUGUCUUCUCAAAUAGGUUGACAAAGUGAAUGUUGCUCAUUCAUAUGAAAAGUUGAGGUAGGUAGUUGAUGCAACCCGAAGACGAGGUCAGCAAUCUGGAAUAGAGGUAGGUCGAUACAAUCUCCCUCCCUCCCUCCUGAAGUAGGUAUCCAAAGUGAGCUGACGAUCAGGAGAGAACAGGCGUAACAAAGAGAGAGGACCAACAUCAUGCCCUCGUGGAACAGAACGAAGCGCAAGAAGAUGUGGUCACAGUCCCAGAGGGAGAUCCCCGCCAGGUCGAUUCGCACAUCAUGCUUCCACUCGGGGUCGCCAUCGCAUUCCUUGACGGACAGAGUCCCUUGCUACUGGUUCUGGGCGAGCUUCUUGCUCGGGGGUCGUCGCUGACGAUGGAGGAAGAAGGAAAAAACAAAUAGAGUGAGAAGAGAGACGCAGCAGGAGGAGAAAAGAAAAAGGAGAAGAAAGUCAAAAUUUCUGAAGAAGGGUCCCACCUGUACAUGUGGCCAUCGAUUUACGUUCUCAAGUAUAUCCUACAUGGCACAACGUAUUACCCUUCCAAGUUCUUUUGUCGGCCUUGCCAAUUUUUUCAGAUCUCUGUACUUAUCGGAUUCCAAAGUCUACUCGAACUUCUCAGAUUCACCUAUAUAAAAACUUGCCAGAUUCUUGAAGCUUGAAGAAUCAGAUAACUUUUGCAGAGACCCACAGUGAUAAAUAGAAAGCCUCUCCAAUGAUUCUAGCCUAUCUUGAAUCUCAACCAGACCAAGACAAUUUACUAGAUUAAGUAGCUCAAGUUUCUUGCAGUUGGUCAAGUCAGGCAACUUCACUAAGGACGGAAGAUUCCUAAGAUUUAAGUACUUCAAGUGCCCCGAAUCUUCCAGGCCUCGAAUCUCUUUUAGCUUCCAACAGCUAGAUAUAAGGACUUGUUCUAUCUUUUUGAAGCUUAAUGGAUCGGGCAACUUUUCGAGAGAUUCACAGGACAUAAUAUAAAGUAUCUCUAGCGAUUCUAACUGACCUCCAACCUCAACUAGUUUAGGACAAUUUAAUAUCCACAUUCCCGUGAGCUUCUUCAAGUUGGUCAAGUCAAGCAACAACUUCACCAAAAAUGGAAGAUGAUCAAAAUGAAGCCAUUUCAGGUUUUCCAAACGUGCAAGACCUUGAAUCUCAAUUAGCUGUUCACAAUUAUUGACUUCCAAUUUUGAUAACUUUUCCAAAUAUGAAAGAUCUAUUAAAUUUCCAUUAAGCUUUGCCCAAAAAUACGGAGGUGUGACAAAUUCUGGGGAAGCUUAGGUAGGCAUUCUAGCUUAUCUACAAGGAGUUCAAGCUUCCUGAGCUUAGAAAGGAGAUUAAAAUCUGAAGGUAGGGUGGCUAGACUAUGACAACACAACAUCAAGGACUCCAGCUUUCUCAAUCCUCCGAUCCAAUGGAGGCUUGGAGCUGCAUGGAAUAGGGCUCCAUACAUCAAACCCAACUCCAAAACUCUCAAAAUUAAUAGGUUUGAGAUAUCUAGCAAUCUCAUCACUGACCUGGUUGUAAUGUAUAGAUUGGUCAAACUUUCAGGAAGCUUAGGUACUUUAGAAAUUAUCAUGUCCGAUAAUCUCAAGAUCCUCAGCAAUGGUAGUCUUCCAAUCUCACUAGGAAUUUCCUCCAAAUUUCUACAAUUUUCGGCAUCUAUCUCUUCAAGCUUCUCCAACAUUCCAAGGGCACUAGGUAGCUUUCUUAAGUGGGUGCGAUGCAGUCUUAGUACUCUCAAAUUCUUUGCCACCUGUAAUGAAGAGAAGAUGUUAAUUCUGGACCAUUUUGAGAUACAAGACAGCAGAGUCAAUAUAGCAAAUUAAUUGUGAAAUAAUACCAUACCUUGAGGUGGUUCCAUCCCUCCCAAUCAUUUGUAAUUUUGCUCCAUGAUAGAUCAAGAAUCACUAGCUUCAUACGGGAAAAUGCGGUCAACUGGAAAAAAGAGAGGAAACUCAUGCCAUGAGAGAUAUCUCAAAUUCUGAAGGAUGAGUAGAUUCCUUUGGAACCAAUUGGUUGGAGGGAAAUACUGAAUGAAGUUAUGCCAUGAGAACCAUCUCAACUCCGAAAGAAUGAGUAGAUUCCUCAGGAACAAGUUGGUUGAAGGAAAAUGCUGAAUGAAGUUAGGCCAUGAGAGCCACCUCAAAUUCGGAAGGAUGGGUAGAUUCCUCCUAAACCAGUUGGUUAAAGAAAAACACUGAAUGUUGUUCAUAUCCAAGUCUCCACAUUCCACUUGAAGAAACCUUAAAUUUGAUAGACUUUCAUAUUCUUCAUGUUGGAGUUUUGUUUGUUAAAACAAAAGGAGUGCUUUUUUCUUUGUCCCAUAGAGAAAAGGUAGGAGGAAGUGGGCCGAUUUUAAAAUGUGGGAUUUCCUUUUUGUAGUUAAAGGAAUGAUUGGGUGGGGCUAGACCCCACCAUACCCGCGUGUGGGUGCGCGAAUAAUUGCGCGAUUUUGGCGUGAUUAUUUGGCGCACUUAGCACUUUGCACGCCCGUGGAUUAAUUAGCACUAAUCCCUUUGUUAUUUAUUUAUUUUUUUGUUAUUAUUUUUUUAUUCAAUUCAAAGGUUGCCUUUUAUUUUGAAAAUUUUCAGAAAUGAAAUAUAAAAAUGAAAAUUCGAAAUUUUAUUUAAAAAAUUAUUACUCAGAAUUUUGUUUGUGUCUUUUCAAGACAACCUUUGAAAAAUUACUUAUUCGAUUUUGCAACUUUUCCCGAAGGGUUGCAAUUUUUCGGUUUUCAACUUCUUCCGAAGAGUCGCAUUUGUUUAUCCGAACAAUUUUCUAAAGGAUGUGUUUGUUCAUUCUUUGGCAAUUUUCACGAAGAGUUGCAAGACUGUUUCAUAUAUAUACUUGUUAAUUUUCGGAAGGAAAAAGUGAUCAUUUUUUAGUCUUCUUUUAGAAAAACUGCAGCUAAUUUUUCGAUUGUUUCCUAGAGAAACCCUAGAGAAAUACUAGAAUUGAUAUCUAGCAUUCUCAUCCGAGACUUUGUUGUAUCCUGGAGGACUUUUGCCAGUGACCAUUAGCAACGUUGUGGGGCAAAUAAAUCUUUAAAGAUAGUAAUAUCAUGCCUCAAAGUCCGAGUUGUUUUACUCGAUCUGAUUGCUUUGUCCAACCCAUUUCGAAGCCAUAUUUUUCCAACAAUUUUAAGGAUUUAUCUUGCUACAAUGGAGUCAGAGACAAUCAAAGUUAUGAAUCAAGAUAUGGUCAAACUAGACCGGUUCGAUGGGAACAAUUUUGCUCGCUAGAGGGACAAGAUGAUGUUCUUACUCACUGCUCUGAAGAUCUCCUACAUACUGGAUCCUAACUUAGCGCCUAUAGAAGAUCCUAAGCCUACUUCCGAUGGAGGACUUGGCGCCUAUAGAAGAUCCUAAGCCUACUUUCGAUGGAGGACAACCAAGUGCGGAAGCCAUUGAGAGGGUUAAUAAGGAAAAGAAGAAACGUGUGGAGGGUGAAUUACUUUGUCAAGGACACAUUCUGAAGACACUCUCCGAUCGUCUGUACAACUUAUUCAUUGAAAUGAAGUCGGCCAGAGAAAUCUGGAAUGCAUUGGAAUUCAAGUACAAAGUGGAUGAGCAAAGUACCAAUAAAUAUCUAAUCGCAAAGUAUUUUGAUUUCAAGUUUAUUAAUAUUAAACCCUUGCUGGAACAAGUCCAUGAAUUGCAAGUGAUUGUGAAUAAGAUUCGUGCCCUCAAGAUUGAUAUUCCAAAAGCUUUUCAAGUUGGAGCAAUUAUUGCGAAAUUGCCUCCAAGUUGGAAAGAUUAUGGAAAAAAGGCUGAUUCACAAGUCGGAGGACUUUACUUUGGAGCAAAUACAGAAACAUCUUCGCAUUGAGGAAGAGUCACGUUUACGUGAUAAUUCUGUUUUGUACAAUUCCAAGGUGAAUGUUGUGGAUAAAAAACGAAAACUCGGCCAGAACUUCAAAGUAAAAAGCGGGGGGCAUAAAUUCAAGAGAACACAAAAGAAGCAAAAGGGUUGCUAUUUUGUUUGUGGUAAACAGGGACACUACGCUAAGGAUUGCAUUCACCGCAAGAGCAUUUCAAAGGACAAGAACAUUCCGGUGAUGAAAGCAGAUGCAAAUCUGGUUGAAGAAAAUUAUGUAGCCAUGAUUUCAAACAUGUUUUCGAACAUGGAAAUUUUUGAAAUCAAUGAUGCGAUGGCUAUGGUUUUUGAAAUUAAUUCUCCCAUUGUCCAAUCCGGUUGGUGGAUAGAUUCUGGAGCAACAGUCCAUGUGUGCAAGCACAAGUACAUGUUCAAGCAAUUUGAAGAGAUUGUUGACUCAAAUGUUCAAGAGAUCCUGAUGGCGAAUAAUGCUCUUGCAAAUGUUGCUGGAAAAGGCAUGGUGGAGAUAGACUUCACUUCUUGAAAGAAGAUAACUCUUCUUAAUGUGUUAUUUAUACCCGAAAUUAGGAAGAACCUAGUUUCUAUUGAUUUACUUUGUAAGAGGGGGUUUCGGGUUUUGUUUAAAUCCGACAAGGUUAUCCUGUUGAAAAAUGUGUUGUUUGUUGGGAAGGGUUAUGCCAAUGGUGGCAUGUAUCAACUGAGUAUCAAUAAUAAUAUUUCUAGUUCUGCUUAUAUUGUCGAGUCUUCAAUUUUAUGGCAUAAUAGGUUGGCACAUAUAAAUAUUCGUUAUUUGAAGAAUAUGAGAAAAUUAGACUUGAUAAAUUUUAAUGGCGAAUUUGAUAAAUGUGAAAUAUGUGCUAAGUCAAAACUUACUAAGAAGCCAUUUCCUAGUGUUAAAAGAAAUUCGAAUUUAUUGGAUUUGGUUCAUAGUGAUAUAUGUGAAUUUAAUGGUAUGCUAACACAUGAAGGUAAAAUGUAUUUUAUUACCUUUGUGGAUGAUUGCAGUAGGUUCUUAUAUGUUUAUCUCAUGAGAUCAAAGGAUGAAGCAUUUACCAUGUUUAAUAAAUAUAAGGCUGAAGUAGAGAAUCAAUUAGAAAAGAAAAUUAAAGUUCUACGAUCAGAUAGAGGUGGAGAAUAUUUCUUAAAUGAAUUCUCUUCAUUUUGUGAAGAACAUGGUAUAAUUCAUCAAGUUUCAGCACCAUAUACUCCACAACAAAAUGGUUUAGCUAAAAGGAAAAAUCGAUCUCUUGGAGAAAUGGUUAAUUGUAUGCUUUCAAAUUCAAAGCUACCAAUUAAUCUUUGGGGAGAAACAUUACUUACUGCAUGUUAUUCAUAAUAGAAUGACUUCCAAGAAAAAUGACAUAACCCCUUAUGAAAUAUGGAAAGGUAGAAAGCCAAAUUUGUCAUAUCUUAAAGUGUGGGGGUGCUUGGCAUUCUACCGAGCUUCAGAUCCUAAGAGAACAAAGCUCGGUCCUAGAGCUAUCAAAAGUGUUUUUGUUGGAUAUGCUGAAAAUAGUAAAGCUUAUAGGCUUCUUGAUUUAGAGUCCAAUGUCAUAGUAAAAUCAAGAGACGUUGAAUUCUUUGAGAAUAAAUGUUUUACAAGUUCUGAAAUUAUUGAAAAUAAUUCAAGAUUUAUGGAAACUCAAAGUGAUUCUCAAGAGAAAGAAACGAAUGAUUCUAAAGACAUGAUUGAACCAAGGAGAAGUACUAGAGCUAGGAAAAUAAAAGACUUAGGUCCUGAUUUUAUUACUCAUGUUUUUCUUGUUGAAGGAGAUUGAGAUAAUAAUGUGGUAAAUAAAUACCCUUUAGUAUUAAAUUUAGAAAAUGAUCCUAGAAGCUUUGAUGAUGUUAUGUCUUCUAGAGAUGCUUCCUUUUGGAAAGAAGCUGUGAAUGAUAAAAUGGACUCAAUUAUGUCCAAUAAUACUUGGGUAUUAGUAGAUUUACCAAAAGGAUCAAAACCUAUUGGGUGCAAAUGGGUUUUUAGAAGAAAAUAUCAUUCUGAUGGUUCUAUUCAAACUUUUAAAGCUAGGCCUUAGCUAAGGGAUAUAGACAAAAAGAAAGAAUAAAUUAUUUUGAUACAUAUGCUCCUGUUGCAUGUAUAACUUCUAUUCGAGUUCUUUUUGCUCUAACUUCCAUUUAUGAUCUUUGUGUUCAUCAAAUGGAUGUUAAGACUGAUUUCUUAAAUGGAGACUUAAAUAAAGAGAUUUACAUGGAACAACCGGAGGGUUUUGUUCUUCCUAAAAAUGAAAGAAAAGUAUGUAAAUUGAUUAAAUCUCUUUAUGAACUUAAGCAAGCUCCUAAGCAGUGACAUAAAAAGUUUAAUUCGGUCAUAUUGUCAAAUGGUUUCAUCAAUAGCAGUGCCGAUAGGUGUAUAUACUCUAAAUUCACUAAAGACUAUGGUGUCUUAGUGUGCUUGUAUGUUGAUGAUAUGCUUAUCUUUGAAACGAAUAUGACUGGAAUUAAUGAGACUAAGAAGUAUCUAACUUCCAUGUUUAAAAUAAAGGAUUUGGGUGAAGUAGAUACUAUCUUAGGUAUUAAAGUUAAGAAACAUAGUGGGGGUUAUUCUUUAAGCCAAUGUAGUUAUGUUGAAAAAUUAUUAAAUAAAUUUCAACAUCUUGAUUUUAAAGAAAUAAGUACUCCAUUUGAUUCCAAUAUUAAAUUAAAUUAUAAUACUGGUAGAGCGGUGGUAUAACUAGAAUAUGCAAGUGCUAGAGGGUCUUUAAUGUAUGUGAUGCAUUGUACUAGACCCGAUAUUGUUUAUUAUGUAUGCAAGUUGAGUAGGUAUACUAGUAAUCCAAGUACAGAACAUUGGAGAGCUAUUACUAGAAUUUUUGGUUAUCUUAAGAGAACUAAAAAUUUAGGAUUGUUCUACAAUAAUUAUCCGGUUAUAUUAGAAGGAUACACUGAUGCUAGUUGGAUUACAAGUGUGGGAGGUGAGCGUUCCACUUCUAGAUGGAUCUUCACACUAGUUAGAGGUGUUGUAUCUUGGGCGAGCAAGAAACAGACAUGUAUAACUCACUCAAUAAUGGAAUAUGAAUUUAUUGCUUUGGUGACAGCCAGGAAAGAGAAUGAAUGGAUUAGAAAUUUGUUGUUGGAUAUCAAAUUAUUUCUAUCCACUGUGAUAGUCAGGCCACUUUGGCAAGAGCCUAUAGUAACACCUAUAAUGGUAAGUCUAGACAUAUUAGUCUAAGACAUGAAUAUGUGAGACAAUUAAUUAAAAAUUGUACCAUAACAAUUAUCUAUGUGAGGUCAAGUAAAAAAUCUUGUAGAUCCUUUGACGAAGGCUUUACCAAGACAUAUGGUAAUAACUACCUAACAAAAAAUGGGGCUGAAACCCUUUAAUUGAAAUCACCAAUAAUGGUAACCUGACCUUUUUCUAGAACAUCACUAGUUACAAGGUUUAAUAGUGCGGAGUAAUAUAAAACUUCUUGCUAAAAUAAGAGGUUAGUGUAUGUGCGAUAUGUCUGGUUCUAUUACAUAAAAGUACAAGUUUAAAGCCGAACUACUUGUCACUUUGAUAGAGCUUUGAUAUACUUACACUAAGUAAAUGUUUAACUCGAAAGAGACCUUUAUGUAUGUAUAUUAAUCUUACUGAAAAUUUGGCUAUAUGGUUUUUUAAAAUUUUAUUUUUGAAAUCUUUGUUUUACAAACAAAGUGGGGGAUUGUUGGAGUUUUGUUUGUUAAAAGAAAUUGAGUGAUUUUUUCUUUGUCCCACAUAAAAACGGUGGGAGGAAGUGGGCCAAUUUAAAAAUGUGGGAUUUCCUUUUUGUAGUUUAAGGAAUGAUUGGGUGGGGUUAGACCUUCACCAUACCCGCGUAUGGGUGCGCGAUUUUGGCGCGAUUAUUUGACGCACUUAGCACUUUGCACGCUCGCGGAUUAAUUAGCACUAAUCCCUUUGUUAUUUAUUUAUUUGUUUUGCUAUUAUUUUUUUUAUUCAAUUCAAAGGUUACCUUUUAUUUUGAGAAUUUUCAAAAAUAAAAUAUAAAAAUGAAAAUUCAAAAUUUUAUUAAAAAAAUUAUUAUUCUGAAUUUUGUUUGUGUCUUUUCAAGACAACCUUUGAAAAAUUACUUAUUCAAUUUUGCAACUUUUCCCGAAGGGUUGCAAUUUUUCGGUUUUCAACUUCUUCCGAAGAGUCACAUUUGUUUAUCCGAACAAUUUUCUAAAGGAUGUGUUUGUUCAUUCUUUGGCAAUUUUUACGAAGAGUUGCAAGACUGUUUCAUAUAUAUACUUGUCAAUUUUCGGAAGGAAAAAGUGGUCAUUUUCGAAUCUUCUUUCAGACAAACUACAAUCAAUUUUUCGAUUGUUUCCUAGAGAGACCCUGGAGAAAUACUAGAAUUGCUAUCUAGCAUUCUCAUCCGAGACUUUGUUGUAUCCUGGAGGAUUUUUGCCAGCGACCAUUAGCAACGUUGUGGGACAAAUAAAUCUUUAAAAAUAGUGAUAUCACGCCUCAAAGUCUGAGUUGUUUUACUCGAUCCGAUUUCAUUGUUCAAUUCAUUUCGAAGUCAUAUUUUUCCAACACUUCCUUCUUAAAGAAGCAUUGAGAUUGAUGAUCAAACUUGAGACAUAUGGCUUCAGUGUGUCUUGUUCCCUGCCAAAGAAAAAAAGGGAAACAUAAGUUGGUUAUCAUAUAAUCACCAAUUGAAGGCAUACGAGUUGAACAUACCCAAGAAAUGGACAUCUUAUUCAUAAUUUGAAAUUAAUUUACAAUAUGAUUUAUAGAUGCACAUGUGAUCACAGUAACCACAUAAUUAACUUCUCGGUUCAGAUAAAAGCAAAUAAGCAAAGUCAAUGUGUAUAACCCUUCUCUUUGAAUAGGAAUAACAUGGCAAACACUUUACCUCCUUUCUUUUAAGAACAUCAAUUGCUUCCUCAUGAUUCCACACCUGACUUUGCUUCUCUAGUUUAAAAUUAGCUCUUUCACGAAUGAUAUCUUGCCCAAGGUCUCUUAGCUGAUUAUGCACCCACAAUUGGUUACCUUCUACAAUCUUCAUUAACGACAUCCAUUUGAGGACUUCAGGAGAAUAUUUAGGGAAAAGCUUACAGCUGUCCCAUAUGUAUGUCACAAUUCUCACAUCAAACCCAACAAAGAAGAAGCAAAUAUCGAGAAAUAUUUCAUUCUCUUCAAGUUCUACUGCCUCAAAACUAAUGUUCAACUUACUUUUAACCCUUUUAUUGGGAAUAGUUUUCAAUUUUUCUAAUGUGUCCACCCAAAAUUUUCUGUUCUUUCCAGCUAAAAAUGAACCUAUAAUCUCUAGAGCCAAAGGAAGACGACCACAGAUUUCUACCGCUUUUUUUGAGAGGGGGAUGUAUUCUGCUGGAGGAUGAUCUCUUCUAAAGGCAUGUUUGCUAAACAGUAGAAGAGAAUAAUUGAAAUCCAUUUCAGUAAGUUCGUGCUUCAAAUCAACAUCUUUGAGAACUUCCUCAUUUCUUGUGGUAAUAAUAACCUUAAUUCAUCUACCGAACCAGCAUUGACCCGUCCCCACAAGAGCCUCCAGUUGAGUGCUUUGGUCGACAUCAUCAAAUACAAUUAAAAUAUUUUUAGAGGAUAACCUAUUCUUGAUCUCAGUAAUUCCCUCAUUAAUACUAUUGAUGGAUGGCCAUUCCAUUCUUAGGACUUUAGAGAUGAGCUGAUUCUGCAAACUUACAAUCUUUGUCUCUCGAAUGUUAGACAAGAAGCAACAAUUAUCAAAAUCAGCCGACAGUUUAUUAUAGACAAUUGUGGCAAGAGUUGUCUUUCCGACACCACCCAUACCAUGGAUACCAACAAUAUUUGUUCCAGUGGUCUGUUCACUUAUCUUUUCCAUGAUUUGGUCUACUUGAUCAUCCAUUUCAACCAAGCAAUUAGAUACUGCCAGGUAGUUCUUUUUCAACUCGAUCAAAAGCUUCCAAACAACUUCUUCGGUGAACUCACAUUUGCCUCUGAUAGUAGUGAUGGCAAAAGAACCCAACUGUUAAAUCGAGAUGAGCAAAAUAAUAUCUAAGGUACAAACAAAUCCUGAACAAUAAUAAAUUCAAGUACCUCUCCUUGAGUUCCCAUCCUCUUAACGCUCCAACCUUGCUAAGAGCUACCUUCCAGUUAUGAAUAGUCUCAUCAGUGUACCGCCACUUAUUUAUGUGUAAAUUAAUGGCCUCACCGUAACUUCCAGUUUGGUUACGAACCUCGGAUGGUGCUAUGUUGUAGAAAAUCGGCAUAAUCUUUCGUCCCCAGCUUUCCUUGCACCCCACCAUUUGGACCAUGGACUGGCAGCAUAUCAUUUAGAAAGAUAGAUGAGGACUGAGGAGUACAUACAUCCUUUGGGGGCAGUACCUGAUCUUAAUAAACAGCUAACUCUAUCAUUUCAGAGUUAUCCUAAAUUGCAUACCCUAUUAGUAAACGAGUAUAUCGCAUAGCAAUAAAUAUGAAAUGCACUGGCACGUACAUACCAAGUGACUAUAUCUAUCGCCAUGUUUCAAACAUUUGCAAAUAAACCUACAUGCUUGUUUAACAAUGGAUGCGAUUACAUUAAUUAGUUUAUCUAUACCUUGAGUCGUUGGGGUAGAUUUGUCAUACACCUACCCUGGAAAAAAGGGGCUACAAGGUUCGUGGUAAUUUAAGUGCGAUUGCAACCCAAACCACUUUGAGAGCCCACUCCUGAUGUGACCGGCAGUACUAAACUAUGUUUCUGGAGCUUCUUAGGUUGAUGUCCUUUGAAUUUUGUGAUUGGUGCGAAGAUGACAUCUCUCUUGCAAAUGCACGAGAGAAGUCAGUGCAAUCUGCUAAAUGUAUGAGAGUGGUUGGCCCGUCCCCAGCAGAACCGCUCGAACGAUUAUCAAAUACUGUCGCAGAACCCAGGAUGUUCUUUUUAUAUAUCUGCUCUGCCCUUCGGAGUAGAAUACAAACAAAAAUCAUGUAAAGUCGCUGAGAGAGGUGAACUACUCUGCAUUUUAUACAGUAACUCCGACCCCAACAUGAUGUGGCCCGACGACAUUGGUGCUUCAGGGGUUGUUGCUCAGAGCAGAACACCGAACUGCUUCAAAAGGGUUGGUGAGACCAAAUCGAGUCAAUUUUGUAAUGGACUCAGUCAUCUUUCACUUUCCGAGGUCAUUGUCCCGCAUAUUGUAAUGAACUCAGUUUACCUCCAGAGACCGCCCAUGACGUCCGGCACAGUGCCCGCUAAGAUUGUAAUGGAUCCAAUGAUGGUGAUGUUAUUGCAACUGCUAUCGCGUGAGGGCUCACUACCCUAGCUAGGACCUCGAGGAGUAUUGCCAGCCCUUAUUGGGACAACAUAUAAACCCCCAAUUAUUCUCCCAUUCCCGAGCUCUCGUCUCUUUGCUGCCUUCAUCAUUUUCUUUGUUUUUUGUCUUUCAAAUUUGAUGUUUAUUUUUCAAUUUUUAUGAUUUUUACUUGUUUGUAGUGCUCUUCAAUUUUGUGACGUGACAUUUCAUGGAACAAUUUUGUGUUGUACCAAAAAGAUUGAAAUGACAAUUAAGGGAAAUGAACUAAAAAAUAAUUUAAACCUAUUAUAUUGGUACUAAUUCAAUUCUAAAUCUUUAAAUUAGAUUAAUUUAAUCAUGGAUUUUUUAUAUUUGUGCCAAUUAAGUCCAAUCUGUUGAUUUGAAAGUUGGCUGUUUUAUAAGACACGGCUAGCGUUGAUAUGGACAAAUUUUAAUUCUUUUUAAAUAUUAUUUUUUUCCCUUUUCAUUUUGGCUAGUGAGGAUAUGCAUUCCCCUAUGAUGAUCUUAUUGGAAAAGUGAAAUCAAGAAAUUUAACCGAAGCUAAUUCAACCCUCACCGUUGGACUAGUUUCUAAAGAGCAUAAACUAAUCUCUAAUUAGAGUCAUCUCUUAGUAUGUUAACAAACAGGUACAGGGUCAAUGGGUGAGCAUUAGAAGCUAUCAUUCUCAUUUGCCAGAAAGUAUCAACAUAUCAGAAAAAGGAGUCAAUCACUAACCAAUGAUGGGGUUGAUGAAAUUUCCACAGAAAAAAGAAGCAUGAAUGCUAUAACCGUUUCUCUGGAAAAUAAGUUUGAACACACAAGAGUGCAGGAACGAGAGCUGUAUUUUACGGAAACGGAGAGUUCCGGUUCACCACAGAGUGCAACAUUAUAGUCGAUUCAAUCUAUCUCUACUAUUAAAUACAGAGUUGAGGGUAUCAAUUUCUGCCUAGGAGCGUUCUUACUGCUAAUCACUAGACAAUAAUGUACGAAUUUGUCAUAUGGGAGUCUCUUAAAGAUACCGCUGUCUCUGUUCGCAAAGAAAUUUAAAAACAAAUCCCAUCAAACGAAUGAAAUCAACAGAUCCACUCAAACUAGUAUAGCUUUUAGCACCGGCCUAGUUCCUAAAGAGCGUAAAUCUAAUUCCUAAUUACGGAAAUCUCUGAGAUCUAUCAACAAGCUGAUGCACAGAAGUGGCAUUGUGUUUCAAGAUCUGAGGCCUGACAGUUGCACAGAUGGAAGCAGAUGAGCAGGGUUUAGCAUGUAACUAGAGCGAGAGGCUUAAGGCUUCUAGUGUUGGACGCAACUCGCAGUGAUCAAUCAUCGAGUCAAAUGAGGAGAGAGUCGAUGCUGAUCUGAGAGUCCCUCUACUGUUCCCAUCAGAUUCUGCCCCUAGUUACAUUACUGAACAUACCCAAUUCAUUGAAAAAAGCAAUAGAUGAGAGGAAAUUAGCAGAGAUGGAGGGGGUUGAAGAUGAAGAGUCACGAUCGAAAUGCUGAGAAGGUGACUUGAUACUCACCCUUUCGCGCCGACCGCAAAGUACAGAAAAUGAGGGAAUCCGCCUUUCUUUUGAGGCAUUCGAGGUUUUUUUUUUUUUUUUUUUGCUCGGUCCUACUUUAAUCAUAUUCUAACACUCACUCUCAGACUUGGGUUACUUCGAAAAAACUCCCGAGUCCAAAGAGUUUUUGGCUCUAAAGUCUUAUUUGUUUAGAAAUCAUAAUGACGAUGAAACCCCUCUUUUUUUUUUCCUUUUUUUUUUUGGUGAAAUCGUGGAUCCAUUUAAAUUAUUCAUGAAUGAAACCUACACAUUUUAAGUAUUUCAGAUGGAUUAUAACAUGAAGUUAUUCGCAGUAAAUUUACAAAACAAAAGUUUUUUAAAUAAUAAAAGUUGCAUUCAGUUAUUAAAAUCUGAUUUGUUUCGCAAAAAAAUGAAUGAUUGAAAACAUAUUUUUCAAAAAAUAAUUAUUUAUAUCACUUGAAAUCCUUAGUUAAUGAAAUAUGUUUUUAUUAUCAAUAACAAUUUAUGCAUAAAUAUUUUUGUGAAAUAUUUUUUAUUCAUUUAUUUUUGUAAAGGAUACAAGCGAUUAUUUUUCAGAAAAUAUUUUUCAAAUUAUUCAUUGUUCCUUAAAGAUCCAAAAAAUUUAUCAUGCAAAUGAAAGUUUAUCAAUCAUGGAUGGUUUGAGCAGAACUUCUGCCAUUUCUACUUUCCUUUCGCAAAUCUUGGGCAAUGUCCACAUUACCACUAGAAGGAAUCUUUAAAAAAAAAUUUGACCAAGGGAUUUUUUCUUUAAAGUAGUUAUCAUAUUUUUUAGAUUUGAAUAGUCGAAUCAAUAGAAAUUAGGAUUGGUUAUAUAUAUAAUCAUGAAAAUAUUAAUAAUGACGAAUUACAAAAUAUUAGUCAACUUAACUUAUUUUUUUAUUAUCUAUGAUUAAAGUAAAAUAAGAACAAUAAAUCGAUGUAUUGAUGCUAUUUAGUCAAUUAAAAAAAAUAAACCAUUAUAAUUUUCUUAAUUUUGAAACAAUGGCCAGUAAAUUAAUUUAAAUUUCUAAUUUCGAGAUAUAAUGCUGUAGAAUAUCUAUAUUAUGAAGAAUAUGCAAUCAUAUUGUAAAUAAUAUGUUAAAAGCUGGUAUCUUUUUUUCAUUACAUUCUCAAAGUUUGUUUUUCAUACAAUCAAUAAAUGAGUCACUGUUUUGCUCCACUACCUAUAUCUAUGUUAUAGCUCUCCUGGGAAUUCAUCAAUUGACAGUAAUGUGAGCCCUCGCUCUAUUUGAUUUCAUUAAUGCUUCGAUUCAUUUACACAUUAUAUAUAUAUAUAUAUAUAUAUAUAUAUAUAUAUAUAUAUAUAUAUAUAUAUAUUAGCAUACAAAACACAUUGCAAAUUUGCAAGGGAGAGAUAUGCACAAUAUUUUGUAUGCAUCGAAAUUUAAUUAAUCCUCGUCCAACUAUAUUUGUGUUGAUGUGAGCAUUUGUAAUUGAUAUAGUAAUCGUUAGUACACUGUUUUUCUUUUACAGAGAGCCAAGCUAAUUAAUAAAAUUAUAUUAAAUUAAACUAUAUCGAUUUGGAUUCGCUUUUACUUUCUUUUUCUUUUUAAAUUUUUGCUUCUGUAAUUUACACUGCCCACGGACUUUAAGUCUUUUUCGAAGUCCCGAAACUUUCACAAUAGUUGGAUGUUAACACGUACAUUUGUAUUUAUUCAUUUCAUAAUUUUUUGAAAUCCAAAUUAUAUUUCAACUUUUGAUAGGAAAAUAAAUUUUUUUUUUUUUAAGUCCAAACAAAGUGGCGUUAAAGCUGUUAAUUUUCGCCAUUUCUUUACGAUUUCACUUCGCGUGCUGGAUGUUUAGGUGAUACGAUGCUGAAAGCACCGUUUCCAUGGGGGAGACAACUGGUGCACUGCCAUGUUCUUUAAUGAUAUCGUCCCGAGUCCCAAUUAUCGAUCGUUAUGUCUCUCUCAUCGCCAGAAAGCGCUUGACUUGUUCGAUGAAAUGCCGCAGAGGGCUCUUGUCUCUUAGAAUUCAUUGAUUUCUGGGUCGUCCCAUCAUGGGUUUUAUGAAGUCUCUGAGUAUCUUCAUGCAGAUGCAAAGAAAUUAUGAUCGUCUGUUCAUGGAUGAAUUUACUUUUGUGGGUGUUGUGGCUGCCUGUGCUCACUUGGGUGCAUUGAAGUUCUUGCUUCAAGUUAAUGGAGUUGCCAUCAUAAUGGGCUUGGAAUUUACUAAGAUUACUUAUAAUUCUCUGAUUGAUGCUUAUGGGAAAUGUGGUGGAGCCGAUAAAUGCCGUGACUUGUUCGAAGUUAUGCCUGAGAAGGAUAUUGUGUUGUGGACUUCCAUGGUUGUUGCUUAUUCGCUAGCUCAUAACUUGGAUGAUGCUUGUGCAAUAUUCAACAAUAUGCCAGCGAAGAAUACGGUCUCUUGGACUGCAAUGAUUGCAUGCUUUGCACAAAAUGGCCGUGGUGAUGAAACUUUGGACCUUUUCGUUCGAAUGCGUGAGGAAGGAAUACAGCCAAGUCCUCGUACUUUUGUCAGUGUUCUAUGUGCUUGUGCUGAUUGAGCACUUGCUGAAAGAGGCAAGCAGAGUCAUGGUUGCAUAGUCAGGACCUGCUUUGAUAGAGAUUUGGAUAACAUAUCUGUAUGGAACGCUCUAAUUGACAUGUAUUGCAAGCGUGGCUACAUGAGAGCAGCUGACAUCUUAUUCUUGAGGAACCCAGAAAGGGCUAUUGUAUCAUGGAACUCAAUGAUAAGUGGAUUUUCACAAAAUGGUUUAGGGCAUGAGUGACUUGUUUUUGUCAAGAAGAUGCUGGAGGCAAAUGCAAGAUUCUACCAUGUCACAUUUCUUGGCACUCUAUCUGCUUGCAGCCACGCAGGUCUAGAUGUUGAAGCACUUCAGAUUUUCAAUGCAAUGGAAAAGGACUACACAGCCUUCAAAAGAGAUCCGACCACUAUGCUAUUUUGGUCGAUCUGCUCAGGAGGAAAUACAGACUUGAGGAAGCCAUGGAAUUGAUAGAUAGUCUCAAACAAAUCAGAGCAUGUUGUGCUUUUCGGUUAAUGCAAAGCCCUCGGUAAUCUUGUUAUUGCCUGAAGCUGUGGAUAUCUAUUGAAGUUGAACCCCAAAAUGCUGCGAAGUAUGUGUCACGUUAUCAAGCAUCUAUGCUGCCAUUAACAGAUGGGAUGAUUCCUGCACAGUAAGGAAGCAAAUGGAGGAGAGAAACUUGAUGAAAGAUGUGGCAAACAGUUGGAUUGAAGUAAAGUAUGAAAUGCACAAAUUUCCAGCAAAGGACCGAUUCCACUAUCAGAUAGGAGACAUACACGAAGUGCUCGGGAAACUACCUUAUCAUAUGAAGGAAGCUGGAUAUGUUCAUGAGCCCCACAUAAGGCUCAUAUAUUUUAAUUUGAAUCUAUCUAAUUUAACCUCAAAUGAUGUCUAUAAUUUUUUUUUUUUUAUUGCUAUACUAUAAUCAAUACUCUCAGCCCAUAAAUCUAUCCUAUUUUUGCUGAGUCCUCUGAUCUAGUUUUUAAACAGAUACACAGAAACACUGAUCUAAAUGUCCCUUAACUCGGAACCUGACCAAUCUAUGAUUUUUUUUCCUUUUUGUGGGGUUAAGUCUAAACUCAGGAAGCGAGAGCACUAAGUCUAAACUAAGAGCUCAAGUUCACGUUGGAUAAUUUAAUCCAUGGGGUAUGUAUGAAUAAUCAAUAAAAUAGAUUCAAUGAGAUGACAUUCGGCUUAAUACUUAAAUGCACAAAAAUGAACAUACUAUAUGCGCAUAUACCACCACAUAGUAGCUCAUCCAUAUAUUCAGAUGAGUAUAUUCGUUAUUCGUCACUGCUUGUGACUCAUCUUGACUAAUGGGGCACCGCCACCACCAAUUCAUGCUCAUUGCACAACCGUCUAUGGCAUACUCAUUCUCCUCAAUAUUCAUUCUCACUUUAUUAUCUUUAUUUUCUCAAUCUUGAACCUCAAGUUUAUAAUAUCACAUAGCAAACUACUCAAGUCAUAUCAAGCUGCACAAAUAAUAUCAUUUUAUAUAUGAAUCAGGGGAAUCAGGAAAACAAACUAUAGUGUUGGCAUAUUAUUGACAAUACUUGUAGAAAUUCAAAAGAGUUUGUAAUUUGCUUAAUUAUUAGAAAGUUGGUAAAAUUCUUGAUAAUGUUGGCAAUUUCUUUUAAUUUAUCAGUAAAAUUUCAGAGGAGUGGAUAUUUUACGACUUCAUUCGAAUGUUGACAAAUUCCUCAUAGUGUCAGUAAUUUACUUACAAUAUCAAUAAAGUUCAGAAAAAUUGGUAAUUUAUUAAUUCAUUGGAAUGUUGGUAGAUUUCCAGUGGUGUUGGUAAUUUAUUAAUGAUCAGGUUUCAAGUCAUAACAUUUUACCAGCAAGAUUGGAAAAUUACUAGUAAGAUUGGAAUUCUACCAAGACAGAAAGUUUUCAAUUUUCCACAGCAUGGGACCGUAAAAUUUUGCAUAGCUUCAUAAGUCUCUACCUCUGCAACAAGAACUUAAAUCCCAACUGAUAAUUUCAAUUGUUGAAACAAGAAACGCAGUAAUGAAUCAUUCAGAAGCCCCUGUAGAAAUCUGUUCAAAAUUAUCAAAACUAAAGGACCUUUGUGACCAUUGCACAUGAUCAUUAACUAGGGAGGGUUAUGUUCAUGCUAGACACGAUGUUUUGCCCAUACUUCUUCAUUUCUUCAAUGUAGAAAUUUUCAGGGGAAAUCAGCAACAAUUCUGCAAAUACAGUCGCUGAUGUCUAAUUAAAUUCGCAACACUGAAUGCAAAACAUUGCACAUUAAUCUCCGUGAACGAAUUUUGGAGCAAGUCAUCUUGAAUCCUUGAUGAAUUUCUCCCGUGACGAGAUUAAUUACUAACUGCACCGCUAAACAUUUUAGAAGUAGGACCACAACAGACCAAGAGAAAAAGAAAGAAAUUGCAGAACCAAUCUACUAUAGUAAGGUUUCAUGCCUUCCAGGACAAUAUUUCGGUUUUAGCUAGACCUUGACAAGCUCAGAAGAACAACCGAUUCCCCAUGUAUGUUUUGAACUAGUUCCUAAUCCCCUAAUUGGUGCAGAAGUGAACUGACGCACAGGAGUUGCAAUGUGUUUCAAUAGAAUGUGACUUGGUUAAGGCUAAAGCUAUUAAAGAUUAGAUGCAGAUGGAACAAAAUCAAUCGAGUGAGCUGUCGAGGGAGUUCAUCGAAAGGCUGUUUUCAUUGCGUAUGUAUGAUAAGUCAUGACUGAAAAUAAUAAAAACCAACUCAAUCCGUUCCAAAUAUUUUCCCAAUCUAUCACUGAUUGCAUCGAAGAUUCGCACGCAGACCCAAUUCAUGCAAAUGCGAAGAGAAAAUUACCAGAAGAAAAGAAUAUAGGCGAAGAUGAAGGAAACCAAAUGAAGAUGCAGAGAAGGAAGAACCCUCGUUGGCCUCAGUUAGCUGCAACCAAAACGGAAAAGGAAGAUCACAAUCCAUUAACCCCUCGGUGGGAACAGAUCGGGGUGGCAGUCCCCGGAGGGAGAUCUCCGCCUGGUUGAAUCGCAUCUCGUUCUUCCGCUCGGGGUCGCUGCCGCUGCUGGUUCUGGGCGAGCUUCUCACUCACGUCGUCGCUGGUGAGGGAGGAAGACGAAGGAGAAGGAAAGAACGUGAGAAGACACAGAGAGAGCAACGGGAGAAAAAACGAAACAAAUAUAAAAAAACACAGAGACAGAGAAAAAGUUUAAAUUUCUUAAGAGUGGGUCCCACCUUUAUGCGUCAUCUCGAGAUGAUAUUCCUCACCAAUCUCCUACGGAAUCUUCUCUCCCUGAUUUCAGUACCCUCCCCCUACUUCUUUGGAAGGGUCUUCGCACUUUUUUCAAAUCUCGGUACUCAUCGGAUUCCAUAAUCUCCUCCAAUCUCUCAGAGUCUUUUAUUUCCAAAUCCUCUAGCUUCUUGAAGCUUGAAGGAUCAGAAAACUUUUGCAGAGACCCGCAGCCAUCAAUAAGAAGAAACAUCACUGAUUUCAGCCUACCUCGAACCAGACGAGGACAAUGCAUUAAUUCAAUAUGCUUAAGCUCCUUGGCGUUGGUCAGGUCAGGCAACUUCUCUAGUAACGGAAGAUCGUCCACACAUAAGACCCUCAAGUUCUCUGAAACUUCCAAGCCUUGAAUCUCUCCUAGCUUCCAACAGCCAUCUAUAUCCAAUUCUUCUAUAUGCUUAAAGCUCGAUGGAUCAGGCAGAUGUUCAAGUGAUUCACAGCAAGUUAAAUGGAGAGACUCCAAUGAUUCAAGCUUACCUCAAACCUCAACCAAUUUAGGACAAACUUCUAUCCAAAAUCUCCAAAGCUUCUUUAAGCUGGUCAGGUCGGGCAACUUCACCAGCGAUGGAAGAAACACAAGAUCAAGCCUUUGCAAGUUUUUCAAAGGUUCGAGGCCUUGAAUCUCUAUUAGCUGUUCACAAUACCAGAUUUCCAAUUCUGAUAACUUCUCCAAAUAUGAAAGAUUUAUUGACUUUUCUGUUAACCCGUGCCCAACAAAAUGGAAGUAUGACAAAUUCUGAGGAAGCUUAGGUAGGCAUUCUAGGUUAUUUUUGAAGAGUUCAAGCUUCCUGAGCUUCAAAAGGAGAUUAAAAUCUGAAGGUAGGGUGACCAGACUAUGACAACACAAUGACAAUGACUCUAGCUUUCUUAACCCUCCGAUCCAAUUGAGGCUUGGAGCUGGAUGGGAAGGCCUUUGAUACUCCAAUCCCAACGUCAAAACCCUCAAAUUUAAUAGGUUCGAGAGAUCUGGGAAUCUUAUUAGUUCAUUACUGGUCAGGUAUAGUUUGGUCAUACUUUCAGGAAGCUUAGGUAUAUUGGAAAUUCUCGUGCCCGAUAACCUGAAGAUUCUUAGAAAUGAUAGUUCUCCAAUCUCACUUGGAAUUUCCCCACACAAACGUCUACAACAGGUAAAAUUGAUCUCUUCAAGCUUCUCUAACAUCCCAAGGGCGCUAGGUAGCUUUUCUAAGUCGGACAUAAACAUCCUUAGUACUCUCAAAUUCUUCAUUGUCUCUAUUGAAUUAGAUAACUCUCAUAUUUUCGACCCAUAAAGAUUCAACUCAACGAGAGAUCCAAAAUUUCCAAAUGGAAGUUCACUAAUUCCGGUAUCCGACAAGUCAAGAUAUGAUAGUGAUGUUGAGCAACCAGCUAAAUUGCAUUCGCUCAGUAAUCUACAAUGUUUUGCACUAAGAGUUUCCAAUUUCUCCAUUCCUUUCCAUUCAGGAAUGUUGGUAAUAGAUGUGCCAUCAACAAGGAGUUCUGUCAAGGCUUCUAGUUCCUCUAUCUCGUCUGGCAAUGUCUGAAAUUUACUAUAAUAAUUCAAGUUUAAUAACACUAAAUGCUUUAACUUACCAAUAGACCUCUCAACUUGAACUAGUUCCACGCACCCUUCAAGAAUCAAUUGCUCUAACUUUUGAUGAGCAGAAAAUUUAGGAGUUCUAAGCAACUUUUUGCAAUCAAUCAAAUUUAGAACCUUCAAAUUCUUUGUCGUCUGUGAUGAAGAGAAGAGGUUGAUUUUGAAUCAUUUUGAGAUAUAGGACAGCAAAAUCAAUAGAGCAAAUUCAUGUUGAAAUAAUAUCAUACCUCGAGGUGGUUCCAUCCCUCCCACUCAUCAGUAAUUCCACUCCUUGAUACAUCAAGAAUCACUAGCUUCUUAAGAGAACAUGCGGUGAACUUGUGAAAGACAGGGAAGUUAUGCCAUGAGAGCCAUCUCAAAUUCGGAAGCAUGAUGCACAAGUUGGUAGAAGGAAAAUGCUGAACGUUGUUCUCAUCCAAGUCUACACAAUCCACUUGAAUAAAUCUUAAAUUAAUAGGCUUAAAGAUUCUUCCUUCUCAAUGAAGUCUUGAAAUUGAUGAUCAUAUUUGAGACGUAUUGUUUCAACAUUUUCUCUUCCCUGCCAAAGCAAAAAAAAUAAAACAAAAGCUAGCGAUCACAUAAUUGCCUAUUAAAGGCAUUCGAGUUGAGCACACUUGAGGAAUGCACAUCUUAUUUAUAAUUUAAAAAAAAUACAAUAUAAUUUACAGAUCAGCAUGUGAUCAUACUAAGCACACAAGUAAUGAAUAGGUUUAGAUAAAAGCAAAUAAGUAAAGUCAACAUGUAUAACUCGUCUCUUUGAAUAGGAAUAAUAUUGCAAAAACUUUACCUUCUUUAUUCCAAGAACAUUAAUUGCUUGCUCAUGAUCCCACACCCGACUUUGCUCCUCUGGUUUAUAAUCACCAUUCUUACAAACGAAAUCUCGUCCAAUGUCUCUUACAAUAUCAUGCAUCCAUAGUCGGUUAUGUUCUAUAAUCUUUAUUAAUGACAUCUUUUGGAGGACACAAAGAUAAAAGUCAGGUUGAAACCUACAGCUUUCCCACAUGUGACUCACAAUUCUCACAUCAAACCCAAUGAAGAAGCAACAAACAUCGAGAAAUAUUUUCCGCGCUAGUGGGUGUAAUGCCUCGAUACUAAUGUUCAAUUUUUUUUCAACUUGUUCAUCGGGAAUAGUUUCCAGCUUCUUUAAUGUGGUCUUCCAAGAUUUUUUGUCUUCCUCAGCUAAAAAAGAACCUAUGAUCUCAAGAACUAAAGGAAGACCACCGCAAAUUUUUACUGCUAUUUUCAAGAGGUUGAUGUAUUUAGCCGAAGGAUGAUCACUUUUAAAGGCAUGUAACAGUAUAAGGGAAUGAUCAAAAUUCAUUUCAAUAAAUUUGUGCUUCAUAUCAACAUGUUUGAGAACUUCCUCAUUUCUUGUGGUGAUAAUAACCUUACUUCCUCUGCAAAACCAGCGUUUAUCCAUCCCCACAAGAGCAUCCAGCUCAGUCUUUUGGUCGACAUCAUCAAUUACAAGUAAGACCAUUUUAGAGGAUAAACUCCUCUUGACCUCAGUUAUCCCUUCUGCAAUGUCAUGGAUUGGCAGACAUUUCCCUUUUCGGAGAGUAGAGAUGAGUUGAUCCUGUGAAUUCAAAAUUCCUUUAUGUCGAACGCCGAACAGGAAGCAACAGUUAUCAAAAUUAGCCGACAAUUUAGUAUAGACGAUUCUAGCAAGAGUUGUCUUUCCGACACCGCCCAUUCCAUGGAUACCAAUAAUCUUUGUUUCAGAGGUGUCUUCGCCUAUCAUUUCCAUGAUCUUGUCCACUUGAUCAUCCAUUUCAACCAAGCAAUCAGGUGCUCCCAAAUAGCUCUUUUUCAACUCAAACAAAACCUUAGAAACGACUUUGUUCUUGAACUCGCCUUUGCCUCUGAUAGUUUUGAAGCCAAAGAGCCAACUGUUAAAUUGAGAUGAACAGAACAAUAUUGAAGGUACGAACCAAUUGUGCACAAUAAUAAAUUCAAGCACAUCUUAUUAAGUCCGCAUCCCUUUAAUUUUCCAACCUUGUUGAGAGCUACCUUCCAGCUCUGAAUAGUCUUAUCAGUGUGCUUAUUCAUGUGUGACUGGAUGGUGUCACCGUAGGUUGCAGUCUGCUUACGAACCAUCCGUGGUUCAACGUCAUAGAAAAUUGGUAUGAUCUUUUGUCCCCACUUUUCCUUGCACUCCACCAUCUAAGUCAAUUCCACGAGGCACCAUUUACUAGCAGCAUAUUCUUUACAAAAGAUAGGAAUCGAGAUUUUCGACUGCACCAUUCAAAUUUUACAUAUAUUAAACCAAAAAAUAUAGAAUUCAUAUAUUUUAAUUAUGUCAAAAUUAUACACAAUAAGUUCGUAAAAAAAAGAAAAUUAGAAAAAAUAACAUUAUUAAUGUCAUAACUUUCAUACAAUACUCACCUAAUGCUAUAACUUUUUUGGGAUUGGUUAGGUAAUAUAAUUUUCAUCUGACAUUCACUGAAAUGCCAUAAUCUUUUAUUUUUUGCACUUGUUCAAAUUGUUUACCCAAGAAUGAAUGUUCCCACAAGGACCGCUGGUCUACCGCUGUCCUUGGUUCUCCACUAUUUGACGCUUCCUCUUUUCUCCAAAUUUUAAAAUUUUUCUUUUUAAUUUUUUCUUAAAAAUUGAUGACAUGGCAGCUAUAUCAAUGCCUCCAUCUUCAAGGGAAAAAAAAAUCACGUUCGUUUUUUCUAUUAGCUGAAUUGGAUGAAAUUAAUAACAAGACUUGAUUGCACGAAUUUAAUGAAUUUUAAAAUUUGAUCGUACUUUUUGCAAGGGAUAAUAACACAAAUGGUUUUUAAACUUUGACUUAAUAUGUAAUGUCAUAUUUAGAUUUGUAAUUUAUUCAAUAUGAUCUCUAAAAUAUUGAUAGAUGUUCAAUUUAGUCUUUAGAUUAAAUGUGCUAUUUUCAUAUAGUUUAACGACUAGAUUAGAUAUUUAUUAAUAGUUCAUAAAUCACAUCAAAUAAAUUAAAAUUUUUAAAAAUGACAUGACAUAUUUUGCCAGAGUUUAAAGAUCACAUUAAACAAAUUUCAAAUUCAAAGACCGGCUGCUUUUGCAUAAUCUUUUAUUUUUUGCACUUGUUCAAAUUGUUUACCCAAGAAUGAAUGUUCCCACAAGGACCGCUGGUCUACCGCUAUCCUUGGUUCUCCACUAUUUGACGCUUCCUCUUUUCUCCAAAUUUUAAAAUUUUUCUUUUUAGUUUUUUCUUAAAAUUUGAUGACAUGGCAGCUAUAUCAAUGCCUCCAUCUUCAAGGGAAAAAAAAAAUCACGUUCGUUUUUUCUAUUAGCUGAAUUGGAUGAAAUUAAUAACAAGACUUGAUUGCACGAAUUUAAUGAAUUUUAAAAUUUGAUCGUACUUUUUGCAAGGGAUAAUAACACAAAUGGUUUUUAAACUUUGACUUAAUAUGUAAUGUCAUAUUUAGAUUUGUAAUUUAUUCAAUAUGAUCUCUAAAAUAUUGAUAGAUGUUCAAUUUAGUCUUUAGAUUAAAUGUGCUAUUUUCAUAUAGUUUAACGACUAGAUUAGAUAUUUAUUAAUAGUUCAUAAAUCACAUCAAAUAAAUUAAAAUUUUUAAAAAUGACAUGACAUAUUUUGCCAGAGUUUAAAGAUCACAUUAAACAAAUUUCAAAUUCAAAGACCGGCUGCUUUUGCAUACCCGCUCACCAUGGAAGUGGCUGACACUAUAUUUCUGGUAGGCAUUCUAUCAAAAACUGCUCUGGCCUCACUAAUUCUGGAGCACUUAGAGUACAUAUCAACCAAUGCAUUUCCUAAAACAACAUCUUUCCCAAAUUUGUCACAUUUUACAACACGGGCAUGAAUUUGCAUCCCUUCCUUAAGUGCUGACGAGCUAGCUCAGGUGCUGACCACACUGGCUAAAAUAACCUCAUCUAUUUCGAACCCACAAUCCAUCAUGCUCACAAAAACCUCAAGAGCCUCGCUGGCGGGACCAUUUUGUUCAUAACACGUAAUCAAGCUGUUCCAAGAAACUAUGUUUCGAGAACUCAUUUCAUCAAAAGCCCUCUGUGCACAAGCCACGUUCCCACACAGCCGAGCACUCAGACUUCGAUAUCAAAGCCUGAAUCCGUUGGGCCAGAUGCAUAUCUGCUAACCCGGCACAUGCGCUAAGCACACUACCAAAUGAGUACUCAUUAAGCACAUAAUUCUCCCUAUGCAUCUUACCAAAACAUUGCAGGGCUUCUUCGAACCUUUCAUGCUGCGCAUAACCUGAGAGCAUCGAAUUCCCGAGCACUGGUCGGGUUCCGGCAUUGACCCGAAUAUCUUUUCCACUUCAUCAAGAGACCCCGAUCUGAUCAACCCGCCUAAGAUCGCGUUCCACGUGAAGGUAUUCUUCUCGGGCAUUCUAUCGAACACCCUGCGGGCAUCGUCGAGGCACCCGCAUCUCGCGUAGACGUCGAUGAGCCGGUUCUGGAUAAAAACCUCGGCGGAGAACGGGGUCUUGAUGAUCCGAGCGUGGACGCGGCGUGUGUUGCGCGCUGACUUGGACAGGCCGCAGCCGUCCAGGAGCUUGGUGAACGGGGUCGAGGUGGCGAAGGAGAGGUCGCCCGCCAGAGCCUUGACCCGCGCAUGCCUCGCCAUUCCAUCAUAUCAUCGUACGAGGCGAAAUCUGUCGGAGUAGAUUUGCAAAUUGAAUGCGACUGGGGGGUUUCUGUUGACCGUUAUAUGCUUCCCCCCUUCAGCCAGGCGCGGGAAUAUGAUACGAGCGCUCGUAUGAAGUGGGGCAAAGUUGCGGUGGCAGAAUGGUAAUUUAGCAUAACAAUCUAAUCUAAGCUAUAAAUUGAAAUAUGACAUAUAUUUAAUAUCUUGUUGUAAGUCACUAAAUUAUGAUUAGUCAUACUUAAAAUCUAUACUUAUUGCUUUAUCAAUUAUAAUUAUAAGUUUAAGAUAAGUCAAUUUAAUUUUAUUAAGAGACUGCCGGAUUAUUCACAAAUAAAACAUACAUUCUUGUUUAGUAAUUAUGAUCAUUCUAAUUGUAACUCAUUCUCGCCAAAAAAAAAAAAUUUGUAACUCAUCAUUAUAAAAAUGCAAAAACCAAUACUAGAGACUGAAAAUUAGAUCUAUGCCGGAUUUGAUGGGAUAGCUUUUCAUUGGCCCCCUCCCUCGAGGAAUAGCUAACCUUGAUUUAUGAAAAUAGCUAUUUCUUUUAUGCAACUAAUCUUGAUUUACUUCUUGACCAACUAACGACUAAUUGUCUCCUCAUGAAAAGAUUGAAAAAUGAUGUAGCUAUUGUGAUAUUUCUAUGUUAACUCUCUUUUGAGGUAAUGUCCGUUUUAUCUCGUCCCAUUUCAAAUCUCAUAGUUUUGUAUUUUGGCAUAUAAGCAGACUUUUUCCCAUUUUAGUAGUGUUCUAACUUGACUAUGCUUAACUUUGGGUAAAACUACCAAGAUAGGUGACUGUACUUUCAAGAGGCCACCCAUCUUGAUCUAACUUGACCACACUUAACUUUGGAGUGGAACUAUCUAUUGAUCUCAUGGGGAAGUGCUUGCUUGCACGCCAGAUGAUAAAAUUGUGAGGCUUGAAAUGGGAUGGGUGCCAACAAAUAAUAUCACGAGUGAAUUAAUCCAGAAACAUCACAGUUAUUUGUCCUCGAACAAAACAUGCAGUUGGAUUUUCGAUUAAGACGUAUCUUCUUCUAGUAAGGUCUGUCCCUUUUGUUUUGUUUUGUUUAGUGUUUUUUGCUUCUUCUUUUUUUUUGUUAAAUAUAUAAUUUAGACAUUGUCCUGUUAUGGUAAGAAAAAUCAAUUGACCUUCUAAAAUGUGCACUCCUGUGAACCUUUGCAAAAGAAGCCCAUCCGAACGCACAUCCACUCCGUCAAGGCUUUGCAACUCUUUCGGCUUUAUGGGACCAAGAACCGUCACAUCUGAGAGUUGUCUCAAGCUUUGGAAAGGUCUAUUGAUGUUCUUAUUUCCUGGCAAAGUAGGAUAUGUAAAAUGGACAAAACUCCCAGGAAGCCUUGGCAAGAACCUGAGGUUCUUAAAAAUUGAGAACAAGUUUCCUGAGCUUGCAACUCUAAGGACUCCAGACGGCAUAACCUUUCAGUCCACCGAGGAUCAUGGAGCUUCCUUAAGUCCGUGACCGUCGUAAUAAUACCUCGACACAUAUAAACGCAAGCAUCUCGGAUUUAAUAGGCACAGGAGAUCUGGAAAUGUGUACAUUGAGAAAAUUACAAGCACAGGUUAAUUCCAAGCCCAUGGCACCAUAGAAUUUUUCCCAUGACAAGAUUAAUUACUAAUUGCACCCGCUAAAAAUUUUAGAAGUAGGGCCACAACAGACCCAAAAAAGAAGAAAGAAAGUGCAGAACCGAUCGAUUACAGUAAGCUUUCACGCCUUCCAGGACAAUAGUUCGGUUUUAGCUCGACCUUGACAAGCUCAGAAGAACAACUGAUUCCCCAUGUAUGUUUUGAACUAGUUCCUAAGGAGCGAAAAUCAAUCCCCUGAUUGGUGCAGAAGUGAACUGACGCACAGGAGUUGCGAUGUGUUUCAAUGCAUGUGACCUUGUUAAGGCAAGCUAUUAAAGAUUAGAUGCAGAUGGAACAAAAUCAAUCGAGUCAGCUGCCGAGUGAGUUCAUUGGAAGGCUGUUUUUAUUGUGUAUGAAUGGUAAGUCAUGACUGAAAAUAAUGAAAACAACUCAAUCCGUUCCGAAUCUUUUCCUAAUCGAUCACUGAUUGCAUCAAAGAUUCGCAAGCGGACCCAAUUCAUGCCAAUGUGAAGAGAGAAAAUUACCAGAAAACCAAAUAAAGAUGGGGAGAAGGAAAAAGCAAGACUUUUUUCUAGAGAACAUAUUCAACUCUCGUGGAACAAAUCAGCGGGCAGGAAGACAGGGGUCGCAGUCCCUGGAGGGAUAUCUCCGCCAGGUUGGAUCGCGUCUUGUGAUGCCACUCGGGGUUGCCGUUGCAUUCCUUGAUGGCCAGUGUCUGUUGCUGCUGGUUCUGGUCGAGCUUCUCUCUUGGGACAUCACUGAUGAGGAAGGAAGAUGAAGGGAGGAGAAGGUGAGAAGGUGUUGUUUUGGGGGGGUAGGAGCAACGGGAGAAAAAAGAAAGAGAGCUUCAAAAAAGGGGGGAGAGAGAGAGAGACCUUGACGGCUUCAAGGUAAAAGAGAGGAAUCCCUAACCCUUUUAAUUCUACUGUCUCCAUAUAACUGCAUGUCGAAUAGAUGAAAUUUCCAUCCGCGGAUCUAUCCUUGGAGGCAACUCCAGUGAUUCCUCGAGCACCUUGGUCAGGUGCAACUCCAGUGAUUCCUUAAGCACCUUGAUCAGGUUAGAAAACUUCUUUGGAGGCAACUCCAGUGAUUCCUUGAGCACCUUGGUCAGGUUAGACAACUUCGCUGGCAACAGUUCUAACAACUUUUGCGAAGAUUUGCAGCAAUCAAUAUGAAGCUUCUCCAAUGAUUUUGGCCUAUGUUGAACCUCAACCAGAUGAGGUAGCUUCGCACAGCCUUCUACGGUGACAUGUUUGAUAUUCUUGACGUUUGAUGGAAACUUUUCGAGUGAUUCACAGGACAUUAAAUAAAGCUUCUCCAACGAUUCUUGCUGAUCUCCUACCUCAAUCAGUUUAGGACAUAGUGAUAUAGUAAGUACCCCCAGCUUCUUCAAGUGGGUCAGGUCGGGCAACUUCACCAGUGAAGGAAGAUGGCAAAGAUAAAGCCAUUUCAUGUUUUCCAAAUUUUCAAGGCCUUGAAUCUCUGUUAGCUGUUCACAAUUACGUACUUCCAAUUCUGAUAACUUCUUCAAAUAUGAAAGAUCUCCAGACUUUUCCAUUGACUUGCACCCACAAAUACUUAAGUAUGACAAAUGCUGGGGAAACCUAUGUAGGCAUUCUAGUUUAUUUCCAACAAGUUCAAGCUUCUCGAGCUUCGAAAAGAGAUUAAGAUCUAAAGGUAUGGAGACCAGACUAUGCCAACUCAACAGCAAGGAAGUUAGCUUUCUUAAACCUCCGAUCCAGUUGAGGCUUGGAGUUGGAUGGAACGAGAAUUCAGACUUUAAAUCCAACUUCAAAACUCUCAAAUUUAAUAGGUUAGAGAGAUCUGGGUAUUCCUUAAAUGGACCAAUUGUAAGGUGUAGAUUGGUCAUACUUUCAGGAAGCUUAGGUACAUCAGAAAUUCUUGUGUUCAGUAACAUCAAGAUCCUCAGAAAUGAUAAUCUUCCGAUCUCCCUAGGAAUUUCCCCAAGGAAAUUUCUACAGUCACGAGCAUAGAUCUCUUCAAGCUUCUCCAACAUCCCAAGGGCACUAGGUAGCCUUUUUAAGGGGGUGUGUGACACCCUUAGUACUCUCAAAUACUUCAUUUUCUCUAUUGAACUGGGUAACUCUUGAAUUUUCGACUGAGAAAGAUUCAACUCAACAAGAGAUGCAAAAUUUCCAAACGGAAGCACAGUAAUAUUUGUACCUCCCAACCUUAGAUUCAAUAUUGAUGUUAAGCAACCAGAAAAAUUGCACAUGCUCAGUGAUUCACAUGAACUUGCACUGAGAGUUUCCAAUUUCUUCAUUCCUUUCCAUUCAGGAAUUUCGGUAAUGGAUGUCCCAUCAAUAAUAAGUUCCCUUAAGGCUUCCAGUUCCUCCAUCUUGUCCGGCAAUGUCUGAAGUUUCCUACAACCUCCCAAGUUUAAUGAUACUAAAUGAUUUAACUUAUUAAUAGAGCUAUCAACUUGAACCAGUUCCGUGCACCCUUGAAGAAUCAGUUGCUCUAAAUUUUCAUGAGCAGAAAGGUCAGGAGUUCUACGCAAGUAUCUGCAUCCAGUCAAAUUUAAAACCUUCAAAUCCUCUGCCAUCUGUAAUGAAGAGAAGAAGUUAAUUCUGCAUCAUUUUGAGAUACAUGACAACAAAGUCAAUAUAGCAAAUUCAUGUUCAGAGAAUACCAUACCUUGAGGUGGUUCCAUCCAUCCCACUCAUAUGUAAUUUCACUCCAUGAUACAUCAAGAAUCACUAACUUCCUAGGGGAACAUGCAAUGAACUUGAAAAAGAUAGGAAAGUUAUGCCAUGAGAGCCAUCUCAAUUGUGGAAGCAUGAUCGGAUUCCCCCCGAACCAGUUGGUAGAAUGAAAAUUCAAAAGCAUGAUCGGAUUCCUCAAUAACCAGUUGGCAGAAUGAAAAUGCCGAAUGUUGUUCUCAUCCAAGUCUACACCAUCCACUUGAAGAAAUCUUAAAUUUGGUAGGCUUAUGGAUUCUUCCUUCUCAAUGAAGUCUUGAAAUUGAUGAUCAGAUUUGAGACUUAUUGCUUCAACAUUUUCUCUUCCCUGCCAAAGCAAAAAAAUUAAACAGAAGCUAGUGAUCACAUAAUUGCCUGUUGAAGGCAUUCAAGUUGAGCAUACUUGAGGAAUGUACAUUUUAAAUUAAUAAAAUUAAUUUACAAUAUAAUUUACAGAUAAGCAUGUGGUCCCACUAAGCACACAAGUAAUGACUCGGUUUAGAUAAAAACAAAUAAGCAAAGUCAACGUGUAUAAUUCGUUUCUUUGAAAAGGAUUAACAUUGCAAACACUUUACCUCCUUUGUUUCAAGAACAUCAGUUGCUUUCUCUUGAUCCCACACUCGACUUUGCUUCUCUGGUUUAUAAUCACCAGUCUUACGAACGAAAUCUCGCCCAAGGUCUCUUACAAUAUCAUGCAUCCACAGUCUGUUAUGUUCUGUAAUCUUUAUUAACGACAUCUUUUGGAGGACACUAAGAUAAAAGUCAGGUUGAAACCCACAGCUUUCCCACAUGUGCCUCACAAUUCUCACAUCAAACCCAACGAAGAAGCAACAAACAUCAAGAAAUAUUUUCCCCGCUAAUGGUGGUAAUGCCUUAAUACUGAUGUUCAACUUUUCUUCAACUUUUUCAUCGGGAAUAGUUUCCAGCUUCUUUAAUGUGGUCUCCCAAGAUUUUCUGUCUUCCUCAGCUAAAAGAGAACCUAUGAUCUCAAGAACCAAAGGAAGACCACUGCAGAUUUUUACCGCUUUUUUCGAGAGGCCGACGUAUUCAGCCGGAGCAUGAUCACUUUUAAAGGCAUGUUUGCUAAAUAGUAUAAGGGAACGAUCAAAAUCCAUUUCAAUAACUUGGUGCUUCAUAUCAACAUGUUUGAGAACUUCCUCAUUUCUUGUGGUGAUAAUAACCUUACUUCCUCUGCAAAACCAGCAUUUACCCAUCCCCACAAGAGCAUCCAGCUCAGUCUUUUGGUCGACAUCAUCAAUUACGAGUAAGACCUUUUUAAAGGAUAAACUCUUCUUGACCUCAGUUAUCCCUUCUGCAAUGUCAUGGAUUGGCAGACAUUUCCCUUUUCGGAGAGUAGAGAUGAGCUGAUCCUGCGAACUCAGAAUUCCUUUAUGUCGAACACCAAACAGGAAGCAACAGUCAUCAAAAUUAGCUGACAAUUUAGUAUAGACAAUUCUAGCAAGAGUUGUCUUUCCGACACCACCCAUUCCAUGGAUACCAAUAAUCUUUGUUUCAGAGGUGUCUUCACCUAUCAUUUCCAUGAUCUCGUCCACUUGAUCAUCCAUUUCAACCAAGCAAUCAAGUGCUCCCAAGUAGCUCUUUUUCAACUCGAACAAAACCUUAUCAACAACUUCUUUCAUGAACUCGCCUUUGCCUCUGAUAGUUUCGAAGGCAAAAGAAUCAAACUGUUAAGUCGAGAUGAACAGAAUAAUAUCUACGGUACAAACAAAUCGUGCACAAUAAUAAAUUCAAGUACCUCUUAUUAAGUUCGCAUCCCUUUAAUUUUCCAACCUUGUUGAGAGCUGCCUUCCAGUUCAUAGUCUUAUCAGUGUUUUCAUUUAUGUGUGACUGAAUGGCGUGACCGUAGGUUCCAGUCUGCUUACGAACCAUCCGUGGUUCAACGUCAUAGAAAAUUGGUAUGAUCUUUUGUCCCCACUUUUCCUUGCACUCCACCAUCUGGGCCAAUUCCAUGAGGCACCAUUUACUGGCAGCAUAUCCUUUAGAAAAGAUAGGAAUCAAGAUUUUCAACUGCUUAAUCGCAUGGAGAAGCUCCGGGCCAAUCUCUUCCCCAACGUGAAGCUCUUCAUUAUCUCUAAAUGUUCGUAUUCUGGCAUCAGUGAGGCUGUGGUAAAGGUAAUCAGUGAUGUCGUUGCGAGUAUCUGAUCCUCUGAAGCUCAAGAAUACAUCAUAACAAGGUUCCUUUGGCUCCUCCAUUCCUGAAUUUUCAGAGGACUUUGCUAGGACUUGAUAUGCCACCUGAAAAAUGCUUAUUAUGAAAGUGGAGUGAUGAUGAUCAUGAUUUCUCUCAGAAUUUUUUUUUUCUUUUUUUUUUAAAGUCACUAUAGAAAGACACCUUGAUGACAAAUGCAUGAGCUCCAUCUGCGGCCUUCUAGACAACAAAAUAUAUUUCCUUCCUUUAUAAAAAAUUUAGUAGAGAAGUCAAACCAUCUCAAUUCUAAAGGAAGAAAUCUCCAAAUUAUUGCAGAAUUAUGGGUUUUAAUUCACACUCCAGAUUGAUUGAAAAAAAAAAAAACAUUUCGUGCAAAGAUAAAUCACUGCCAACCUAUAUUUGUCUUAAACUCUUUCUUUAGGUGAUAAAGUAUCCCCUGAAAGGUGAUGUCGAAUGUCCUCUGCACAUAAGCGCCUAAUGUUGCUUGUUGGUUGACUAAUUAUCUUAUUAUCUGAUAAGAAAUUAUGAUCAAACCUUCCUAAUUUCGUUUAACAAAAAUAGAUUUGACAAACAACACUCAUUUAGUUGCUUCCUCAACCUUAACAGUUGCUGGUGAAGAAUUCAUUCCCCUAUGAUGAUCUCACUAGAAUAAUGAAAUCAAGAAAUUACACUAAAGCAAAUGCAACUCUCACCAUAUUGGACUAGUUUCUUAAGAUCAUAAACUGAUCCCUAAUUACAGCCAUCUCAUAGGUUAUCAAAGAACAGAUACACGGUCAUGGGUGAGCAUCAGUUAGGGUUGAAGAUAUUUUCCACACUUGCAAGUACCAGCAUAUUAAAAAAAUGGGAUUUACUCACUAAUCAACUAUGGGGUUAAUAAGAUUUCAACAGAAAAAAUAAAAGCAUGAAUGCUAUAUUACUGUUUUUUUAAAAUAAGUUGGAAAACACAGGAGUGUAGGGAUGAGAGCCGCAUUUUAUGAAAGCAGAGAGUUCUGGUUCACCACAGAGUGCAACAGUAUAGUGUAUUCAGUCCGUCUCUACUGUUAAAUACAGAGUUGAGGGUAUCAAUUUUCUGCCUAGAAGCGUUCUUACUGCUAAUCACUAGACAAUAAUGUACGAAUUUGUCAUAUCAAAGUCUCUUAAAGAUACCACCAUCACUAUUCGCACAAAAAAAAAAAAUCCCAUCAAAAAAUGAAAUCAACAGAUCCACUCUAACAAAUUUAGCUUUUAGCGCCAGCAAUCCACGCGAAAACUCAGAGAGAGAGAGAGAGAGAGAGAGAGAGAGAGAGAGAGUACGUGGGUGACGAGCUCGUAAGACUGAGCGUUGUCGAUGAUGGAACCGGACUUGCCUCUGCCUUCGCUGCCACCGCCGCCCUUCCUCCUCUUCUUCUUCUCGCCGCUCCUCUUCUUCAGCUUGUAGUCGCGAGGGCCGCCGCCGCCGCCGCCGCCGCCGCCUUUGAGGAGCUCACUCCGAGGCUCGACACUGCUCGCGUCCGCUUCAGCUUCAUGCCGUCUCUUCUUCUUCGCCACUCCCGCUCUCCGAUAUCAGAAAGUUUCGACUUUUCGACAUGGUACGAGGUCGACUGGUCAAGGGUUUAGGCGUCGAUCUUGGUGGUGGUAUUGCGUUUCGGGAUCUGAGGCCCGACACUUGCACAGAUGGAAGCAGAUGAGCAAGGUUUUAGCACCGGACUAGAGUCAGAGGCUAAAGCUAUUAGUGUUAGACGCAACUGACUGUGAUCAGUCAUGAAGUCAACUGAGAAAGAAUUGAUACUGAUCUGAGAGCCCUCUCUUGUUUCCAUCAAAUUCUGCAUCUAGUUGCCUUACAGAACAGACCCAAUUCAUUAUGAAGAAGGCAAUCAACGAGAGGAAAUUACCGGAGAUGGAGGGGGUGAAGAUGAAAGGUCCGGAUCAAAUGCUGAGAAGCAGAUAAAAGAUCCCAAAAAUAAACGCUCUUGGCUUUCGAGUUCAGCUGAAGAGAGGCAAGACAUACAUAAGAAGGUGAAUUCACCCUUCUUCGCCGUGCCCUUCCAGAAAAGUGAGGGCUUGCUAGUUGCAGGGAAAUUUCAAGCAGACCGUGAAAGAGUCAAUACGCGUUGCUGUUGACUUUCCAGGUAAACGAGUCGAGUUACUGGAAAAUUUCUCGUAGUCCGAAAACUUUUUGGCACGAAAAGCAAGAGCAUAAGAGGAUUUUCAUUGCACGUUAUUAGUUUAGAAAUCAUAUAAUUUAUAUUAAUCGAUAUUCUUUCGAUGACGAUCCUCGUCAUUGAAUUCAUGUAUCAAAUCAAAAAAUGUUGAAUUCAUGUAUGUCAGAGUUAUACACAAUGAGUUUGUAAGAUAAAAAAGUUAGAAAAAAUAAUACCAUAAAUAUUAUAACUUUCGUACAAUAUUCACUUUAGUGUUAUAAGUUUUUUGAAAUUAGUUAAGCAAUAUAAUUUUUGUUUGACACUCACUUAAAUGCCAUAAUCUUUUAUCUUUUGAUCACUUGUGCCAUGACUUCUUAAAAUUGUUCAUUCAAGAAUGAGUGUUCCCCCAAGGACCACUGGUCUACCACUGUUCUUCUUGGUACUCCAUGUUCGGCGCUUCCUCUUUUCUCCAAAUUUGUACUUUUUCUUUUUGAAUUGUUCUUAAAAUCUGCUGAAAUGGCAGCUCUAUCAAUGCCUCCAUUUUCAAGGAAAAAAAAAAUCGUGUCUGUCUUUUCUAUUAGUUAAAUUUGAUGGAGUUAAUAGCGAGAUAUGAUCGCAUCAAUUUAAUGAUUUUUAAAAUUUGAUUGUACUUUUUAAAAGUUUUAAAAUUUGAAAGCAUUUUUGCAACAUAUUUUAAGAUUUAUGGAGCAUUUAUCCUCUCUUAUGGGACAAUAACAUAAAUGGUCCUUAAACUUUAGCUCAAUAUAUAAUGUUAUUCUUAUAUAUUUUAAUUUGUUCAAUGUGAUAUCUAAAAUAUUGAUACAUGUUCAAUUUAGUCUUUAGAUUAAAUGCGUUAUUUCCAUAUAGUUUAAUGACUAGAUUGGAUAUCUAUUAAUAAUUUAUGGAUCAUAUUAAAUAAAUUAAAAAAUUUUAAAAUGACAUAACAUAUUUUAUUAGAAUUCAAUGAUCACAUUAAAUAAAUUCUAAACUUAGAGACAACAUUAGAUAUUGGACAAGAUAUAUGGAUUAUUUAUGUCAUUUUUUUCAUUUUUUUUAAAUCUAAAACUCCAGAGACUUAAGGAUAGACAAAUAAAUUCACAUAUAUUUUUUUGAUAAUUUUCUGAAAUCUGAACAAUAAUUUAAAUUUUAACAAAAAGGUAAAAAAACUACUAUUAACUUCUUUAAGUCCUAGCAAAGAGGCACUAAAUCAAUUAACUUUCGCCAUUUCUUUACGAUGUCCCUUCGCGUGGGCACCAUUUCAUGGGAGAGACGACUGGUGCAUUGACGCUCAGGAAAGUGACGAAUUGCUAGUAGUUGAAGGGAAACUUCAAGCCGACCUUGAAAAAGGGAGUCCGCGUUUUGCUUUUGACUUUUGGGGUAAUUGAGUUGAGUUCCCGGGAAAUUUCUCCAAGUCCAAAGACUCUUUGGCACGAAAGGCGGAGUACAAGAGAUUUUCAUGCGUGUUAUUAGAUUAGAAAUCAUUCCAUUUAGGCUAAUUGAUAUUCUUUUAAUGACAAUAAAACCAUUCUUUUGUAGGUGAAACCCAGGCCCAUUCAAAUUUUACAUAUACUAAACCCAGAAAUGUAGAAUUCAUAUAUUUUAAUUAAUUAAGACGAAUAAUAUGAUUAAAAUAAAAUAAGAAAAAUAGAUUAAUAUGUUGAUGCUAUUUAAUCAAGUAAAAACUAUACCAUUAUAAUAUUCUUAAUUUUGAAACAACGACAAGUAAAUUAAUUUAAAUUUCUAGUAUCGAGAUAUAAUGCUAUCAAAUAUCUAUAUUAUGAAGAAAAUGCGGUCAUAUUGCAAAUACUAUGUUAAAAAUUGGUAUCUUUUUUUCAUUACAUUCUCAAAGUUUCUUUUUUUUUUUUAAUACAAUCAAUAAAUGAGUCUUUGUUUCAUUUUGCUACCUACAUUUUUGUUAGCUUUCUUGGGAAUCCACCGAUUGAAAGUAGUGUGAGUCCUCGCUCAAUUUGAUUUUGUUAAUGCUUUGGUUCAUUUACGCAUUUAAUCUUUUUUUAUCAUACAAAAUACAAUGCAAUGGAGGGAUAUGCACAAUAUUUUUAUGCAUCAAAAUUUCAUUAAUCAUCAUCCAACUAUGUUUAUGUUUAUGUGAGCAUUUGGUAAUUGAUAUAGUAAUAGGUGUUACACUGUUUUUCUUUCACAGAAAGCAAAGGUAAUUAAUAAAAAUUAAAUUAAAUUAAACUAUAUCAAUUUGGAUUGACUUUUAAAUUUUUAUUUUUAUUUUUGCUCCAUUUAAUUUACACUGCCCACGCACUUUAACUCUAUUUCAAAGUCCCAAAACUUUCCAAAUAGUUAUAUGUUAACACGUAAAUUUGUAUUAAUUUUUUCAUAAUUUUUUGAAAUCUAAAUAAUAUUUCAACUUUUAAUAGAAAAAUAAAAUAAUUCCAAACAAAGUGGCAUUAAAGCCAUUAAUUUCUCCAUUUCAUCUCAAUAAAAUUUCAACUUUUAAUAGAAAAAUAAAAUUUAUUUUAUUUAAUUCCAAACAAAGUGGCAUUAAAGCCAUUAAUUUCUCCAUUUCUUAGGCAUGAGGCUAUUGUUCACAUCUGCCAGAAAGUAUCAUCAUAUCAGAAGAAGAGGAGCGGAUUACUAAUUACUUAUGGAGUUAAUAAAAUUUCAACAGAAAAAAAGAAGCAUGGACGCAAUAACUGUUUUUCCAGUAAAUAAGUUUGAACACAUGGCCUGUAGGGAUGAAAGCUGCAUUUCACAAAAGCUGAGAGUUCCGGUUUGCCACAGAGUGCAACAUUAUAUACUCUUUAGUUUGUCGCUUCUGUCAAAUACAGAGUUGAAGGUAUCAAUUUUCCGUCUAGGAGCGUUCUUUCUUACUGCUUAUUUACCAGACAAUAAUGCACUAAUUUGUCUCCACUGUUAAACAACUGAAAUCAACCGAUCCUAAUUCUAACUAAUUCAGCUUUGGGUGCUGGCCGGUUCCUAAAGAGUGUAAAUUCAGUCCUGAAUUACAUAAACCUCUGAGUAUAUCAACAAGCUGAUGUAUAGGAGUGGGAUUGUGUUUCAAGAUCUGAGGCCUAACUAUUGCAUAGAUGGAAGCAGAUGAACAGGGUUUACACGUGACUAGCGUUAUGCUAAAACUGUUGGUGUUAGAUACAAAUUGUAGCGAUCGAUCAUGGAGUCAACCAUGGAAAGAAUUGAUACUGAUAGGAGAGUCCCUCUAUCGUUUUCAUCAAAUUAAUGGAAAAAAGGCAAUGAAUGAGAGGAGAUUACCAAAGAUGGAGGAGUGAAGAUGAAGAGUCCGGAUCAAAUGGGAAGAAGCAGACAAAGAUCCCCCAAAUCAAUCGUUCUUGGGUUUGCGCUCCGUUGAAGAAAGACUUUUCACAAGAUGGCCCGCUGGCCCUUGCACGCAAUGCUCUUUCAGGUAGGUGAGGACUUGCAAGUUGCAGGUUUACUUAAAGCCUGUCGUUGACUUUUGAUGUAAUAGAGAUGAAGGCCGGCCGUUGACUUGCCAAUGAUUUGCCGGCGCAAACCACCAGAGUUCUAAUAGACGAGAAUUUAAUGCAUGUUAUUAGUUUGGAAAUCAUAUAAUUAUAUUGAUUGAUAUUCUUUUAAUGACGAUGAAACCGUUCUUUUGUUGUAGGUGACACCCUAGGCCCAUUUAAAUUCAACAUAAAUUGAAUCUACAAAUGUAGAAUCCAUACUUUUAAGUCUUUGAGAUGGAUUAUAUUAUUCAUAGUAAACUUAUAAAGACUAGAGUUAGGUUUUUAUGCUCUGUUUGUUUCAAGAAAAAAUAAAUAAUUUGGAAACAAUUUCUUAAAAAUGAUUACUUGUAUCACGUAAAAUAAUUAGCUAAUAAAAAAUAUUUUUAUUGUGGACAACAAUUUAUGUCUAAAUAAUUUCAUGGAUAAUAAAAAUAACUUUUGUUUAUUCAUUUUUGUAAGUGAUAUAAAUAAUUAUUUUAGCAAAAUCCUUUUCAAAUUAUCUACUUUCUGCAAAACAUGCAUACCUUUGAACUCUAAAAGUUAUAUCAUCUAGAAAUUGAUAAAGCUCCGAAAAGGUUACAAUAUAAGUGGAAGGUAAUCGACAAUCAUUUUUUAAUCGGCUAUAGAAUCUCAUUACGUUCAUUAAAAAAGAGAGUAUAUCUUGGAUCUCCCUUGGGAGCAGAGAAAUACAACGACUUCCAAAAGAGGUACUGAAAAUCCUAAUUCUAAUCUAAGUAUAAAUUGGAAAAUUACGUGAAAAACAUAAACCUUAGUCAAUAACCCUUUUGGGAAGAUGUGCAUAGCACAUCAUGCACGGCACAUGUAAGACACAUGAAAAUUGCAACGAUUGCCGAGGAAAAAUGUGUCUGAGUUGCAUAGGGUUUAAGGCUCAAAUGGGCUAAAUUUAAUAAUUCAACGAUUUAAAGAGUUCAAUUUGAAUGAAAUUCAUAAAAUCGCCUCAGUUUAAAAUUUAAUACAUUGAAAUUAUUGUGGAUCAAAUGCUAAGAAGCAGAUAAAGAUGCCAGAACCGAAGGAAGAGUUUUAUUAAAGAGUCUACUCACCUUCACGUGCCAUGCACCUGCAGGAAGGUAAGGACUUGCUACUCAUCCCAUCCGCAUUACAAUUUUACAUACGUUAAACCUAAAAUAUAGAACUCAUACAUAUUAUGUAUUUGAGAUGGAUCAUGUUAGACUUAUUCCCAAUAAAUUCAUAGACAAGAAUUAGGUUUUAAUUUCAAAAGCUGCAUUUGUACACAAAGGAAUAAAGCACCAAAAAAUUUACGAUGAGUCUUCAAAAAUAGCUACAGUUGAAAUAUUCCAGAUGAUAUAUUUAUGGUUUUGUCCCAAUUUAUUUCUCAUAUGCAGGUAACGGAAACGCUUUCAAAAUAGACAUCUCUCCAACCUAUUCAGAAGCCAUUUGAGUUUCUAAUAAAUCAACGUUUCCCUCAGCAUGGAGAGCAGAGAAAGCGUAAGUUCUAGACACAAGGUUUGCAGUACACAUGACCUCUAUGAUCUCUGGCCAAAGCGGCAUUGGAGGCAUGAGAAUCUUGCAUCGAUGUUCACUUGAAGUAAGAGGGGAGGAGUCCAUUUUGGAGGGUCGUUGUUCACAACUGGUGACUACGAGCAACGUUCCAUCACAACUCAGGGUAGAUGUCCUGUAUAUGUCGAAUUACUGAAGGAAAAUCCAUUUGGGAACGAGCUUCCAGAAUUUUGUUUCGACGCUCCGAUAAACCCACUAAACUAUCUCGACCAUAUUGCGAAAAUCUUCGCAAUAAAUGUCUGGUGGAAGGCCGAAAGCGAGGAGGCGCAGAGAUCACAUGGCACACGUGUAAAAAACAGAACCGCAAAAGAAGUUGAUAUGUCCAAGCCCCAGCCAACUCGACUCCAUACAAUUCAGGUCAUCCACUCUCUUUCCCUUUUGUCAGGGCGAAUUUGACUGAUCAAUAUUUUUCGAAGUAAAAGAGCAGUUUUGUUCUAACUAGAUCUUCGGGAGAGAUAUGACCUUUACCUAUGUAUGGAAUAAAUACGACAUCUUGCCCAUGGAAUGUUGACAAGACAUCGAAUGCAUUUUGUGCAGAUCUCAACAACCGAGAGCAGAUUCUUAUGAAGACUCUACUUGUGAUUAACUUGGAGGUAAAGGACAACCAUGAGGAGGCAGCAACUGGAGCUCAGCUUGCUUUAAAUCUUUGUCGAGAGGUCUUUGACUGGCUGUGCUUUAUGUAUUAAUGAUAGUAAGCUUAAUUUCUGUAUGCUGAGAAAUUGCUUAUUGUAAUUCCUGGUCCCCAGAUAGAAGCAGCCGAGGAGGAAUCCAUUGAUGAAAUUGUUUCUAAUUUCAGAACCAGAACAGGCGGAAAUUUUUAUUCAGCAUUUCCUUCUAUUGAUGACCGUGGUGAGGGCAAGACUCUUGCUCUGAAAGCUUUAUGAUCCAUGUCGUUGUUCUGUUAGUAUUUUGUCUGCAAAUUUAUAUGUCGAUGUUCUGUUAGUAUUUUUAUUCUGUCUGUCCAUCUACUUGCACAAUUGGUAAUAUACUUAAAUACAUUACCAGAUUUCUUCCAACGCUGUUACUGUUUGCUUUGCACGAAGCCUUCCCUAGAAAUCUUACCUUUCUAAGCCCAACGAGCCCUAUUUAAUCCAUUACACAGCUAAUCAUUUCUUUAUACCCUAUCCUGAAUUUGAUCUCUUCUUAUGUCAGGAAGAAUGAAUCAGGCUCUCCCAUGUUUUUACGCCUUUGCUUGAUCUUGGUAUUCCAUGCGAAUUGUUGGGUUUGAUGAGCACUUUCCUUGACUACUCGUUAGUGGUAGGUGAUUUUGCAACAAUAUCUCUAUCUGCAUAAUGAGAAUUGUCAUUCUCACGCUUUGAAUUUAAUUUGCUAGAGAAGCCUAUUCUUUGCUGUUAUUGCCAAGCCUGUCAUACUAAUGCGCUGCAUCUAUCCACUUUCAGAUAACACUGCAUCGAUGUGGAAAAGAAAUUCUGAGUCGAACCCUUUUACACUCACUUUAUCUCUGGAAUGUCGACGCAUGAUGAUGUAUUAGUAAUUGGAAGCAAGCCAGUCUUGCUUAGGAGUGAAAAUUCUAUUAUUUCUUGUAGUUUCAUUCUUUUUCUUUUUCUUUUUUCAUUUUAAGUUUCUUUGUACUGCAGAACUAAUUCUGCGAUGGUACUCAUGUCGAGAGAGCAGGCAGAAAAGAGAUUCUGGCGUAUUGCAUAUAAUUUCUUUGAAUGCGAUGGGUUGAAAACCGCCUCUAUUUUCAUUUUACUGUAUCGUGCAUAUGAAAAGAAAAAACAGGAGAAACGAACCAACCUGACCUGGUCAGUCAUUUGAUGAUCUGGUUCUGUAUUUUUGGCAGGGUUCACAAUUCAAUCGAUCCUAGUUAUUUGAGAUGAGUUGGUUUGUGAAAAGAAAAUUACGUAAAAAGCAGAAAGUUCUAAUUUGAGUUCAUUUAGAGAUCGUCAGUUUUCUUGCUGGCUUGUUGGUCAUUCCUAGGAUCUUGUCCUUCAACUUGCUUUCCUCACUGUUUGAAUCAAAAUUCCCUUGCGUAUUCAUUUAAAACAACAGGCUCUGAUAAUUUGUGGAAAUUACCUACUACUGACACACAAAAGUCAUCUCCAUGUUUGACUUGCACCAAGAUUAGCAGCUUCACAUCUCCAACGGCAGAAUGCUUGCUUGACCUCGGCACAAGUGUCUUUUUGGAAUCUCUCAAAUACCAGUCUCUUGAGCAGGUGAAUUCUUCUCCUAUUCUACUGUUCCGUCGAGCCGGUGAAUUUUCUUCUACUCUGCUGUUCCUCCGGGAGGACGUUGCGGUCUAUUGAUCUAUCUGUGGAAAUAAAAUGUCUCCUCUCUCUGAACCGUCAAUCUCCUGUGGGUUAAUUUGUAUAACACCAACCACACCAAUUAGCUGUGGUACGCUCUACCCUCAUGCAGAUCUGCUUCUUAUGGCCAAAUAGACUUGUGUUUGCAUCGUGUCAGCUACAACCCAAAAGUGCCAGUGAAACUCGGCCAAACAACAGUGCACAUUAGACAGAGAAAAGAGAGCUCUUCUGCUCACGCAUUUUAUCAAAUGUUACUAUGGUAUGAAUGAUGAAGAGAAAUUGAAGGAUGAUGACUCUCCAUGAACUAACAAACAGCGGCAUCAACCGGCAUUUCCAUUUCAUAAGACAUCAAGUUCGAUUCACUCAGCUCCUCAUGGGCAUUGUAGUCAUCCGUACUGGCAACAUACCCAUCUCGCUUCAUCUGUCCUAAGAGAGACUUUAACAAAGAAUAAAUAUCACCCUUCUGAGGGUGCCUCUUGUCCUUGACAAUGAAGACAUGAACUUGACCCUGAAUUUCUAUCCAGCUACAACCAGGCUGCUUGACUACUCCCCGUUGCCUCAUCAGCUUCCUCAUUCUGACAACUUUGCCCCAUUUUUUACGUUCUGCGUACAUGUUUGAAAGCAGAACAUAAGGUCUGGAGUUUGAAGGGUCGAUCUCUAAGAGCUUCUCCACUACAUACUUUCCUAGUGUUAUAUCCUUAUGAACUUUGCAGGCUGCAAGCAGUGAACCCCAAACGACAGCAUCGGAUUGCAUGGACAUUGUCUCUAUUAAGUCCUUAGCUUCACUGAGACCACCAGCUCGGCCGAGCAAAUCAACCAUGCACGUAUAAUGGUCCUUUACCGGUGCCAGAUCAUACUCCUUGACUGUCUACUUGAAAUAAUGGUGCCCCUCUUCGACCAGCCCUGCAUGGCUGCAUGCACAUAGAACCCCGAUCAUGGGGACAUGGUCUGGUCUCUCGCCAGAUACCAACAUUUUCCUGAAUAUUUCAAGCGCCUCUAUUCCAUAACCGUUCUGCACAUAUCCAACAAUUAUGGCAUUCCAUGACAUCUUGUCCCUCUCCAACAUAUUCUUAAACACCCAUAAACCAUCUUCCACAGCUCCACAUUUAACGUACAUGUCUAUAAGAGAAUUUCCAACAAAAAUAUCUGCUUCUUCUCCAGAGUGGAAGCGCAAUCCAUGCUUCAAGACAUGAGCAUGAGCCUGCUGGCCCAACUGCAAAUCAGCUAGAUUUGCACACGCAUUAAGCAAAUUUCCAAAUGUGUAGUGCGUCGGCUCAAUGGCUUCCCUCUCUGGGUAUACCCUGCAAUGAGGGCAUUCCAAAAAAUUACAUUCUUCUCCAUCAUCCCCGUGAACAUUGCUCUUGCAGUUUUGAGACUGGCUGCUUUUGCAUACCCGCUCACCAUGGAAGUGGCUGACACUAUAUUUCUGGUAGGCAUUCUAUCAAAAACUGCUCUGGCCUCACUAAUUCUGGAGCACUUAGAGUACAUAUCAACCAAUGCAUUUCCUAAAACAUCAUUCCUAAAUUUGUCACAUUUUACAACACGGGCAUGAAUUUGCAUCCCUUCCUUAAGUGCCGACAAGCUAGCGCAGGCACUGACCACACUGGCUAAAGUAACCUCAUCUAUUUCAAACCCACACUCGCUGGACCAUUUUGUUCAUAACACGUAAUCAAGCUGUUCCAAGAAACUAUGUUUCGAGAACUCAUUUCAUCAAAAGCCCUCUGUGCAUAAGCCACGUUCCCACACUUGGAGUACAUGUCGAUAAGAGCAGAGCCCAUAUGAACAUCAGACGGGCACUCGGACUUCGAUAUCAAAGCCUGAAUCUGUUGGCCCAGAUGCACAUCUGCUAACCCGGCACAUGCGCUAAGCGCACUACCAAAUGAGUACUCAUUCAGCACAUAAUUCUCCCUAUGCAUCUUACCAAAACAUUGCAGGGCUUCUUCGAACCUUUAAUGCUGCGCAUAACCUGAGAGCAUCGAAUUCCACGAGCACUGGUCGGGUUCCGGCAUUGACCCGAAUAUCUUUUCUGCUUCAUCAAGAGACCCCGAUCUGAUCAACCUGCCUAAGAUCGCGUUCCACGUGAAGGUAUUCUUCUCGGGCAUUCUAUUGAACACCCUGCAGUUGUCAUCGAGGCACCCGCAUCUCGCGUAAACGUCGAUGAGCCGGUUCUGGAUAAAAACCUCGGCGGAGAACGGGGUCUUGAUGAUCCGAGCGUGGACGCGGCGUGUGUGGCGCGCUGACUUGGACAGGCCGCAGCCGUCCAGGAGCUUGGCGAACGGGGUCGAGGUGGCGAAGGAGAGGUCGCCCGCCAGAGCCUUGACCCGCGCAUGCCUUGCCAUUCCAUCAUAUCAUCGUACGAAGCGAACUCUGUCGGAGAAGAUUCGCAUAGAUGCAAAUUGAAUGCGAUGGGGAGUUUCUGUUGACCGUUAUACGCUUCCCCCCUUCAGCCCGACGCGCGGGAAUAUGUUGAGAGCGCUCAUAUGAAGAGGGAAGGCAAAGUUGCAGUGGCAAAAUGGUAAUUUCGGCAUGACAAUAUAUUAAUUAGACUCAUAACCAUGAAUUAUAUUUUUUAUUAUGAGUAAAUCUAAGCUACAAAUUAAAAUGUGUCAUAGAUUUAAUAUCUUGUUGUAAGUCACUAAAUAAAGAUUAGUCAUAUUUAUAAUCUAUACAACUUAUUGCUUUAUCAACUAUAAUUAUAAGUUUGAUAUAGGACAAGUCAAUUUUAUAACCGAGUUAUUUAUACAUCAAACAUGAAUUCUUGUCUAGUAAUUUUGAUUAUUUUAAUUGUAACUCAUCAUCAAAAAAAUGCAAAAAGCAAUUCGAGAGAAUGAAAAUUGGAUCUAUGCCGGAUCCCCCCUCCCACGAGGAAUAGCUAACCUUGAUUUUAAGAGAAUAGCAACUUCUCUGAAGUAACUAAUCUUGAUUUACUUCUUAGCCAACUAAGGACUAAGUGUCUCAUCAUGAUUAGACUGGACAUAAGGUAGUUAUUGUGACAUUCUUGGAUUAAUCUGAGGUACUAUUCAUUUUGGUCCGUCCCAUUUCGAGUCUCAUGGUUAUGUUCUUCAAGCAUGUGGGCAAGCACUUUUUCAAUAGAUUAUUGUGAUAUUUUUGGAUUAAUUCACUUGAAAUAUUAUCCACUUUUACCCAUCUCAUUCCGAAUCUCAUGAUUUUGUCUUUGGGCCAUACGAGCAUACACUUUCUAAGAAGGUAACCCAUGUUAACAAUAUUUUAGUCUAAGCACGCUCAACUUUGGAGUGGAAAUUACCAAAUAGGUGAAGUGCCUACCCGUAAGCUAAAGGAAAAAACCGUUAGGCUUAGAAUGAGACAAGUUAAAGUAGAUAAAAUCUCAAGAGAGUUAAUGUAGAAACUAUCACAUCAUUCUUCCUCGAAUAAAACGCACGGUUGGAUUUUCCAUUAAGAUGCAUGUUGUUCAAGUAAGGUCUAUCCCUUUUGUUUUGUUUUGUUUUGUUUUGUUUUGCUUUGCUCUACUCUUUUUUUUCUUUUUUUUCAAAUGAAUAAUUUGGACAUCGUCAUGUUUUGGUAAGAAAAAUCAAUUAACCUUCUAAAGUGUGCGUUCAUGUGAGCCCUUGCGAGGGAGAGCUUCAUGAUAAGAAAUGAAGCCCAUCUGAACUCACAUCCUACUCUUCAAGGCUUUGCAACUCUUUCGGCUUUAUGCGACCAAGAACCGUCACAUCUGAGAGUCAUCUCAGGCUUUAGAAAGGUCUAUUGAUGUUCUUAUUUCCUGGCGAAGUAGGAUAUGUAAGACGGACAAAACUCCUGGGAAGCCUAGGCAAGAACCCGAGGUUCUUAAAAAUCGAGAACAAGUUUCCUGAGCUUGCAACUCCAAGGACUCCAGAUGGCGUAACUUGUCAAUCCACCGAGGAUCAUGGAGCUUCCUUAAGGCCACACCUAUCGUAAGAAUACCUCGACACAUAUAAAUGCAAGCUUCUUGGAUUAAAUUGGUACGGGAGAUCUGGAAAUGCGUACAUUGAGAAAAUUACAAGCACAGAUUAAUUCCAAGCCCAUGGCACUGUAGAUUCUUGCCCCCAAAGAUUCAUACGUCUCUACUUCUACGACAAGAACUUAAAUCCCAACUGAUAAUUUCAAUUAUUGAAACUUGAAACGCAGUCAUUAAUCAUUCAAAAGCUCUGUAGAAAUCUGUCUUAAGUUAUGAAAACUAAAGGACCUUUAUGACCAUUGCAAAUGAUCAUUAACUAGGGAGGGUUAUGUUCAUGCUAGACAAGAUGUGUUGCCCCUACUUCUUCAUUUCCUCAGUGUGGAAUUUUUCAUCGGAAGUCUGUGACAAUUCUGUGAAUAUGGUUGCUGAUGUCUAAUUGAAUUCGAGACACUGAAUGCAACACAUUGAACAUAAUCUCAGUGAAUGAAUUCUGGACCAAGUCAUCUCGAAUCCUCGAUAAAUUUCUCCCAUGACGAGAUUAAUUACUAAUUGCACCCGCUAAAAUUUUUAGAAGUAAGCAGGACCACAACAGACCAAAAAAAGAAGAAAAAAAUUGCAGAACCAAUUGAUUAUAGUAAGUUUUCAUGCUUCCGAGGACAAUAUUUUGAUUUUAGCUAGAACUUGAUAAGCUCGGAAGAAGAAUUGAGUCCCAAUCGACUAUCUUGCAUAAGAUAAAUAAAAUCAGAUAAAUCCACCCCCCCAGGAGCGAAAAUCGAUCCCUCAAUUGGUGCAGAAGUGAACUGACGCACGGGAGUUGCAACGUGUUUCAAUAGAAUGUGAUUUGGUUAAGGCUACAGCUAUUAAAGAUUAGAUGCAGUAGUUACGGAAGAAAAUCAAUCGAGUCAGCUCCCCAGUGAAUUCAUCAAAAGCUGUUUUCAUUGCGUAUGAAUGACAAGUCAUGACUGAAAAUAAUAAAAACCAACUCAAUCCCUUCCAAAUCUUUUCCUAAUCCGUCACUGAUUGCAUCAAAGAUUCGCACGCGGACCCAAUCCAUGCAAAUGAGAAGAGAAAAUUACCAGAAAAUGAAGACGAGUGAAGAUGAAGAAAACCAAAUGAAGAUGCAGAGCAGGAAGAACCCUCGUUGGCCUGAGUCAGCUGCAACCAAAAUGGAAAAGGAAGACCACAAUCUGUUAACCCCUCGCGGAACAGAUCGGCGGUUACGAAGACGUGGUCGCAGUCCCCGUAGGGAGAUCUCCGCCAGGCCGUAUCGCGUCUCGUGCUUCCGCUCAGGGUCGCCGUCGCUGCUGGCUCUGGGCGAGCUUAUCGCUCGGGUUGUCGCUGAUGACGGAGCAGAAAGAAUGUGAGAAGANNNNNNNNNNNNNNNNNNNNNNNNNNNNNNNNNNNNNNNNNNNNNNNNNNNNNNNNNNNNNNNNNNNNNNNNNNNNNNNNNNNNNNNNNNNNNNNNNNNNGGGGGGGGGGGAGAGAGAGAGAGAGCAACGGGAGAAAAAACGAAACAAAAAAACAGAGAGAGUUGAAAUUUCACAAGAGUGGGUCCCACCUACACCUAUACGCACCAUUUCGAGAAAAUAUUCCUCAUACUCUAGUAGGUAAUCUCUUCCCCGUGAUUUCCUGUCCGGUGGUAUUCUUAUCUUAAAAAAAGCGAAGGGUCCUCUCACUUUUUUCAAAUCUCCAUACUCAUCAGAUUCCAGAAUCUCCUCCAAUCUCUCACAUUCUUUUAUCGCCAAUUUCUCUAGCUUCUUGAAGCUUGAAGGCUCCGAAAACUUUCGCAGGGACCUGCAGCCUUCAAUAGAAAGCCUCUUCAGUGAUUCUAGCCUACCUCGAAUCUCAAUCAAACGAGGACAACAACCUAAAACAAGAUCAACAAGCUCCUUGGCAUUGGUCAGGUCAGGAAACCUCUCUAGCAACGGAAGAUUCCUCACACAUAAGUAACUCAAGUUUUCCGAAUCUUCCAGGCCUUGAAUCUCAUUGAGCUUCAAACAAUGACUUAUCACUAAUACUUCUAUAUGCUUGAAGGUUAAUGGAUCAGGCAGCUUUUCGAGUGAUUCACAGUGCCAUAAAUUGAGAAGCUUCAAUGAAUCUGGCCCACAUUGAACCUCAACUAGUUUAGGACACUUCCUUAUAUAAAGUCCCCAUAACUUCUUCAAGCUGGUCAGGUUGAGCAACUUCACCAGCGAUGGAAGACCAACAAGACGAAGGCAUGCCAAGUUUUUCAAAUGUUGGAGGCCUUGAAUCUCCAUUAGUUGUCUACAGCAAUGGAAUUCCAAUGUUGAUAACUUCUCCAAAUACGAAAGAUUUAUCGACUUUUCCAUUAACCCACGCCCAUGAAUACUGAAGUAUGACAAAUUUUGGGGAAGCUUAGGUAAGUAUUCUAGGUUAUCUACAAUGAGGAAAAGCAUCCUGAGCUUCGAAAGGAGAUUAAAAUCUGAAGGUAGGGAGAUCAGACCAUCAUAACGCAACCACAAGGUUUGUAGCUUUCUUAAUCCUACGAUCCAAUUGAGGCUUGGAGCUAGAAGGGAAGGAGUUUGACACUCUAUAUCCAACCUCAAUUCUCUCAAAUUUAAUAGGUUCGAGAGGUCUGGACAUCUCAUUUGUAGAUUAUGGUACAAGUAUAUACUGGUCAUACUUUCAGGAAGCUUAGGUACAUCGGAAAUUCUCGUGCCCGUUAAUCUCAAGAUUCUCAAAAAUGAUAGUCUUCCAAUGUCACUUGGAAUUUCCCCACACAAAUAUUUACAGUCGUCAGCUUCAAUCUCUUCAAGCUUCUCCAACAUCCCGAGGGCACUAGGUAGCUUUUCUAAGAUAGCGCCAGAGAUUCUUAGUACUCUCAAAUUCUUCAUUGUCUCUAUUGAAUUGGGUAACUCUCCUAUGCUCGACCGAGAAAGAUUCAACUCAAUGAGAGAACCAAAAUUCCCAAUUGAAAAUUCACUAAUAUUUGUACCUGACAAGCGAAGAUAUAACAGUGAUGUUGAGCAACUAGCUAAAUUGCAUUCACUCAGUAAUCCACAUGAACUUGCACUGAGAGUUUCCAAUUUCUUCAUUCCUUUCCAUUCAGGAAUUUUGGUAAUCGAUGUCUCGUCAAGGAGAAGUUCUGUCAAGGCUUCCAAUCCCUCCAUCUCAUCCGGCAAUGUAUGAAGUUUCGUACAACCUUCCAAGUUAAAAAACACUAACUGCUUUAACUUACCAAUAGACCUAUCAACUUGAACCAAUUCCUUGCACCCUUGAAGAAUCAGUUGCUCUAAAUUUUCAUGAGCAGAAACGUUAGGAGUUUUAUGCAAGUUUCUGCAUUUAGUCAAAUUUAGAACUUUCAAAUUCUUUGCCACCUGUAAUGAAGAGAAGAGGUUAAUUCUAGAUCAUUUUGAGAUACGGGACAAUAAAGUUAAUAUACCAAAUUCAUGUUGAAAUAAUACCAUACCUUGAGGUGGUUCCAUCCCUCCCAAUCAUUUGUAAUUUGACUUCGUGAUAGAUCAAGAAUCACUAUCUUUUCAAGGGAAAAUGUGGUCAACUGGAAAAAGUUGGGAAACUCAUGCCAUGAGAGAUAUCUCAAAUUCGGAAGGAUAAGCAGAUUUUUCCGGAGCCGCUUGGUUGAAGGACAAUGCUGAACAAAUUUAUGCCAUGAGAGCCAUCUCAACUUUGGAAGGUUAGAUAGAUUCCUUUGGAACCAAUUGGUUAAAGAAAAAUGCUGGACAUUUUUCAUAUCCAAGUCUCCACAAUCCACUUGAAGAAACCUUAAAUUUGAUAGGCUUUCAGAUUCUUCCUUCUUAAAGAAGCGUUGCGAUCGAUGAUCAAACUUGAGACAUAUUGCUUCGACGUUUUCUGUUCCCUGUCAAAGCAAAAAAAAAAAAUUAAACAGAAGCUAGUGAUCACAUAAUUGCCUGUCGAAGGGAUUCGAAUUGAACAUACUUCAUUAAUGUGCAUUUUAUUCAUACUUUCAAAUUGAUUUAUAAUAUGAUUUACAGAUGAGCAUGUCAUCAUGGUAAGCAAAACAAGUAACGACUAGGUUCAGAUAAAAGUAAAUAGCCAAAACCAACAUGUAUAACUCGUCUCUUUGAAUAGGAAUAACAUGGCAUAAACUCUACCUUUGCUAUAAGAACAUCAUUUGCUUGCCCAUGAUCCCACACGCGACUUUGCUUCUCUGGUCUAAAUGUACCAAUCUGACGAAUGAAAUUUCGCCCAAGGUCUCUUAACAAAUCAUGCAUCCACAAUUGGUCACGUUUUGUAAUCUUUAUUAACGACAUCUGUUGGAGGACAUCAAGAUAAUAGUUAGGUAAAAACCCACAGCUUUUCCACAUGUGCCUCACAAUUUUCACAUCAAACCCAAUGAAGAAGCAACAAAUAUCGAGAAAUAUUUCCUUCGCAUGUGGUUGUAAUGCAUUGAUACUAAUGUUCAACUUUUCUUCAACCUUUUCAUCGGGAAUAGUUUCCAGCUUCUCUAAUGUGGUCUCCCAAAAUUUUCUGUCUUUUCCAGCUAGAUAUGAACCAAUGAUCUCAAGAGCCAAAGGAAGAUGACCACAGACUUUUACUGCUUUUUCAGGGAGAGGGGCGUAUUCUGCUGGAGGAUGAUCACUUUGAAACGCAUGUUUGCUGAAUAGUUGAAGAGAAUGGUCAAAAUCCAUGCCAAUUAGUUCGUGCUUCAACUCAACAUCUUUGAGAACUUCUUUGUUUCUUGUGGUAAUAAUAACCUUACUUCCUCUGCCGAACGAGCAUCUGCCCAUCCCCACAAGAGCAUCCAACUUAGUCUUUUGGUCGACAUCAUCAAGUAGAAGUAUGACCCUUUUAGAGGAUAACAAGUCCUUGAUCACUUUUUUCCCUUCGUCGAUAUCAUUGAUGGUCGGCCGUUUCUUUCCUAGGACACGAGAGGAGUUGAUUCUGCAAAUUUUCAAUUUUCCUAUCUCCAACGUUGGACAGGUAGCAACAUUUAGUGGAAUCAGUGGUCCGUUCACCUAUCACCUCCAUGAUUCUGUCUACUUGAUCGUCCAUUUGCUCCCAGGAAUUAGACCGGUUGUAAUGUUUAGUGGAAUCAGACAACAGUUUGUUAUAGACAAUUUUUGCAAGAGUUGUCUUUCCCACACCACCCAUACCAUGGAUACCAACAAUCUUUGUUUGAGUGGUCUGCUCACCUAUUAAUUCCAUGAUUUUGUCCACGUGAUCAUCCAUUUCAACCAAGAAAUCAGGUACUGCCAAGCAGUUCUUUUUCAAUUUGAUCAAAACCUUCUGAACAACUUCGUUCGUGAACUCGCCUUUGCCUCUGAUAGUUUUGAAGGAAAAGAACCAAACUGUUAAAUUGAGAUGAACAGAAAAAUAUCUAAGGUACAAACAAACCAUGCACAAUAAUAAAUUCAAGUACCUCUCCUUGAGUUCCCAUCCCUUUAACGCUCCAACCUUGUUAAGAGCUGCCUUCCAGUUUCGAAUAGUCUCAUCGGUGUACCGCUGCGUAUUUAUGUGUGACCAAAUGGCUUCACCGUAAGUUGCAGUUUGGUUACGAACCUCGGAUGGUGCAACGUCAUAGAAAAUUGGCAUGAUCUUUUGUCCCCACUUUUCCUUGCACUCCACCAUCUGGACCAACUCCAUGAGGCACCAUUUACUGGCAGCAUAUCUUUUAGAAAAGAUAGGAAUCGAGAUUUUAGAUUGCUUAAUCGCUUGGAGAAGCUCCAGCCCAAUCUCUUCCCCAACGCGAAGCUCUUCAUCAUCUCUAUAUGCCCGUAUUCCAACAUCAAUAAGGUUGUUGUAAAGGAUAUCAGUGAUGUCGUGGCGAGUAUCCGAUCCCCUAAAGCUCAAGAAUACGUCAUAAUAAGGUUCCACUGGCUUCUCCAUUUUCUGAAUUUUCAGAGGACUUGCAACAACUCAAUAUCGCACCUAGAAAAACUUUUAUUAUGAAAGUGGGGUGAUGAUUAUCAUGAUUUCUCUCAGAAAUUCUUCUGUUUGAAGUCAUUCUAUAAAGAAACCUCGAUGACAAAUGCACGAGCUCUUUCUGGAAUUGCACUGGACACCAAACUAUGUACAAUUAUUUUAUUAAAAAUAUAGUAGAGAAGUUGAUCCAUCUCAAUACUAAAGGAAGAAAUCUCCAAAUUAUUGUGAAUUUAUGGGUUUCAAUACACACUUGAAAUUGAUUGGUAAAAGGAAACUUUUGAGAAGAUAAAUCACUGUCGACUUAUUUUUGACUUGAAUUUUUAAUUAUGAGACAAAAUUUUUCUUAAAGGGUAACAUCGAAUAUCCUCUGCAUAUAAGUGCCUGCUGUGGCUUGUAGGUUGACUAAUUAUCUUAUUAUCUCAUAAGAAGUUAAGCCGAAACCGUACUCUUUUAGUUUUACCAAAAUCGAUUUGACAAGAACAUUUCACAACAGUCAAUUAGUUGCUCACUUGACCAUGAUGAGCACAGGCAAAGAAUCGCAUUCCCCUAUGACCAUCUCAUUUGAAAAAUGAAAUCAAGAAAUUACUCUGCAGCUAAUUCAACCCCCAACAUCAGACUAGUUCUGAAAAGCAUAAGCCGAUCCCCGAUUACAGCCAUCUCUUAGGUUCUUAACAAACAGAUACAGGGUAAGGGGGGAGCAUUAGCUAGGCAUGAGGCUUUUAUUCACUUCUGUCAGACAGUAUCAGCAUAUCAUAGAAAGAGGAGUGGAUUACUAAUCACUUGUGGAGUUGAUAAAACUUGAACAGAAAAAAGAAGCAUGAAUGCUAUAAGUAUUUUUCCAGCAAAAUAAGUUUGAACACACAAGAGUGCAGGAACGAGAGCCGCAUUUUAGAGAAGCUGAGAGUUCUGGUUCACCACAGAGUGCAACAUUAUAGUCACUCCAGGGUUUACCCGCCAGCUACCGGCUGACGGGGUUCCCUGGGUAUCAAAAAAAAAAACAUUAUAGUCUCUUCAGUGUGCCUCUUCUGUUAAAUACAGUGUUGAAGGUAUCAAUUUUCUGUCUAGGAGUGUUCUUGCUGCUAAUAACCAGACAAUAGUGUACUAGUUUGUUGUAUCGAAGUCUCUUAGAGACACCGGUAUCUCUGGCCGCACAAGAAAAAUCCCAUUAAACAAAUCUAAUCAACCGAUUCCACUCAAAUCUAGUUCAGAGCGCCAGCCCAGUUCCUAACAAGCGAAAUUCAAUCCCUAAUUACAAAACCAACAAGCUGAUGCAUAGAAGUGGCAUUGUGUUUCAAGGUCUGAAGCCUGACAGUUGCAAAGAUGCAGAUGAGCAGGGUUUAAGCAUUUGACCAGAGUAAGAGGCUAAAGCUGUUAGUGGUAGACGCAACUAGUAGUGAUCAAUCAUGGAGUCAACUGAAGAAAGAAUCGAUGCUGAUCCGAGAGUCCCUCUCUUGUUUCCAUCAAAUUCUGCACCUAAUUGCAUUACAGCACAGACCAAAUUCUUAAAAAAGAAGGCAAUAAAAGAGAGGAAAUUACCGGAGAUGGAGGGGGUGAAGAUGAAGAGUCCGGAUCAAAUGCUGAGAAGCAGAUAAAGAUCCCAAGAAUAAUCGUUCUUGGCUUUCGAGAUCGGCGGAAGAGAGACCAAGACUUCUAUGAGACGGUGAAUUCACCCUCCCUCGCCGUGCCCUUCCAGGAAAGUGAGGGCUUGCCAGUUGCAGGGAAACUUCAAGCCGACCCCGAAAAAGUGAGUGCGUGGUGCGUUUGACUUUUGAGGUAAUCGAGUUGAGUUUCUGGGAAAUUUCUGAAGUCCAAAGAUUCUUUGGCACGAAAAGCGAGAGCGCAAGAGAUUUUCAUUGCAUAUUAUUAGUUUAAAAAUCAUUCAGUUUAUACUAAUUGAUUUUCUCUUAAUGACGAUGAAACCCUUCUUGUAUAGGUGAACCCCAAGCCUGAUCAAAUUUUACAUAUACUAAACCUAAAAUUUAGAAUUCAUAUAUUUUAAGUAAUUAAGUUAGAUUAUGCCAAAGUUAUUUACAGUGAAUUGGGGAAAAUAAUACCACAAACGUCAUAACUUUCUCACAAUACUCAUUUUUUUUUUAAGCAAGCUCACAAUACUCAUUUGGGGAAAAGUGCCAAAAAAGUCCUAAACCUUUUGGGUUUGUGCCGAUUUAGUCCUAAACCUUUUUUUGGUGCCGAUUUAGUCCUAAACCUUUUUACGUUGUGCCAAUUAAGUCAUUUCCGACCAAUUUUGGCCGGAUUUUGCUGACUGGACGUCGGCCGGCUGACGUGGCCUGAUCGGCACUGACGUGUAUAAUUUUUAAUAAUAUUUUAAUAUUUUUGAAUAUUUUUUAUUUUAUUUUUUCUCUUUUUAUUUUUAUUUUUAUUCUUUUCUUUAUUCUUUUUCUUUUUUUCUUUUUCUUUUUUUCUUUUUCUUUUUUCUUCUCAUCUUCUUCCUCCAGCCGGUCGCCGGAGCUCGGCGACCGGCCAGAGGCGACGGCCGGCAAGGUCGACCUCGCCGGCCACCUCGCCAGUGGCCGCGAGGGCAGCCUCGCGCCGGGCGGGCAAGGCUGCCCUCGCGGCCUAGGUGGCGAGGCUCGCCCUNNNNNNNNNNNNNNNNNNNNNNNNNNNNNNNNNNNNNNNNNNNNNNNNNNNNNNNNNNNNNNNNNNNNNNNNNNNNNNNNNNNNNNNNNNNNNNNNNNNNUCCAAGGCCGGAGCCGCGCGACCGAAGAAACCCCGAGCUCCCGUAAACCCUAGAGACGACGACGACGACGAGCGGAGGAGGGAGGAAAUUUCUAGGGCGAGAUUGGGAUCGGAGAACGGAGCCGGGGAGGAGUCCAGCUGGCCUUGCGCCGAGCUAGCGGGGCUCGACCCUCGCCGGCCAUGAGCGAGGCUCGACCCUCGCCAGAUCCGGCGAGGGCGAGCCUCGCCCGCCUGGCGCGAGGCCGCCCUCGCGGCCACUGGCGAGGUGGCUGUCGAGGUCGACCUCGCCGGCCGUCGCCUCUGGCCAGUCGCCGAGCUCCGGCGACCGGCUAGAGGAAGAAGAUGAGAAGAAAAAAGAAAAAAAUAAAAUUAAAAUUAAAAAUUAAAAAAAUAUUAAAAUAUUAUUAAAAAUUGUACACGUCAGCGCCGAUCAGGCCAUGUCAGCCGGCCAGCGUCCAGUCAACAAAAUCCGGCCAAAAUUGGUCGAAAAAGACUGAAUUGGCACAACAUAAAAAGGUUUAGGACUAAAUCGGCACCAAAAAAAGGUUUAGGACUUUUUUGGCACUUUUCCCUACUCAUUUGAGUAUUAUAAUUUUAUUUGGAUUGUUGGAGUGAUAUAACUUGGGAAAAAUCCACAAAAAACCCCCAACUUUACCUAAAGUGAUAAAUUUAUCCUAAAUUUUUUUUUUCUGUAGCAUGAAAAACCCCGAAAUUUAUUAACCGUGACAUAUCUACCCUGAACUUUCAUUUGUGACACAAAAAACCCUAAAUUUUCAUUUGUGUGACAUAUUUACCAUAAAUUAUAAGAGCAUUCUGGUUUUAAAAGCUUUUUUCUUUUUCUUCCCUCCACCUGGCAAGGGCGGCCCUCGCAAGACGCUGGAGAGGGAGGCCCUUGCCUGAUGCCAAUGAGGGCCACCCUUGCUUGCGUUGGGCGAGGGGUGCCCUCGCCAAACCCUCGCCAGAUUUGGCGAGGGAGGCCCUCACCCGACGUCGAUGAGGGCCGCCCUCACCCGACACCAGUGAGGGCAGCCCUCACUGACGCCGGCUUCCCUCCGCCGGGACCGAUAGAGAAAAGAAGAAGAAAAAAAUAGAAAGUAUAAGACAAACAUGUCCUUAAUGGGGUAAAUGUGUCACAAUUUGCAAAGUUUGAGGUUUUUCGUGUCAAAAAAAAGUUUGGGUAAAUUUGUCAUUUUAAGCAAAGUUUAGGGUUUUUGGUGGUCUUUUCCCAUGUAGCUUUUGUUCGGGACUCACUUAAGCACUCUAACUUGAUUUUUUAUUACUUGAGUGUUAUAUAACAUUUUAAUCCAUCGCUUAUGCCAUAACUUUUUAAAAUCGUUCACCUAGAUACUGAAACUCAUAUUUGUACUUAAAUUUUCUAAAAGUUGUAUCACUUUCGCAAUCAAUUAAAAGUCAUGAUACUCAAGCGAACAUUUUCUUAGAAUAUUCAAGACUCAAAUAAUCGAAAAAAAAAAUAGUUAUAACAAUUAGGAAAAUGACGCAUAAAAAUUAUAGCACCUAUAAUAUUAUCAUCUCUCAAAAGCUGCAUACGGCCAAAAAGGAAUAAAGCACCAAAAAUAUUUUAUGUUUAAUCACAAUAGUGUGUUUGGUCAGCACUUAGUAGGUUGGGUAGCCACCCGACCUUAUAUGUUGUCGGAAUAUUAGGGGUGAAAUGGUGACGUCAAUAUCCGCACUACAAGUCAUCCUGAAACUUAUUUUUUACCAAGGAAACUUUUAAGAAAAAUCUAGCCAUCCUACGGUCCAAUCAUUGGAAAUUAUGACCGGCUAUAGAUAUCACGAAAUUAUAAGUAAAUCACGAACUUCAAAAUAUUAGUCAACUUAACUUAUAUUUAUAAAUUAUUUAUGGUUAAACAUAAAAUUAAUAAUAUGUUUAUAUGCAUCAAUGCUGAUCAAUCAACAAAAGAGUUAUUCCAUUGUUUUUAAACAAUGACUAGGAAAUUAAUUUAAAUUGCUAGCACAAUAUUAUACUAUAGAUAUCUAAAUCUAAAGUGAAUGCAAUCAUAUUGUAAUAUCUAUAUUUAAUAUUGAUAUUUUUAUUACAUUUUAUUCUCAAAUUGUUUUUCAUAAAAUCUCUUAUUCGUUUCAUUGCCUACAUCUAUGUCAGCUCUUACAUUAAUUUAUCAAUGAAAGUAAUGAGAUUUAAUGGCUUAAUUCAUUUACUCAUUAUUUCCCUUUUGUCGUACCAAAGACGAUGUGAGGGAGUGAAAAUCACAAUAUUUCUAUGCAUUAUAAUUAAUUAAUCCUCGUCCAAUUACUUUUCUUUUUGGAUCACCAUUUGGUAAUUGAUACGGUAGUAGUUAGUGCACUAUUUUUUUCUUUUACAGAAAGCCAAUCUUUCAGCUUCUCAGUAUUUUUUUUGGUCGGUCUUAAGCUUCUCAAUAUUGUUCAUGAACAAACAUGUUGGCUUCUAGAAGCUGGAAUGGUCGAGUAGCUUUUUCGACCCAGUCAACAUGAGGCAUCUCCAAAUUGUUUUGCUCUGCCUUGAAUCUCAACCAGUUUAGCACAACUCCAUGGGAGAAGUUUAGGACAACGUCUUCAGUGAUGGCAGACCUGCAAGCAUUAGCAAUAGUAUACAAUCCCCUGCAUCAAAAUUGUUUAGUGGUUUUUUUAAUUCUAGAAUUUCUAUCAACUCAAUUCGAUAGAGAUGAUGCUGUCAUUUUGCCUAAUAUAGUAUUGAGGAUCAUAUCGCAGCCAUGUCGAAAGGUAUCAAGUAGUACUCAUGGUGAAGUUCUUAGAUCAAAUCAGCUGAGACAAACUAAAUCUAAGGCAAGGAAAAAAGAGCUAGUGGAAAGUUUAGUUAUCUAAUUUUCUGUCAAUUUUAUCCCUCAAAAGUUUGUGUGCUUUGGAAUCUCUAGUUUCUUACAGCACUUGGGAAGUUUGCAAUUCAAUUUUUACUCCCUCACUCUCACAACCGCUAUAGGAAAGAAUACGAACUGUGGGGAGGAAGAAUUCGCAUCUGAAACAUUGACAGUCUGCACCUGAGGCAAUGGUAGGAACAGAAGAUCCACAGAAGAAGCAAUACGAAGAAAAACCUUCAACGUUGGAAGCUUAGCUUGGAUACAAUAGUAACACAAUUGAGAGAAGAAAUGUUUAUACCAUAUUUUCUGAUUGUUACAUGUGUAUAUGGAGCUUGCCACAUAUAGAGUUUUUGAGUUACUGGCCAACCACUGAAAUCAGGUGCGCAACCAACGUUUACAUUCUACCAUUAACCAAACUCAGAACAUAAAAGUAUCCUAACAACAACAAAAGAUGCUCAGACAAGUAGGAUUUCGCAAGAUCGGUUUGCAUCUUUUCCUUCAAGUCCACCACCAUCAGAACUCAGAGAAUCUUCUACCUCCUCACGCUUGUGUAUAUAAAAGAUUUUAGCUUCUUGAAGCUUGAUGGAUCUGGUAACUUCUCCAAAGAUUUAAAAGAACCUAUCCAAAGUUGCCUCCAACGAUUUUAGUCUGCCUUCGAUCUCAACCACCCUAGGACAUCACUGCAGAGAAAAUUUCUGGAGCUUCUUUAAGUUGGUCGGGACAGGCAACUUGUCCAUAGAUGGAACUCCUCCAAGCUUUAAGGCACUCAGGUUCUCCAAAACUUGGAGGCCUCUGAACUCUCCCACUUUAAAGCAAUGAGCAACUUCCAAAUCUGACAGUGCCUUCAAAUUUGAAGGGUCUAUUGAUGUUUUUAUUUCCCUGCAUGAUUCGGUAUCUAAGCACAGCAAAUUUGGGGGAAGGCCAGGUCGGCAUUGCAGCUUCUUGGAGAGGACCAUUUCCGGUUCCUUGAGCUGUGAAAGAAGAAUGAUGUGUGAAGAUGGGUGAUGAAAUAAUGAGAUUCCAACAGCAAGGAUUCCAGCUUCCCUAACCUUCUAAGCUACGAAGGACUUGGAGAUUCAAUGAAUUUAGAAGCAUCAUGGAAAUUGUCAAAACCUGAAUGUUACAUACAAUUUGAAUAUCAAAUUAAUAAAUAACUUAACAUCAAAUGAAUGUCUACAAUGAGAUUCUAACAGCAAGGAUUCCAGCUUCCCUAACCCUGUACAGAAGAUCCACCUUAAAAAGAUAUGUAGAUGUGCAAAUCUAAACGUCUCUACUUCUAAAAUGGGAGGCCUACUCACUACUCGUCGACCUGAGAACACAAUAAUAACAAUUGGCAAAUAAGGUCACAUAUCAUUUAUAUGACCAAAUCUCAUCAUGCGUAGAUAUCAGUAGAUCAUCGAUAUACACAAGUAAAUAUUUAUUCUCUACUCGUUAAUAGCCACGACUCAUCUCGACUAAAUCAAUGUACAGCUGCUUAUUUAUGUGUGACUUAAUGGCCUCACCGUAAGUUGCAGUCUGCUUACGCACCACCCAUGGUUCAAUGCCAUAGAAAAUUGGUAUGAUUUUUUGUCCCCACUUUUCCUUGCACUCCACCAUCUGGACCAAUUUCAUGAGGCACCAUUUACUAGCAGCAUAUCCUUCAGAAAAUAUAGGAAUCGAGAUUUUCGACUGCUUAAUCGCUUGAAGAAGCUCCAGGCCAAUUUCUUCCCCAAUGCAAAGCUCUUCAUCAUCUCUGUAUGCUCAUAUUCUGGCAUCAAUGAGGCCGUUGUAAAGGACAUCAGUGAUGCCAUGGCGAGUAUCUGGUCCUCUGAAGCUCAAGAAUACUUCAUAAUAAGGUUCCACUGGCUUUUCCAUUUCCUGAAUUUUCGAAGGACUUGCAACGGCUUGAUAUCCCACCCGAAAAACAUUUACUAUGAAAGUGGGGUGAUGAUUAUCAUGAUUUCUCUCAGAAACUCUUCUGUUUUAAGUCAUUCUAAAAAGCAAUCUCGGUGACAAAUGCAUGAAAUCCUUCUGGCAUUGCACUAGACACCAAAAUAUGCCCAAUUAUAAUAGAGAAGUUGACCCAUCUAAAUACUAAAGGAAGAAAUCUCCAACUUAUUGCGAAAUUAUGGGUCUUAGUUCACACUUGAAAUUGAUUGGAAAAAGGAAAAUUUAGAGAAGAUAAAUCACUGUCGACAAAUUUUUGUCUUAAACUUUUUACUUACGAGAUAAAUUUUUUCUUAAAAGGUAAAGUUGAAUGUCCCCCUGCACAUAAGCGCCUAUUGUGGCUUGUAGGUCGACUAAUUAUCUUAUUAUCUCAUAAGAAGUUAUGCCGAAACCGUCCUCUUUUAGUUUUGCCAAAAUCAAUUUGACAAAAAGAUUCCACAACAGUCGAUUGGUUGCUUACUUGAACUUAAUGGGUGCAGGCAAAGAAUCGCAGUCCCCUAUGACUAAAAGUUAGGCACAAGGCUACUAUUCACAUCUGCCAGACAGCAUCAGCGUAUCAGAAAAAGAGGAGCGGAUUACUAAUCACUUGUGAAGUUGAUAAAAGUUCAACAGAAAAAAGAAGCAUGAAUGCUGUAACUAUUUUUCCAGCAAAAUAAGUUCGACCACACAGGAGUGCAGAGACGACAGCUGCAAUUUACAGAAGCGGAGAGUUCCGGUUCACCACAGAGUGCAACAUUAUAGUGUAUUCAAUCUGUCUCUACCGUUAAAUAGAGAGCUGAGGGUAUCAAUUUUCUACCGUUCUUAAUUCUAAUCGCUAGAAAUUAUGGUACCAAAAUAUCUUAAAGAUACGAGUAUCUCUGUUCAAAAAAAGAAAAAAAAAAACAUCAAACAAAUGAAAUCAACAGAUCCACUCAAAACUAAUUUAGCUUUUAGCGACAGUAAUUCACGCCAAAACUCAGAAGAGAGAGAGAGAGAGAGAGAGAGAGAGAGAGAGAGAACACGGGUGGCGAGCUCGCAAGACUGAGUGUUGUCGAUGAUGGAACCGGACUCGCCUCCGCCUUCGCUGCAGCUGCCGCCGCCGCCGCCGAGGAGCUCACUCUGAGGCUCGACACCGCUCGUCUCCGCUUCAGCUUCGUGCCGUCUUUUCUUCUUCGCCAUUCCUGCUCUCCGAUAUCACAAAGUUCCGAUUUUUCGACAAGGUACGAGGUCGACUGGUGAAGGGUUUAGGCGUCGAUGUUGGUGGUGGUAUUGCGUUUCAGGAUCUGAGGCCUGACAGUUGCAUAGAUGGAAGUGGAUGAGCAGGGCUUUAGCAUGAACGUUCUCGGCCUUUGAGAUCGGCAGAAGAGAGACAAAGACUCCUAUCAAACGGUGAAUUCAGCCUCCCUCGCCGGGCCUCAAAACGGGAGGCGGGCUCGGGCUACGCUACACCAAAACGGAAAGUUGAGUGAUAUGGACGGCCCUGAUUUCUCCGGCUACCGAAUGGAGAAUCCUCGCUGUCGACUGUCGAGUGAAAGGGCUGGUUAAGUUUCUUGGGCCUUAACGUUGGUGAUUGGAGAUGGGCAAGGCCCACAAUCCAUGUGGGGAAUGCAGCGCAUAAAACGAGCAGUCUGGCCCAAGGCCUUAAGAUCCACAGCAGAAGCAAUACGAAAAACCCUUCUACGUUGGAAGCUUAGCCUGGAUUCGAUAGUAACACAAUCGGGAGAAGAAAUAUUUGUACUGAUGUUUUCUGAUUAUUACAUAAGCAUAAGGAGCUUGCAAUAUACAGAGUUUUGAGUUGCCGGCCAACCACUGAAAUCAGGUGCGCAACUUACAUUUACAUUCUCUACCAUUAACCAAACUCAGAAGUCCAAGAGAUAAAAGUAUCCUGAAAACAACAAAAAGAUACUCGGACAAGUUGGAUUCCGCAAGAUCAGACUGCCUCUCUUCCUUCAUAUCCUCCACCGAUCAUCAGAACUCAGAGAAUCUUCUACCUUCUCACGCUUGUGUAUACAAAAAGAUUUUAGCUUCUUGAAGCUUGAUGGAUCCGGUUUAGUCUGCCUUGGAUCUCGACCACUUUAGGACAUCACUGCAGAUAAAAUUUCUGGAGCUUCUUCAAGUUGGUCAGGUCAGGCAACUUGUCCAUAGAUGGUACUCCUCCAAGCUUGAAGGCACUUGGGUUCUCCAAAACUCGGAGGCCUCUGAACUCACUUUAGGGCAAUGAAGCCGAGUUAUCCAGACAAGUGGAAAGGAAAGAACGGCUUAUACUGCGUGGGACUGUUGAGGAGAGGGUUCUUGGGAGCUUCUCUCGACGCCCAGGGGCAACUUCCAAAUCUGACGGCGCCUUUGAAUUUGAAAGGUCUAUUGAUGUUUUUAUUUCCCUGCAUGAUUCAGUAUCUAAGUACAGCAAAUUUGGGGGAAGGCCAGGUCGGCAUUGCAGCUUCUUGGAGGGGACCAGUUCCCGUUCCUUGAGCUGUGAAAGAAGAAUGAUGUGUGAAGAUGGGGUGACGAAAUAAUGAGAUUUCAACAGCAAGGAUUCCAGCUUCCCUAACCUUCCAAGCUACCAAGGACUUGGAGCUUCAAUGAAUUUGAAAGCAUCAUCGAAAUUGUCAAAACCUGAAUUUUACAUAUAAUUUGAAUAUCGAAUUAAUAAAUAACUUAACAUCAAAUGAAUGUCUACAGUGAGAUCCUAACAGCAAGGAUUCUAGCUUCCCUAACCUUGUACAGAAUAUUCACCUUAAAAAGAUAUGUAGAAGCACAAAUCUACAUGUCCCUAAACUCCAAACCAACCAAUAUGUAUAAUAUUUUUUAGGGAGUGAGUUUAAGUUCAGUAAAUGAAAGCUCUACUUCCAAAAUGGGAGGCCUACUCACUACUUGAACCGAGAACACAACAAUAACAAUUGGCAAAUAAAGUCAUAUAUCAUUAUAUGACCAAAUCUCAUGAUGCAUAGAUAUCAGCAGCUCAUCGAUAUACACAAGUAAAUAUUUAUUCCCAACUCGUUAAUAGCCAUGACUCAUUCGACGGACUCAACCAACAAGAUAUCGUAACCACUAAAUAAUGCAGGACGAAAUCAUAAAUACAUACCACACUUCAACCCAUUCAUCACAUGUAUCCUCCAACGAUGAUAAAUACAGUAGAAACACAUAACGAUGCCUAUUCGUGGACUCAUUCUCAUCAAGAUUCAUACCCAUUCUAUUUUAUUUCUUUUCUCAAUCUUGGACCUUAAAUUCAUAACGUCAAGUAUGGGCUAUUUAAUUCACAUUAUGUCACGGAAGUCAUAUCAUUUCACGUAUGAAUCAUUGCACUUCAUGUCCUCCAACCCUAUAGAGACCCACCCUAAACAGUAGAAUAAUCAUUUUCUCCAGAGUCUUAUAUACAUACACAGGAAAAUUAACUGCAGUGCUGGUAUAUUACUAACAACACUUGCAGAAUUUCCAUGGAGUUGGUAAUUUACUUAAUUAUUAGAAUAUUGGUAAAUUCCUAAUAGUCUUGUUCAUUCACUUACGACAAUGGUAAAAUUUCAAAGGAGUUGAUAAUUUACGACUUCCUUAUAUCGAUAAAUUUCUGAUAGUGUUAGUAAUUUAUUUAAUAUUCAGGUAGAAUAUAAGAAGAUUUGGUAAUUUACCAAAUUAGUGGAAAUACGAUAAAUUUAUGAUUAUAUUGAUAAUUUACAACUGAUUCACCAAACAAGCAGGUAACCAGUCUUUUUUUUUUUUUAAACCAGCAAAAUUGGAAUUCUACCAACACGGAAAAUUUUCAAUUUUCCAACCCACGGCACCGUAGAAUUUUGCCCGGAAGUUUCUACAUCUCUACUUCUUCGACAAGAACUUAAAUCCCAACUGAUAAUUUCAAUUACUGAAACUUGAUACGUAGUCAUUAAUCAUUCAUAAGCCCCUGUAGAAAUCUGUUUUAAGUUAUGAAAACUAAAGGACCUUUGAGACCAUUGCACAUGAUCAUUAACUAGGGAGGGUUAUGUUCAUGCUAGGCACAAUGUUUUGCCCCUACUUCUUCAUUUCUUCAAUGUGAAAUUUUCAUGGGAAAUCCGCAACAAUUCUGUGAAUAUGGUUGCUGAUGUCUAAUUGAAUUCGUGACACUGAAUGCAACACAUUGAACAUUAAAAUCUGCGAAUAAAUUCUGGAGCAAGUUAUCUUGAAUCCUCAAUGAAUUUCUCCCAUGACGAGAUUAAUUACUAAUUGCACCCGCUAAAAAUUUUAGAAGUAGGACCACAACAGAACAUAAAAAGAAGAAAGAAAUUGCAGAACCAAUCGAUUAUAGGAAGUUUUCAUGCCUUCCAGGACAAUAUUUCGGUUUCAGCUAGACCUUGACAAGCUCAGAAGAACAACUGAUUCCCCAUGUAUGUUUUGAACUAGUUCCUAAGGAGCGAAAAUCAAUCCCCUAAUUGGUGCAGAAGUUAAUUGACGCACAGGAGUAGCAAUGUGUUUCAUAGAAUGCGACUUGUGGUUUAGACCAAAGCUAUUAAAGAUUAGAAACAGAUGGAAAAAAAUCAAUCGAGUCAGCUCCCUAGUGAGUUCAUCGAAAGGCUGUUUUCAUUGCGUAUGAAUGAUAAGUCGUGACUGAAAAUAAUAAAAACAACUCGAUCCGUUCCAAAUCUUUUCCUAAUGCAUCACUGAUUGCAUCGAAGUUUCGCACGCGGACCCAAUUCAUGCAAAAUGCGAAGAGAGAAAAUUACCAGAGAAGGGAUUCAGGUGAAGAUGAAGAAAACUAAAUGAAGAUGGCAGAGAAGGAAGAACCCUCGUUGGCCUCAGUCAGCUGCAACCAAAAUGGAAAAGGAAGACCACGGUCUAUUAACCCUUCGUGGGAACAGAGCGGCAGGCAGGAAGACGUGGUCGCAGUCCCCGGAGGGAGAUCUCCGCUGGGUCGGAUCGCGUCUCGUGAUUCGGCUAGGAGUCGCCGUCGCUGCUGGCUCUGGGCGAGCUUCUCGCUCGGGUCGUCGCUGAUGAGGGGAGGAAGACGAAGUAUGGAGAACGCGAGAGGGCGAGAGAGAGAGAGAGAGGAAGAGAGAGCGCAACGGAAGAAAAAUGAAAGACAAAAAAAAACAAAAAGAGAGAGAGAGAGAGAGAGAGAGAAAGAGAGAGAGUUGAAAUUUCUUAAGAGUGGGGUCCCACUUACGCACGUCAUUUCGAGAUAAUAUUCCUCACCACUCCAGUUCGAUAUCUCUUCUCCGUGAUCCUCUGCGCACGUAACCAUGCCUGUGAUAUCCGCCUACUCUCACUUUUUUCAAAUAUCUGUACUCAUCGGAUUUUAGGAUCUCCUCCAAUUUUUCACAAUCUUCUAUAGACGAGUACUGUAGCUUCUUGAAGCUUGAAGGAUCAGAAAACUUUCGCAGGGACCUGCACUUAAAAAUAUCAAGUCCCUUCAAUGAUUCUAGCCUACCUCGAAUCUCAACUAGACAAGGACAAUCAUAUAAGUCAAGAUGCUCGAGCUCCUUGUUGUUGGUCAGGUCAAGCAACUUAUCUAGCAACGGAAGACCCCACAAACAUAAGUCUAUUAAGUUCUCCGAAUUUUCCAGGCCUUGAAUCUUUUUCAACUUCGGACAGCGAGAUAUAUCUAAGUUUUCUAUAUGCUUGAAGGUUAGUGGAUCAAGCAGCUUUGCAAGUGAUUCACACUUCUCUAAAUAGAGCUCCUUCAACGAUUCUAGAUGACCUCGAACCUCAACCAAUUUAGGACAACCAACUAUCGCAAGGCUCCAGAGUUUCUUCAAGCCUGUCAAGUCAGGCAACUUCACAAGCAAUGGAAGAUUAGCAAGGUCAAGCCUCUGCAGGUUUUUCAAAUGUUCGAGGUCUUGAAUCUUUAUUAGCUGUUCACAACCAUCAUCUUUCAAUUCUAAUAACUUCCCCAAAUAUGAAAGAUUUAUCGACAUUAACUGCUGCCCAACAAAAUGGAAGUAUGACAAAUUCUGGGGAAGCCAAGGUAGGCAUCCUAGGCUAUUUAGGACAAGUUUGAGCUUCCUAAGCUUCGCGAGGAGAUUAAAAUUUGAAGGUAGGGUGACUAGACCAUCACCACCCAACCACAAGGACUCUAGCUUUCUUAACUCUCCAAUCCAAUUGAGGCUUGGAGCUAGAUCAAAAGGGUUUUGAUACUUCACUUCCAACACCAAAACUCUCAAAUUUAAUAGGUUCGAGAGAUCUGGACAUCUCAUCCGUCGAUUACCGGUCAGGUAUAGUUCGGUCAUACUUUCAGGAAGCUUAGGUAUAUUGGAAAUUCCCGUUCCCGUCAACCUCAAGAUUUUUAGAAACGACAAUCUUCUGAUCUCAGUUGGAAUUUCCCCAUACAAAAAUUGACAAUCGCCAGCUUCAAUCUCUUCAAGCUCUUCCAACAUCCCAAGGGCGCUAGGUAGCUUUUCUAAGAUGGAGUGAGAGAGCCUUAGUACUCUCAAAUUCUUCAUUGUCUCUAUUGAGUUGGGUAACUCUCGUAUUUUCGUCCAACAAAGAUUCAACUCAAUGAGAGAUCCAAAAUUUCCAAAUGGAAGUUCACUAAUUCCGGUACUUGUGAAGUUAAGAUAUGAUAGUGAUGUUGAGCAACCAGCUAAAUUGCAUUCACUCAGUAAUCUACAAUAAGCCGCACCGAGAGUUUCCAAUUUCUCCAUUCCUUUCCAUUCAGGAAUGUUGGUAAUAGAUGUGUGAUCAACAAGAAGUUCCGUCAAGGCUUCCAAUUCCUCCAUCUCGUCUGGCAAUGUGUGAAGUUUCCCACAAUAUUUCAAGUUUAAUAACACUAAAUGCUUUAACUCACCAAUAGACCUAUCAACUUGAACCAGUUCUCUGCACCCUUCAAGAAUCAAUUGCUCUAACUUUUGAUGAGCGGAAAAGUUAGGAGUUCUAAGCAAGUUUUUGCAAUCGGUCAAAUUUAGAACCUUCAAAUUCUCUGCCGUCUGUAAUGAAGAGAAGAGGUUGAUUCUGAAUCAUUUAGAGAUAUAGGGAAGCAAAGUCAAUAGAACAAAUUCAUUUUGAAAUAAUACCAUACCUUGAGGUGGUUCCAUCCCUCCCACUCAUCUGAAAUUUUACUCCUUGAUAGAUCAACAAUCACUAGCUUCUUAAGAGAACGUGCGGUGAACUUGAAAAAGAUAGGAAAGUUAUGCCAUGAGAGCCAUCUCAAUUUCGGAAGCAUGAUUGGAUUCCUCUGGACCUAGUUGGUAGAAGGAAAAUGCUGACCGUUGGUCUCCUCCGAGUCUACACAAUCCACUUGAAGAAAUCUUAAUUUUGAUAAGAUAGAUUUUCCAUUCUCAAUGGAGUCUUGAAAUUGAUGAUUAAACAUGAGACGUAUUGCUUCAACAUUUUUUCUUCCCUGCCAAAAAAAUAAUAAUAUCUAAAACUAAAUAGAAGCUAGUGAUCAUAUAAUUGCUUGUUGAAGGCAUUCAAGUUGAAUACAUUUGAGGAAUGUAUAUCUUAUAUAUAAUUUAAAAUUAAUUUACAAUAUAAUUUACAAAUGAGCAUGUCAUCGUACUAAGCACACAAGUAACGACUCGGUUCAGAUAGAAGCAAAUAAGCAAAGUCAACGUUUUUAACUCGUCUCUUUGAAUAGGAAUAACAGUGUGAACACCUUACCUCCUCUGUUUCUAGAACAUCAAUAGCUUCUUCAUGAUCCCACACCCGACUCUGCUUCUCUCUAGCUCUCUCACGAACGAUGACUCGCCCAAGGUCUCUUAACUGAUCAUGCACCCACAGUUGGUUACCUUUUGCGAUCUUUAUUAAUGACCUCUGUUUGAGGACUUCAAGAGAACAUUCAGGGAAAAACUCACAGCUGUCCCACAUGUAAGUCACAAUUCUCACAUUGAACCCAACAAAGAAGCAACAGACAUCAAGAAAUAUUUCCUGCUCUUGAGUUUCUAAUGCCUCGAAACUGAUGUUUAACUUAUUUUUAACCUUUUCAUUGGGAAUGGUCUCCAGCUUCUUUAACACAUUCUUCCAUUUAUUUAUGUCAUUUCUAUGCAAAAGUGAACCUAUAAUUUCAAGAGCCAAAGGAAGAUGACCACAGAUUUCUACUGCUUUUUGCGAGAGGGAGACAUAUUCUGCUGGAGGAGAAUCUCUUCCAAAGGCAUGUCUGCUAAACAGUUGAAGAGAAUGACCAAAAUCCAUUUCAGUAAGUUCAUGUUGAAAAUCAACAACUUUGAGAAGUUCCUUGUCUCUUGUAGUAAUAAUAACCUUACUUCCUCUGCUGAACCAACAUUCACCUGUCCCCACAAGAGCCUCCAGCUGAGUGUUUUGGUCGACAUCAUCAAGUAAAAGUAAAACCUUUUUAGAGGAUAACCUAUUCUUGAUUUCAGUAAUCCCUUCAUUAAUACUCUUGAUGGAUGGGCAUUCCUUUCUUAGGACGUCGGAGAUGAGUUGAUUCUGCAAACUAACAAUCUUUGUUUCUCGAAUGUUAGAUAGGAAGCAACAGUUAUCAAAAUCAGCCAACAGUUUAUUAUAGAGAAUUGUGGCAAGAGUUGUCUUUCCGACACCACCCAUACCAUAGAUACCAACAAUCUUUGUUCCGGUGGUCUGUUCGCCUAUCUUUUCCAUGAUUUGGUCCACUUGAUCAUCCAUUUCAACCAAGCAAUUAGUUACUGCCAGGUAGUUCUUUUUCAACUCGAUCAAAAGCUUCUGAACAAUUUCUUUUGUGAACUCGCCUUUGCCUCUGAUAAUGUGGAAGGCAACAGAACCAAACUGUUAAAUCAAGAUUAAGAGAAUAAUAUCUAAGGUACAAGCAAACCAUGCACAAUAAUAAAUUCAAGUACCUCUCCUUGAGUUCCCAUCCCUUUAAUUUUCCAACCUUGUUGAGAGCGGCCUUCCAGUUCUGAAUAGUCUCAUUAGUGUACAGCUGCUUAUUUACGUGUGACUGAAUGGCCUCGCCAUAAGUUCUAGUCUGCUUACGAACCUCGGAUGGUUCAACGUCAUAGAAAAUUGGCAUGAUCUCUUGUCCCCACUUUUCCUUGCACUCCACCAUCUGGACCAACUCCAUGAGGCACCAUUUACUGGCAGCAUAUUGUUUAGAAAAGAUAGGAAUCGAGAUUUUUGACUGCUUAAUCGCUUGGAGAAGCUCUGGGCCAAUAUCUUUCCCAACGCGAAGCUCUUCAUCAUCUCUGUAUGCUCGUAUUCCGGCAUCAACAAGGCUGUGGUAAAGGUAAUCAGUGAUGUCGCGGUGAGUAUCGGAUCCUCUAAAGCUCAAGAAUACUUCAUGAUAAGGUUCCAUUGGCUUCUCCAUUUCCUGAAUUUUCGAAGGACUUGCAACGACUUGAUAUCCCACCUGAAAAACAUUUACUAUGAAAGUGAGGUGAUGAUUAUCAUGAUUUCUCUCAGAAACUCUUCUCUUUAAAGUCAUUCUAAAAAGCAAUCUCAAUGAAAAAUGUGUGAGCUCCUUCUGGCAUUGCACUAGACACCAAAAUAUGUCCAAUUAUGGUAGAGAAGCUGACCCAGCUAAAUACUAAAGGAAGAAAUCUCCAACUUAUUGCGAAAUUAUGAGUUUUAGUUCGCACUUGAAAUUGAUUGGAAAAAAGGAAAAUUUAGAGAGAUAAAUCACUGUCAACAUAUUUUUGUCUUAAACUUUUUACUUAUGAGAUAAUUUUUUUCUUAAAAGGUAAAGUUGAAUGUCCUUUGCACAUAACCGCCUGCUGUGGCUUGUAGGUUGACUAAUUAUCUUAUUAUCUCAUAAGAAGUUAUGCCGAAACCGUCCUCUUUUAGUUUUACCAAAAUCGAUUUGACAAAAAGAUUCCACAAUAAUCGAUUGGCUGCUCACUUGAACUUAAUGGGCACAGGCAAAGAAUUGCAGUCCCCUAUGACUAAUAGUUAGGCACGAGGCUACUCUUCACAUCUAACAGACAGUAUCAGCAUAUCAGAAAAAGAGGAGCGGAUUACUAAUCACUUGUGAAGUUGAUAAAAAUUCAACAGAAAAAAGAAGCAUGAAUGCUAUAACCAUUUUUCCAGCAAAAUAAGUUUGACCACACAGGAGUGCCAGGAGUGCAGGGAUGACAGCUGCAUUUUAUGGAAGCGGAGACUUCCGGUUCACAACAGAGUGCAACAUUAUAGUGCAUUCAAUCUGUCUCCAGUGUUAAAUACAGAGUUGAUGGUAUCAAUUUUCUGCCUAGGGGUGUUCUUACUGCUAAUCGCUGGAAAUUAUGGUACCGAAAUAUCCUAAAGAUACGAGUAUCUCUGUUCACCAAAAAAAAAAAGAGAUCCCAUCAAACAAAUGAAAUCAACAGAUCCACUCAAACUAACUUAGCUUUUAGCACCAGCAAUCCACGCGAAAACUCAGAGAGAGAGAGAGAGAGAGAGAGAGUACGCGGGUGGCGAGCUCGUAAGACUGAGCGUUGUCGAUGAUGGAACCGGACUUGCCUCCGCCUUCGCUGCCGUCGCCACCGCCCUUCCUCCUCUUCUUUGGCUCGUCGUCGCGAGGGCCGCCACCGCUGCCGCCGCCAUUGAGGAGCUCAGUCCGAGGCUCGACACCGCUCGCCUCCGCUUCAGCUUCGGGCCGUCUCUUCUUCUCCACCAUUCCUGCUCUCCGAUAUCACAAAGUUUCGAUUUUUUGACACGGUACAAGGUCGACUGGUCAAGGGUUUAGGCCUCGAUCUUGGUGGUGGUAUUGUGUUUCAGGAUCUGAGGCCUGACAGUUGCAUAGAUGGAAGUGGAUGAGCAGGGUUUUAGCAUGUGACUCAUGAGUUAGAGGCUAAAGCUAUUAGUGUUAGACGCAACUGGCAGUGAUCAAUCACGGAGUCAACUGAGGGAAGAACUGAUGCUGAUCUGAGAGUCCCCUCUCUUGUUUCCAUCAAAUUUUGCAUCUAGUUGCAUUACGGAACAGACCCAAUUCGUUAAAAAAGAAGGCAAUCAACGAGAGGAAGUUACCGGAGAUGGAGGGGCUGAAGAUGAACAGUCCGGAUCAAAUGCUGAGAAUCAGAUAAAAGAUCCCAAGAAUAAGCGCUCUGGCUUUUGAGGUCAGCUGAAGAAAGACAAAGACUUCUAUUAGACGGCGAGUUCACCCUCCUUCGCCGUGUCCUUCCACGAAAGCGAGGGCUUGCUAGUUGCCAGGAAACUUCAAGCCGACCGUGUGAAGAGAAAAUAUUCAGUGGUUCGUGCGCGCCACGUCAGCUGAUGACGUGGCGCGCACGAACCAUUCAGAUACCGACACCUGUUAUGUGGGACCCGCUAAAAAAUGAAAGGAUUCGGUCGGCUCGGCUCGGCUCGCUGGCAGAAGAAAAGACAAGUCACGCAAAGCUCCCGCCCAAAAGACCAUCAUCUCUCCUCUUCAAUUGAAUCUUCUGCAAUUUUUUCUCUCUCUCUCUCACUUUCUCUCUCCUCGCGGGAAAACAAACACAGAACGAUCGAGACCUCUUCCGCUUCCGCCUUCGUCUCCGGCUCUGCCUCCUCAAAAGCCUCGCCGAUCAUCUGCUUCUGGCACGUCGAAGCCUCACCAAUCGCAGUUGGGUCCCGACCCCCUCCACCUCCGAUUGUUCCCACAGAGAUUGGGUACGAGGUUUGUGUCCGCCUUCGGCGCUGGCUCCGCCUUCCUCCCCAAAAUCUGCUUCUGGCACGUCGGAGCCUCACCAGUCGCAGUUGGGUCCUGACCCCCUCCACCUCUGACUGUUCCCUCAGAGAUCGAGCAGAAGGUUUGUGUCUGCCUCCGGCUCCGGCUCCGGCUUCGGCUCCCUCCCCCAAAAGCCUCAUCUGCCUCUGGCAUCCUCCGUCUCCGGCAUUUGCUCGUCCUCCCUGUCCCGCCGGGUUCCGCCGCGAAUCCAUCGGCCUUCGGCAGGAGGGAGGCAGCCUCGGUCUCGUUCCCGAGCGGCACUAGGCUCCCCGCCGCUGAUCGGGCGCUGUCCGUAACGCUGGCCCGCUCGGUCGCGAGGGAGAUCUCGGACGGCGCGGGCUGGAGAAGGAUUCCCGCCGGCCUCCGCCGCGAAGCCAUCGGCCUCCGGCAGGAGGGAGGCGGCCUCGGUCUCAUUCCCGAGCGGCACCAGGCUCCCCACCGCUGACCGGGCGUUGUCCCUGACGCUGGGCUGAUCAGUCGCGAGGGAGAUCUCGGCAGACCUGGGCGGGGUCAACGGCGCGGAGAAGAAGGAGAGGCACGAGCUGGAGAAGGUUUUUUAUUUUGACUUUUUUCUGGGAAAUUUCUCAAAGUCCAAAGAUUCUUUGGCACGAAAGGCGGGAGUACAAGAGAUGUUCAUGCGUGUUAUUAGAUUAGAAAUCAUUCAGUUUAUGCUAAUUGAUAUUCUUUUAAUAACGAUAAAACCCUUCUUUUGUAGGUGAAACCUAGGCCCACUCAAACUUUAAAUUUACUAAACCCAAAAAUGUAGAAUUCAUAUAUUUUUAUUAAUUGAGAUGAAUUAUGUUAGAGUUAUACCUAUUGAGUUUGUAAGACACAAAAAGUUAGGAAAAAUAACACCACAAAUGAUAUAACUUUCGUACAACACUCACUUGAGUUUUAUAACUUUUUUAGGAUUACUCAAGUGAUAAAACUUUCGUUUCGCACUCAGUUAAAUGUCAUAAUCUUCUUCUUCUUUUUUGUGCCGUAACUUUUUAAAAUCAUUCACCCAAGUGUCAAAAAUUCGACAUGGUAUAAUAUCUGUGAUGAACGUUUUUAAAAGUAUGGUAGUUACGUAAGUUAUGACAUUCAAGUAAAUAUAUAUAUUUUUUAAAUUAUGACACUUCAAUAAUGGAAAAGAAAAGUAAUUAUGGCAGUCAAGUAAAUAUCGUACGAAAGUUAUGAUAUAUAUAGUAUUUUAUUUGUCAAAAGUUGCAUUCAGCCGAAAAGGAGUAAGGCUCCAAAAAAAUUUGCAAUGGCAGUGAAAGCUUACCAAUUAUAGGUGGUUUGAAUAGAACUUCCAAAACCGAAGAUACCAAUAUGUGCAACCAUAGUAAUGUGUCUGGUCAGCAUUUAGCAAGUUGGUAGCCAUCCGACCUUAUUUACUUAUAAUAUAUGGGGUGAAAUGGCAAUGUUCAUAUCAUCGCCAGAAGGCACGGCAUCCUUUAACCAAGGAAAAUUUUAAGAGAAACUCAACUAUCCUAUAGUCCAAAAAUUGGAAAUUACAAAAUUAUAAGUAAAUCAUUAACUAAAAAAUAUAAGUCAACUUAACUUAUUAUUAUAAAUUAUUUGUGAUUAAACAUAAAAAUAAUAAUAUGUUGAUAUGCAUCGAUGAUGAUUAAUCAACCAACGAAGUAUUCCAUUGUUUUUAAAAAAUGAUUGGUAAAUUAAUUUGAAUUACUAUCAUGAUAUUAUAUUGUAGAUAUCUAAAUCUAAAGUAAAUGCAAUCAUAGUGUAAAAUCUACGUUAAAUAUUGGUAUUUUUAUUGCAUUUUAUUCUCAAUUUGGUUUUCCUAAAAGUGGACGUGUUGUGUUCAUUUUAAGAGAGGCGUUGAUAUGGUUGCUAAUGCCAAAUGUUUAUUUUGUAUGAUGAUAUGAAUUUGUUUUGAAAAUUUUGGAGAAAUAAAGAUCUAAAAAAAGGAUAGAAAAAUCAGACAAGAAAUCGUUCUGGAGAGGUCAAUUCCUCUCCAUCAAGUAGUUUUGAACAUCAUUCAUUUAGAAAGAAAAAAAAAAAAGAUGCUCCGAACAGUGGAGAUUGCAUUCAUUGUUGCACGAAUUCAUCCUCCCAUAAUCAAAUUUAAUUCAUGAAAUUUAUUCUACUUUUAGUUUUGUGUGAAAUUUCUUUGCCUACCUCGUUCAGGGAGCUCCUGGAGAUGCCAAAGAUUAUAUUCUUUAAUCUUCUUCAACAUGUUACCGCGAACAUGCGCCUCUCCAAGUCCCCGAGCUUCCUGGCGUCCACCACCUCGCGGUCGAGCACCGUCACCCUUUUGAUAAUCUUUGCAAAUCUGAGCAAGGGUCACGGCCAUCAUUGCCGAAUGGACAAGGGCAGCUAGCGGCAAGGUCGCAGCCGGCCUCACCGGCAAGUGGCCAGGGGCUGCCACCCUGCUUGGUUCGCUCAUUGCAUACGGGCAUGCACACUCACUUACCUCGUUCCUUUCUCAACAUGGGAAGGUGGUAGUGAGGGCCGAGCUGGCUUCUUCUAAGUCCGGCGAGGAACACCGGCCAAGCACUGUCCUUCUUGGUUCUCCACCAUUUGACCUUUCUUCUUUUUUCCAAAUUUUUACUUUUUUUGGGUUUUUAAUUUUAGAAAUCUUGGAAUCAGUUUUUUCCUCUCUCUCUCUCUCUCUCUCUCUCUCUCUCUCUCUCUCUUUUUUACAUUUUUCUUAAAUUUUGCUAAUACGACAGUCAUUUCAAUGCCUCUAUCUUCAGGAAAAAAAAGUCAGGUUAUUUUUUUCCCAUUAACUGAAUUGGAAGGACUUAAUAGUGGGAUUAGGGUGCCCUAGUUUAAUAAAUUUUAAGAUUUAAUUGUUCUUUUUGAAAAUUAUUAAAUGUGAUUGCACUUUUUACUAAAUUAUUUAUAGAUGUUCAAUUUAGCGUUUAGACUAAACUUGCCAUUUUCUUAUAGUUUAAGUACCACAUUAAACAUUUAUUAAUAUUUUAUGAUUGCAUUAUAUAAAUUAAAGUUUAAAAAUGAUAUAACACAUUUGGACAAAGUUCAAAUAUCACAUUAAACAAAUUAAAAAUUUAGGGACUAUAUAUGUUAUUUUUUCCCAUUUUUUAAAUCUAAAACUCUAGAAACUUAAGCAUAGACACGUAGAUUCACAUAUAACUUUUUUUUUGAUAAUUUUCUGAAAUUUGAAAAUAAUAUCAAUUUUAACAAAAAAAAACUACUGUCGACUUUUUUAACUCCAAACAAGCAUUAAAUCAAUAAAUUUUCGCCAUUUCUUUACAAUUUCAAUUCGCGUGCCGGAUGUUAAGAGUAAUAAGAUGCAGAGGACACCACUUUCAUGGGAGAGACGACUGAUGCAUUGCCAUGUUCUUCAGCGAUAUCGUCCCAACCAUCCAUCACUAUGUCUCUCUCCUCGCAAGAUGCGUCGCCAAGAAACACCUGAAGCUCGGCAUGACCGUCCACUCUCACCUCAUCAAGACCGCACUCGCCAGCGACUCUUUCCUCGUCAACCAUCUCAUUGGCAUGUACUCCAGAUGCUCUUCCAUCCGAAGCGCCCACAAGGCUUUUGAUGAUCUUGAUACAAAGAACAGUUACUCUUGGAACACCAUCAUAUCUGCAUAUGCCCGGAUAGGCGAUUUCAAGAAAGCGCUCGUCUUGUUCGAUGAAAUGCCGCAGAGGGCUCUUGUCUCUUAUAAUUCCUUGAUUUCUGGGUUGUCCCGUCAUGGGUUUUAUGUGGAGUCUCUGAGCGUCUUCAUGCAUAUGCAAAAAGAAUAUGAUUGUCUAUCCAUGGAUGAGUUUACUUUUGUGGGACAUGGACAUGACCCAAGAGAAAAAUUUGAUCUGGUCAGGCAGCAUCCAAACGAACCAAUAAUGGCAAGGUAGAUGCUUUCCAUUGUUCCAGCAACAAUGAGAUCAGAAUCUGAAAAUAUGUACACAGAAUGCCAUUACCAGAUAGCAUCUGAGCAAUCUCCACCUACCUCACACAAAACCUCCAGGUACAACGAGAGGCUUUCGUGAUGCCCAAUUUUCUGUGGACCAUGAGUCCUUCCUGAAACUUUAUGGUAUCUUUGACUUGAGGUUCUCUAGGAAGGUAUGAAUUGUUCAUUAAUACAAGAACUAUCACCUUGCAGCUGUAGCCUUCUUUUUUUUCUCCAGCAUCUUCCGUCCAAACACUUUUUAUUCACUACCCACCACCAUCAUCAUCAUAAUCAUCAUCAUCAUCAUCCAAGAUGAGUCUUAAGUUGGGCUCAGGAACAUAUCCAGCUUCCUUCAUAUGAUACGCUAGUUUCUUGAGCACUUCAUAUAAGUCUCCUAUCCGACAGUGGAAUUGGUCCUUUGCUGGAAAUUUGUGCAUUUCAUUCUUUACCUCAAUCCAACUGCUUGCCACAUCUUUUGUCAAAUCUCUCUCCUCCAUUUGCUUCCUUACUCUGCAGGAAUCAUCCCAUCCAUUAGUUGUGGCAUAUAUGCUUGAUAACAUGACAUACCUCGCAGCAUUUCGGGGUUCCAAAUUCAAUAGAGCAUCCACAGCUUUUCGGGCAAUAACUAGAUUGCCACGGACCUUGCAUGCACCCAAAAUUGCACCCCACAUUCCAACAUGGUUUGAUUUGUUUGGGACACUCUCUAUUGACUCAAUGGCUUCCUCAAGGCUGGCAGGAAGACGCGGUCGCUUUCCCGGAGGGAAAUCUCCGCCAGGUCGAGUCAUGUCUCGUGCUUCCGCUCAGUGUCGCCGUUGAGGGCCUUGAUGGUUGGGGUCCGUUGCUGCUGCUUCUGGAAGAGAAGGAAGAAGAAGGAAAGAAUGUGAGGAGAGACAGAGAGAGAGAGCAACGGGAGAAAAAACGAAACAAAAAAAUUAAAAAAGGAGAAAGAAGUCGAAAUUUCUUAAGAGUGGGUCCCACCUAUACACACGUCAUUUGAGAAAAUAUUCCUCACCACCACUCUAGUAUGGAACAUUUUAUCCGUGACUUCCUGCCCACCACCCUCGGCUUAUCCGGCUUUCCGUCAGGAUCCUCGCUUUUUUCAAAUCCCUGUACUCAUCCGAUUCCAGAAUCUCCUCCAAUCUCUCACAUCCUCUUAUUAUUAAAUCCUCUAGCUCCUUGAAGCUUGAAGGAUCAGAAAAUUGUCGCAGAGACCCGCAGCCCCAUAUUUCAAGUUUUUUCAAUGAUUCUAGCCUACUUUGAAUCUCAACCAGACGAGGACAAUGCCUUAUCUCGAGACCCUUGAGCUCCUUGGCGUUGGUCAAGUCAGGCAACUUCUCUAGCAACGGAAAAUACUUCACCCAUAAGAAACGCAAAUUCUCCGCAACUUCCAGGCCCUAAAUCUCUUCUAGCUUAUGACAUUUUUCUAUAGAUAAUGAUUUUAUAUGCUUGAAGCUUAAUGGAUCAGGCAGCUUUUCAAGUGAUUCACAGUUAAAUAAAUAGAGACCCUCCAACGAUUCUAGCUGACCUCUAACCUCAACCAGUUUAGGACAACUUUCUAUAUGAACACUUCGGAGCUUCUUCAAGUUGGUCAGGUCAAGCAACUUUGCUUGUGACACAAGACCACUAAGACGAAGCUCUUUCAGGUUAUUCAAAUGUUCGAGGCCUUGAACCUGCACACAACAAUAGACUUGCAAUAAUGAUAACUUCUCCAAAUAUGAAACAUUUAUCACUGCAUUGUCCAUUAACCUGCCCCCAUAUAUCUUAAAGUAUGACAAAUUCUGGGGAAGCCUAGGUGGGCAUUCUAGAUUAUGUACGCAGAGUUCAAGCUUCCUGAGCUUCAAAAGGAGAUUAAAAUCUGAAGGUAGGGUGACCGGAUUAUCGUAACGCAAAUACAAGGUUUCUAGCUUUGUUAGCCUUCCGAUCCAAUUGAGGCUUGGAGCUAGAUGGGAAGGGGUUUGAUACCUUGAUUCCAAUGUCAAAACUCUCAAAUUUAAUAGAUUCGAGAGAUCUGGGCAUCUCAUCUGUAGAUUAUAUUCCAGGUAUAGAUCGAUCAUACUUUCAGGAAGCUUAGGUAUAUUAGAAACUCUCGAGCUCGAUAACCUCAAGAUUCUUAGAAAUGAUAGUCUUUCAAUCUCAUUUGGAAUUUCCCCACACAAAAUUAUACAACCAUCAACAUGGAUCGCUUCAAGCUUCUCCAACAACCCAAGGGCACCGGGUAGCUUUUCUAAGGGGGUGUGAGACAUCCUUAGUACUCUCAAAUUCUUCAUCGUCUUUAUUGAAUCAGGUAACUCUCGUAAGCUUGACCGAGAAAGAUUCAACUCAAUGAGAGACCCAAAAUUUCCAAAUGGAAGUUCACUAAUACUUGUUUCUGACAAGUCAAGAUACAAUAGUGAUGUUGAGCAACUAGCUAAAUUGCAUUCACUCAGUAAUUUACAGUAAGUUGCACCGAGGGUUUCCAAUUUCUCAAUUCCUUUCCAUUCAGGAAUAUUUGUAAUAGAUGUCCAACCAACACGAAGUUCUGUCAAGGCUUUAAGUUCCUCCAUCUCGUCUGGCAAUGUCUGAAGUUUCCCACAACCUUCCAAGUUUAAUAACACUAAAUGCUUUAACUUACCAAUAGAUUUAUCAACUUGAACUAGUUUGUAGCACUCUUGAAGAAUCAAUUGCUCUAAAUUUUCAUGAGCAGAAAAGUCAGGAGUUCUACGCAAGUUACAUUUAGUCAAAUUUAGAACCUUCAACUUCUUUGCCAUCUGUAAUGAAGAGAAGAGGUUAAUUUGGAUCAUUUUGAGAUACAAGACAACAAAGUCAAUAUAGCAAAUUCAUAUUGAAAUAAUACCGUACCUUGAGGUGGUUCCAUCCCUCCCACUCAUCUGUAAUUUUACUCCUUGAUAGAUCAAGAAUCACUAGCUUCACGAGGGAAAAUGCGGUGAAUUGGAAAAAGAUGGGAAACUCAUGCCAUGAGAUAUAUUUCAAAUUUUGAAGGAUGGGUAGAUUCCUCUGGAACCAGUUGGUUGAAGGAAAAUACUGAAUGAAUUUAGACCAUGAGAGCCAUCUCAAAUUCGGAAGGGUGGGUAGAUUCCUUCCAAACCAGUUGGUAAAAGAAAAAUGUUGAACGUUGUUCAUAUCCAAGUCCCCACACUCCACUUGAAGAAACCUUAAAUUUGGUAGACUUGCAAAUUCAUUCUUUAAAAAGCAUUGAGAUUGAUGAUCAAAUGUGAGACAUAUUGCUUCAACAUUUUUUGUUCUCUGCCAAAGCAAAAAAGGGAAACAUAAGCUGGUUAUCAUAUAAUCACUAGUUGAAGGCAUUCAAGUUGAACGCGCUCAAGGACUUAAGGAAUGUACAUCUUAUUCAUAAUUGAAAUUAAUUGAUAAUAUAAUUUAUAGAUGAGCAUGUGAUCAUAGUAACCACACAAGUAACGACUUGGUUUAGAUAGAAGCAAAUAAGCCAAAUCAACGUGUAUAACUUGUCUCUUUGGAUAGGAAUAACAUUGCAAACACUUUACCUCCUUUAUUUGAAGAACAACAAUUGCUUCCUCAUGAUUCCACACCCGACUCUGCUUCUCUGGUUUUAAAUUAGCUCUUUCACGAACGAUGUCUCGUCCAAGGUCUCUUAGUUGAUCAUGCACCCACAGUCGGUUACCUUCUGCAAUCUUUAUUAAGGACCUCUGUUCAAGGACUUCAAGAGAAUAUUCAGGGGAAAACUUACAGCUGUCCCACAUGUGAAUCACAAUUCUCACAUCAUACCCAACAAAGAAGCAACAAAUAUCGAGAAAUAUUUCCUUCUCUUAAGAUUCUAAUGCCUCGAAACUGAUGUUUAACUUACUUUUAACAUUUCCAUCUGGAAUAGUUUCUAGCUUCUUCAACGUGAUCUCCCAAAUUCUCCUCUCUUUUCCAUUUAAAAGUGAACCUAUAGUUUUAAGAGCCAAAGGAAGACCAUCGCAGAUUUUUAGUGCUUUUUUGGAGAGGGGAACGUAUUCUACUGGAGGAUUGUCUCUUCUAAAGGCAUGUCUGCUAAAUAGUUUAAGAGAAUGUUUAAAAUCCAUUUUGAUAAGUUCAUGCUGAAAAUCAACACCUUUGAGAAGUUCCUUGUCUCUUGUGGUAAUAAUAACCUUACUUCCUCUGCCGAACCGGCAUUCAUCCACCCCCACAAGAGCAUCCAGCUGAGUCUUUUGGUCGACAUCAUCAAGUACAAGUAAGACCGUUUUAGAGAACAACCUCUCCUUGAUCUCAGUAAUUCCUUCAUUACUAUUAGUGAUGGACAGGCAACUUGUUCGUAGGACUUUAGAGAUGAGCUGAUCUUGCAAAGUCUCAAUUUUUGUAUCUCGAACAUUUGACAGGAAGCAACAGUUAUAAAAAUCACCCGAUAGUUUAUUAUAGAUGAUUGUGGCAAUAGUCGUCUUUCCGACACCACCCAUACCAUGUAUACCAAUAAUCUGUGUUUUAGUGGUCUGUUCACCUAUCACUUCCAUGAACUUGUCCACUUGAUCGUCCAAUUCAACCAAGCAAUUAGACAUUGCCAAGGAGUUCUUUUUCAACUUGAUCAAAAGCAUCUAAACAACUUCUUUUGUGAACUCGCCUUUGCCUUUGGCAGUAUUGAAGGCAAUAGAACCAAACUAUUAAAUCAAGAUGGAUAGAAUAAUAUCUAAGAUACAAACAAACCAUGCACAAUAAUAAAUUCAAGUACCUUUGCUUGAGUUUCCAUCCCUUUAAUGAUCCAACCUUGUUGAGAGCUGCCUUCCAGUUUUGAAUAGUCUCAUCAGUAUACAACUUCUUAGUUAUGUGUGACCGAAUGGCCUUGCCGUAACUUGCAAUUUGGUCACGAACCUCAGAUGGUUUAACGUCAUAGAAAAUCGGCAUGAUCUCUUGUCCCUACUUUUCCUUGCACUCCACCAUUUGGACCAACUCCAUCAGGCACCUUUCACUCUCAGCAUAUCUUUCAGAAAAGAUAGGAAUUGAGAUUUUUGACUGCUUAAUCGCUUGGAGAAGCUCCGGGCCAAUCUCUUUCCCAACAUGAAGCUGUUCAUCAUCUCUAAAUGCUCGUAUUCCAACAUCCAUGAGGCUGUGGUAAAGGUAAUCAGCGAUGUCGUUGCGAGUAUUAGAUCCUCUAAAACUCAAGAAUACUUCAUAAUAAGGUUCCACUGGCUUCUCCAUUUCUGGAAUUUUCAGAGGACUUGCAACGUCUUGAUAUCCCACCUGAAAUAUAUUUACUAUGAAAGUGGAGUGAUGAUUAUCAUGAUUUCUCUCAGCCACUAUUCUGUUUUAAGUCAUUCUAGAAAAGGACCUCGAUGACAAAUGCAUGAGCUCCUUCUAGGGCCUUGCACUAGACACCAAAAUAUGUCCAAAUAUUUUAUUAACAAUACGGUAGAGCAGUGGACCCAUCUCGAUUCUAAAGGAAGAACUUUCCAAAGUAUCGCGGAAAUUAUGAAUUUUAGUUCACACUCGAAAUUGAUUUGAAAAAAAAAAAAGAAUAUUUCGCGCAAAGAUAAAUCACUGUCAACCUAUUUUUGUCUUGAACUCUUUCUUUAGGUGAUAAAAUUUCUCUUGAAAGAUGACGUUGAAUGUCCUUUGCACAUAAGCACCUAAAGUUGCUUGUAGCUUGAAUAAAUUUGUCAUUAUCUAAUAAGAAAUUAUAAUAAAACCUUCCUCUAUUAGUUUAACCAAAUUAGAUUGGACAAAGACAUUCCACAACACUAAAUUACUAGCUCCCUCGACCUUUACAGAUGCGGGCAAAGAGUUCAUUCCCCUACGACAAUCUCAUUAGAAAAAUGAAAUCAAGAAAUUACACUAAAGCAAAUGCAACUCUCACCAUCGGACUAGUUUGUAAAGAGCAUAAACCGAUCCCUAAUUACAGCCAUCUCAUAGGUUAUAAAAAAAAAAAAAAAACAGAUACACGAUCAUGGGCGAGCAUCAGUUAAGCUUGAAGCUAUUAUCCACAUUUGCCAGAAAGUACCAGCAUAUCAGAAAAAAUGAUUUAAUUACUAAUAAAUUAUGGAGCUAAUAAGAUUUCAACAGAAAAUAGAAGCAUGAAUGGUAUAUAACCGUUUUUCCAGAAAAUAAGUUGGAACACACAUGAGUGUAGGGAUGAGAGCUGCAUUUUACGGAAGCAGAGAGUACCGGUUCACCACAAAGUGCAACAUUGUAGUGUAUUCAAUUGUCUUUACUGUUAAAUACAGAGUUGAGGGUACCAAUUUUCUGCCUAGGAGCAUUCUUACUGCUAAUCACAUGACAAUAAUGUACGAAUUUGUCAUAUCAAAGUCUCUUAAAGAUACCACUAUCUCUGUUUGAGCAAAAAAAGAAUAAAGUCCAACUCGUAAUUACCAUAAUUAGUCGUAUCGACAAACCCAGUCAAAUUAAUUUAGCUUUUAGCCCUGGCCCAGUUCCUAAAGAGGUAAAUCCGAUUCCUAAUUGCAGAUGAUGGAUUUAUGAGAUGGGCUUAAGGCCCAUCCGCUCAAGUUGGGCCAAAAAAGGCCCGGCCCACGGGAAUAGGGCCCGUGGAUGGGGAAAGGUAUAAAAGGGAGGAGAGAGAGAGAGAAGACACCCUUUUGGCACAAUUCCAACGUACAUUCUCUCCCACUCUCCCUCCAAAAAGAAGAAAAAUGCUUACGGCGAUACCGUCUUCCUUUCAAAGCGAAUUGACAUCAUCGGAUCAGAAUUUCUUCCUCGAUCUUCAGCAUUGGUGUUUAAUCUGUGGCUAACAAGGUACACUCGAAUCCGUGGUGUGCUUUACGAUCGGUGAUACGUGUUAUUCCCGGGCUUCGUCUUCCGCAUUAAUUUAGGGGUUCGAUUUAGUGUCGAAUCCGGUUUUCGGGGAUCCGUUAUUCCCAACAUUGGUAUCAGAGCCCUAGUUCGCAUUUUCCCGAUCAAUUUGAUGUUUUUUGAUUGAUUUUUCGCGAAAAAUUUUUGGCCGUACGGAUUGGGGCGAGAAAUCCCGACACCCGAGAGCUUUUUGGCCAUUUUUCCGAGUUUUCGUAAGUCGAAAUCGUUUUCUGAAUACAUGGGGAGAAAGGCGACGUCGAGACGAGUCCGGCGACAUGUCGCACGCCGCCGUACGACACCGCACGCGCCCACACGCGCGGCCAGAAGCCUCUGCGCGUGGGCGCGAUGCGCCACACGCGCCGGUGACGAACCGGUACAUGCGCGCCGGCGACCGGGCGAACCGGCAUGCGCCAGUCCGCGAACCGACGUGUGCUGACGUCACGCGAUGACGUCAUCAUGACGUCAUCCAACGGUCGGUAAUCGCUCGGAUGACGUCACUGAUGACGUCAUCGCCGACGACGUUUCGCCGGGUGGUCACCGGCCGGCGACCCGACUCGACGGCGACCCAACCCGACCCGAUCAGCCUGGCGCAUGCUGCGCAUGUGUGGCUGACGUCAGCACGUUCACGCGCGAGCGCACGCGCGCGGCACAUGCGGUCGGUUCGUCCGACCGACCCGACCGGUCCGUCCGGUCCGACCGGGCUUCCGACCCGCGCGCCCGUUGACCCGACCCGUUGACCAUUGACCGACCGUUGACCCGUUGACUGAUGACCGUUGACCGACCGUUGACCAUUGACUUUGACCAUUGACCGUUAACCAAAAAAAAAGAAAAAAAAAAGAGGAAGUUGUUUCUUUUUCAGUCAUGCCUAUGUGGGUUAUAAGUAAUCCAUUUUUAAUUCUGCAUUUGUUGCAUGAAUUUUGGAAAAUUAUGUAUUUUCCCUUUUAUUUAUUAUGGAUUAUAAGUGAUCCAUUUUUAGUUAUGCAUUUGUUGCAGGAACUAUGAUGCGUUAUGCACGGAUACCUGCAAUCCCGAGAAUGGACGAGGGACAUGCAAGACUGAAAAGGCUGAUGUUAGAUUUAGCUAAAUAUCGGUGGCAUAACGGUGAUUUAGUAUCACAUGUGGUCAAGGUCAAUCAGAUGAUACAAGAAAUCAUCAGUAAUGAUUAUCUUAUGCCGGAUUUUGAGAUGGUGCCGGCUUUGAUUAACACUUUUCCACCUGAAUGGCAAGCAGUGUUGGAUCGGCUAUGAGAGGUCAACGUGGUCCCGGGUUAUAGAAGGCUAGUAGAAGCUUUUGUAAGAGAGUACUAUAGGAUUGAGUUGGCCAAAACUUCAACCCUUAGAUUGAGCGCCACAUGGCGUAGAGUAAAUGCGCCUUGGUGGUGACAUGAAUGCUCUCCAAAAGUUUUUCCAUGGUUGGCAAAUGUGCCUUCAGUUUUCUCAGAUGUUUUGACUGAUAGAUUAGAAGGGACAUUCCCUAUUUAUUUCUUUGAUUAAUUAUGUAAUGUUUACUAUCUGAUUGUUGUUGAUGUAGCAACCGAUAUGUUAGUUGUAUCAUGUGAAAGCAUUGUUAUUUUAUUGGAUGUUAAGAUUUUAUUUGCUUUCUGCUAUUGCUGGUUGCUGUGGGUAGUAAUAGAAGUUUUUGUAACUUCAUAGAAUUUAUUUGCAUAAGACAAUUAUAUUAAUAAUAAUUUUGAGUUAGGAUUUUUGGAGGAUGAUUGGAAACAUAGUGACCUUUUGAUUCUGAAGCCUUACUUGAAAUUAUUCAUUAAUAUGAUGGGUCUAUGCAAAUAGGGAUGUAUAAAUGAUAGGCAUUAAUUAUUCGUGCAUAUAUGUCUGAUGUGUUUAGAUCGAUGGUUUCAGCAACUAAGAAUGUAAUUGCUGAUAUGAACGGUAACAAUUGUGAAAUAUUGAAUAAGAAGAUUCAAUAUAUGCUGGAAAAGCAAGAAGCACUAGAAGCUCUUGACCAUGUUAUGGAAGACCUUAAGGAUGCCAUGCGCCACCUUGAGCUAGUAGAGGACCGCCUAACGGUAUUUGAGCCGAAAAUAGACAUUUGCUAUGCUGGUUCUAGCUCAGAAAGGGCUUUGUGCUCUAAGCGCAAGCGUAUUGAUUCGUUCAAUAUGUGGGAAUGCAAAGGAUCAAGUCCUUAUUGCAAGAAAUCAAGAGUUAACCAACACAAGAGAGGAAAACUUUCAAGGGUGAGAUGUUACAAUUGUGACAAGAGAGGUCACUAUGCUCGCGACUGUCGUGAGCUAAAGAAAGUCAACACCUCUUGUACAUUUGAGAACUUUGCUUAUGUAUCAAGUUCAAUAUUAUUGGCUGAAUCCAAUCCUUUGUGGACUGAAGAUUUAGAAGCGACAGACCAUAGAGGGAAGGAUAGAGAAUCCUUCGUGGAAUUCCGACGAGUAUCAACUGGAACUGAGUGGAUUCAUAUGGGAAACAACUCUAGAGCUGAUGUAAAGGAAUUGGCACUGACUGAUUAAACAUGAGUGGUGGACGCACCUUGAUGUUCUAUAUGCUUUAGAGAUUCGUCGAAAUUUUGUGUCUGUUUUUGAUAUUGGUUAAGCUUGGUUUUAGUAUGAACUUCCAUAAUAAAGGUGUAGAUUUGUAUUUGGAUACAAACUACUAUGAUUGUGGUCACUUACGGAAUGGUUUUAUUGUACUAAAUGUUAAUUGUGAUGAUGUCAAUAUGUUAUUCCAUUGUUUCACGUCUUCUACCUUAUAUGAUAAUGAUGUGAAUAUGGUGGCAUGCUAGACUUGGUCAUAUGGGCCACAACAACAUAUGAAUAGACUAGCCAAAGAGGGCUUGUUGGGCAAUAUUGAAAAAGUCGAUUUGUCCAUGAGUGAGCAUUGCCUAGUAGGGAAAAUAACAAGGAAACCAUUUGGAAAAGGUAAAAGAGCUGAAUUUCCUCUGCAUUUAAUCUAUUUGGGCGUCUGUGGUUCAAUGAAUGUGAAAGGAAGGCAAUGGUUUGUUUAUUUCAUCACUUUUUUUAUAGAUGAUUAUACACGAGUCGGAUAUGUCUAUUUGAUUUCUCAUAAAUCUGAAGCAUAAGUUGUUUCAAAAGGUUUAUGAACCUGGCAGAAAAUCAAUUAGACAAGAAAAUAAAAGGUAUUUAGAUCCGAUCGAGGUUGAGAAUAUUUAUCUGAUAAGUUCAGAAAAUUAUGUGAUGAAAAAGGAAUAGAAAGAUAGUUGUCUAUUCCAUAUACUCCUCAACAAAAUGGUGUUGCAGAGAGAAUAAAUAGAACCUUACUGGAAUGGUUAGGUCCAAGAUGGCGCAUGCUAACUUACUUAUCACCUUUUGGAGUGAUGUGUUGUUAACUGCUACUUAUAUACUUAACCGGGUGCCUUCCAAAUCAGUUAUUUCCACUUCAUAUGAGUUAUGGACAGUUAGAAAACCGGACUUAAGUUUUCUUAAGCCAUGGGGUUGUGCUGCCUAUAUUCAUGAGUCCUCUCACAAGUUUGAGAAAUUGGGUCCCAAAGAAAAUAAGAAUAUUUUCAUGAGAUACAGCGAACACUCAAAAUGGUAUGUGCUCAUAGGUGAGCAGGAAAGUGAGAGUAUAACUGAAUUUGAAUCACGGGAUGUCACAUCUUUAGUGGAUGAAUUUCCUAAGAGGGGCGAAAUAAGGGAAAAUAACUCCCUAUUUGAAACCUUGGAUCAAGAUAAUGAUGUCAAUGGAGUUUGUCCAAGUGGGAGUAAUAUGAGAUGUGAUGAAUUGAAUUCAACUCAUUCUCAAUUGCAACCACCUAAUGUGACGACAUCAUCAUUACCUAAUCCAAGUGGGAGCAUGAUGGGGAAUGAUAUGCUAAGUGUACAAUCUCCCAUACGGUGAACAAGUCGCCAAAAUAUUCCCCGUCGAUGUUUUGACAUUGAAAGGGAAAUUUUUAUGGUUGCUCCACAAGAUGAGGAUGAGCCAAGAAAUAUUAAUGAGGCUCUAAAUUGCCCUAAUAAGGAAAAAUGGAUUCAUGCAAUGAAAGAGGAAAUGGAGUCAAUGAAAUCAAACCAAGUCUGGGAACUAGUUGAUUUUCCAAAAGGACACAAAGUUAUUGGGAACAAGUGGGUUCUCAAAAUAAAGCGAAAGGCUGAUAGCUCGAUAGAAAGGCAUAAGGCUCGCCUUGGUAUAAUCAACAGGAAGGAAUUGAUUAUGAAGAUACAUUUUCUCCUGUAGUAAGAUUUACCUCGAUUCGCAUUAUUCUGGCAAUAGUGGCUAAUCUGGAUCUUGAGUUACAUCAAAUGGAUGUAAAGACUACUUUCUUCAAUGGAGAAUUAGAGGAAUGAACAUAUAUAGAACAACCUGCUGGUUUCAUAGUGAAAUGCCAAGAAGAAAAGGUAUGUCGACUUUGGGGGUCGAUAUAUGGCCUUAAGCAGUCGUCAAGACAAUGGUAUAUACGUUUUCAUAAUGCCAUAAUGGCAUAUGACUUUACAAUGAUAUAUGAGGAUCAUUGUGUAUAUAUCAAAAUAUCCAAUGAUCAAUUUGUGAUCAUAUCAUUAUAUGUUGAUGAUAUACUAAUUGCCGGAAGUAAUAUGGAGUUUGUCAAUACUGUCAAAAGUUGGUUGUCUUCCAACUUUGAGAUGAAAGACAUGGGUAAUGUUGCAUACAUUCUUGGAGUUAAGAUUUCAAGAUUAUAAACCCAUAGACAUUCCUAUUGCAAAAGGUGAAUGAUUGAGCCAUAGACUGUGUCAAAGGACUCCACAAGAGAAGGAACAAAUAAAACAUGUUCCUUAUGCUAGUGCUGUUGGAAGCUUGAUGUACAUUAUGAUGUGUACAAGACCUAACAUAUGUUUUGCAGUUUGAAUGGUGAACAGAUACCAAUCCAAUCCAGAUCAAGCACAUUGGAAAGCCGUUAAAAGAAUACUAAGGUAUCUAAAGGGAACUGCUGAUUAUAUGCUGAGUUAUAAAAGAAAGGAUCUGCAACUCAAAGGCUAUUAUGAUGCUGAUUGGGGGAGGAGAUUUAAAUGAAAGAAAAUCUAUCUCUGGGUUUGUUUUCUUAUCGAAUAAUGGCACCAUAUGUUGGAGCAGUAAGAAACAAAAGUGUAUAGCCUUGUCCACGAUAGAAGUUGAGUUCGUGGUAUUAUCAGCAGUAGUAUAAGAAGAUGUUUGGCUUAAGAGAUUUUUGGAUCAUUUAGGUGUUAUUGGAAGUGCUGCAGAUUCAUUGUUGGUUAACUGUGAUAGCCAAGCAGCAAAAGCGUACACUAAAGAUUCAAAAUAUCAUGGCAAGACCGGACACAUAGAUACCAAGUAUAAUUUUGUAAAGGAUAUGGUUGUACGAAAGGAUGUGAACUUAGAGUACAUACUAUGCAUAGAAUGGUAGCAUAUCCUAUGAUAAGGCCAAUACCUAGUGAUGUGUUUUGUGGCCAUAUGAAAUCUCUAGGAUUGCGUAGAGGUUAAUGUACUGAAUAUUGUAAUUUCCUUAAGUGUUCACAAUUUGAUGAAUUUGUGUUUUCAUCAUUAAUGCCUAUGAAUCUUUGUUUGAUCUCUAUGCAUCUUAAUGCUUAGUGUAUUACUUUAAAUUGAGAGGUAUGUCGGACAGAUAUAAGAUUAGCCCACUCACACGGGUAAUCGCCUCUAUUUACUGUGUGAUAAAUAGAGAUGAGACUAUUUUUAAGCUUAUUAUCUAUGUGAUAAUCGAGAGCUCAAGCUUAAAACAUGUAUGUCGCAUUAACUAGGUGUUAAGAUGAGGAUAUAAUACUUACUAUGUCCGAAAGUAAAAUAUGAAUACCCCCAUAUUUUACUUUAUCUGUCUAAGAUGCCAGAUGUGAGUUCUGAUGAAUUUUGUGAAUGAGUAGAUACGUGAACUCAAGUUAGACAUUGGGUAUGUCUGAACUAUCAUAUAUACGGUAUAAAAGGUGUAGACAUACACUCCAUGGGAAAUGAGUUAAUACUGUAAUACGUAUUUCAUACUACGUAUGCAUGAGACGACCAAUAAGAGUGACAAAAGUUUGAUCUCAACUUUUAUGUCGUGUAAGACUCUUGAGGAAGAGAGUUCCUCAAUUUUUUUGUCCCCUCAUGACUCUUACUUAUUCUCGAGAUUUCUAUUUAGUGUUUGGUAUCUUAGGAUGUUGCCAAUGGUCAUGAGUGAUUCGAUCUAAUGGGGCAUUUCUAGAAAAGCAAGCUGAAAUGAAAUUGAGAGUUUGAAGGAAAGAGGAAGAUCAAAUUUGGAGAAUCACAUUGUAGUUUUGUAUUCACCGGUUAACCAAUUAUGACUGUCUUUGUGAUAAUCAUAAUUGUGAAUACAAUAUAUAUAUAUCAUUGUUUAAAAGAGAUCAAGAGAGAUAUAAAUGUGAUCGAUCGAUCUAGGGUACUGCAUAUUAAAUCUACUCAGGAUGUGAUGCCCAUUAUGAGCUGCUAUAUAUUCCUAACAGAUGUAUGGCAACGAGCUCUCAAAGUAUGCUGGUCGCACGGAUUAUUCAUCGGUAUGAAUGUUGAAGAGAAGAAAAGAGGAUUUUGUUCGGCCCACCAUGUUAAGUGAGAGUCUAUGAUGGAUUUUUUUCUGAUGGGGUUGAGUAGGGCCUGUCCGCCCAUGUUGGUUUUGGACCACCACGUGCGAGUGGGAGAUAAUGGAUUUAUGAGAUGGGCUUAAGGCCCAUCCGCUCAAGUUGGGCCCAAAAAGGCCCGGCCCACGGGAAUAGGGCCCGUGGAUGGGGAAAGGUAUAAAAGGGAGGAGAGAGAGAGAGAAGACACCCUUUUGGCACAAUUCCAACGUACGUUCUCUCCCACUCUCCCUCCAAAAAGAAGAAAAACGCUUAUGGCGAUACUGUCUUCCUUUCAAGGCGAAUUGACAUCAUCGGAUCAGAAUUUCUUCCUUGAUCUUCAGCAUUGGUGUUUAAUCUGUGGCUAACAAGGUACGCUUGAAUCCGUGGUGUGCUUUACGAUCGGUGAUAUGUGUUAUUCCCGGGCUUCGUCUUCCGCAUUGAUUUAGGGGUUCGAUUUAGUGUCGAAUCCGGUUUUCGGGGAUCCGUUAUUCCCAACAGUAGAAAUCUGUGAGAUCUAUCGACAAACUAAUGCAUAAAAGUGGCAUUGCGUUUCAGGAUCUGAGGCCUGACAGUUGCAUAGAUGGAAGUGGAUGAGCACUGAGCAGGGUUUUAGCAUGCGACUCAAGUUAGAGGCUAAAGCUAUUAGUGUCAGACGCAACUGGCAGUGAUCAAUCAUGGAGUCAACUGAGGAAAGAACUGAUGCUGAUCCGAGAGUCCCUCUCUUGUUUCCAUCAAAUUCUGCACCUAGUUGCAUUACAGAACAGACCCAAUUCAAUAAAAAGAAGGCAAUAAAUGAGAGGAAAUUGCCGGAGAAGGAGGAGGUGAAGAUGAAGAGUCAGGAUCAAAUGCUGAGAAGCAGCCAAAGAUCCCAAGAAAAAGCAUUCUUUGACAGACCUCAUUCGAUUCAGCUUUCUCAAAGGCCCAAAACACUUACGAAAAUAUUAGGUGUUUGGUAAGUAUUUUUAGAAGUCCCUUAGCUAAACGUCAGCAGCUAUGGGAAUGCUGAAAGCUCAAUACAGGUCGGACCUACUUUUGAGCUUUCAGCAUUUCAGACCUACUUUAUACUAAUCAUCAGCAUCACUGUUCACUCUCUUCCCGUUCAUCUUAAUCUCCACCGAUUUACCACCUAAGAGUUGGGUCUUCUUCGGCGACCACCGCCUAAGGUUGCGCUAUCCGCGACUCAAGCGACGCCGCCUGAGUGUGCGACCUCAGGCCACCAGAUCUGGCAGUCCAGAGGCCAGAUCAAGCCUCCGCGACCUCAGGCCGCCGGAUAUGGCCGUCCGGAGGCCAGAUCUCAUCAUCCGGCGACCAGAUCUGGCGGUUCGGAGGCCAAAUUUGGCCGUCCGGCGGCGAGAUCUGGCCGUCCGGCGGUUAGCUGGCGGCGGCCAACGGCCAACCUACACCAAAUUAAGUUUUUAGAUUAAAAAAUUAAAAAAAAAACCUUUAUAAAUAUGGAUUUUACAAAAUGAUAUUUAUGCUAAAACUAUUUUCUAACGCUAUUUGGCCCGCCGUGCCUCAAAACGGGAGUCGGCUUUACCGUCCCUCUCGCGGUCUCGGAAGGUUGCGGACUGAGUGGUGCCGAGGACAAUCAGGACUUUCUUCUGCUCGCAGAGGCAGGAGGGAGAGUAACAGCAGGCAAAUAAUCGCAUACUCCUAUGACUAUCUCGUUAGAAAAAUGAAAUCAAGAAAUUACUCCACAGCUAAUUCAACUAGGCUAUAAACAAACAGAUACAGGGUAAGGGGGGAGCAUUAGUUAGGCAUGAGGCUAUUAUUCACAUCUCAGACAAUAUCAGCAUAUCAGAAAAAGAGGAGCGGAUUGCCAAUCACUUGUGGAGUUGAUAAAAAUUCAACAGAAAAAAGAAGGGUGAAUGCUAUAACUAUUUUUCCAGCAAAAUAAGUUUGAACACACAGGCGUACAGGAACGAGAGCUGCAUUUUACAGAACCUGAGAGUUCCAGUUCACCACAGAGUGCAACAUUAUAGUCUAUUCAGUCUGCCUCUUCUGUUAUAUACAGAGUUGAAGGUAUCAAUUUUCUGUCUAGGAGUGUUCUUUCUCACUGCUUAUUUACCAGACAAUAAUGUACUAAUUUGUCUACAUUGUUUAACAAAUGAAAUCAACCGAUCCUAAUUCUAACUAAUUCAGCUGAUGCAUAGGAAUGAAAUUGAGUUUCAAGAUCUGAGGCCUGACUGUUGCAUAGAUGGAAGCAGAUGAGCAGGGUUUACACGUGACUGGGGUUAGGCUAAAACUAUUGAUGUUGGAUACAAAUUGCAGUGAUCGAUCAUGGAGUCAACUAUGGAAAGAACUAAUACUGAUACGAGAGUCCCUCUAUUGUUUUUUCAUCAAAUUAAUGAAAAAAGGGCAAUGAAUGAGAGGAGAUUACCAAAGAUGGAGGAGUGAAGAUGAAGAGUCCGGAUCAAACGCUAAGAAGCAGAUAAAGAUCCCCCAGAUCAAUCAUUCUUGGGUUUGAGCUCCGCUGAAGAAAGACUUUUCGCAAGAUGGCUCGCUCGCCCUCUCGUGCAAUGCUCUUCUAGGAAGGUGAGGACUUGCGAGUUGCAGGUAUACUUAAAGCCAGCCGUUGACUUUUGAUGUGAUAGAGAUGAAGGCUGGCCGUUGACUUGCCAAAGAUUCGUUGGCGCAAACCACUAGAGUUCAAAUAGACGAGAUUUUAAUGCAUGUUAUUAGUUUGGAAAUCAUAUAAUUAUAUUGAUUGAUAUUCUUUUAAUGACGAUGAAAUCAUUCUUUAGUUGUAGGUGAAACCCUAGGCCCAUUUAAAUUCAACAUAAAUUGAAUCUACAAUUGUAGAAUCCACACUUGUAAGUCUUUGAGAUAAUUUAUAUUAUUUAUAGUAAACUUAUAAGACUGGAGUUAGGUUUUUAUGCUUCGUUUGUUUCGUGAAAAAAUGAAUAAUUUCAAAAUAAUUUAUUAAAUAUGAUUACUUGUAUCACAUGAAAUAAUUAGCUAAUAAAAAAUAUUUUUAUUGUAGACAGCAAUUUAUGUUUAAAUAAUUUCAUGGAUGAUGAAAAUAACUUUUGCUUAUUCAUUUUUGUAAGCGAUACAAGUAAUCUUUCUAGAAAAAUCCUUUGCAAAUUAUCUACCUUCUGCAAAACAUACAUACCUUUGAACUCUAAAAGCUAUAUCAUCUAGAAAUUUAUAAAGCUCCGAAAAAGUUACAAUAUAAGUGGAAGGUUAUCGAUAAUCAUUUUUUAAUCGGCUAUAGAAUCUCAUUACGUUCAUUAUAAAAUAAAGUACACCCUGGAUCUCCCCUCAAAGCAGAGAAAUACAACGAUCUUCCAAAAGAAGUACUGAAAAUCCUAAUUCUAAUCAAGUCUAAAUUGGAAAAUUACGUGAAAAACAUAAACCUUACUCAAUAACCCUUUGGGAAGAUAUGCAUUGCACAUCAUGCACGGCACACGGUGCACGUAGAGCACAUGUACGGCACAUGUAAGACACAUGAAAAUUUCAACGAUUGCCGAGGAAAAAUGUGUCGAGUUGCAUAGGGUUUAAGGCUCAAAUGGGCUAAAUUUAAGAAUUCAAGGAUUUAAAGAGUUCAAUUCGAAUGAAAUUCAUAAAAUCGCCUCGGUUUAAAAUUAAUACAUUGAAAUUAUUGCAGACCAAAUGCUAGGAAGCGGAUAAAGAUGCCAAAACCGAAGAAAGACUUUUAUUCAAGAGUCUACUCACCCUCACGUGCCAUGCACUUGUAGGAAGGUAAGGACUUGCUACUCAUCCCAGACGCAUUACAAUUUUACAUACAUUGAACCUGAAAACAUAGAAUUCAUACAUAUUAUGCACUUGAGAUGGAUUAUGUUAGACUUAUUCCCAAUAAAUUCAUAGACAAGAAUUAGGUUUUAAUUUCAAAGGCUGCAUUUGGACACGAAGGAAUAAAGCACCAAAAAAUUUACAACGAGUCUUCAAAAAUAGCUACAGUUGAAAUAUUCCAGAUGAUAUAUUUAUGGUUUUGUCCCAAUUUAUUUCUCAUAUGCAGGUAACGGAAACACUUUCAAAAUAGACAUCUCUCCAACCUAUUCAGAAGCCAUUUGAGUUUCUAAUAAAUCAACGUUUCCCUCAGCAUGGAGAGCAGAGAAAGCGUAAGUUCUAGACACAAGGUUUGCGGAACACAUGACCUCUAUGAUCUCUCGCCAAAGCGGCUAUGGAGGCACGAGAGUCUUGCAUCAAUGUUCACUUGAAGUAAGGGGGGAGGAGUCCAUUUUGGAGGGUCGUCGUUCACAACUCGUGACUACGAGCAACGUUCCAUCGCAACUCAUGGUAGAUGUCCUGUAUAUGUCGAAUUACUGAAGGAAGAUCCAUUUGGGAACGAGCUUCCAGAAUUUUGUUUCGACGCUCCGAUAAACCCACUAAACUAUCUCGACCAUAUUGCGAAAAUCUUCGCAAUAAAUGUCAGGUGGAAGGCCGAAAGCGAGGAGGCGCAGAGAUCACAUAGCACACAUGUAAAAAACAGAACCGCAAAAGAAGUUGAUAUGUCCAAGCCCCAGCCACCUCGACUCCAUACAAUUCAGGUCAUCCACUCUUCCCCUUUUGUCGGCAAAUUUGACUGAUCAAUGUUCUUCGAAGUAAAAAAGCAGUUUCGUUCUAACUGGAUCUUAGGGAGAAAUAUGACCUUUACCUAUGUAUGGAAUAAAUACGACAUCUUGGCCAUGGAAUGUUGACAAGACAUCGAAUGCAUUUUGUGCAGAUCUCAACAACCGAGAGCGGAUUCUUAUGAAGACUGUACUUCUGAUUAACUUGGAGGUCAAGGACAACCAUGAGGAGGCAGCAACUGGAGCUCAGCGUGCUUUAGAUCUUUGUCGAGAGGUCUUUCACUGGCUGUGCUUUAUGUAUUAAUGAUAGUAUGCUUGAUUUCUGUAUGCUGAGAAAUUGCUUAUUGUUUCUAAUUUUCAGAGGCAGAACAGGCGGAAAUUUUUAUUCAGCAUUUCCUUCUAUUGAUGACCGUGGUUAGGGCAAGACUAUUGUUCUGAAAGCUUUAUGAUCCAUGUCGUUGUUCUGUUAGUAUUUUGUCUGCAAAUUUAUAUGUCGACGAACUGAACUUUGGGUUUCUGUUUGUCCAUCUACUUGCACAAGUGGUAAUAGACUUAAAUACAUUACCAGAUUUCUUCCAACGCUGUUACUGUUUGCUUUGCACGAAGCCUUCCCUAGAAAUCUUUCCUUUCUAAGCCCAGCGAGCCCUAUUUAAUCCAUUACACAGCUAAUCAUUUCAUCAUACCCUAUCCUGAAUUUGAUCUCUUCUUAUGUCAGGAAGACUGAAUCAGGCUCUCCCAUGUUUUUACGCCUUCGCUUGAUCUUGGUAUUCCAUGCCAAUUGUUGGGUUUGAUGAACACUUUCCUUGACUACUCGUUAGUGGUAGGUCAUUUUGCAACAAUAUCUUUAUCUGCAUAAUGAGAAUUGUCAUUCUCACGCUUUGAAUUGAAUUUGCUACAGAAGCCUAUUCUUUGCUGAGCCUGUCAUACUAAUGCGCUGCAUACAUCCACUUUCAGAUUAACACUGCAUCGAUGUGGAAAAGAAAUUCUGAGUCGAACCCUUAUCCACUCACUUUAUCUCUGGAAUGUCGACGCAUGAUGAUGUAUUAGUAAUUGGAAGCAAGCCAGUCUUGCUUAGGAGUGAAAAUUCUAUUAUUUCUUGUAGUUUCUUCUUUUUUAAGUUUCUUUGUACUGCAGAACUAAUUCUGUGAUGGUACUCAUGUCGAGAGAGCGGAAAGAAAAGGAAUUCCGGCGUAUUGUAUAUAAUUUCUUUGAAUGCGAUGGGUUGAAAACCGCCUCUAUUUUCAUUUUUAUGUAUCGUGCAUAUGAAAAGAAAAACAAGAGAACAGAACCAACCUGACCUGGUCAGUCAUUUGAUGAUUUGGUUCUGUAUUUUUGGCAGGGUUCACAAUUCAAUCGAUCCUAUUUAUUUAAGAUGAGUUGGUUUUUGAAAAGAAAAUUACUAAAAAGCAGGAACUUCUAAUUUGAGUUCAUAUAGAAAUCGUCAGUUUUCUUGCUGGCUUGUUGGUCGUUCCUAGGAUCCUGUCCUUCAACUUGCUUUCCUCACUUCCUGAAUAAAAAUUCCCUUGCGUAUUCAUUUAAAAUAAUAGGCUCUGAUAAUUCGUCGAGAUUACCUAGUACUGACACACAAAAGUCAUCUCCAUGUAUGGCUUGCACCAAGGUUUGCAGUUUCACAUCUCAAAGUGGGGGAUGCUUUUUUGACCUUGGCGCAAGUGUCUUUUUUGGAAUGUCUCAAAUGCCAGUCUCUUGAGCCAGUGAAUUCUUCUAUUCUGCUGUUCCUUCGAGCCGGUGAAUUCUUCUUCUUCUCUGCUGUUCCCUCGGGAAGACGAUGCAGUCCAUCGAUCCGUCUGUGGAAAUAAAAUUUCUCCUCUCUCUGAACCUUCAAUCUCCUCUGCGUUAAUUUGUAUAACGCCAAACGCUCCAGUUAGUCAUGGUACGCUCUACCCUUAUGCAGAUCUUCUGCUUCUUAUGUCCAAAUAGACUUGUUUUUGCAUCGUGUCAGCUACAACCCAACAGUGCCAGUGAAACUCGGCCAAACAACAGUGCGCAUUAGACACAGAAAAGAGAGCUCUUCUGCUCACGCAUUUUAUCAAAUGUUACUAUGGUAUGAACGAUGAAGAGAAAUCGAACGAUAAUGACUCUCCAUGAACUAACAAACAGCGGCAUCAGCCAGCAUUUCCAUUUCAGAAGACAUAAAGUCUGAUUCACUCAGCUCCUCAUGGGCCUCAUAGUCAUCCGUAAUGGCGACAUACCAAUCUUGCUUCAUCUGUCCUAAGAGAUCUUAACAAAGAAUAAAUAUCACCCUUAUGAGGGUGCCUCUUGUCCUUGACAAUGAAGACAUGAACUUGACCCUGAAUUUCUAUCCAGCUACAACCGGGCUGCUUGACUACUCCUCGUCACCUCAUCGGCUUCCUUAUUCCAAUGACAUCGCCCAUUUUUUGCUUUCCGCGUACAUGUUUGAGAGCAGAACAUAAGGUCCAGAGUUCGAAGGGUCGAUCUCUAAGAGCUUCUCUGCUACAUGCUUUCCUAGCAUUAUAUCCUUAUGAACUUUGCAGGCUGUGAGCAGCGAACCCCAAACGAUAGCAUCAGCUUGAAUGGGCAUUGCCUCUAUUAAGUCCUUUGCUUCACUGGGACAACCGGAUCGGUCGAGCAAAUCAACCAUGCACGUAUAAUGGUCCUUUACCGGUGCCAGACCAUACUCCUCAACCAUCCGCUUGAAAUAAUGGCACCCCUCUUCGACCAGCCAUGCAUGGCUGCAUGCACAUAGAACCCCGAUCAUAGUGACAUGGUCUGGUCUCUCGCCAGAUACCAACAUUUUCCUGAAUCAGUAACCGUUCUGCGCAUAUCCGACAAUUGUGGCAUUCCAUGAGACCUUGUCCCUGUCCAACAUAUCUUUGAACACCCAUAAACCAUCUUCCACAGCUCCACAUUUAACGUCCAUGUCUAUAAGAGAAUUUCCAACAAAAAUAUCGAAUUCUUCUCCAUACUGGAAGCGAAAUCCGUGCUUCAAGACAUGAGCACAAGCCUGCUGCCCCAACUGCAGAUCGGCAAGAUUUGCACAUGCAUUGAGAAAAUUUCCAAAUGUUUAGUGCGUCGGAACAAUGGCUUCUCUCUUCAAAAGGCGGAAUAAACCAAAUGCUUCUUCAUUCUCUCCAUUCUGGGUAUACCCUGCAAUAAGGGCAUUCCAAGAAACUACAUUCUUCUCCAUCAUCCUCAUAAACAUUACUCUUGCAGUUUUGAGACUUGCUGCUCUUGCAUACCCGCUUACCACGGAGGUGGCUGACACUAUAUCCCUGGUAGGCAUUCUGUCAAAAACUGCUCUGGCCUCGCUAAUUCUAGAGCACUUAGAAUACAUAUCAACCAAUGCAUUUCCUAAAACAACAUCAUUUCUAAAUUUGUCACAUUUUACAACAUGGGCAUGAAUUUGCAUCCCUUCCUUAAGUGCCGACAGGCUAGCGCAUGCGCUGACCACACUGACCAAAGUGACCUCAGCUAUUUCAAACCCACAAUCCAUCAUGCUCACAAAAACCUCAAGAGCUUCACUGGCUGGACCAUUUUGUUCAUAACAUGUAAUCAAGCUGUUCCAAGAAACUACGUUUCCAGAACUCAUUUCAUCAAAAGCCCUCUGUGCACAAGCCAUGUUGCUACUCCAAGGCUGUGCACAAGCCAUGUUGCUACUCCAAGGCUGUGCACAAGCCAUGUUGCCACACUUGGAGUACAUGUCGAUAAGAGCAGAGCCCAUACGAACAUCGGACGAGCACUCAGACUUCAACAUCAAAGCCUGAAUCUGCUGGCCCAGAUCCAUAUCCCCUAACCCAGCGCAUGCACUAAGAGCACUACCAAAUGAGUACUCAUUAAGCACAUAAUUCUCCCUAUGCAUCUUACCAAAACAUCGCCAAGGCUUCUUCAAAUCUUUCAUGCUGCGCAUAGCCCGACAGCAUUGAAUUCCACGAGUACUGGUGGGGUUCCAGCACCGACCCGAAUAUCUUUUCUGCUUCAUCAAGAGAACCCAGUCUGAUCAACCCACCUAAGAUCGCAUUCCGUGUGAAGGUAUUCUUCUCAGGCAUUCUAUCGAACAUUCUGCAGGCGUCGUCGAGGCACCCGCAUCUCACAUAGAUAUCGAUGAGCCGGUUCUGGAUGAAAACCUCAGCGGAGAACUGGGUCCUGAUGAUCCGAGCGUGGAUGCGGCACGCGUCGCGUGCUGACUUGGACAGGCCGCAGCCGUCCAGGAGCUUGGCGAAGGGGGACGAGGUGGCGAAAGACAGAUAGCCCGCCAGAGCCUUGACCUGCGCAUGCCUCACCAUUCCAUCAUAUCAUCGUAAGAAGUGAACUCUCUCGGAGAAGAUUCGCAUAGGUGUAAAUUGAAUGCGAUGGGGAGUUUCUGUUGACCGUUAUAUGCUUCCCCACUUCAGCCAGACGCGCGGGAACAUGAUACGAGCGCUCAUAUGAAGUGGGGCAAAGUUGCACCGUUGCAGUGGCAAAAUGGUAAUUUAGCAUAACAAUCUACUAAUUAGACUCAUGACUAUGAAUUAAAUUUUUAAUUAUGAGUAAAUCUAAGCUAUAAAUUGAAAUAUGUCAUAUAUUUAAUAUCUUGUUGUAAGUCACUGAAUUAAGAUUAGUCAUAUUUAAAAUCUAUACUUAUUGCUUUAUCAAUUAUAAUUAUAAGCUUAAUAUAUGACAAGUCAAUUUUAUUAAGAGAUAGCUGGAUUAUUUACAAAUCAAACAUAAAUUCUUGUUUAGUAAUUUUGAUCAUUCUAAUUAUAACUCAUUCUGACCAAAACAAGAAAAAUUUAACUCAUCAUUGAAAAAAUGCAAAAACCAAUUCUAGAGAAUGAAAAUUAGAUAUAUGUUGGAUGGGAUAGCUUUUCAUUGGCCCCCUCCCUCGAGGAAUAGCUAACCUUGAUUUUAAGAGAAUAGCUAUUAAUUUGAUGGAGCUAAUCUUGAUUUACUUCUUAACCAACUAAGGACUAACUAUCUUAUCAUGAGUAGACUGAGAAUAAUGUAGCUAUUGUGAUAUUUCUACAUUAACUCGCAACAUUAGUAAUGUUCUAACUUAAUUGCACUUAACUUUAGAGUAAAACUACCAAGAUAGGCGGCUGUACUUUCAAGAGGUCACUUAUCUUGAUAAUGCUCUAACUUGACCACGCUUAACUUUGGAACAGAAGUAUUUAUUGGUCUCAUGGGAAAGUGCUUGUCUGCACGCCAAAUGAUAAAAUCGUGAGAUUUGAAAUGGGAUGGGUCCCAAUAGAUAAUACCUUGAGUGAAUUAAUUCAGAAACAUCAUAGUUAUCUGUCCUAGAACAAAAGGUGCAGUUGAAUUUUCAAUUAAGACACAUCUUGUUCAAGUGAGGAUUGUCCCUUUUGUUUUGUUUUGUUUUCUUGGUUUUUUUUUUUUUUUUUUGAAUGAAUAAUUUGAUCUUCUUAGAUGUUCUGGUAAGAAAAAUCGAUUGAUCUUCUAAGAUGUGCGCUCCCGUGAGCCUUUGUGAGGGAGAGCUUCAUGAUAAGAAAUGAAGCCCAUCUGAACACACAUCCAAUCCGUCAAGGCUUUGAAACUCUUUCGGCUUUAUGCGACCAAGAACUGUCGGAUCUGAGAGUUGUUUCAGGUCUUGAAAGGCCCAUUGAUGUUCUUAUUUCCUUGCGAAGUGGGAUAUGUAAGACAGACAAAUUCCUGGGAAGCCUAGGUAAGAACCUGAGGUUCUUAAAAACUGAGGACGAGUUUCCUGAGCAGAGGAAGGACAAUGAGAUAUGAAGAUAGGGUGGUGAUUUGCCGGGCUUGCAACUGCAGCAAGGACUCGAGUUUGCUUAACCUUCCAAUCCACCAAGGAUCAUGGAGCUUCUUAAAGUCCGUAAGUGUCCUCAGGAUACCUCAAUACAUAUAAACACAAGCAUCUUUGAUUUAAUAGGUUUGGGAGAUCUGGAAACGAGUACAUUGAGAAAAUUACAAGCACAAAUUAGUUUAGACUCUCGAGAAGCAUAGGAAGUCCCGGAAUCUGAGUUCUUGUCAAUCUCAAGAUCCUCAGAGAUUUAAUUCUCCUAACAUCAGUCGGAAUUUCCCCCUUCGUAUGCUUGCAACCACCGCCAUUUAUCUCUGCAAGCUUCUGCCAGCAUCGCCAUUCAGAUUAAUUGAGUUUCCUAUUGAAUAAGGUAAUUCCGGAAUAGAUGAGGAAGGAUAGAUCCAACUGCAUUCUUGAUUCCAUGUUUCCCCAUUGUCUCUGGUAGAAAUCCUACAGAACUUCAAGUUCAAAACGAAUGGUCACAUCAAUUCGGACCAAUCUUUUACGUCUUUCAAGAAUCAGUUGCUCUGAACUCGCAUGAUAAGAGAGGUUGGGAGUUCUGUGCAACUGUUCACAUCCAGUCGGAUUUAGACCCUUCAAUUUCCGUGCCAUAAGUAAGGAGAUCACAAAUAAAUAUUGCGUCUUCACUGGCAGCAAGAGUAAUCACAUAAAAGUUUUCGACUAAUGUUAUUGUACAUUGAUGUGACUCCAUCUACCAAUACUCCAUGGAAGAUCAAGGAUAACCAUCUUCUGUAAGGAAAAGAGUUGUUCAACCUAAAAUUCCUGGGAAAGUCAGUGCCAUGAAAGCCAUCUCGACUUCGAAAGAACGAGUGGAUUCUUGCGGCAACAAAAGUUAUGCCAAGAAAUCCUUGUUAGAGUAACUUAAGAAUAGGCUUUUAGUUUCUUCAUCCACAAAGAAGUCCUCAGAUAUAAGCUAGAUAUACAUUCCUUAACGUUUCGCUAUCCCCUCAGCAGAAAAAUAAAAGAGUAGUUAAUACUGACCUGGCUUCCUUCUAUAUUUAUUCAAGGUCUACAUUUCUAUUUUUUUCGAGAUUUUACUGAUGAUUUUGAUGUUCGUAUAUGAGAAAUAGCCCAACUUGGACUGAGGUGCAAUAAUAAAAACAAACAUAUUCAUGACUUAUCUUUCUGUAACUCAUCUGAACUUCAAGUGCCUCCUCGUAAUUCCCUCUCCUACUUUGCUUCUCGAGUUUCAUAUCAUUUGCUUCACGAACGGUACCUCUCCCAAGGUCUCUUAACCAAUCACGCAUCCACAGUCGAGAGUCUUCUCUAAUUUUUAUUAGAGUCAUCUGCUGGAAAACUUGAACAGCUUCUUCAGAGAAAAGAUUACAGCACUCCCACAUGUGACACACAAUUCUUUUAUCAAACGCAAUGAAUAAUCAAGCAAUAUCUAAGAAUAUGUUUUCUGUCAAGAAUCUAAUGCCUCAAUACUGAUCAUCAACUUCUUUUUAACAUCCUCAUGACGAAAUUUUUCCAACCUCGUCAAUAUGUUAUUCAGCUUUGUUAUGGUUUUCCCUGACAAGAAUGAACCUACAAUCGCAAGUGCUAGAGGAAGACCAUCGGAAAUAUUCACCGCUUGUAUAGAAACAAGGAUGUACCCCUCUGAUGGAUAAUCUCUUCCAAAGGUGUGUCUGCUGAAAAGUUGGAGGGAAUGAUCAAAAUCCAUGCAAGUAAGUUCAUAAGUGCAAUCAACUAUAGUCGGACUGAGUACUCCCACGUUUCUUGUGGUAAAACCAAUCAUGCCUUGCCACAAGAGCGUCUGAGUGUAUUCUUAAGUCGACAUCAUCAGGACGUAGAACUCUUCUGGAGGAUUACCUCUCCUUGAUUGUAUUUAUCCCUUCAUCAAUAUUAUUAAUUUCGGACCAUUUCCUUUGGAGGAUACUAGAGAUGAGUUGAUUCUGCAAAUACUCUACACUUUUUUACUUUGACGUUUCUCGAAUGUCAGCAAGGAAGCAACAGCGAUUAAAACCAUCUCAAAAUUUAUUGUAGACAAUUAUGGCAAGUGUCGUCUUUCCAACACCACUGAUUCCAUAAAUUCCGAUCAUGCCUGUUUCAUUCGUGUGAGCGCCCAUCAUCCUCUUGACUUCAUUUACAUAACUAUCCACUGCAACCAAGAAAUCUGAUACUACCAAGUAGGCCUUUUUCAACUCCAUCAAAACCUUCAACCAAAAAAGCAACCAAAAAAAAAAAACUCCAUCAAAACCUUCCUGAUAACUUCCUUUCGGAACUCACCUUCCCUCUGAUAGCAUUCAAUGCAAAAGAACCAAGAUGCUGAAAUGAGUUAAACAAAGUUAAUUACAGGAAACAAACAAGUCAUAAGGAAUGAAUUUAGUUAUCUUUUCGGAUUGUUUUGGAAGUCCCACCCUUUAUUGCUCCAACCCCAAUGAAAGCAGCCCUCCAAGUGUGGAGAGUCUUGUGAUCAAGCCGCUUCUUGUUUUCAUGAGAAUCAAAGCUUUGUUGUAGAGCCCAGUUUGAUAUCAUACCCCUCAUGGUCCAACUUCUUAGAAAAUGGACAUAAUUUUGCGUCCUCCUGUUCCUGCACUCUGUAAUCUGCACCAAUUUGCUAAAGCACCAUUCACUGGCAGCAUAUCCUUUAGAGAAGAUGGGUAUCAAGGAUUUUUAACUGCUCCACCGCUUGAAGAAGCUCCACGCCUUCUCCGCGAAGCCCUUCAUCAUCUCUACAUACUCGAAUUCCAGCAUCUUUUAUGUUGGUAUACAGGAAAUCAAUUUUGCCAGAGCAUAUCUGGAUCUCUAAAGCUUAAGAAUGCUUCUUAAUCAUAUCCUAUUGACUUCCCCAUUUCCUGAAUAGUAAGGUGCAACAAUAGCACAUCAAUAUCUGAAAUUACAUAGUCGAUGGUCAUGAUGCAUCAUCAUAAUUAUCUGCUCUUUCUUUUUGGUACAUUUCUGUCACCAAGACUUACCCCAAGAAAUUCAUACUGCACCUGAAAAUGUUAAAUACAUAGACGCAGUGAUGAUGAGGCCAAUUUCUAUCAGAUGCCAAUGCAGAGAUCUAUUCUGGUAUAGAGAACCUCUUUGACAAAAGCAUAUUGUUUCUCAGCAUUUUGUGCGAGCAAUUAGUAAAGCACAGCACCCUCUUCCUUUACGGGCCUCACAACAGUGAAAGGGGUAAAAAGAAACUGAUAUAAAUGAUAUGUAACUAUUUUCUCUGGAAAGAUGAGCCAUUUCAACUGCUCAGAUUUACUAUCCAGACUGCCCGUAUUAGUUUGUUAUAUAAAUGGAAAUACAGUAAUAUUCACUAAAAAGAUGCAAACGCUAUUCUGAGUAAUGCUCAAAUGGCCAAUGAAAUAAGAAAACAAAGAAAAGUGGAGCAACAUUAGUAGUCUGUUUAUUGUUUGGCUUAUAUCUGUGUUGAUGUACUACUAAGUAAAUUUGAUUAUAAAAAAUGACUUAUUACCCAAUGAUGACUCCUUUGAUUUCAAGUGACAAGGAAGUGGAAAAGGAAGUGGAGUUCUGCAAAAACAUUGUCGCUAAUUACAAAGUUGGAUUCUGAAGCAGAAGUAACAAAGACAUAAGACACUACUUAAGACAGAGGCCAAGAGUUUAAAAAGAAGGAAUACGUAUUACUUGGUCCAUCUUAAAUUUUGGUGAAGGCUUCACAACUUUCUAAUCAAAAAGCAGUGCUCAAAGAUUGCCUCCUCUGCAUUCUUCUUCAUUUUAUGCAAUUGAACCUAUAAUUGCAGGUCAAAAGAGGGUAUUCUUAAGUGCAAUUUGCUGCAAAAAAUGUCCCAGCAGCUUGAUUAAUGAACUUACUAGGCCAUAGAAAGGGAGUGCAAAUCUACUUCACAGUUAUCUUCAUAACCUCCCUUCUUUGAUGUUAUCCAUAUGUUCAACAGACAAAUUAUGUCAAGAGAACAACAUUUGACUGAAAAUUCCGUCAAACGACUCAAAAUCUGCAGGUUAGAUACCAUUUCUAGUUCCCAAAGGAGUUCGGGUUCAUCAUAAGGAAUUUCGCAAAAAGGCAGAAAUCAAGGGAUUAUUGAUAGCCAACAUUCGGCUUUGCUAUCCAUAUAAACUCACAAAUCAGCAGACAAUUUACCAUUAAUUAGCUCAGGUAAUAGUAGAGACACUAACAUUCAUUCAUGAGAGAAUAGGAAAGAAAUAAUAGUAUGAUGGUUGACUUGCAACUGAUGGAAAAGCAGAAAUUGGUGUGCUGAAGUUCGAAUAAAGUGAAUGAAAUCAAUGGCUUUCUUGUCUCUCUCAUGGGCUAAAGUUCCCCAACUCGGCUGUUAUCUCAUCUCUCCAUUUCUGUUCUUAAUUUCAUCUUCUUGAAUCACUGUGUACUAACUCAGAAGAGACUAUGUCCGGCUAUAACUAAAUCUCAUUAGCCAAAUGAAAUCAAAUAAUUCCAAUGUAACUAAUUUAAAGUUUACCUUGGCAACCGUCGAGGAUGUGUGGUGCCAUGCAAGGCGACACUGAGAUUGUGUGACCUCUGCAGCCGCCGCCAAAGGGCUGGAUUUGGGUUGAUUGACCAUCGACCUCAACACACAGCGGCUCAGGCAAAGACAGCAGCUCGACGGUCAGUGCGGCCCAAGUGAGGGCCAUUAAGGCGUCUCGAUGCCAGGCAAGGUGACAUCGAGGUCACAUGACCUCCGCAACGCCUGUAUAACUUCGCAUAUCUUUUUUUCUUUUUUUCUUUUUUUGUGAAAAAAAAAAGGACAACUAGCCAAAAUGUUGACUGCUCUGCAUGUCUCGUUUGUUUAGGUCAAUGAUACACUGGCUUCACAGUUGCUUCCUCUCUUCAAUGCAUGGGCCAAAAAAUGAUUCAUUUUUUCCCUUCCACACUGAUCGGCAACUCCAUAUAGAAUAUUGCUUUCAGAUCCUUCUUCCUGAAUACCAUCUCUCAUGCAGAAUCAACUUUUCUCAAUCAAUGUCUGAGCCUUUAAGCCGUCAUUCACUUGUCUCCCUUCCGACGGGUAAUCAAUGUCCUCAGUAAUGUUUAUACCCAUUUAAUAGACUCUCCCAUCCCCAGGAAGCCUUAGCCCCCAGUUCACAGCUUGCAUUAACUCACUCCUUAGAAAAUUCAAACACUUUGUCGGAAUUUCUUUUGACACUUUCGAUAUCAUCCACACAAAGUUGCAUCUCUUUUAGAGGGAACAUUUUUUUUUUUUCUCAAGGUCGCUAGUUUAGAUGACCCCUUGAAAGUUCUUUUUAUCAUCCUCUCUAACCAAAUUAAUCUUAGACAUAUCUAAUUCUAAGCCUUUACUUUCCCCUUUCUUUGUACACCAAUGAACAUAUCCUAAUAUUUGAACUGUGAGGCUGCCAUAAUGAUAUUGGUAGUCUUUUCACAUGGGCAAAUAUGUUAUACAAGAAAUGAAGGACUCGUGACAAGUAGAGUUUCCAUCACAUAAUAAGCAAUAGUAACUAUCUUCAUCGAGAUUUAGACAACCAACAGACAACCAUGAAAACAAGGGACAGGAUCAUGCUUUCUGUGAAUUAAAUUGCUUCUCAAUUUCUAAAGGCACCAGAAUUGACCAUAGUCAGAAUGGAGAAUGAAGAACAGAGAUUUGAAAACUGAUUGAUUCAUCAUGAAAUCUAAAGCAGUAAUCAUUACACUCUUUACAGAUCAAUUUGCUGGUUAAUUCCAAUUGGUAAAAAAACUGUCUCUUUACCUGCCAACUCUGAUUCCUUGGCUCCACCUAUUUACUUCUCUGGCUCAGACUUAGUGACUUCCUUCAAAGUCCUCCAAUCAUUAGAUCCCAGCAAAUCUUUUACCUUCUCACACUCAUGUAUCCUCAAAUAUUUUAGCUUCUUGAAGCUUGAUGGAGCCGGUAGCUUUUCCAGAUCUCUGCAGAACUCAAUAUGAAGCAUCUCCAAUGAUUCUAGUCUGCCUUGAAUCUCAACCAGUUUAGGACAAUUAUACAGUUUAAGUUUCGUGAGGUUGUUUAAGGUAGUGAGGUCGGGCAAUUUUUCCAGUGAUGUAACUCUAAAGAACUUCAAUGAUCUCAGCUUCUCCAAGCCUUCAAGACCUUGAAUCUCUGUUAUUUCACAACAUGUAACUUCCAAAUCCGCUAGUGCCCUCAAGUUUGAAAGGUCUAUCAAUGUCUUCAUUUCCCAACAACCUUUUAUAACUAAGCUCGACAAACUUGCGGGAAUCCUCGGAAGGUAUUUCAUGUACUCACACCUGAGCUCAAGUUCCUUGAGUUCAGAAAGGAGGACAAGGUCUGAAGAUAGGGUGGUCAGGUAAGGAGAUUCCGGCCAUAUAGACUCUAGUUUGUGUAAACUUCCGAUCCACCAAGGACCAGAAGUUUUCUCAAGUUCAGAAUGGUCCAUCCUUGAACUCCACAAAACCAAACUCAAAUCUCUUAAGUUCGAUAGGUUUGAGAGAUCUGGGAAUGUCUUCAUUGACCAAGUGCCAAAGUAAAGACUGGUCAGACUUUCAGGAAGCUUGGGCAAUCCUGAAACUCGAGUGUAUGUCAGUCUCAAGACUCUUAGAAAUUUUAAUCUCCCGAUAUUGCUCGGCAUUUCCCAUUCCAAACAUCCACGGCAGUCAGCAUCUAACUCUUCAAGCUUAUCCAAUAGUCCUAUGGCACUGGGUAGUUUUCUCAAGGUACUGCAGCGUAUUCUCAGUACUUUCAAAUUCUUCAUAUUUCCUAACGAAGAAGGUAGCAUUUGAACCUGUGAGUGGGAUAGAUCCAACUCAACCAGUGAUUGCAAGUUCCCAAUGGACUCUGAAAGUUGAGUAAUCUUAGUUUCUACAAACGAAAGCUUCAAUAAUGAUGCUAAGCAGCCAACUGAACUACAAUCAGUCAAAUAUUUACAAUUACGAGCACUAAGAAUUUCCAGUUUCUUCAUUACUUUCCAUUCGGGAAUUUCUUUUAUUGAUGUGCCAUCCACAAGAAUUUCUGUUAAAGCUUCUAGUUUAGCAAGCUCAUCUGGCAGCUUGCUGAGUUUAGUGCAGAACUUUAAGUUUAAGAAAACUAACUCCUUUAGCUGACCAAUAGAUCUAUCAAUAUGGACCAACUUCCGACAUCUUUCAAGAAUUAAUCUCUCUGAAAAUACAUGAGAUGAGAAGUCAGGCGUUCUAUUUAACUUUCUGCAUCCAGUCAGAUUUAGAACCUUUAAGUUCUUUGCCAUCUGUAAGGGAGAACAACAAAAUUUAAAUCCCAUUAACGAGAUAGAAGAUUAAAAAAAAGAUAUUGAACUUAUUUUGAAACACUUCCUACGCUUCUACCUUGAUGUGGCUCAUCUACUCCAUUUUUUUGUAAUUUUACUCCAUGAUAGAUCAAGAAUCACUAGCUUUGUCAGGGAAAGAGUGGUCAGAUCAAAAGUUGCAGGAAAGUUAUUCCAUGAAAGCUAUCUCAACAUCAAAAAUAUGUAUGGACUCCUCCGGAAAAAACUGGCUGGAAGAACAUUCAAGUGGCAACCACACUGAAAAGAACUGACUUGAGCAAAACAAUGAAGGUUUGUGCUUGUCUCAUUGAAGUUUACGCGAUCCACUUGCAAGAACCUUAGGUUUGAUAGACUGGCAAAUACUUCAUAUGUAAUGUUGUAUUCACAAUUACUUUCAAACUUGAGACAAAUUGCUUCAACAUUUUCUAAUCCCUGGCAAAAAGGGAAAUAGCAGUUAGAAAGCAAAUAGUUCUUGUUUGGAAAAUUAUAUUCAUUUGGGGUGCUAUCUUUCCUCGAAAUUAUAUAUUACUUUAGGAGAUAUGUCGGUACUGUGAGUGGAAAAGAAAUAAUACACAAGAAAUUCUUUUAAUUGGUGACUAGUUAAAUAGAACGCUCUUGAGAAUGAAUGACUUUGUAUACUCACCUUUGUCCUCAUAAGAAGAUCAAACACAUCAUCAUGAUUCCAUACUCUGCUUUGCUUCUCUGAUCUCAUAGCACACUCUUGAUGAAUGAUUUCAUGUCCAAGGUCUCUUAGUUGAUCACGCAUCCAAAUACAGUUGUCUUCUUUAAUCUUUAUUAAAGACAUCUUCUGGAGGACUUCAAUGGCUUCUUCAGGAAAAAGCUCCCAACUUUCCCACAUAUGGAUCACAAUUCUUUUAUCAAAACCAAUGAAGAAACAGGCAAUAUCAAGGAAUAUGCUCUUUUGUCUAUCAUCUGAUGCCUCAAAACUGAUCUUCAACUUCUUUUUUAUGUCCUAAUGAAGAACUGUUUUUUUUUUUUUUUUUUGGGUAAGUCCUAAUGAAGAACUGUUUCCAGCUUCUUUAAUGUGAUAUCCCAUUGUGCUUUGCUUUUUCCAGAUAAAAGUGAACCCAUAACCUCCAGAGUCAGAGGUAGACCGCCACUAAUGUUCACGGCUUUUAUGGAGUAAGGGAGGAAUUCCUCCAAAGGAUAAUCUCUUCUAAAUGCAUGUCUGCUGAAAAGUUGCAGAGAAUGGUCAAAAUCCACGCAGGGAAGUUCAUAAGUCCAAUCAACUUUCGGCUCAUGAAGAACAUCAUUGUUUCUGGUGGUAAUGAUAAGCUUGCUUCCUUUGCCAAAACAUUUUCGCUUCCCCAGGAGAGCAUCCAGUUGAAUCCUUUUGUCAACAUCAUCAAGUAGAAGUAGAACUCUUUUACAGAAUAACCUCUUCUCAAUUAUCAUAGUCCCUUCAUCCAUAUUAUCAAUGUCUAGCCAUUUCCUUCAAAGGAGUAUAGGGAUGAGCUGAUUCUGCAAAUACUCAAUACCCUUCUACUCAGCAGUUUCUCGUAUGAUAGAAAGGAAGCAACAACCCUUAAAAUGAUGGGAGAGUUGGUUGUAGACGAUUUUGGCAAGUGUCAUCUUCCCAACACCACCCAUGCCGUGGAUUCCAACAAUCAUAGUUUCACCAGUGUCAGCAAACACGUUCUCAUUAUUUCACCUACAUGAUUGUCCAUUUCAACCAAGCAAUCAGAUACGACUAAGUAGGCCUUUUUUAACUUAAUCAAAACCCUGUUGACAACUUCUUUUACGAACUCACCUUUACCUCUGAUAGCAGUAAAGGCAAAAGAACUAAGAUGUUAGAUUAAGAAGCAAAAAAACUAACCAAAAAACAGAAAGAAUAUUCAUCUCUGGAGAAAAACAGAUUAUAGACCAUGAUGAAGAGCAAGACCUAUUCGGAUUGCUUUGGAAAUCCCAUCCCUUUUAAGGCUCCUAUCUCAUUGAGAGCAGCCUUACACCCAAGCAUGGUGUUUUCAUCAAACUGCUUCUUCUUCACGUGCAAAAGAAAGGCCUCACCAUAAUCCCCAAUUUGGUUUCGAACCUCAGAUGGCCUGACACCAAAGAAAAUGGGCACAAUCUUCUGCCCCGUAGCUCUCUUGCACUUCACCGUCUGUACCAAUUCCGUAAGACGCCACUUACUGUUGGCAUAGCCUUUAGAGAAGAUGGGUAUCAAGAUUUUGGACUGCUCAAUUGCUUGGAGAAGCACUGGACCGAUCUCUUCGCCAGUACGGAGCUCUUCGUUAUCUCUGUAUGCUCGAAUUCCAACAUCAAUGAGAUUGGUAUACAGGAUAUCAGCAAUGUCCAAGUGUGUAUCGGGUCCUCUAAAGUUGAAGAAUACUUUGUAACAUGUUGACAUGGCUUCACAACUUCCAGCGUUUGAGAUGAUUCCUCAGUAGACAAGCAGCAGCAGAAUCACCAACAGCUUCGGUGAUCCCGUUGUCUGUAUUCACCUCUUCACUGGGUUGUACAGAAAGAUGGAAACAAUGGAAGCGACGAUCAAUGCUGAGUGCGAGGACCAACCUGGGGGCACCCUCUAAACCUGUAAAAACAAUGUUGUGAAGAUUUCUGUCAGGAUGGGAAACAAAUGUAUGUGAGAUCUGCUCAGAUCAAUGAUUGAUAUCAGCCUUUUUUCUGGGUAACAGUGUAUCUAAUAUAUAUUCCAUCGUCUUCAAAAACUAAAGAAGGAAGCUUCCUCUUCACUUCAACCGAGGCAUCCACGAUUUAGUUAUUUUGUCGGCCAUAUACACACGAUUAAAACGCGGCCUCUCUAUGGCAGCCACGAGGGAGGAUAAGAUAACCUCGACGGAGCAAGCCAACAAAAGAGACAGCUUUUACCGUAUUAGUGAUGAUUACCUUGGAUUUUUUACUAUUAUUCUUCGUAUACAAAAGCUACUAGUCCCUGAUAUGUUGAUGAGUCCGUUAAAACUUUAAAAAUUACUCACCCCUUGGUAGGAACAGAAGAUGCACAGCAGAAGCAAUAUGAAAAAUAAUCUUCGAGCCUCAGCUCUUAUUCAACAUUAGAAUAACAGUAGAAGGAGCUUGCAAUACUUAGAGCUUCUGAGAUGCCGCCCAACCCCUGAAAUCAGGCGCAACCAUCGCCUACAUUCUUCCAUCUACCAUACUUAAAAGUCCAAGAGAGAAAAAAUAUCCUAAAAAAUUACUCUGACAAGUCGGAUUCCACGAGAUCAGACUGCGUCUCCGCCUUCAAAGUCCUCCACCAAUCAUCACAACCCAGAGAAUCUUCUACCUUCUCACACUUAUGUAUAAGCAAAGAAUUCAGCUUCUUGUGGCUUGAUGGAUCGGGUAACUUUCUGAAAGAUUUACAGGAACCAAUCCAGACUGUCUCCAACAAUUCUAGUCUGCCUUUGAUCUCGACUGUUUCAGGACAACACUGCAGAUAAAGUUUCUGGAGCUUCUCUAAGUUGGUCAGGUCAGGCAACUUGUCCAAAGAUGGAACUGCUUCAGCUUGGAUACAGUAGUAACACAAAUGAGAGAAGAAAUGUUUGUACUAAUAUUUUCUGAUUAUUACUUGUGUAUAAGGAACUUGCAAUAUAUAGUUUUAAUUUGAUGGCCAACCACUGAAAUCAGGUAUGCAAACAACGUUUAAAUUCUACCAUUAACCAAACUCAAAAGGUCGAAGAGAGUAAAAGAUUCCUCAAGAAAAACAAAAAAACUCGCACAAGUCAGAUUCUACAAGACCAGAAUGCUCUCUUCCUUCAAGUCCUCCACUGACCAUCAGAACUCAGAGAAUAUUCUACGUUCUCACGCUCAUGUAUAUAAAAAUAUUUUAGCUUCUUGAAGCUUGAUGGAUCCGGUAACUUUCCCAAAGAUAUAAAAGGGACCUAUCCAAAGUGGCCUUAACAAUUUUAGUCUGCCUUGGAUCUCGACCACUUUAGGACAUCACCGCAGAUAAAAUUUCUGGAGCUUCUUCAGGUUGGUCAGGCCCGCAACUUGUACAUAGAUUGAACUCCUUCAACCCUUUAAGCCACGCAGGUUCUCCAAAAUUUGGAGGCCUCUGAACUCUCUCACUUUAUGGCAAUGAGCAACUUCCAAAUCUGACAGCGCCUUCAAAUUUGAAAGGCCUAUUUGAUGUUUCUAUUUCCCUCCAUGAUUCCAUAUCCAAGUACGACAAAUUUGGGGGAAGGCUAGGUCGGCAUUGCAGCUUCUUUCGGGGGACCAGUUCAGGUUCCCUGAGCUGUGAAAGAAGAAUGAUGUCUGAAGAUGGGGUGACGAAAUAAUGAGAUUCCAACAGCAAGGAUUCCAGCUUCCUAACCUUCAGCUACGAAGGACUUCGAACUUCAUGAAUUUAGAAGUACGUCGAAAUUGUCAAAACCUGAAUUUUACAUAUAUUUGAAUAUCGAAUUAAUAAGUAAUUUAACAUCAAGUGAAUGUGCGUGUGUGUGUGUGUGUGUAUAUAUAUUUUAUUACGUUAUAUAAUCAAAAUCUCAUACAAAAGAUCCACCUUAAAAAGAUGUGUUAAGUCUAAAUGUCCCUAAACUCUGAACCCGACCAAUAUGUUUAAUAUUUUAGAGGGAGUGAGUCUAAGCUCAGUAUAUGAAAGCUCCACGUCCAACAUAGGAGGCCUCCCCACCACUCAACCCGAGAACACAACAGUAUAGUAACAAUUAGUGAAUAAGGUCAUAUUAUCAUUGUCAAUAGGAAAACCAAUAUUCACCUAAGAUAGGGUAAUCUGUGCAUUAUAUAAAAAUGACUAUAAUUAUCUGUGCAAUGAAUAAAAUAGAUGCAAUGUAUGACAUUCGUUUUAACAGUCAAUUGCACACAAAUGAUCAUACGAAAUCUCAUGAUGCUUAGAUAUCAGUAGCUCAUCAAUCUUGGACCUCAAGCUUAAAUUAUCACAAAUAGACUAUUCAAGUCACAUCAGAUUACAGAAGUCACAUAAUUUAAUGCAUAUAUAGUUGUAAUUUGUCUUCUCAAUCCUAUAGAGAACAGACAUCUGUCUUUUCCCAGAUACUUAAAUACAUACUUGGAAAAAAAUUAAUUACAAUGUCAGUACAUUGCUAUCAACACUAGUAGAAUCUCAAUGGAGUUGGUAAUAUACUUAAUAUGGGAAACAAGCACACUUGGAGAGCGCAGUACAGCGGAGAGUUGUAUGCUCCGUUCGAAGGUAGUGCUGUGAAUUUACUUACGACACUGGUAAAAUUUCAAAUGAGUUGAGAGCAUACUACAUCAUUGAAAUAUUAGUGAAUUUCUGAUAGUGCUAGUAAUUCACUUACGACACCAGAAAUUUCCAGAAGAGUCGGUAAUUUACCAAUUUAGUGAGAAAUUGCUAAAUUUCUGAUUAAUUUCAGUAAUUUACUACCUGUUUAACUAACAACAAGUAACCAGUCAUUUUCUUUUACCCAACAAUUUCAAAUUUGCUGGUAAUCCCACCAAAAAUCUCAAACAAUGAAACUAGGAAAGCAGUUAUGAAUCAACUCAGAAGCGACUGCAGAAAUCUGUUUUAAGUCAUGAAAACUAAAGGACCUUUGCGACCAUUGCACAUGAUCAUUUACUAGGGAGUGUUAUGUUUAUGCUAGACACAAUGUCUUGCCCCUACUUCUUCAUUUCUUCAAUGUGGAAAUUUUCAUGGGAAAUCAGCAACAAUUCUGUGAAUAUGGUUGCUGAUGUCUGAUUGAAUUCACGACACUGAAUGCAGCACAUUCUCAGGGUAAUGUCUCGAGAACAUUAAUCUCUACAAAUGAAUUCUGCAGCAAGGCAUCUGGAAGCCUUGAUGAAUUUCUUCCACAACAAGAUUUAAUCACUAAGUACACCAGCUAAAAUUUUAGAAGUAAGUAGGACCACAACAGACCAAGAGAAGAAGAAAGAAAUUGCAGAACCAAUCGAUUAUAGUAAGAUUCCAUGCCUUCCAGGACAAUAUUUCGGUUUUAGCUAGACCUUGACAAGCUCAGAAGAACAACUGAUUCGCCAUGUGUGUUCUGAACUAGUUCCUAAGGAGCAAAAAUCAAUCCCCUCAUUGGUGCAGAAGUGAACUGACGCACAGGAGUUGCAAUGCGUUUCAAUAGAAUGUGACUGGGUUAAGGCUAAAGCUAUUAAAGAUUAGAUGCAGAUGGAACAAAAUCAAUCGAGUGAGCUGCCGAGCGAGUUCAUCGAAAGGCUGUUUUCAUUGCGUAUGUAUGAUUAGUCAUGACUGAAAAUGAUAAAAACCAACUCAAUCCGUUCAAAAUAUUUUCCUAAUCCAUCACUGAUUGCAUCGAAGAUUCGCACGCAGACCCAAUUCAUGCAAAUGCGAAGAGAAAAUUACCAGAAGAAAAGAAUAUAGGCGAAGAUGAAGGAAACCAAAUGAAGAUGCAGAAGGAAGAACCCUCGUGGGCCUCAGUCAGCUGCAACCACAAUGGAAAAGGAAGACCACAAUCCAUUAACCCCUCGGUGGGAACAGAUCGGCGGGCAGGAAGACGGGGUCGCAGUCUCCGGAGGGAGAUCUCCGCCCAGUCGAAUCGCGUCUCGUUCUCCUCUCGGGGUCGCUGUCGCUGCUGGUUCUGGGCGAGCUCCUCGCUCGGGUCGUCGCUGAUGAGGCAGGAAGAUGAAGGAAAGGAGAAGGAAAGAAUGUGAGAAGACAGAUAGGGGGACAACGGGAGAAGAAAACGAAACAAAAAAUAAAAUAAAAAAUAAAAACAGAGAGAGAAAAAGUAGAACUUUCUUAAGAGUGGGUCCUACCUUUACCCGUAAUUUUUUCUCUACAAAAUAUCCCCCCACGUAUUUGGUAUUCUCCGUGAUUUCAGUACUCUGAUCCUUUUUCCUCGGAAGGGUCUCCGCACUUUUUUCAAAUCUCGGUACUCAUCGGAUUCCAUAAUCUCCUCCAAUCUCUCAGUCUUUUAUUUCCAAAUCCUCUAGCUUCUUGAAGCUUGAAGGAUCAGAAAACUUCUGCAAAGACCCACAGCCAUCAAUACAAAGCGACACCACUGACUUUAGCCUACCUCGUAUCUCAACCAGACGAGGACAACGCGUUAAUUCAAUAUCCUUAAGCUCCUUGGCAUUGGUCAGGUCAGGCAACUUCUCUAGCAACGGAAGAUUCUCCACACAUAAGACCCUCAAGUUCUCCGAAACUUCCAAGCCUUGAAUCUCUCUUAGCUUCCGACAACCAUUUAUAUUCAAUUCUUUUAUAUACUUAAAGCUUGAUGGAUCAGGCAGUUGUUCAAGUGAUUCACAAAAAAUUAAAUGGAGAGACUCCAAUGAUUCAAGCUUACCUCGAACCUCAACUAAUUUAGGACAAAGUUCUAUCUUAAGUUCCCAGAGGUUCUUCACUCUGGUCAGGUCAGGUAACUUCACCAGCAACGGAAGACACUGAAGAUAAAGAGUUUGUAGGUUUUUCAAAGAUUCGAUGCCUUGAAUCUCUAUUAGUUGUCCACAAAAACUGACAUCUAAAUAUGAUAACUUCUCCAAAUAUGAAAGAUUUAUCGACUUUUCCAUUAACCCACGCCCACCAAAAUGGAAGUAUGUCAAAUUCUGAGGAAGCUUAGGUAGGCAUUCUAGGUUUUUUAUGAAGAGUUGAAGCAUCUUGAGCUUCGAAAGGAGAUUAAAAUGUGAAGGUAGGGUGACUAGACUAUCACAACUCAACCACAAGUACUCUAGCUUUUUUAACCCUCCGAUCCAAUUGAGGCUGCCAGCUGGAUGGGAAGGGCUUUGAUUCUUUAAUACCAAAAACAAAACUCUCAAAUUUAAUAGGUUCGAGAGAUCCGGGCAUCUCAUUUGUACAUUAUCAAUCAGGUAUAGUUUGUUCAUACUUUUAGGAAGCUUAGGUAUAUUGGAAAUUUUCGUGCCCGAUAAACCCAAGAUUCUUAGAAAUGAUAGUUCUCCAAUCUCACUUGGAAUUUCCCCACUCAAAUAUGUACACCCAACAGCAUGAAUCUCUUCAAGCUUCUCCAACAUCCCAAGGGUGCUAGGUAGUUUCUCUAAGAUGCACUUAGAGAUGCUCAGUAUUCUCAAAUUCUUCAUCGUCUCUAUUGAGUCGGGUAACUCUCGUAAGUUUGACUGAGAAAGAUCUAACUCAACGAGAGAUUCAAAAUUUCCAAAUGAAAAUUCUCUAAUUCUUGUAUGUGACAAGUCAAGAUAUAACAGUGAUGUUGAGCAACCAGCUAAAUUGCAUUUACUCAAGAAGCUACAUGAAUUUGCACUGAGAGUUUCCAAUUUCUCCAUUCCUUUCCAUUCAGGAAUGUUGGUAAUAGAUGUGUGAUCAACAAGAAGUUCUGUCAAGGCUUCCAGUCCCUCCAUCUCGUCUAGCAAUAUUGUAAGUUUCUCACAACCUCUCAAGUCUAAUGAUAUUAAAUGCUUUAACUUACCAAUAGAUCUAUCAACUUGAACCAGUUUUGUGCACCGUUGAAGAAUCAAUCGUUCUGAAUUUUCAUGAGUAGAAAAGUCAGGAAUUCUACGCAAGUUUUUGCAUCCAGUCAAAUUUAGAACCUUCAAAUUCUUUGCCAUCUGUAAUGAAGAGGAGAUUAAUUCUGAAUCAUUUUGAGAUAUAGGACAGCAAAGUCAAUAGAGCAAAUUCAUGUCAAAACAAUACUGUACCUUGAGGUCGUUCCAUCCCUCCCACUCAUCAGUAAUUUCACUCCUUGAUAUAUCAAGAAUCAAUAGCUUCUUAAGAGAUUGUACAGUGAAUUUGAAAAAGACAGGAAAGUUAUCCUAUGAGAGCCAUCUCAAAUUCGGAAGCAUGAUUGGAUUCCUUUGGCAAAAGACAGGAAAGUUAUCCUAUGAGAGCCAUCUCAAAUUCGGAAGCAUGAUUGGAUUCCUUUGGCACAAGUUGGUAGAACAAAAAUGCUGAACGUUGUGCUCAUCCAAGUCUACAUGAUCCACUUGAAAUCUUAAAUUUGGUGGGCUUACAAAUUCUACCUUGAUGUCAUGAAAUGGAUUAUCAAAGUCUACACAAUCCUCUGGAAGAAAUGUUAAAUAUGUUUCAAAUUCUUCCUUCUCAAUGGAAACCUGAAAUUGAUGAUCAAAGUCUACACGAUCCACUUGAAGAAAUCUUAAAUUUGAUAGGCUUACAGAUUCUUCCUUUCCAAUGAAGUCCUGAAAUUGAUGAUCAAAUUUGAGACGUAUUGCUUCAACAUUCUCUCUUCCCUGCCAAAGCAAAAAAAAAAAAAACACGUUGAAGGCAUUCGAGUUGAACAACCUUGACAAAUAUACAUUUUAUUUAUAAUUUAAAAUUAAUUUAGAAUAUAAUUUAUAGAUGAGCAUAUGAUCGUGCUAAAGCACACAAGUAAUAACUUGGUUUAGAUAGAAGCAAAUAAGUAAAGUCAAUGCGUAUAACUCGUCUCUUUGAAUAGGAAUAACAUUGCAAACACGUUACCUCCUUUAUGUUAAGAACAUCAAUUGCCUCCUCAUGAUCCCACACCCGACUUUGCUUUUCUGGUUUAAAAUUAGCUCUUUCAUGAACGAUCUCUCGCGCAAGGUCCCUUAGCUGAUCAUGCACCCACAGCUGAUUACCUUCUACAAUCUUCAUUAAUGACAUCCGUUUGAGGGCUUCAAGAGCACAUUCAGGGAAAAGCUUACAGUUGUCUCACAUGUAAGUCACAAUUCUCACAUCAAACCCAACAAAGAAGCAAGAAACAUCAAGAAAUAUUUCCUUCUCUCGAUGUUCUAAUGCCUCAAAACUGAUUCUCAACUUACUUUUAACGUCUUUAUGGGGAAUAGUUUUCAACCUUUCUAAUGUGUUCACCCAAAAUUUUGUAUCUUUUCCAGCUAAAAAUGAACCUAUAAUCUCUAGAGCCAAAGGAAGACAACCACAGAUUUCCACCGCUUUUUCUGAGAGGGAGAUGUAUUCUACUGGAAGAUGAUCUCUUCUAAAGGCAUGUUUGCUGAACAAUAAAAGAGAAUGACUAAAAUCCAUUUCAGUAAGUUCGUGCUUCAAAUCAACAUCUUUGAGAACUUCCUCGUUUCUUGUAGUAAUAAUAACCUUACUUCCUCUGUCGAACCAGCAUUCACCCAUCCCCACAAGAGCCUCCAGUUGAGUGUUUUGGUCGACAUCAUCAAGUACAAGUAAAACCUUUUUAGAGGAUAACCUAUUCUUGAUCACAAUAAUUCCUUCAUUAAUACUAUUGAUGGAUGGCCAAUCCAUUCUUAGGACUUUAGAGAUGAGCUGAUUCUGCAAACUCGCAAUCUUUGUCUCUCGAAUGUUAGACAGGAAGCAACAAUUAUCAAAAUCAGCCGACAGUUUAUUAUAGACGAUUGUGGCAAGAGUUGUCUUUCCGACACCACCCAUACCGUGGAUGCCAACAAUCUUUGUUCCAGUGGUCUGUUCCCCUAUCUUUUCCAUGAUUUGGUCCACUUGAUCAUCCAUUUCAACCAAGUUAUCAGGUUCUGCCAAGUUGUCCUUUUUUAACUCGAUCAAUAGUGUCCGAACAACUUCUUCUGUGAACUCACCUUUGCCUCUGAUGGUAUUGAUGGCAAAAGAACGCAACUGUUAAAUCAAGAUGAGCAGAAUACUAUCUAAGGUACAAACAAAUCCUGAACAAUAAUAAAUUUAAGUACCUUUCAUUGAGUUCCCACCCUCUUAACGCUCCAACCUUGCUGAGAGCUGCCUUCCAGUUUUGAAUAGUCUCAUCAGUGUACCGCUGCCGCUUAUUUAUGUGUGAAUUAAUGGCCUCAUGGUAAUUUCCAAUUUGGUGACGAACCUCAGAUGGUGCAACAUUAUAGAAAAUUGGCAUGAUCUUUCGUCCCCACUUUUCCUUGCACUCCACCAUCUGGACCAACUCCAUGAGGCACCAUACACUGGUAGCAUACUGUUUGGAUAAGAUAGGAAUCAAGAUUUCUGACUGCUUAAUCGCUUGGACAAGCUCUGGGCCAAUCUCUUUCCCAAUGGGAAGCUCUUCAUUAUCUCUAUAUGCCCGUAUUCCAGCACGAAUGAGGCUGUUGUAAAGGUAAUCGGCAAUGUCACAGCGAGUGUCCGGUCCUCCGAAACUCAAGAAUACUUCAUAACCAGAUUCCGUUGGCUUCUCCAUUUUCUGAAAUCCCAAAGGACUUGCAAUGACCUGAUAAUAUUCCACAUGAAAAACAUUUACUAUGAAAGUGGAGUGAUGAUUAUCAUGAUUUCUCUCAUAAUCUCUUCUGUUUUAAAUCAUUUUAGAAAGAAACCAAGAUGAAAAAUGCACGAGCUCCUUCGUGGCCUUGCACUACACACCAAAACAUGUCUGUAUAUUUUAUUAAUCAUAUAGUAGAGAAGUGGACCCAUCUCAAUUCUAAAGGAAGAAAUUUCCAAAGUAUUGCAGAAUUAUGGGUUAUAGUUUACACCUGAAAUUGAUUCGAAAGAAGAACAUUUCAAGAAGAUAAAUCUCUGUCAGCUUAUUUUUGUCUUAAACUCUUUUGUUUAUGCGAUAAAAUUUCUCUUAAAAGGUGACCUUGAAUGUCCCCUGCACAUAAGUGUCUGCUGUUGCUUAUAGGUUGACUAAUUAUCUUAUUGUCUGAUAAGAAAUUAUGAUGAAUCCUUACUCUUUUAGUUUUUACCAAAAUAGUUUGACAGACAUUCCACAACCCUCAAUUAGUUGCUCCCUUGAUCUUAAAGGACGCAGCCAAAGAAUCGCAUUCCCCUAUGAUGAUCUCAUUGGAAAAGUGAAAUCAAGAAAUUUAACUGAAGCUAAUUCAAUCCUCACCACUGGACUAGUUUCUAAAGAGCAUAAACUGAUCUCUAAUUACAAUCAUCUCUUAGUAUAUUAACAUACAGGCACAGGGUCAAGGGGAGAGCAUUAGAAGCUAUCAUUCCCAUUUGUCAGAAAGUAUCAGCAUAUUAGAAAAAGAGGGGUGAAUUACUAACCAACAAUGGAGUUGAUGAUAUUUCAACAGAAGAAAGAAGCAUGAAUGCUAUAACUGGUUUUCCAGAAACUAAGUUUGAACACACAGGUGUGCAGGAACAAGAGCUGUACUUUACGGAAGUGGAGAGUUCCGGUUCACCACAGACUGCAACACUAUAGUCUAUUCAGUCUGCCUCUACUAUUACACACUAAGUUGAGGGUUUCAAUUUUCUGUCUGGAAGUGUUCUUACCACCUAUCACCAGACAACAGUGUACUAGUGUCACGGGCCGAAAGAUGGACGACCCGGGAGGUUCCCCGAGUCGACCCCAACUCGCCUGUGGACCUCGCCUGUGGACCUCCUGCUCUCACUCGGAUUCCCACCAAACCUUCUACUCGAAAUCUCCAAGGGCGGGCGAAACUGUCAUUGAGUCAUAUUCUAGAAGUCUGUUCCAUUAUUUAUGUCGGUAGACAGUAGUUAGACAUUAUGUCGGUAGUUGAAGCAGUGCGAUCUCGCCCGUUGGAUGAAAAGUAGAUCAACGGAUGUAAUCCGAGGCACUCAACUAUAAAAGGGGGUCCUCCCUCAUUUUGUAAUCAUCCAAUCCAUUUCAAAAAUAUCAAAGCUUUCCAUUCCUUUCAGAGCUCCUCUCUCUAACUUUCUCUCUCAACGAUCCGGGUAAGCGAGCGGGUAACCGUUCGAUCGAGCAAGGCUUGGCUUGGGUGAUCCAAAGUUGCCCGAGUCGCCGCGCGGUCACGAUCCCAAUUGAUCGGCCCGUGACACUAGUCUGUUGUAUCAAAAGUCUCUUAGAGACACCAGUAUCUUUGGUCGCACAAGAAAAAUCCCAUUAAAUAAAUCUAAUCAACCGAUUCCAUUCAAAGUAGUUCAGAGCGCCAGCCUAGUUCCUAAAGAGAGAAAUGCAAUCCCUAAUUACAGAACCAACAAGCUGAUGCAUAGAAGUGCCAUUGCGUUUCAGGAUCUGAAGCCUGACAGUUGCAAAAAUGGAUGCAGAUGAGCAGGGUUUAAGCACGUGACCAGAGUAAAAGGCUAAAACUACUAGUGUUUGAGGCAACUAGCAGUGAUCAAUCAUGGAGUCAACUGAGGAAAGAAUUGACGGUGAUCUGAGAGUCCCUCUCUUGUUUCCAUCAUAUUCCGCACCCAGUUGCAUUACACAACUGACCCAAUUCAUUAAAAAGAAGGCAAUCAACGAUAGGAAAUUACCGGAGAUGGGAGGGGUGAAGAUGAAGAGUCCGGGUCAAAUGCCGAGAAGCAGAUAGAGAUGCCAAGAAUGAACGUUCUUGGCUUUCGAGUUCAGAUGAAGAAAGACUUCUAUUAUAUACUCUACUCGCCCUCACGUGCCAUGCUCAUCCAAGAAGGAGACUCGACACUCACCCUCAUGUGCCGACCGCAGGUACAGAAAAUGAGUGAACUCGCCUUUCUUUUGAGGCAUUUGAGUUUUAGGUUAGGUUGAAAUUUCUCCGAGUCCAAAACAGUUUUCGGCUCAAAAGUCCUGUUAGUUUAGAGAUCAUAAUGACGACGAAACCUUCUUUCGUUGGUGAAAUCCUAGGCCCAUUUAAAUUAUUCAUUAAUCAAACCUACACAUUUUUAAGUAAUUUAGAUGGAUUAUGACGGAAAGUUAUUCACAAUAAAUUUACGAAACAAAAGUUAAUGAAAGUUGCAUCAAGCUACAAGAGGAUCAAGGUCCUAUUUGUUUCGUAAAAAAUGAAUAAUUAAAAAAAUAUUUUUUAAAAAUAAUUAAUUAUAUUACUUGAAAUCAUCAAUUAAUGAAAAAUAUUUUCAUUAAUAAUAAUUAAUGCCUAAAUAUUUUCGUGAAAUAUUUUUUAUUUAUUAAUUUCUAUAAGUGAUGCAAGUGAUCAUUUUUCAGAAAAUAUUUUUCAAAUCAUUCAUUUUUUGCAAAACAAACAUUCUUUAAAGCUCCAAAAAAUUUGUUAUGCAAAUGAAAAUUCAUCAACCAUGGAUGGUUCAAGUAAAACUUCCUAGAUAUGUGCUGUUUUCUCUUUCCGUUCGCAAUUCUUGGGGGCUCCUAUUGCAUUUUUUGCAGGUUUACAAGUAGAGAAUGGGAUUGCAUUGGAUCGUACAGCUUUUAGCUAUUCUUCUGCCUGCAAGCUUAGUUGAAUUUUGGGGUGAAAUGGGAAUGUCCAUAUUACCACUAGAAGUAAUCCCGAAAAUUAUUUUUUGACUAAGGAAUUUUUUUUAAAAUAAUUAUCAUAUUAUUUAGAUUUGAAUAGUCGAAUCAAUAGACAUUGGGAUUUGUUAUACACACACACACAUAUAUAAUCAGGAAAAUAUUAAUAAUGACGAAUUACAAAAUAUAAGUCAACUUAACUUAUUUUUAUAUAUUAUCUAUGAUUAAAGUAAAAUAAGAAAAAUAGAUUGAUAUACUGAUGCUAUUUAAUCAAUUAAAAAACUAUACCAUUAUAAUUUUCUUAAUUUUGAAACAAUGACUGGUAAAUUAAUUUAUAUUUCUAGUAUCAAGAUAUAAUCCUGUUGAAUAUCUAUACUAUGAAGAAAAUGCAAUCAUAUUGUAAAUACUAUGUUUAAAAUUGAUUUUUUUUUCUCAUAACAUUCUCACUGUUUUUUUUUUUUUUUUGGUAAAGCAUAACAUUCUCACCGUUUGUUGUUUAUACAAUCAAUAAAUGAGUCUCUAUUUCUUUUCGCUACCUACUUCUAUGUCAGCUUUCCUCAGAAUUCAUCUAUAGAAAGUAACGUAAGUAACGUGAGUUCUCGCUCUAUUUGAUUUCGUUAAUGCUUGGGUUCAUUUACGUAUUAUAUCUUUUUUUAUCAUACAAAACACAAUGCAAGGGAGGGAUAUGCACAAUAUUUUUAUGCAUCAAAAUUUAAUUAAUUCUUGUCCAACUUUAUUUAUGUUUAUGUGAGCAUUUGGUAAUUGAUAUAGUAAUAGUUGUUACACUGUUUUUCUUUCACAGAAAACGAAGCUAAUUAAUAAAAAUUAUAUUAAACUAAACUACAUCAAUUUGGAUUGAGUUUGCCUUCUCCGAUUUUUAAUUUUUGCUUCAUUUAAUUUACACUGCCCACGCACUUUAACUCUUUUUCAACGUCCCAAAACUUUCACAAUAGUUAGAUGUUAACACGUAAAUUUGUAUUUAUCUUUUCAUUUUUUUUAAAUCUGAAUAAUACUUCAACUUUUAAUAGAAAAAUAAAAUUUAUUUAUUUAUUUCCAAACAAAAUGGCAUUAAAGCCAUUAAUUUUCGCAUUUCUUAGGCACGAGGCUAUUGUUCACAUCUGCCAGAAAGUAUCAGCAUAUCAGAAGAAGAGGAGCGGAUUACUAAUCACUUAUGGAGCUAAUAAAAUUUCAACAAAACAAGGAAGCAUGGACGCUAUAACUGUUUUUCCAGUAAAAUAAGUUUGAACGCACGGCGUGUAGGGAUGAAAGCUGCAUUUCACAAAAGCUGAGAGUUCUGAUUUGCCAGAGUGCAACAUUAUAUACUCUUCAGUUUGUCAUUUCUGUUAAAUGUCGAGUUGAAGGUAUCAAUUUUCUGUCUAGGAGCGUUCUUUCUCACUACUUAUUUACCAGACAAUAACUAAUUUGUCUCCACAGUUAAACAAAUGAAAUCAACCGAUCCUAAUUCUAACUAAUUCAGCUUUGAGUGCUGGCCAGUUCCUAAAGAGUGUAAAUUGCAGUCCUGAAUUACAUAAACCUCUGAGUAUAUCAACAAGCUGAUGUAUAGGAGUGGGAUUCUGUUUCAAGAUCUGAGGCCUGACUAUUGCAUAGAUGGAAGCGGAUGAGCAGGGUUUACACAUGACUAGCAUUAUGCUAAAACUGUUGGUGUCAGAUACAAAUUGCAGUGAUCGAUCAUGGAGUCAACUAUGGAAAGAACCGAUACUGAUAUGAGAGCCCCUCUAUUGUUCUCAUCAAAUUAAUGGAAAAAGGCGAUAAAUGAGAGGAGAUUACCAAGGAUGGAGGAGUGAAGAUGAAGAGUCCGGAUCAAAUGCUAAGAAGCAGAUAAAGAUCCCCUAGAUCAAUCGUUCUUGGGUUUGAGCUCCGCUGAAGAAAGACUUUUCGCAAGAUGGCCCACUCACCCUCGCUUGCAAUGCUCUUCCAAGUAGGUGAGGACUUGCGAGUUGCAAGUGUACUUAAAGCCGAUCUUUGACAUUUGAUAUAACAGAGAUGAAGGCCGAUCGUUGGCUCUUGAUAUAAUAGAGAUGAAGGCCGGCCGUUGACUCUUGAUAUAAUAGAGAUCAAGGCCGGCCGUUGAGUAGAUAAAGAUCCCCCAGAUCAAUCGUUCUUGGGUUUGAGCUCCACUGAAGAAAGACUUUUCACAAGAUGGCCCACUCGCCUUCACUUACAAUGCUCUUCCAGGUAGGUGAGGACUUGCGAGUUGUAGAUGUACUUAAAGCCGAUCGGGGGUAAGUACACUAUUAGUGCCAAAACUUGUGUACGACGCUCAAUUUGGUGCCAAAACUUUAUUUUGGAUCACUUAAGUGCCAAAUCAAAGGAAAAACGAUUACUUUAAUGCCACCAGCGAGAGAUUCCUGUCAAAAUGAUUACGUGGCUUUUAUAUUUAGAAAAAUAAAAUCGACAAGGCUUUUAAACGAUGUCAUUUUCCGUCCUCCUUAAGAAAAUGACAUCGUUUUGCCGUCCUAAAUGGAUGGCCUCACAAAAACGACGCCGCACAACUCAUUUGGGGAUUGAAAUUAGGGUUUUUUUUGUCCGAUCCUCGCCCAACGCCGACCUAGCUUACUUGGCCGCCGUCGCUCGGCACUAUUUGGACACCCUCCACGAGCGCGUCAUUGCCGAUGCUCAACAACUUGUAGUUGCACUUGAGCACAAGAUUCGUGACCGAGUUGAACCAUGUGAAUAGUGCCGAGACCGCAUCCAGUAGCUCCGAGUUGGCAUGGAGAGCGAGCCUCUGGUGGCUCUGGCCUUCGAUCACGAGCCAGCGGCAGCACACAAGGGAGCACUGGCCCCAGUCGCCAGAGCCUAGGUACUGGAAGACGCAGGGCAAGCACUCGUUGGGGAGAUCAAACAUGGAGAGGGAGAGAUCAAGGGCAGCGCACUCGUCAAUGGCCUCCCUGAGCACCAGCCAAAUCACGGCCUUCAACUUGGCCACCGAGUGGCCGUCGGCAGGGUCAGGGUCGAGGUUGGAGCCGCGGCUAUCAAGCACGGGGGCCGUCGAGGACAGCAACUGGCCCGUCACCGGCUUAUCUUCUCUCUCUCAAUUUGGGGAUUUAGAGUUUUGAAUUGGGGGAGAGACACCAAACAGCGUCGUUUUGUUAUUUAAAUGCUGAAUUUACUCUCCGGCGAGCCACAUCAGCUUCAAAAAUUAAUAAAAAAGUGUCACGUCGGAUUUCCGACCAACUAGAUUGGCGUUGGCACUGAAAUGAUUAUUUUUCAAAAGUUUUGGCACUUAAAGUGAACGCCAUACAUAAGUUUUGGCACUAAUAGUGUACUUACCCCGAGCGAAUCGUUGACUUUUGAUAUAAUAGAGAUCAAGGCCAGCUGUUGGGCAGAUAAAGUACCCCCAGAUCAAUCGUUCUUGGGUUUGAGCUCCAUGGAAGACAGACUUUUCGCAAGAUGGCCUGCUCGCCCUUGCUUGCAAUGCUCUUCCAGGUAGGUGAGGACUUGCGAGUUGCAGGUGAACUUAAAGUUGAUCGUUGGCAUUUGAUAUAAUAGAGAUUAGGCCGACCGUUGACUUUUUAUAUAAUAGAGAUCAAGGCUGGCCAUUGACUUUUAAUAUUAUAGAGAUCAAGGCCGGCCGUUGAGCAGACAAAGAUCCCCUAGAUCAAUCGUUCUUGGGUUUGAGAUCCACUGAAGAAAGACUUUCCACAAGAUGGCCCACUCACCCUCACUUGGGUGGGUGAGGACUUGCGAGUUGCAAGUAUACUUAAAGCCGAUCGUUGACAUUUGAUAUAAUAAAGAUGAAGGCCAACCAUUGACUUUUGAUAUAAUAGAGAUCAAGGCCGGCCGUUGAGCAGAUAAAGAUCCCCCAGAUCAACAUUCUUGGGUUUGAGCUCCACUGAAUAAAGACUUUUCGCAAGAUGGCCCGCUCGCCCUCGCUUGCAAUGCUAUUCUAGGUAGGUGAGGACUUGCGAGUUGCAGGUGUACUUAAAGCCGAUCGUUGACAUUUGAUAUGAUCAAGGUUGGCCAUUGACUUUUGAUAUAAUAGAGAUGAAGUUCGGCAGUUGACUUUUGAUGUAAUCCGUUGACUUUUGAUAUAAUAGAGAUGAAGGCCGGCCAUUGAUUUUUGAUGUAAUCGAGGUGAAAGCCAGCUGUUGACUUGCCAAUGAUUUGUUGGCGCAAACCACCAGAGUUCUAAUAGACGAGAAUUAAUGCAUGUUAUUAGUUUGAAAAUCAUAUAAUUAUAUUGAUUGAUAUUCUUUUAAUGACGAUGAAACCGUUCUUUUGUUGUAGGUGAAACCCUAGGCUCAUUUAAAUUCAACAUAAAUUGAAUCUACAAAUGUAGAAUCCAUACCUUUUAGUCUUUGAGAUGAAUUAUAUUAUUCAUAGUAAACUUAUAAGACUAGAGUUAGGUUUUUAUGCUCCGUUUGUUUCAUGAAAAAAUAAAUAAUUUGGAAAAAAUUUCUUAAAAAUGAUUACUUGUAUCACAUAAAAUAAUUAGAUAAUAAAAAAUAUUUUCAUUGUAGACAAUAACUUAUGCCUAAAUAAUUUCACGGAUGAUGAAAAUAACUUUUAUUUAUUCAUUUUUGUAAGCAAUAUAAAUAAUUUUUUUAGCAAAAUCCUUUUGAAAUUAUCUACUUUCUGCAAAACAUGCAUACCUUUGAACUCUAAAAAGUUAUAUCGUCUAGAAAUUGAUAAAGCUCCGAAAAAGUUACAAUAUAAGUGGUAGUUUAUCGACAAUCAUUUUUUAAUCGGCUAUAGAAUCUCAUUACGUUCAUUAAAUAAGAGAGUAUAUCUCGGAUCUCCCCUGGGAGCAUAGAAAUACAACGACUUCCAAAAGAGAUACUGAAAAUCCUAAUUCUAAUCUAAGUAUAAAUUGGAAAAUUACGUGAAAAAUAUAAACCUUAGUCAAUAACCCUUUUGGGAAGAUGUGCAUAGCACAUCAUGCACGGCACACGUAGAGCACAUGCAAUAUGCAUGGCACAUGUAAGACACAUGAAAAUUUCAACGACUGUCGAGGAAAAAUGUGUCUGGGUUGCAUAGGGUUUAAGGCUCAAAUGGGCUAAAUUUAAGAAUUCAAUGAUUUAAAGAGCUCAAUUCGAAUGAAAUUCACAAAAUCGCCUCAGUUUAAAAUUUACUACAUUGAAAUUAUUGCGGAUCAAACGCUAAGAAGCGGAUAAAGAUGCCAGAGCCGAAGGAAGAGUUUUAUUAAAGAGUCUACUCACCUUCACGUGCCAUGCACUUGCAGGAAGGUAAGGAGUUGCUACUCAUCCCAGACGCAUUACAUUUUACAUACCUUGAACAUGAAAACAUAGAACUCAUACAUAUUAUCCACUUGAGAUGGAUUAUGUUAGACUUAUUCCCAAUAAAUUCAUAGAAAAGAAUUAGGUUUUAAUUUCAAAGGCUGCAUUUGGACACGAAGGAAUAAAGCACCAAAAAAUUUACAACGAGUCUUCAAAAAUAGCUACAGUUGAAAUAUUCCAGAUGAUAUAUUUAUGGUUUUGUCCCAAUUUAUUUCUCAUAUGCAGGUAACGGAAACUCUUUCAAAAUAGACAUCUCUCCAACCUGUUCAGAAGCCAUUUGAGUUGCUAAUAAAUCAACGUUUCCCUCAGCAUGGAGAACAGAGAAAGCGUAAGUUCUAGACACAAGGUUUGCGGUACACAUGACCUCUAUGAUCUCUGGCCAAAGCGGCAAUGGAGGCAUGAGAGUCUUGCAUCAAUGUUCACCUGAAGCAAGGGGGUAGGAGUCCAUUUUGGAGGGUCGUUGUUCACAACUCGUGACUACGAGCAACGUUCCAUCACAACUCAUGGUAGAUGUCCUGUAUAUGUCGAAUUACUGAAGGAAGAUCCAUUUGGGACCGAGCUUCCAGAAUUUUGUUUCCACGCUCCCAUAAAACCACUAAACUAUUUCGACCAUAUUGCGAAAAUCUUCGCAAUAAAUGUCAGGUGGAAGGCCGAAAGCGAGGAGGCGCAGAGAUCACAUAGCACACGUGUAAAAAACAGAACCGCAAAAGAAGUUGAUAUGUCCAAGCCCCAGCCACCUCGACUCCAUACAAUUCAGGUCAUCCACUCUUCCCCUUUUGUCGGCAAAUUUGACUGAUCAACGUUCUUCGAAGUAAAAAAGCAGUUUCGUUCUAACUGGAUCUUAGGGAGAAAUAUGACCUUUACCUAUGUAUGGAAUAAAUACGACAUCUUGGCCAUGGAAUGUUGACAAGACAUCGAAUGCAUUUUGUGCAGAUCUCAACAACCGAGAGCGGAUUCUUAUGAAGACUGUACUUCUGAUUAACUUGGAGGUCAAGGACAACCAUGAGGAGGCAGCAACUGGAGCUCAGCGUGCUUUAGAUCUUUGUCGAGAGGUCUUUCACUGGCUGUGCUUUAUGUAUUAAUGAUAGUAUGCUUGAUUUCUGUAUGCUGAGAAAUUGCUUAUUGUUUCUAAUUUUCAGAGGCAGAACAGGCGGAAAUUUUUAUUCAGCAUUUCCUUCUAUUGAUGACCGUGGUGAGGGCAAGACUAUUGUUCUGAAAGCUUUAUGAUCCAUGUCGUUGUUCUGUUAGUAUUUUGACUGCAAAUUUAUAUGUCGACGAACUGAACUUUGGGUUUCUGUUUGUCCAUCUACUUGCACAAGUGGUAAUAGACUUAAAUACAUUACCAGAUUUCUUCCAACGCUGUUACUGUUUGCUUUGCACGAAGCCUUCCCUAGAAAUCUUUCCUUUCUAAGCCCAGCGAGCCCUAUUUAAUCCAUUACACAGCUAAUCAUUUCAUUAUACCCUAUCCUGAAUUUGAUCUCUUCUUAUGUCAGGAAGACUGAAUCAGGCUCUCCCAUGUUUUUACGCCUUCGCUUGAUCUUGGUAUUCCAUGCCAAUUGUUGGGUUUGAUGAGCACUUUCCUUGACUACUCGUUAGUGGUAGGUCAUUUUGCAACAAUAUCUUUAUCUGCAUAAUGAGAAUUGUCAUUCUCACGCUUUGAAUUGAAUUUGCUACAGAAUCCUAUUCUUUGCUGUUAUUGCCAAGCCUGUCAUACUAAUGCGCUGCAUACAUCCACUUUCAGAUAACACUGCAUCGAUGUGGAAAAGAAAUUCUGAGUCGAACCUUUAUCCACUCACUUUAUCUCUGGAAUGUCGACGCAUGAUGAUGUAUUAGUAAUUGGAAGCAAGCCAGUCUUGCUUAGGAGUGAAAAUUCUAUUAUUUCUUGUAGUUUCUUUUUUUUUAAGUUCCUUUGUACUGCAGAACUAAUUCUGUGAUGGUACUCAUGUCGAGAGAGCGGAAAGAAAAGGAAUUCCGGCGUAUUGUAUAUAAUUUCUUUGAAUGCGAUGGGUUGAAAACCGCCUCUAUUUUCAUUUUUCUGUAUCGUGCAUAUGAAAAGAAAAACAAGAGAACAGAACCAACCUGACCUGGUCAGUCAUUUGAUGAUUUGGUUCUGUAUUUUUGGCAGGGUUCACAAUUCAAUCGAUCCUAUUUAUUUAAAAUGAGUUGGUUUUUGAAAAGAAAAUUACUAAAAAGCAGGAACUUCUAAUUUGAGUUCAUAUGGAAAUCGUCAGUUUUCUUGCUGGCUUGUUGGUCAUUCCUAGGAUCCUGUCCUUCAACUUGCUUUCCUCACUUCCUGAAUAAAAAUUCCCUUGCGUAUUCAUUUAAAAUAAUAGGCUCUGAUAAUUUGUCGAGAUUAGCUAGUACUGACACACAAAAGUCAUCUCCAUGUAUGGCUUGCACCAAGGUUUGCAGUUUCACAUCUCAAAGGGGAGGAUGCUUUCUAGACCUCAGUGCAAGUGUCUUUUUUGGAAUGUCUCAAAUGCCAGUCUCUUGAGCCAGUGAAUUCUUCUAUUCUGCUGUUCCUUCAAGCCGGUGAAUUAUUCUUCUUCUCUGCUGUUCCUUCGGGAAGACAAUGCAGUCCAUUGAUCCGUCUGUGGAAAUAAAAUUUCUCCUCUUUCUGAACCUUCAAUCUCCUCUGCGUUAAUUUGUAUAACACCGAAUAACACCGAACGCUCCAGUUAGUUGUGGUACGCUCUACCCUUAUGCAGAUCUUCUGCUCCUUAUGUCUAAAUAGACUUGUGUUUGCAUCGUGUUGGCUACAACCCAACAGUGCCAGUGAAACUCGGCCAAACAACAGUGUGCAUUAGACACAGAAAAGAGAGCUCUUCUGCUCACGCAUUUUAUCAAAUGUUACUAUGGUAUGAACGAUGAAGAGAAAUCAAAGGAUAAUGACUCUCCAUGAACUAACAAACAGCGGCAUCAGCCAGCAUUUCCAUUUCAGAAGACAUAAAGUCCAGUUCACUCAGCUCCUCAUGGGCCUCGUAGUCAUCCGUAAUGGCGACAUACCAAUCUCACUUCAUCUGUCCUAAGAGAUCUUAACAAAGAAUAAAUAUCCUCUUAUGAGGGUGCCUCUUGUCCUUGACAAUGAAGACAUGAACUUGACCCUGAAUUUCUAUCCAGCUACAGCCGGGCUGCUUGACUACUCCUUGUUGCCUCAUCAGCUUCCUUAUUCUGACGACAUUGCCCCAUUUUUUGCUUUCCGCGUACAUGUUUGAGAGCAGAACAUAAGGUCCGGAGUUCGAAGGGUCGAUCUCUAAGAGCUUAUCCGCUACGUGUUUUCCUAGCAUUAUAUCCUUAUGAACUCCCCAAAGGACAGCAUCAGCUUGCAUGGGCAUUGCCUCUAUUAAGUCCUUUGCUUCACUGAGACAACCGGAUCAGUCGAGCAAAUCAACCAUGCACAUAUAAUGGUCCUUUACCAGUGCCAGACCAUACUCCUCGACCAUCUGCUUGAAAUAAUGGCGCCCCUCUUUGACCAGCCCUGCAUGGCUGCAUGCACAGAGAACCCUGAUCAUAGUGACACAGUCUGGUCUCUCGCCAGAUACCAACAUUUUCCUGAAUAUUUGAAGCGCCUUUAUCCCGUAACCGUUCCACGCAUAUCCAACAAUUAUGGCAUUCCAUGAGACCUUGUCCCUCUCCAACAUAUUUUUGAAAACCCAUAAACCAUCUUCCACAGCUCCACAUUUAAUGUACAUGUCUAUAAGAGAAUUUCCAACAAAAAUAUUGGAUUCUUCUCCAGACUGGAAGCGAAAUCCGUGCUUCAAGACAUGAGCAUGAGCCUGCUGCCCCAACUGCAGAUCGGCAAGAUUUGCACACGCAUUGAGAAAAUUUCCAAAUGUGUAGUGCGUCGGCUCAAUGGCUUCCCUCUUCAAAAGGCGGAAUAAACCAAAUGCUCCUUCAUUCUCUCCAUUCUGGGUAUACCCUGCAAUAAGGGCAUUCCAAGAAACUACAUUCUUCUCCAUCAUCCUCGUGAACAUUACUCCUGCAGUUUUGAGACUUGCUGCUUUUGCAUACCCGCUUACCACAGAGGUGGCUGACACUAUAUCCCUGGUAGGCAUUCUGUCAAAAACUGCUCUGGCCUCACUAAUUCUAGAGCACUUAGAAUACAUAUCAACCAAUGCAUUUCCUAAAACAACAUCAUUUCAAAAUUUGUCACAUUUUACAACAUGGGCAUGAAUUUGCAUCCCUUCCCUAAAAGCCGACAGGCUAGCGCAUGCGCUGACCACACUGACCAAAGUGAACUCAUCUAUUUCAAACCCACAAUCCAUCAUGCUCACAAAAACCUCAAGAGCUUCACUGGCUGGACCAUUUUGUUCAUAGCAUGUAAUCAAGCUGUUCCAAGAAACUAUGUUUGGAGAACUCAUUUCAUCAAAAGCCUUCUGUGCACAAGCCACGUUCCCACACUUGUACAUGUCGAUAAGAGCAGAGCCCAUAUGAACAUCAGACGAGCACUCAGACUUUGAUAUCAAAGCCUGAAUCUGUUGGCCCAGAUGCAUAUCUGCUAACCCAGCACAUGCGCUAAGCGCACUACCAAAUGAGUACUCAUUAAGCACAUAAUUCUCCCUAUGCAUCUUACCAAAACAUUGCAGGGCUUCUUUGAAUCUUUCAUGCUGCGCAUAACCUGACAGCAUCGAAUUUCAUGAGCACUGGUCGGGUUCCGGCAUUGACCCAAAUAUCUUUUCCGCUUCAUCAAGAGACCCCGAUCUGAUCAACCCGCCUAAGAUUGCGUUCCACGUGAAGGUAUUCUUCUCGGGCAUUUUAUCGAACACCCUGCGGGCGUCGUCGAGGCACCCGCAUCUCGCGUAGAUGUCGAUGAGCCGGUUCUGGAUAAAAACCAGCGGAGAACGGGGUCUUGAUGAUCCGAGCGUGGAUGCGGCGUGUGUCGCGCGCUGACUUGGACAGGCCGCAGCUGUCCAGGAGCUUGGUGAAUGGGGUCGAGGUGGCGAAGGAGAGGCCGCCCGCCAGAGCCUUGACCCGCGCAUGCCUCGCCAUUCCAUCAUAUCAUCGUACGAAGCGAACUCUGUCGGAGAAGAUUCGCAUAGAUGCAAAUUGAGUGCGAUGGGGAGUUUCUGUUGACCGUACGGGCGGGAAUAUGUUGAGAGCGCUUAUAUGAAGAGGGAAGGCAAAGUCGCAGUGGCAAAAUGGUAAUUUCGGCAUGACAAUAUAUUAAUUAGACUCGUGACCAUGAAUUAUUUUGUUGGUUAUGAGUAAAUCUAAGCUACAAAUUAAAAUGUGUCGUAGAUUUAAUAUCUUGUUGUAAGUCACUAAAUCAAGAUUAGUCAUAUGUAUAAUAUGUACAACUUAUUGCUUUAUCAACUAUAAUUAUAAGUUUAAUAUAGGAUAAGUCAAUUUUAUAACCGAGUUAUUUACAAAUCAAACAUAAAUUCUCAUUUUGAUUAUUUUAAGUAAUUCAUCAUUAAAAAAAUGCAAAAAGCAAUUCUAGAGAAUGAAAAUUGGAUCUACGCCGGAUUACAUGGGAUAGCUUUUCAAUGGUCCUCCUCCCAUGAGGAAUAGCUAACCUUGAUUUUAAGAGUAUAGCAACUUCUCUAAAGUAACUAAUCUUGAUUUACUUCUUAGCCAACUAAGGACUAAGUGUCUCAUCAUGAAUAGGCCAGAAAUAGAUAGUUUUUGUGUCGUUCUUGGAUUAAUCCAAAGUACUACUCAUUUUGGUCCGUCCCAUUUUGAGUCUCAUGGUUUUGUCCUUCAAGCAUACGGGCAAACACUUUUUCAAUAGACUAUUGUGACAUUUUUGGAUUAAUUCACUUGAAAUAUUAUCCGCUUUUACCCAUCUCAUUCCAAGUCUCACGAUUUUGUCUUUGGGCAUAUAGGUAGACACUUUCUGAGAAGGUAAACCCAUGUUAAUAAUAUUCUAGUCUAAUCACACUCAACUUUGGAGUGGAAUUACCAGAUAGGUGCAGUGCCUACCCAUAAGCUAAAGGACAAAACCGUUUGGGUCAGGAGAUCGUCUUGUUUUGGUAAGAAAAAUCAAUUAACCUUCUAAAGUGUGCGUUCAUGUGAGCCCCUUGCAAGGGAGAGCUUCGUGAUAAGAAAUGAAGCCCAUCUGAAUCCACAUCCAAUUUUUCAAGGCUUUGCAACUCUUUCGGCUUUAUGCGACCAAGAACCGUCACAGCUGAGAGUUGUCUCAGGUUUUAGAAAGGUCUAUUGAUGUUCUUAUUUCCUGGCGAAGUAGGAUAUGUAAGACAGACAAAACUCAUGGGAAGUCUAGGCAAGAACCUGAGGUUCUUAAAAAUCGAGAACAAGUUUCCUGAGCUUGCAACUCCAAGGACUUCGGAUGGCGUAACCUGUCAAUCCACCGAGGAUCAUGGAGCUUCCUCAAGCCCGUAACUGUCAUAAGAAUACCUCGACACAUAUAAAUGCAAGCUUCUCGGAUUUAAUUGGUACGGGAGAUCUGGAAAUAUGUACAUUGAGAAAAUUACAAGCAUAGAUUAAUUCCAAGCCCACAACACCGUAGAAUUUUGCCCUAAAGAUUCAUACAUUCUCUACUUCUGCAAAAAGAACUUAAAUCCCAACUGAUAAUUUCAAUUGUUCAAACAUGAAACGCAAUCAUUAAUCAUUCAGAAGCCCCUAUAGAAAUCUGUUCUAAGUCAUCAAAACGAAAGGACCUUUGUGACCAUUGCACAUGAUGACUUAUCAAAACCAAAGGACCUUUGUGACCAUUGCACUUGACCAUUAAAUAGUGAGGGCUAUGUUCAUGCUAGACAAGAUGUUUUGCCCCUACUUCUUCAUUUUCUCAAUGUGGAGAUUUUCAUGGGAAAUCCGCAACAAUUCUGUGAAUAUGGUCAUCGAUGUCUAAUGGAAUUCACGACACUGAAUGCAACACAUUGAACAUUAAUCUCUGCAAAUGAAUUCUGAAGCAAGUCAUCUUGAAUCCUUGAUGAAUUUCUCCCAUGAUGAGAUUAAUUACUAAUUGUACCCACUAAAAAUUUUAGAAGUAGGACCAUAACAGACCCAAAAAGGAAGAAAAAUUUCAGAACCAAUCGAUUAUAGUAAGUUUUCAUGCCUUCCAGGACAAUGAUUCGGUUUUAGCUAGAGUUAACAAGCUCAGAAGAACAACUGCUUCCCAUGCAUGUUUUGAACUACUUCCUAAGGAGCGAAAAUCAAUUCUCUAAUUGGUGCAGAAGUGAACUGAUGCACAGGAGUUGCAAUGUGUUUCAAUAGAAUGUGAUUUGGUUAAGGCUAAAGCUAUCAAAGAUUAGAUGCGCAGAUGGAACAAUAUCAAUUGAGUCAGCUGCCGAGUGGGUUCAUUGAAAGGCUGUUUUCAUUCCGUAUAUAUGAUAAGUCAUGACUGAAAAUAAUAAGAACUCAAUCCGUCCAAAUCUUUUCCUAAUUUAUCACUGAUUGCAUUAAAGAUUUGCACACGGACCCAAUUCAUGUAACAGCAAAGAGACAAUUACCAGAAAAGGAAUACAGGAGAACUGCGUCUAUACAGAGUUUUGAGCUGCUGGCCAACCACUGAAAUCAGGUGCGCAACCAACAUUUACUUUCUACCAUUAACCAAACUCAGAAGUCCAAGAGAUAAAAGUAUCUUAAAAACAACAAAAAGAUACUCUAAGUUGGAUUCCGCAAGAUCAGGCUGCGUCUAUUCCUCAAGUACUUCACUGAUCAUCAGCACUCAAGAGAACAUUCUACCUUCUCACGCUUGAGUGUAUAAAAUGAUUUUAGCUUCUUGAUCCGGUAACUUCUCCAAAGAUUUAAAAGGAACCUAUCGAAAGUUGCCUCCAACGAUUUUACUCUGCCUUGGAUCUCAGCCACUUUAGGACAUCACUGCAGAUAAAAUUUCUGGAGCUUCUUCAAGUUGGUCAGGUCAGGCAACUUGUCCAUAGAUAGAACUCCUUCAAGCUUGAAGGCACUCGGGCUCUCCAAAACUUGGAGGCCUCUGAACUCUCUCACUUUAGGGCAAUGAGCAACUUCCAACUCUGACAGCGCCUUCCAAUUUGAAACGUCUAUUGAUGUUUUUAUUUCCUUGCAUGAUUCGGUAUCUAAGUACAACAAAUUUGGGGCAAGGCUAGGUUGGCAGUGCAGCUUCUUGGAGGGGACCAGUUCAGGUUCCUUGAGCUGUGAAAGAAAAAUGAUGUCUGNN
rnacentral:lncRNA from 1 species